rnacentral:lncRNA from 1 species
GCUUGAUAACAUUCUUACAGGUCUCUAAAAACAACAUCACGCCUAAUUUCAAGGAGAAAUUGGGUUUCUAUGAGAAGCAGAUUGUAGGUUUUCUAAACCCAAGCAGAUACAGGAAGCCUAUUCCUAAUCUACAGCAAGGACAACCUCCCCAACCUCGUAUUCAACCUAUGCAGCAACCCCAAUCUCAAGUUCCUCAAUUGCAGUCCCAUGAAAAUCAACUGAUUCCCCAGUUGCAAUCAAUGAAUACGCAAGGUUCUGUACCACAGAUGCAGCAGAACAAUAUGUCAAGCUUGCUGCAUAAUUCCCUUUCAACUUUAUCUGGGGAUUCGACGUCACAAUCAAACAUGAUGAAUCCAAUACAACCAGGCUCCAAUUUAGAUUCUGGACAAGGAAAUGCACUGAGCUCAUUGCAGCAGACACCUGUAGGAUCUGUACAAAAGAAUCUCGUGAGCAUUUCCCAACCAACCAAAGUUAACACAUUGUCAACACAAAGUGGGGCGAGUAUGCUGCAGCCAAAUAUUCCCCUUCAGUCGAAUUCCAAUAUGAUUCAACACCAGCAUCUAAAACAGCAGCAGCAGCAGCAUGAACAACAGAUGCUACAAACACAACAGCUUAAACGAUUGCAGCAACACCAGAAUUUAAUGCAGAAUCAACAGAUGCAGCAGCAGCAAUUACACCAGCAAGCUCCGUCUCCUAUGCCAGGAGAUUCUGACAAACCAGUUUCUGGUAUUUCCUCACUCUUAAAUACUGGAAAUAUUGUACACCAACCAUCUGUUGCACAAGCACCGGCUCCAUCCCUUGCAAUUGGCACUCCUGGGAUAUCUGCAUCACCUUUGCUUGCAGAGUUUACCAGUCCUGAUGGUGCUCAUGGCGGUGCUUUGACAACUGUUUCUGGCAAGUCAAAUGUUACAGAGCAAUCACUUGAGUGCUUGAUUAAAGCGGUUAGUGAUGCUCUCCUUUUGGUUUUACUCCACCCCACCCUUAUUUUGGAGGUUUCUGAAAAAGAAAGAAACUUCUUUGUGAAUGAGAUGGUGAUGCUGUAAUUUUUUUUCCCAGGUGAAAUCUCUGUCUCCCAAAGCACUUAGUGCAUCUGUCGGUGACAUUGGCUCCGUUGUCAGUAUGAUUGACAGAAUUGCUGGUUCUGCAGCUGGUAAUGGAUCUAGAGCUGCAGCUGGUGAGGAUUUGGUAGCAAUGACAGGAUGUCAUCUUCUUUCGUUUUUGUCUUUUUUAUUUUUCACGUGUUUCUCACAACAUGGGAACUCGAGGGAAUAAAAAGUGCUGGGAAGUAAUUUUUGUUGGAACGUCUUGUGUAACAUCUUCUUUCGAUGAUGACCUCUUGGAUGUUUUGGUGAUAUCUCUACAUCCAAAAUCAUAUAGACCGCUACUGCUGGCACUUGCAGUAGCCAAUGAGCACUGAUAUAUAUUGCAGAGUGAGAUAAGGUUAACUCGUUGCAUUUUCAUAAAUAAAAGGGAUUUCUCUUCUUUUCUUUGUCAAUUACAGUGCAUGUGUAAAAGUUUUCUUACUCAGAGUAAAUGCUAUUGUAAUGUUUUCACAGAGACUCCCCUGUUUUGCAACUAAUUCACUUCUGAAUAUAUCUGGGAAACAGAAAGGCAAUCAACAAAGAGUAAGGCAUCUUCUGAAGAAACAAAGAAAUUUAAUACCCUAAACUAAGCAGCAGGUAGAAGGCAAAAACUGAGCACAAAUUUUCAGGAAGGGACAAAAAAAAUAAAAAAGAAAGCAGAGAAAAAUACAGACUCAAAUUCAACAACACCCAUUUUCUUUCCAUUGGAACACUUUAAAUAGUUUAUUAAAUAAAGCAUAUAAAAAAAUCAACUUAAUGAUCAAUUCUCUAUAAUUUCGGCAUUACUAAAAACAUCCAAACUAAUAAACUAUUAGUUAUUAUAGUCAUUUUAAUAAACAUUUUAGUUAUGAAUUCACCAAACAUUUUGAACAAUUCAUAUUGAUGAAUUAACAUGUCAAUUUUAGAUUUUUUGACUUACUAGUUCCUUCAUGAAUUACUUCUAAAGCAUGCUAUAUAUCUCUAAGCAUUUUUAUAGAAUAUAAUUCUAUCAAAUUCACUUUUACCCAAUGUAUAAUAUAAAAUAUUCAUGGCUUUAACAUCCAUAAAAAAUAAUUUUUUAUCAUUUUAUGUAUAUUCACUUCUAGUUUUAGAAAUCUCAAUACCAUUUUCAAUUUUGAUAGGUUUAGGAGAUCUAUUUUGUACGGAUAGCCACAAAUUAAAAUCAAUAGAUUGACAAUAAACUAUCAUACAACAAUUUAUUACUUGCUCUUUGGUGAUAGGAAUGUGAUUGUAAUAUUAUUUUUCAAGCUUACUCAAUCUCUUAUUCUUGAUAGCAUAACCAAUAAUAAAUGGCGAGCCAAAAUUUAUAUGUUACUCUCUGUAAGAAUUUUGACUGCAUAAAUGUAAAAGAAAAUAGUUUUAAAAAGACUAAAAGUUUUCUUCAUUAUAAAAACCAUGUCAGAAUUGUCUCUUUUUAUAGGCAAUUCUGACACUUAAUUUUAAAAUAACUUUUAAGACAAAAGGUUACAAUUUUCUAGUUUAAAACUACACAAUUAUAUUUCAAGUAGAGUUUUAACAAACACAACUUUUCAUUCACACCUUAACAAUCCCUCCACAUGAUAAAAAUUGUUUGAUCAUAAUAAAAUACAAAGUAGACAUGAAAAUAAAGAGUAGGAGCGAAAAGUCAUUGCAUCGAGCAAGAUAACUUUUGGCCUUGAACCUUUCAUAGUUAAAACUAUUGGAUUCACUCGGCUAAUCAGCAAACAUGAUAUUUUGAGUUGUUUAGCCUUUUGUGAGAAACCAGAUAAUAUAGAUUACACAUUUCAUUUUCUUACAAUUUUGGUUCUCACGGUUGUGUUCAUUUUGGCCUCGAAUACGUCUUGAUUUCAAAGAGCUUUAAAGAAUUUGCAUUUUCAAUCCUGAUAGAAGUGGCCUUAUUUCACACUCACAUAUGUGAUUCUUAUUAAGAGUAUCAUGUAAUACCUCACUUGAAUUUCUCAAGCUAUAAAAGUCAUUAAAAGCUUAGCUUAUCCUAUUUUCAUUGCAGAUAGCACUUUAUAUCAUAUGAAUGGGUAAGAGGGCUAUUAUUAAAUGACAUGUGAUUUGGUUGCUUCUUUGAAUCUAGAUCCUGGGAUCUCCAGUAAACUAGGUUGGGUCGCUAUCAUGACAAUUCAUUGAACUGUGUCUUAAUCUCAUUCCCCUCGAUGAUUAUUGACUUGCUCUAUUGUUAAGCAUUUUAUUAGUAAAUUAAUGAUAUUAUCAUUUAACUUUACAUGGUUAAUAAAGAUAAUCUCAUUUUAGAUCAACUAUCUUACAAUAUUAACAAUUGUGUCAAUACUUUAUGUGUGUGUGUGUGUGUAAGCAUGGUUAUAUUUCAUAUCAGCAUCAUAAUAAUAGCAAAUGUGAAGUAUGUAUUCAAGCAAAGAUGACAAAGAAGCCUUUUCCUAAAGUAGAAAGGAAUUCUCAAUUACUUGAGUUGAUCCAUUCUGAUAUAUGUGAAAUAAAUGGUAUGUUAACAAGGGGUGGGAAAAGAUAUUUCAUAACUUUCAUUGAUGAUUAUUCUCGUUUUACCUGUGUUUCCUUAUUAAAAACUAAAGAUGAAGCCUUUGGAAAAUUCAAAGAAUUCAAGAAAAUGGUAGAAAAUCAAAAGGAAAGGCAAAUUAAAGUUCUUAGAAGUGAUAGAGGUGGAUAAUAUUUUUCUAAGGAGUUUUCUACAUUUUGUGAGGAAAACAAAAUAAUCCAUCAAAUGACAGCACCUUAUACACAACAUAAUGGACUUGCUGAAAGGAAAAAUAGGACCUUAAUGAAUAUGGUCAAUGCCAUGCUUUUGAAUGAUAAAUUACCAAAUAAUUUAUGGGGUGCAGUCUUACUUACUACAUGUCACAUUCAUAAUAGAGUACUAUUUAAAAAAUCAAAUGUUUCUCCCUAUGAAGCAUGGAACGGUAGAAAAUCAAAUCUGAAUGAUUUUAAUGUGUGGGGGUGUGUAGCUUUUUGUAAAAGUUCUGAUCCUCAAAGAACAAAAUUAGGACCCAGAGGUCUUAAGAGUGUUUUUGUUAGUUAUGCACAAAAUUCAAAGGCUUAUAGACUUUUGGAUUUAGAAACUAAUGUGAUUAUUGAAUCUAUACAUGUUGAAUUUAUCAAAAAUAAAUUCAUAAGUGAUUCAAAUGUGUAAGAACCAAAUCUAAAAGUAAUGACUCCUAGCUCAACAUUAAGUGAAAAAUAUAAAAACCUAGAAGUAAUAGGUUCAACUGAACCUAGAAGAAGUCAAAGAGUUAGAAAGGAAAAACACAUAUAUACAGAUUUUAUUUCUACUUAUUCAAUUGUAUUUUUAGUGGAAGGUGAUAGAAAUACAAUAUUAAAAAAGACACCUAUGAUCUUAAAUAUGGAAGAUGAUCCAAAGACAUUUGGUCAAGCUAUGUCUUCUAGGGAUGUUGCUUUUUGGAAAGAAGCGGUAAAUGAUGAAAUGGAUUCAAUAUUGUCUAACAAUACUUGGGUCCUAGUAGAUUUACCUCCAGGUUCUAAGCUAAUAGGAUGUAAGUGGGUGUUUAGAAGAAAAUACAAUACCGAUGGUUCUAUACAAACCUUCAAGGCAAGAUUGGUUGCCAAAGGUUUUACUCAAAAGGAGGGUGUUGAUUAUUUUGACACUUAUUCUCUGGUGGCAAGAAUUACAUCAAUUAGAGUUUUAUUUGCAUUAGCAUCAAUUUAUAAAUUGUAUGUUCAUCAAAUGGAUGUAAAGACGGCUUUCCUAAAUGGAGAUUUAAAGGAGGAAGUGUAUAUGGAGCAACCUGAGGGUUUUAUACUUCCUGGAAAUGAAGAAAAAGUCUGUAAAUUGAUAAAGUCUUUAUAUGGUUUAAAACAAGCUCCGAAACAAUGGCAUGAAAAGUUUGACAAAGCAAUUUUGUUGAAUGGUUUUCAUCACAAUGGUGCUGAUAAGUGUAUGUAUUCCAAAUUUACAAAAUAUUUUGGUGUGAUUAUUUAUCUCUAUGUAGAUGACAUGUUAAUAUUUAGCACCAAUAUGAUUGGAAUUGUUGGAACCAAAAAGUAUCUCACUUAUAUCUUUAAAAUGAAAGAUCUUGGUGAAGUAGAUACAAUUUUAGGUAUCAAAGUUAAGAAACAUGGUAGUGACUAUGCACUUAAUCAGUCAGAUUAUAUUCAGAAAAUGCUCGAUAAGUUUAAGCAUCUCAAUAUAAAGAAGGCUAAUACCCCAUUUGACUAUAGUAUGAAGUUAAAUGAUUAUUAUGAUAAAGCUGUAUCACAACUAGAAUAUGCUAGUGCCAUUAGAAGUCUUAUGUAUGAUAUUCAUUGUACAAGACCAUAUAUAGCUUUUGCUAUAUGCAAGUUAUCAAGAUAUAUAAGCAAGCCGAAUACAGAUCAUUAGAAGGCUAUUGCAAGAGUCUUUGGUUACCUAAAAAGAACAAUCAAUUGAGGUCUAUUUUAUUCUGAUUUUCCAGCUGUGAUGGAAGGAUAUAGUGAUGCAAGUUGGAUGACUAGUUCAAAUGAUAAUAAGUCCACAUCAUGAUGGAUUUUCUCACUUGGAGGAGGUGCAAUAUCUUGGGCAUCUAAGAAACAAACAUGCAUCUCUCAUUCUACCAUGGAAUCAUAAUUUAUUGUUAUGGCUGCUGCAAGUAAAGAAGUAGAAUGACUAAGAAAUAUGUUGUUUGAUAUUAAGUUGUGGCCACAACCUAUGUCAGCUAUUUCUUUAUACUGCGAUAGUGAAGCAACUAUGUCUCGAGCUUAUAGUAACAUUUACAAUGGUAAGUCAAGACAUAUAAGCAUUUGACAUGGAUAUAUUCGAGAGUUGAUUACAAAUGGUGUAAUCACCAUUGUCUAUGUGAAAUCUAUGAAUAAUUUAGCGGAUCCGCUCAUAAAAGGACUAUCUAAAGACAUGGUACGAAAAAUAACUAAUGGAAUGGGGUUGAAACCUGUUUUUAAAGAUACCAGUAAUAGGAACCCAACUUCGGAUCAACAAGAAGCUUAUCUCUUAGUUUAAUGGGUAAUAAUAAGUUACUGUUUUGUAUAUGUUAGACACUGAUAAUUAAUUUGAGUCCCUAUUCUGAUAGUAUUCAGUGUAUUCUAUUACAUAAAGGAGGAUGAGCAUAGGCUCUUCAUGGAAUUUGAAGUUCGUGUCUAAUGUAAUAGAGACAUGUAUAAUUCCACCUAUAUGAAUAUAAAAGUGAUGCCGCUUUUGACAAGAGUUAGGGUUUUUUCUUGUAAAUAUUCAUAAAAAAAAUUAAAAUUAAGAUUUUAGCACAUGACCAUAAUAGUGCUAAACAGUUGUAAACCUCUUUAAGAGUUUGGAUAGUAUUAUGUGUGUAGUAUCUUUUAUUCUACAACAAAAGUUUUGGUUUAAUCUGCGGACACCAAUAACUUUAGUAGGAUUCAAGUUCUAACACUAAUUGAAGUUUUAAAAUGCAAAAUACCUUCUUGUAAGCAUAAUUCUAUAAAGUGAAAAGACCUUCAUUACAAACUAGUGGGGGAUUGUUGGUGUAGUUUGUAAAUGAAUAAAGAAAAGAUGUUUAUCUCACAUUGGAAAGAAACACUCCCUCCUAAUGUUUCUAUGUGUGGGUUUCUAUUGUGUAGUAAAUUAAGCCAUGGUGGACAAACUCUCCUAUUUGGCUUUCUAAUGUUAUUAUAUGGAUAUUUAUAAUAUCAAAAAAUAGCAUUUGGAACUUGAAACUUGGAUCUUAAUAUGAACAGUCAUAUUGUUUCAUCAAUAGUCAUAUUGUUUGAUGAACAGUCAUAUUGUUUCAUCAAUAGUCAUAUUGUUUGAUGAACAAUCAUACUGUUUCAUCGUUAUGUUUUAAGUCUAUAAAAGCAUGUUACUAUACAGAAAAGAGGCACAACAAAAAACAUACAUUCUUUUCUUGGUCUUAUCUUCUCAUUCUUUUAGAGGUUUAGAGGGCUUAGUUGUAUCCUGGAGGUAUUGUCUCUAUGUGGGACAAAUAAACACCUUAAAAAUAGUGUUUUCACGCCUCUAAGCCAACUCCAUAUUUGUUUCCAUCCUAAACAUUCAUAUCAAGAAACAUUGCGCCACGCCUGCUAAACGUCCACGAAAGAGUCGCCGACCGUUAUUCCCGCAUUAAAGUCCAUGCAUGGUCGCCUCAUUAUCUGGAGACGACCGCAUGGCAUUCUCUGGCUAUAAAAACCAGAGAAAGGCCAUGACAAAGAGGAGGGGGGGACAAAACAAAAGACAGGAGAAAAGAGGCAGGAGAGAGAGAGAGAGAGACCGAGAGAGAGGGGGCCGAAAACACAAACCAGAGAAAAAAAACCGGAGGAGUAACCCAGGGAAGAACACAGAAAAAACCAGGGGAACACUGGAGAACAAAUGAGACAGAAAUAGAGAGAAAUUGCUAGCCAACGCAUGAGCACCAACUAGCCUCGUCUCCGGUUGCACCACCCCCUGAAUAGACGGACGCGAAGGAGAACAGGGGAGUAAACGAAGAGAGGACAUAACACCGGGAAACCGAAAACUGAUAGAAAACCAGAAGAAAAGGAAGAACCACAGAGAGACGAACAACACAGGAGCUGAGAACGAACGAAAAAAAGAGAGAGAGAAGACAGAGAGAAAAAGCAGAGGCGUAAGGUGAAACAGAGAAGAACGACCAGAAAUAAACCAAAAGAAAACAGAAGUGAAGGGGAAGUUUUGGCCAGCCACCACACCUUCUUCGUCAUCCAGACCAGGUAAGUUCUCUCUUCUUCGUAAUUAUAAUUACAUAGGUAUUGUACAUAUGCAAAUUUAAUUCACUACUAUAAUUCACCGGUUUGUGCAUGCACGCGUGAAUCAGUUCACACAUGCCUGUUGUCCAGCUGGGUCACUGGCUUGGGUCAGUGACCAGGCUGGGCUGCUGGGUUUAGCCCAGCCUGACCGAGCUGAGCUGGAUCUAGCCCCCAAAAAAAAUUUAAAAAGGAAAAUAUAAAAAAAAACUAGGCAUGGGCCUCGGGCCUAGGUGGCCUAAUCCCCUUUAUUUAAGUCCCUUUUAUUUUGAUAUUCAACCAAAAUGACCAACUUUUCCCUCAUAUUGUUUUUAGGGUAUUUCACUGUAUAUUUGAUCUGUAGAUUUUUACUGCGAAAUUCGGUGUACGAUACUUUUUUUUUAAAAAAAUAUGCAUGCAUAUAUUUAAAUUCAUUUUAUUGGUUUAUUCACCAACGCUAGAGUCAGGAAUACAAUUUAUUUUGUUUUUGCUACGUAAUAUUUAUCAAUGCCAGAGUUGGAAGUAUCUGUAGUCGAAUAUUCACUGACGCUAGAGUCAGGAAUAUUACAAGCAAACCAUCAUAGCAUAAAUCAACAAACUCUUAAUAAUUUAAGACAAAACCAACAAUGCAGCUUAUCUCAGGUAGGGUGUGCUAGGGGUGUUAAUAUCUUCCCUACCCAUAACCAGUCUUGUACCAUAAAAUCUCUAUUGACUAGUUAGGGUUUCUAAUGACCAUAAUACUAGGUGGCGUCUCCUUAAACCAAACCUUUUUCCCAUAAAAGAACAAGAUGCCAGAAAUCUGUUCUUUUCAAGAAUUUUUAAGGUCAUCGCGAUGUCGGGUGCGACAAUACCCAAAACAAUUGCCUUGCUAAUGGGGAUAAAGUUGUCUUUCUUAAGGGAUCUAAAAGUUAUUUGUAUAUUGAUUGGGGAUAAUUUAGUAGGUUCACUCCUUUUUUCAUAUUAAAACUACAUCAUUGCCCUUGCAAUAAAAAAACAAGUGGCCUUUUGUUUUGGGUCUAUUUUGUCUUUUCUAUUUUAUUUGCACAAUAAAAUGACAUCAAUACCCUCGAGAGUUCAAAAAUAUUGACACUUGACGAGAGGUAUUUUUUAGUCUUUUUCAUGUUUUGUGUACUGUAAAAUGACAAAGUUAACCUUAGAAUAAAAUAAAUCUAAAGCUAGUGUGGGAUAACAUUUUCAUCUUUGCAAUAUAGCUUUUUGUAAUAUUUAGAUGCUUUUAGGGGCUAUUUAGUAAUUUAAAGUAUUGAAAUAUUAAUAAAUCAAUAAAAAAGCUGACAUAUGCGUAGCACGUGUCAGCGCGUGAUAAUCCACCACGUCAUUCAGGAGACUAAUAAACUAACCUAAACUCGUUCUUGCCCAACAGCGAGCCACAAACAAUACUCUUUUGAAUAUUAGAAGCAUGAACCACAUUGUUCAUAAUCGACUCUUUCAUAAAUGUCAUCCUUAACAUCACCUUUUUCUGGCCUAGGAUUUUGCACACUAAGAGCCUAUUUGACGUUGCAGUUGAAUCGUUGUUUUUCCAUUUUGAAAAAAAUUAUUCUUGCUUCAAUUGUUUUUGCGUUCUUGGAUUGUUAUGAUGUGUUAAUGUUAAAAAUGAAUUAAAAAAUAUAUUUUGAUACAUUUCCAAGUAAAAAACACUUUACAACGCAACCGCUACCACACUUUUAAACAAUCACUAAGAAGUUAUCCAGGAAUAAUUGUUCUCCAUUUGCAGUUGUUGCAUACUCAAAAAAAUAUUAUGUCAAAACAUACAUGACAGGUGGCUCCAAUAUCAAUCCACCACUUUUUAAGAUUGUGCACCAGGUUUGCUUCUGACAUAACUACAACAAGCUUUGCAGCUUUCUCAUCAACAUUCUCAAUGAUUUUGUUUUGUGCAUUUUUUCCUUACAGAUAUGCCUUUGCUUUUUACAAACAAAACAAGUUUCUUUGAACUUCUUUUUGCCGACACUAUUACCAUUAGAACUCUUGAGAGAACUUGCUUCAUAUUUAAGUUCACCAGGUUAAGAAUGUUUAGGAAUCGGGUUUGCCAUCGAGACCGCAAAGAUUACCAGGUUAAAUUAUUUUGGUUUUUUCCCCGCAUGAUAGAAUGUUUAGGAAUCGGGUUUGCCAUCGAGACCGCAAAGAUUACCAGGUUAAGAAGUACAUUGAAAUUAUUAACAAUAGAUUUAUCCAUUUAUUAUCUCAAUAACAAGAUUAACUUUAUAAUUAUAUAUCACACUUAUAUAAUCUGAAAUAAUAUUAAUUAAAAUGAAUCCCAAAAAUUUAACACACUAAUUCUGCAAAAAACAAAUUUAAUAAACAAUUUAACUUUGCAACUAUGUAUUUAUUUAUUUGUUUUUCUAUGAGACUCAAUUUUUUUUUUAAUAAUCAUCAAGAGUAUAUUGAAAAGGCCAUAAAGCCAAUAGACAGUGAAAUUUUUAACAGAAACUCAAUGUAAUUUUCAACAAAAACUAUAACAAUACAAAUAAUUACAAAUAUUUUUCUUUCAACAUCAACAUAAGAAAACAAUAUGCACUCUUCUAAAGUUAUGAUAAAAAAAAUCUGAUUGAUACUUAUGUUGUUUUAUGAUUAAAGUAACAAUAGCAUCUAAAGAGAAUGAAUUAGGUGUUGCACUAAUUAUGUCAAAAUAAUGCAAGUAAACACACUAAACACAUAUAACACAAAAACCAACAAUAUAAUUCAAGUGCUUAAAGUAAAUAUAUAAGAAAAAAGAGAUUGCAAACUCGAUUUUUAACGUGAUUCGGUAAGCUUACAUCCACAUCUCAAGUACUAAUCAUACUUAAGUAUUGUACUUUUUUACUAAUCCAAGUGAAAGAUACAUUGCCCUUGAUGAAUUCACACCAAGAAAUUACACCACUUGAUGAAUUUUUCUCUUUAAGAUUUUUCUCCUAGAAUUCCGGUUAAAUAGAAUUGCACUUAAUAUAUAUUAUUUCACCAUAAUUAUUAUCCAGAUAUGCAACUUUUUUUCUUUCCGAUCAUCUGUUUUCUUUUUUUCAUAUCAAUACAACAACAAAGGAAAAUACCAUGCAAUAUAAAAUGUAUUUCCCUGUAGAAUCAAUGCAACAAGUUUACAGACAACAGACGACAAGGAAUUUAACAUAGUCAUGGAAUUUAACUGAAGAUAUAUACACUUUACUUUCUCUAUUAAAAUUAAACUAUUUUUUUUAAUCUAUGUCAAUAUAUAAUCAAUUUGGUCUUGAAGAUAUAUAAAUAUACACAGAACAAAUAUGUUAGAAAAUAAAUUGUUUAAGAUUGUUAGAGCACCUUAAAUAGUUCAUAAAAUUAUUCUUCCCUUUUACUAUAAUGAUGAAGUACAAGGGUUGUUGAUGAUGACCUCUUGGAUGGCUACAUGAAGCUUGUUCCGUUUUAAAUUUCAAGGUUAAUCUAUUGCUAUGAGCAUACGUGUCUCAAUUUAAAACUCGAGUUGCAACUGAACUUAAAUGAAUGGUGUUGGAUUUGGGCCUUCUAUUUGUUUUAACUUCUACAGGGUUGAAAUGAUAGUGAUCUUAAAGUAGAAAAGCAGCAGACAAAAAUCAAUUAACCACAAUGGUGCAUGGUUUCCUAGUUUCUCAGCAUAAAGUUGAAUGUUUUGUUGACCUUUCUACAUCAAAAAUCAUAUAGACAGCUACUGCUGGCACUUGCAGUGGCCAAUGCAUACUGUAGAGUAUAUAUUGCAGUGUGAGAUAAGGUUAACUCGUUGCAUUUUCAUAUAUUGAAAGGAUUUCUCUUCUUUUCUUUGUCAAUUACAGCACAUGCAUAGAAGUGUUCUUCCUCAGAGUAAAUGCUAUAGUAAUGUUUUCACGGACUCCCCUGGUUUGCAACUGAUUCACUUAUAUAUCUUGGAACAUAGCCAUAAAUGAAAGGUUCUUCUAGUUCAAGAAAAUUAACCAUGAAGCUCGUAACUAGAAUUUUUAGACAGAAGGGUGGCCAAGCGAACUCCUAUACUCCGUACGUCUGGAAUAAUACAGGGAAAGGGUGUUUAUGUAUUUUGAUGUCUUAUAUUACUUGACCAACUCUUGCUUAUCUCAUUAUUUGUUUUAAUUUUUUGCUAAUAAUUCCACACAUUUCUGAUAUGGUGUGGUUUUUGAGUUCAGGGUUCUUGCUCAUUGCUGCUAACUUCUCUAUACUUGCCUGGUCAUUAAAAAUGAAACGUAAUGAUUUGCAUAUGCUGAAUGGAGACAUUAAAGAGGCAUCUUCUGUUUUCUGGUCAGGAGGGAUUACAAGAACUCAAGAAAUUUUCCAUAUGUUUUGAGGAAAAGAUUUAUACUACCACUACCAAUCAGGUAUUUGCCUAAUGUGAGGUUUAAUAAUUACGAUAUUAUCUAGACAUUAAUAUACACACGCAUUUAUGCUUGUACAAAUGUGUGUGUAGUGUGCCUACACUUCCUCACCGUUCAUUCUGUAUGCAAGGCUGAUUGGGAGUUCACAUUAUUUUGUUAAUUCUCUUGACAAGUGUUUUAUUUAGAGUGACCAAGUUCAAGUACAAGGGAAGAGUGCAAAAAGCAAAUAGCGAAUCAAUACAUAAAUAAUUAAAUAAAAAGAGAGGAAACAAAAGUAUAUCAUAGAGAAGAUGAAAUGAUAGAGCAUAUAUCCAUUUUCCUCCUCUUGUAACAUGGAUUGCUCUGAGAUCUGAUGUUUUGUUAUUAAUAUCUGAUUUCAGUCUGAUUAUAUAUCUACGAAAAAUAUCUCUGGAGAUGCUUUCGAUGGAGAUCAGGUCUCAAAAUGCCAUGCCCACUGUCCCCAUGGAUCCAGCAGGUAAUAAUGCACCCGAGCAUUGAAUUUCUAAACAUCUUACCUUUUGUUUUUCUUCUCACAUUGUUAUCAAACUCUUUUACAUUUUAUUGCUGUAUAUUGCUAUGUAUAUCGCCUUGCUAGAAAAAUCUCAUGAUCACCUCCACGAUGCUAAUUCUAUAAUGCAUGUGAAGUGUUUCAUCCUUAACUUGUUAAGAACAAGGACUAUGAUGCAUUGCUAUUUUAUAUUUUAUGAUUGAGAUGGUAGAUUUUAAAGAUUUUCCUGUUUAGGAGAUAAAAGUAAGAUGUCACUUUUUUGCUUUUCUUCCGAGAGAGUAUUUGAUCCUUUUUUCGUAUAAAAUAAUGCUGGCAUGCAUUGAAUUUCCAAACAGCUUAGCUUUUGUUUUGUUUGUCGCAUUGUUAUCAAACUCUUUUACAUUUUAUUGCGGUAUAUUGCUAUGUGUAGGGCAUGCUUUAAUCAAAAAGUUGAGUAAUUGAUGAAUGCUAGGCAUGAAAAUGACAUAUUAUUUUUGUUUUCUGUCUCCUCCUUUUCUUUCCCCCACCUCAAAAAUUGUCAUGUUAUUUUUGUUUUCAGCCGCCUCUUCUUCCCCAAACCUUUAAAAUUGUUUAUAUUUGCUUUGGAAGCAUGACAAACUUCAUUGCCUCUCAGCUUAAGGAGAUUGCAGCAGGUCUCGAAGCUUCUGGGCAUUAGUUUAUCUGGGUAGUUAGAAGAAACAAAAAGAGUCAAGAAGACAAGGAAGAUUGUUUACCUAAAGGAUUUGAGGAAAGAAUGGAAGGCAAAGGGCUAUUAUCAGAGGAUGGACACUCCAAGUUUUGAUUCUUGGUCAUGAAGCAAUAGGUGCAUUUGUGACUCAUUGAGGAUGGAACUCAACUCUUGAAGGCAUAAGGCAAAUAUUUGCUGAGCAAUUCUAUAAUGAGAAGUUGGUGACUGAUGUUUUAAAAAAUGGAGUUAAGGAAUGGCUUAGAGUGCAGAGAUCAUGUUAAAAGUGAAGCUGUAGAGAAGGCAAUCACUCAAAUUAUGAUGGGUGAAGAAGCAGAGGAAAUGAGAGAGAAGAAAGCUGAACAAGGGAACGCAGUAGAUGAAGAAUAUGAGUUUACUGCAUUUACUGUCAAGAAUACAAACGUGAGCACUAAAAACUAAUUUGUACAGGAUACUCUUUAUAUAUAGAGUAGUAAUUAACUUCAUCACUUAUUUCUUUCUAUGAAUACAAUAUUCCUUAUUUAUAUAUAUUGAUUUGUUUCUUAUAUGAGGUAGCUGUAGUUUCCUUCUAUGAAAGAUCUGCCAUGGCUGUAGUUUCCUUCUUUGAGAAGUAGCCGUUGGUUGAGGUAGCUGUUGAUUCCUGUGAUUUCCAUGUAUGGUUAAUUACCAUUCUGAAUAGUAGCCGUUGGAGGUGUUAAUUCAGAAUGGUUGCUGACGAGAGUGAGGAUCCUGUGGUGGUGCUGCUGCUGUCUCCUGCUGCUGCUGCAGAGGUGUGUUGUUGCUGUUAAUACCCUCCCUCAAACGUUGCCGAGGUUGGAGGCAAAGUUUGCGCUGAAAACGAAGAAGAGUAGCUUUGGACACCGGCUUAGUAAACAGAUCAGCAAUCUGAUGUGUAGUGGGAAUAUGAUGUGUAAUAAGUUUCCCAAGAGCUACGCGUUCGCGUAUAAAAUGAUAAUCAAGUUCAAUAUGCUUGCUGCGAGCAUGGAAAAUAGGAUUGACCGUCAUAUGGAGCGCACUGAGAUUAUCACAAUAGAGCACUGGUGGAGAUAGCAAGGGAAUGUGUAAAUCAUGAAGGAUGUAGGUCAACCAGGUAAGUUCUGCAGCCGUGUUGGCCAUAGCACGAUAUUCAGCUUCAGUGCUAGAGCGUGAAAUAGUAUGUUGUUUCUUGGCACACCAGGAGAUGAGAUUACAGCCAAGGAAGACACAGUAGCCAGUGGUAGAACGUCGUGUAGUAAGACAGCCAGCCCAAUCAGCAUCUGAAAAAGCAGAGAAAUUAAGAUUAGUAUUAGAAGUGAAGUGCAGACCAUUAUUAAUAGUACCUUGACAUAUCGUAAGAUACGGCGGACCAUUUUUAAGUUGACAGUUGUAGGAGCAUGCAUGAAUUGAGAGACAUAAUUAACACUAAAAGAGAGAUCUGGUCGAGUAAGGGUGAGAUACUGGAGGGAGCCAACAAGCCCCCGGAAGAAACUGACAUCCGCUAAAGGAGGAGCAUUGGAGGAGGCUUUAGUUCGUGCUUCAAGUGGUGUAGUCAUGGGUUUACAGUCAACCAUUUCAGCACGUUCUAGAAUUGUAAAGGCAUAAUGUGAUUGUGAUAAAUGAAGUCCAUUUGGCGUGGGCGAAAUUUCGAUGCCAAGAAAAUGAUGAGUAGGGCCUAAGUCCUUCAUGGCAAAUUCUUGACUGAGUAGAGUAAUGAAAUCUGCAACAAGUGUAUCUAUAGUUCCUGUAAGAAGUAUAUCAUCAACAUAAAGUAGGAGAAUAAGAGAACCAUGAUCAGAAUGAAAAGUAAAUAGAGAAGGAUCUGCCAAGCUGCAUAGGAAACCGUAUUUGAGGAGAAAGGAACUAAAACGAUCAAACCAAGCACGAGGUGCUUGUUUAAGGCCAUAGAGGGCACGUUGGAGCUUGCAGACAUGCUGUGGACGUUGAGGAUCUGAGAGUCCUGGUGGCUGUUCCAUGUAGAGAUUUUCAGAAAUCAAACCAUGUAGAAACACAUUUUUCACAUCAAGCUGCCGUAGGGGCCAAUGAUGAACAAGAGCUAUAGUGAUAAUUAGCCGAAUGGUGCCAGGCUUUACAACGGGAGAGAAUGUUUCAGUGUAGUCUAGGCCAUCAAUCUGGUGGUAUCCUUUGGCAACAACACGGGCUUUGAGACGCUCCAAGCUGCCAUCAGAUUUGAGUUUGGUUUUAAACACCCAUUUGGAACCUAUGAUAUGCAUAUCGGUGGUACGAGGUACCAAUUUCCAUGUCUGAUUUUGGUGUAAGGAUGUAAGUUCAUCCUCCAUUGCUGCUUUCCAUCCUGGAUGAGCUAGUGCAGCUCACACAGAUCGCGGUUCAUGCGGUAUUCCAGCAGAGAUGACAGAUGUUAAUGCAUACUUGGGAUUUGGUUUUAUGAUGCCAUGCUGGGACCGAGUGGUCAUGGUGCGAAGAGCUGAAGUAGAGGAAUUGGGAACAAACUCAUCUGCGGAGGCAUCACUACAAGGAGGUUGUGCAGCUUGGUGUAGCGCACGUUGUGAACGAGUAACCAUAGAGUGAGGAGCUGAAUUUGGGUGGUCUUGCUGCUGCAGAGUAGUUAAGUUCUCAGAGAGUGGUUGCUGGGAAAUAUCAGGGCAGAGAUUGUGGGCAAUCUCCUGCUGAGUGGGAGCUGCCACCUGCUGAAUAUCAUUCUCCGAACUAUGGUGUUGUAGUGAGGAAGAGGGUUCUAUAGAUGGAUCAGUGGGAGAACCAGAAUUAGAGAGAUCUGAUACGUGCAUGAAGAUACAUGCAAACCGCAACAAACCAGAAGGUGGCAGUAGCGCACGUGGUACGUGGAAGACACUUGGACGUGGAUCAUGCUUGGUCGCCAGAUUGUUAGUGGGGUUUGUUAUGGAAUUAGUCAUUCUCCAGUUAUUUUUAGUAUUAACAGUUAAUAAGGAUUCCUCGGAGGAUCCCUUGUUUGUUUCCCAUUUUCUAGAUAGUUUCCCAAAUUCUAGCAUUGUUUGUUAUUCAAUUCAUGUAUAAAAGGGCCUGGUGGCAUCCAAUAAAGGUAUCGAAAAUUAUCCAAUACUGUCUCCUCUCUUACUUCUCUGCUUCUCUUCUCACUCCCUAAAUUCAACCUAUCAGUGGUAUCAGAGCCAGGUUACACAGUUGUCAUGGAUACUCGCGGAAAAAGUAAUGCUGAAUUCCGGACUGAGGUCAAUGACGCCUUAGCUAGGCAUGAGUCUAGCUUUGAUCAGGUGAAUGCUGCCCUUCAAGCAGUAUUAACCGAACUACAAGCCAUCCGCACCCAAAAACACCCAAACACUAACCCUCCCGAAAUCAAUCCCUUUGCAUCAGAAUCAUCAUCCCAGUUACAUAGUUCUCGCAACCCAAACACCACUGGUCAAACACACUCCCACCUCAAACUCUCAUUCCCUCGUUUUGAUGGCAGUGAGCCCACAGGUUGGGUGUACAAAGCCGAACAGUACUUCGAAUUUCAGGACAUUGACUCGGCCCAGCAGGUCCAAUUGGCCUCCUUCCAUCUAGAUGGAAUUGCUCUCCAAUGGCACCGAUGGCUGACCAAGUUUCGGGGACCCCUUCUGUGGAACGAGUUCGUGCAAGCCCUUUUGCAACGAUUCGGACCCACAGACUACGAAGACCCAUCGGAAUCGCUCACUCGUCUCAGACAAACUACCUCUGUAGCAGCUUACCAAGAGGCUUUUGAGAGGCUCUCCCAUCAAGUUGAUGGACUACCGGAAGGUUUUUUAAUAGGAUGUUUUGUUGCAGGGCUGCGAGAUGAAAUUCGUAUUGAUGUCAAGAUUAAACAUCCCCACACACUGGCAGAAGCAAUUGGAGUUGCCCGACUGAUUGAGGAGCGCAAUCUACUGCAAAGGAAGACCCAUCUUCCAAUUCGGUCUUCUUCCAUGAAUUUACCCUCCAGGGCACCAGCAAAUUCAGUAGCUGGAGUGUUGGGACCACCCCCAUCACAAAGACCAAACCUAUCACCAACAUCAUUCCGGAGGAUCACCACUCAAGAAGCUCGGGAACGAAGGGAAAAAGGGGCUGUGUUUCUAUUGCGAUGAGAAAUUCAAGCCAGGCCAUCGCUGUGAACAACCACAAUUGUUUAUGAUCGAAGACAGCUCCAACACCAGCCUUGAUGAAGAAAUAACAGAUACUGAGGACAUCAUCAAUUCAGAGGACAUGCCCGAAAUCUCAUUCCAUGCUAUCGCAGGUGCUGAACACCCUCAAACCUUACGGGUGUUGGGUCAAUUGGGCAACAAAAAGGUGACCGUGCUCAUUGACGGAGGCAGCACGCAUAACUUCAUUGAUCAGGUGGUGGUAACCAAAUUUGGGAUACCCAUUAAUCGCAGCCAGCGAUUUCAGGUAAUGGUGGCUAAUAGAGAGAAAAUCACUUGUACUGGGCAAUGUCAGAGCCUCACAUUAAUCAUUCAGGGCAUAGCCAUCACUGCCAAUUACUGUGUUCUACCGGUCAUGGCUUGUCAAGUGGUACUGGGUGUGCAGUGGCUUGAGACACUGGGUCCGAUUGAAAUGGAUUUCAAAAAGCUCACUAUGAGCUACAAAACGCAUGGAGAGAAACACACCUUUUACGGGUUGAAGCACACGGGUCAUGCUGCCUUCACAGAGAAGGAGUUUCAUGGGUUACAAGGGAAUGGAUUCUUCCUUCAAAUCAUUCCCUCACAUCCCAUCAUUGACAGUAGCAGCCAUCCACCGGAGCUUAAGGCCCUUCUAUCCGAAUUCUCGCAGGUGUUUGAGGAGCCCACGGGUCUGGCUCCCCAGAGAGCCAAAGACCACCACAUACCUCUACAACCCAAUUCUGGCCCAGUAAGUGUGAGACCCUACCGCUACCCGUAUUACCAGAAAACCGAGAUAGAAAAAAUGGUGCAAGACUUGUUGAAGUCUGAAUUGAUACGCCCCAGUAAUAGCCCAUUCUCCUCUCCUGUUUUGCUAGUCAAAAAGGCGGAUGGGGCUUGGCGUUUUUGUGUGGAUUAUCGCGCUUUGAAUGAAAUCACCAUCAAAGACAAAUAUCCAAUUCCCGUAAUUGAUGAGCUCCUAGAUGAGCUGCAUGGGUCUCGUUACUAUUCCAAAUUGGACCUACGAUCCGGCUAUCACCAAAUCCGGGUACGAGACGACGACAUACCUAAAACAGCAUUCAGAACUCAUGAAGGCCAUUACGAGUUCGUUGUCAUGCCAUUUGGUCUAACCAAUGCUCCUGCAACCUUCCAAAGUCUUAUGAAUGAUCUUUUUCGUCCCCACCUCAGGAAGUUUAUUUUGGUUUUUUUUGACGAUAUUCUGGUUUAUUCCAAAUCGUGGGAAGACCAUUUAACCCAUUUGCACACUGUUUUGAAGAUUCUAGCAGAUAAUACACUCUUUGCAAAGGAGUCCAAGUGCAGAUUCGGGGUUACAUAGGUUGACUACCUAGGCCAUGCUAUUUCAAACCAAGGAGUAUCGGUGGAUCCUACCAAAAUUCAAGCAGUGGUUGAGUGGCCUACCCCUACGACAGCCAAGGGGGUCCGCGGAUUCUUGGGCCUGGCCGGCUAUUACAGAAAGUUCAUCCGCCAUUUUGGAGGAAUAGCCGCACCACUUACCCGAUUGCUGACCAAGGAUGGGUUUCAGUGGAGUGCAGAAGCUGAUUUGGCUUUUCAACGUCUGAAGGAAGCCUUAACCCAGUCCCCGGUCUUACGCAUGCCAGAUUUCUCUCAACGAUUUGUGGUCGAGUGUGAUGCCAGUGGGAUCGGAAUUGGUGCAAUACUUUCCCAACAGAAUCAACCCGUGGCAUACUUUAGUGAAGCACUAAAAGGGUCUUCUUUGACACUAUCCACUUAUGAGAAAGAAAUGUUGGCCAUCGUCAAGGCAAUUCGUAAGUGGCGACCAUAUCUGCUUGGUAAACCAUUCACAGUUCGCACGGACCAGAGGAGUCUCAAAUAUCUCCUGGAGCAGAGGAUUACUACCCCAGCACAGACACGUUGGCUUCCUAAAAUUCUCGGCUAUGACUAUGUAAUCGAGUACAAGAAAGGGAGCGAGAACCAAGGGGCAGACUCACUGUCCAGAGUAGUGGAAUUUCAGUUUUUGUCCAUCUCGUUCCCAAAGGCAGAGUGGUGGCCAACUCUGCAACAGGAGGUGCAACAGGAUCCAUUUUAUGCCAACUUCAAAUCAACGGACCCCUUCAUGGUUCAAAGAGACGGAGUGUGGUUCAAGAAGGGUAAGGUGUUUUUAAGCCCGAAUUCUACUCUUAUCCCUCUACUUUUGGCAGACUGUCAUGCCACGCCGAUUGGUGGACACUUUGGGUUCCAUAAAACACUCGCACGCAUUAAGCAAGACUUUACCUGGCCCAGAGUUCACGUCACAGUGAAGGAAUUCUUGCAGCAAUGUACCACAUGUCAACGCUUCAAAAAAGAUUGCAUGAAGCCAGCUGGGCUGCUGCAACCCCUACCUGUGCCUUCCAAAGUUUGGACUGAUAUCUUCAUGGACUUCAUCAAAGGAUUGCCUUCCUCCCAAGGGUAUACUUGUGUAAUGGUGGUAGUGGAUCGCCUGUCCAAAUAUGCCCAUCUCAUUUCGUUGAAGCAUCCCUACACAGCAAUCACGGUGGCCAAAGCCUUCAUCUCCUGCGUCGUCCGCCUGCAUGGUAUUCCAGCCUCUAUUGUGAGCGAUCGUGACAAGGUGUUUAUUAGCUCCUUCUGGCGCACCCUCUUUCAGUCCCAAGGCACUCAGCUGUGCAUGAGCUCAGCUUACCAUCCUCAGUCGGAUGGUCAGACUGAAGUUGUCAACCGCAUCCUCGAACAGUAUUUGCGGUGCUUUGCAGGUGACCAGCCACGUAAAUGGUUCGACUGGAUUCCAUGGGCAGAGUUCAGCUACAAUACCUCGCUCCACUCUGCCACUAAGAUGACGCCAUUUGAGGUGGUUUAUGGUGUUCCCCCUCCUAGUUUACUCACCUAUGUUCCCGGUACCUCAAAUGUUCAAGCCGUGGAUGAGCAUCUGCGCGAUAGAGACUGUCUCCUUCGUGAGCUGAGGAGGAAUCUGUUGAUUGCCCAGAACAGGAUGAAGAGCCAAGCUGAUCAACAUCGCAGGGAUGUCUCCUUUGACGUUGGAGAUUAUGUGUAUUUAAAGCUCCAACCUUACCGUCAAUCCUCAGUGGCAUUUCGUAGCUCAAUGAAGUUAGCCCCACGGUUCUUUGGGCCUUACCAGGUCCUAGCUAAAGUCGGAACAGUUUCCUACAAAUUAGCACUGCCACAGGAUUCCCAAAUCCAUAACGUGUUUCAUGUUAGCUUGCUACGGAAAUACUUUGGGCCCCUCCCUCCUACAUCAACAGUGGUGAGCCUUCCUCCUAUUUCAGAAUCAGCCAAUAUUCUUCCACAACCUGAGGCUGUCCUGGACCGACGAGUAGUUAACAAUGGGAAAUAUCAUCCAAAACAUGAAAUUUUGGUCAAAUGGGAUGGUGCACCAGUGGAAGAUGCUACUUGGGAGAAUGAAAGGCGUUUUAUCAAGACCUAUCCCACCUUCAUCCUUGCGGACAAGGAUUCUUAAGGGGGAAGGAUUGAUACGUGCAUGAAGAUACAUGCAAACCGCAACAAACCAGAAGGUGGCAGUAGCGCACGUGGUACGUGGAAGACACUUGGACGUGGAUCAUGCUUGGUCGCCAGAUUGUUAGUGGGGUUUGUUAUGGAAUUAGUCAUUCUCCAGUUAUUUUUAGUAUUAACAGUUAAUAAGGAUUCCUCGGAGGAUCCCUUGUUUGUUUCCCAUUUUCUAGAUAGUUUCCCAAAUUCUAGCAUUGUUUGUUAUUCAAUUCAUGUAUAAAAGGGCCUGGUGGCAUCCAAUAAAGGUAUCGAAAAUUAUCCAAUACUGUCUCCUCUCUUACUUCUCUGCUUCUCUUCUCACUCCCUAAAUUCAACCUAUCAAGAUCAUGAAGGGAUUGUACAGCCGCAGAGUUAGUGAUAUCAGGUGAAGAAGUGUGCACUGUCUCCUGCUGGAAUGUCUCCGGCUGAGUAAUUGAAGUGUCAGACUGCUGCUGAAGCUGUUGGCGGGCUGGAGUACUGUCACCAUGGAGUUGCAGAGCAACAUCAGCGGGAGAAAUAUCUGUAAAGCACACUGUCUCCUGCUGGAAUGUCUCCGGCUGAGUAAUUGAAGUGUCAUACUGCUGCUGAAGCUGUUGGCGGGCUGGAGUACUGUCACCAUGGAGUUGCAGAGCAACAUCAGCUGGAGAAAUAUCUGUAAAGCACGCUGGUGUAUCUGAGGUCAUAGUAGGAAGCAGGGGUAUGGGCAGUGAGCUGCUGCAUGGUGGCGUUGCUGGUGUUUCAGAGAUAUCUGUAGGAGAGCGUGAAGCAAGGAUAGUUAGCCAAGAAUCAAAUAUGCUAAGGACAUGAUUAGAAUGAUCAAUAUUUGUGGUGAUAUUAUUUUGUUUAUACGGAAGGAUAGAUUCACUAAAAACCACAUGUCGUGAGACAAAAAAAUUUUUGCUUGUUGGAUGAAAGCAUUUAUAUCCCUUAUGUUGAUCACUAUAUCCUACAAAAAUACAUGGAACACUUUUUGGAUCAAAUUUAUUUCGUCUUGUAUCCCAAGUGUAAGGGAAACAUCGGGAGCCAAAAAUACGAAGAGAUGAAUAAAUAGGGUGGUUACCAUGUAAGCGGAAGUAUGGAGUGUCAUAGUUAAGAGCAGAAGAGGGCAGUCUAUUAAUGAGAUAAACAGCAGUUGUGAAGGCUUCAACCCAUAAAAAUAAAGGAGUACCACUAUGGAAUAACAUUGUCAUACCUAGUUCUCUUAUAAUUCUGUGUCGCCUUUCAACCAUACCUGUUUGUUCAGGAGUGUAAGGACAAGAUACCUGGUGAACAAUUCCUGUGGAGCGAAAAUGACUUGAUAAUUUUGAGUUAAUAAAUUCUCCUCCUCCAUCUGAGUGAAAGACUUUGAUCUGUUUAUUGAAUUGCCUACUAACAUACUUUUCAAAUGCUAUAAACACUGUUAGAAAAUCAAAUUUGUUAUGAAGAGGAAUUAUCCAUGUAUAUUUAGAGAAAUCAUCUACUAGGCAAGCAUAAUAUUUGAAUUUUCCAAUAGAUAAAACAGGGGCAGGUCCCCAUAAAUCACAAUGUAUUUUUUCAAAAACAUCAGUACUUGAAUGUUCAGAAUGCGAAAAAGGUAAGUUGCUAAGUUUUCCUAAUUGACAACUAUCACAAAGGUGCUCAGUCUUCAUAGCUCCUGUGACGUCAAUCAAUCCUGUAUUUUUUAAUAGCUGCACUGCAGAAGCUUGAGGAUGUCCUAGGCGUUGAUGCCAAACUGCUGCUGAUCCAGUUUUAAAACGAUAAGAAAAAUGUAAUUCUGGCGAGUUGUGCAAGACAUAAAGAUCACCCUUACGUCUACCUGUGAUCAGAGGUUGUCCUGUUUUCCGUUCCUUAACACAAAAAUCAACGUCAGAAAACUCACAGUUCACAGGAAAUUGUUUGGUAAGCUGACUUACUGAAAGUAAAUUUUUAGUUAAUUCAGGAACAAGAAGAACAUCAUUAAUAUGUAAUUUAGUAUUGUUUUGUUUAAUAAAUGAAUCUCCAAUACCAAUAAUCGGUAGAGACGAUCCAUUUCCAAUAACCACAGAAUCAGUUCCAAAAUACUUACGAACAUCAGUUAACAUACCUGGCUUACUUGUCAUGUGAUUCGAUGCACCAGUGUCUGAUGUCCAUUCCGUGUCAACCACGGUGCUUCCCAAAUAGCGGUUGCUCUUUUGCAAUAUUAGAAGCAUGAACCACAAACAAUACUCUUUUGAAUAUUAGAAGCAUGAACCACAUUGUUCAUAAUCGACUCUUUCAUAAAUGUCAUCCUUAACAUCACCUUUUUCUAGCCUAGGAUUUUGCACACUAAGAGCCUAUUUGACGUUGCAGUUGAAUCGUUGUUUUUCCAUUUUGAAAAAAAUUAUUCUUGCUUCAAUUGUUUUUGCGUUCUUGGAUUGUUAUGAUGUGUUAAUGUUAAAAAUGAAUUAAAAAAUAUAUUUUGAUAUAUUUCCAAGUGAAAAACACUUUACAACGCAACCGCUACCACACUUUUAAACAAUCACUAAGAAGUUAUCCAGGAAUAAUUGUUCUCCAUUUGCAGUUGUUGCAUACUCAAAAAAAUAUUAUGUCAAAACAUACAUGACAGGUGGCUCCAAUAUCAAUCCACCACUUUUUAAGAUUGUGCACCAGGUUUGCUUCUGACAUAACUACAACAAGCUUUGCAGCUUUCUCAUCAACAUUCUCAAUGAUUUUGUUUUGUGCAUUUUUUCCUUACAGAUAUGCCUUUGCUUUUUACAAACAAAACAAGUUUCUUUGAACUUCUUUUUGCCGACACUAUUACCAUUAGAACUCUUGAGAGAACUUGCUUCAUAUUUAAGUUCACCAGGUUAAGAAUGUUUAGGAAUCGGGUUUGCCAUCGAGACCGCAAAGAUUACCAGGUUAAAUUAUUUUGGUUUUUUCCCCGCAUGAUAGAAUGUUUAGGAAUCGGGUUUGCCAUCGAGACCGCAAAGAUUACCAGGUUAAGAAGUACAUUGAAAUUAUUAACAAUAGAUUUAUCCAUUUAUUAUCUCAAUAACAAGAUUAACUUUAUAAUUAUAUAUCACACUUAUAUAAUCUGAAAUAAUAUUAAUUAAAAUGAAUCCCAAAAAUUUAACACACUAAUUCUGCAAAAAACAAAUUUAAUAAACAAUUUAACUUUGCAACUAUGUAUUUAUUUAUUUGUUUUUCUAUGAGACUCAAUUUUUUUUUUAAUAAUCAUCAAGAGUAUAUUGAAAAGGCCAUAAAGCCAAUAGACAGUGAAAUUUUUAACAGAAACUCAAUGUAAUUUUCAACAAAAACUAUAACAAUACAAAUAAUUACAAAUAUUUUUCUUUCAACAUCAACAUAAGAAAACAAUAUGCACUCUUCUAAAGUUAUGAUAAAAAAAAUCUGAUUGAUACUUAUGUUGUUUUAUGAUUAAAGUAACAAUAGCAUCUAAAGAGAAUGAAUUAGGUGUUGCACUAAUUAUGUCAAAAUAAUGCAAGUAAACACACUAAACACAUAUAACACAAAAACCAACAAUAUAAUUCAAGUGCUUAAAGUAAAUAUAUAAGAAAAAAGAGAUUGCAAACUCGAUUUUUAACGUGAUUCGGUAAGCUUACAUCCACAUCUCAAGUACUAAUCAUACUUAAGUAUUGUACUUUUUUACUAAUCCAAGUGAAAGAUACAUUGCCCUUGAUGAAUUCACACCAAGAAAUUACACCACUUGAUGAAUUUUUCUCUUUAAGAUUUUUCUCCUAGAAUUCCGGUUAAAUAGAAUUGCACUUAAUAUAUAUUAUUUCACCAUAAUUAUUAUCCAGAUAUGCAACUUUUUUUCUUUCCGAUCAUCUGUUUUCUUUUUUUCAUAUCAAUACAACAACAAAGGAAAAUACCAUGCAAUAUAAAAUGUAUUUCCCUGUAGAAUCAAUGCAACAAGUUUACAGACAACAGACGACAAGGAAUUUAACAUAGUCAUGGAAUUUAACUGAAGAUAUAUACACUUUACUUUCUCUAUUAAAAUUAAACUAUUUUUUUUAAUCUAUGUCAAUAUAUAAUCAAUUUGGUCUUGAAGAUAUAUAAAUAUACACAGAACAAAUAUGUUAGAAAAUAAAUUGUUUAAGAUUGUUAGAGCACCUUAAAUAGUUCAUAAAAUUAUUCUUCCCUUUUACUAUAAUGAUGAAGUACAAGGGUUGUUGAUGAUGACCUCUUGGAUGGCUACAUGAAGCUUGUUCCGUUUUAAAUUUCAAGGUUAAUCUAUUGCUAUGAGCAUACGUGUCUCAAUUUAAAACUCGAGUUGCAACUGAACUUAAAUGAAUGGUGUUGGAUUUGGGCCUUCUAUUUGUUUUAACUUCUACAGGGUUGAAAUGAUAGUGAUCUUAAAGUAGAAAAGCAGCAGACAAAAAUCAAUUAACCAUAAUGGUGCAUGGUUUCCUAGUUUCUCAGCAUAAAGUUGAAUGUUUUGUUGACCUUUCUACAUCAAAAAUCAUAUAGACAGCUACUGCUGGCACUUGCAGUGGCCAAUGCAUACUGUAGAGUAUAUAUUGCAGUGUGAGAUAAGGUUAACUCGUUGCAUUUUCAUAUAUUGAAAGGAUUUCUCUUCUUUUCUUUGUCAAUUACAGCACAUGCAUAUAAGUGUUCUUCCUCAGAGUAAAUGCUAUAGUAAUGUUUUCACGGACUCCCCUGGUUUGCAACUGAUUCACUUAUAUAUCUUGGAACAUAGCCAUAAAUGAAAGGUUCUUCUAGUUCAAGAAAAUUAACCAUGAAGCUCGUAACUAGAAUUUUUAGACAGAAGGGUGGCCAAGCGAACUCCUAUACUCCGUACGUCUGGAAUAAUACAGGGAAAGGGUGUUUAUGUAUUUUGAUGUCUUAUAUUACUUGACCAACUCUUGCUUAUCUCAUUAUUUGUUUUAAUUUUUUGCUAAUAAUUCCACACAUUUCUGAUAUGGUGUGGUUUUUGAGUUCAGGGUUCUUGCUCAUUGCUGCUAACUUCUCUAUACUUGCCUGGUCAUUAAAAAUGAAACGUAAUGAUUUGCAUAUGCUGAAUGGAGACAUUAAAGAGGCAUCUUCUGUUUUCUGGUCAGGAGGGAUUACAAGAACUCAAGAAAUUUUCCAUAUGUUUUGAGGAAAAGAUUUAUACUACCACUACCAAUCAGGUAUUUGCCUAAUGUGAGGUUUAAUAAUUACGAUAUUAUCUAGACAUUAAUAUACACACGCAUUUAUGCUUGUACAAAUGUGUGUGUAGUGUAGUGUGCCUACACUUCCUCACCGUUCAUUCUGUAUGCAAGGCUGAUUGGGAGUUCACAUUAUUUUGUUAAUUCUCUUGACAAGUGUUUUAUUUAGAGUGACCAAGUUCAAGUACAAGGGAAGAGUGCAAAAAGCAAAUAGCGAAUCAAUACAUAAAUAAUUAAAUAAAAAGAGAGGAAACAAAAGUAUAUCAUAGAGAAGAUGAAAUGAUAGAGCAUAUAUCCAUUUUCCUCCUCUUGUAACAUGGAUUGCUCUGAGAUCUGAUGUUUUGUUAUUAAUAUCUGAUUUCAGUCUGAUUAUAUAUCUACGAAAAAUAUCUCUGGAGAUGCUUUCGAUGGAGAUCAGGUCUCAAAAUGCCAUGCCCACUGUCCCCAUGGAUCCAGCAGGUAAUAAUGCACCCGAGCAUUGAAUUUCUAAACAUCUUACCUUUUGUUUUUCUUCUCACAUUGUUAUCAAACUCUUUUACAUUUUAUUGCUGUAUAUUGCUAUGUAUAUCGCCUUGCUAGAAAAAUCUCAUGAUCACCUCCACGAUGCUAAUUCUAUAAUGCAUGUGAAGUGUUUCAUCCUUAACUUGUUAAGAACAAGGACUAUGAUGCAUUGCUAUUUUAUAUUUUAUGAUUGAGAUGGUAGAUUUUAAAGAUUUUCCUGUUUAGGAGAUAAAAGUAAGAUGUCACUUUUUUGCUUUUCUUCCGAGAGAGUAUUUGAUCCUUUUUUCGUAUAAAAUAAUGCUGGCAUGCAUUGAAUUUCCAAACAGCUUAGCUUUUGUUUUGUUUGUCGCAUUGUUAUCAAACUCUUUUACAUUUUAUUGCGGUAUAUUGCUAUGUGUAGGGCAUGCUUUAAUCAAAAAGUUGAGUAAUUGAUGAAUGCUAGGCAUGAAAAUGACAUAUUAUUUUUGUUUUCUGUCUCCUCCUUUUCUUUCCCCCACCUCAAAAAUUGUCAUGUUAUUUUUGUUUUCAGCCGCCUCUUCUUCCCCAAACCUUUAAAAUUGUUUAUAUUUGCUUUGGAAGCAUGACAAACUUCAUUGCCUCUCAGCUUAAGGAGAUUGCAGCAGGUCUCGAAGCUUCUGGGCAUUAGUUUAUCUGGGUAGUUAGAAGAAACAAAAAGAGUCAAGAAGACAAGGAAGAUUGUUUACCUAAAGGAUUUGAGGAAAGAAUGGAAGGCAAAGGGCUAUUAUCAGAGGAUGGACACUCCAAGUUUUGAUUCUUGGUCAUGAAGCAAUAGGUGCAUUUGUGACUCAUUGAGGAUGGAACUCAACUCUUGAAGGCAUAAGGCAAAUAUUUGCUGAGCAAUUCUAUAAUGAGAAGUUGGUGACUGAUGUUUUAAAAAAUGGAGUUAAGGAAUGGCUUAGAGUGCAGAGAUCAUGUUAAAAGUGAAGCUGUAGAGAAGGCAAUCACUCAAAUUAUGAUGGGUGAAGAAGCAGAGGAAAUGAGAGAGAAGAAAGCUGAACAAGGGAACGCAGUAGAUGAAGAAUAUGAGUUUACUGCAUUUACUGUCAAGAAUACAAACGUGAGCACUAAAAACUAAUUUGUACAGGAUACUCUUUAUAUAUAGAGUAGUAAUUAACUUCAUCACUUAUUUCUUUCUAUGAAUACAAUAUUCCUUAUUUAUAUAUAUUGAUUUGUUUCUUAUAUGAGGUAGCUGUAGUUUCCUUCUAUGAAAGAUCUGCCAUGGCUGUAGUUUCCUUCUUUGAGAAGUAGCCGUUGGUUGAGGUAGCUGUUGAUUCCUGUGAUUUCCAUGUAUGGUUAAUUACCAUUCUGAAUAGUAGCCGUUGGAGGUGUUAAUUCAGAAUGGUUGCUGACGAGAGUGAGGAUCCUGUGGUGGUGCUGCUGCUGUCUCCUGCUGCUGCUGCAGAGGUGUGUUGUUGCUGUUAAUAAUGAGGACUAGAGCAAAGAAGCUUUCAGUGCUUUGAUUUAAUAACUGCCAAGAAUGGAAGGCUGUUGAAGAUGGUGGAUCUUCUUGCUCCAAUUUCAAUGCUUUGAUUGAAUAACUGAGGUGGGGUAGCCCUUGAAACAGAGGCAUAGAACAUUUUGUUACUACUUAGUAGUGGUUUUGGCAAUUUAUUUUCAGAUAAGUCUUGAGAGUUGAAAGAGUAAUCACAGACGAGUCAAUGACCAAUCCAAAUCAGUUCCCUUCCUAAUGGUUCAGGAAUGACAAGUCCAGCUUAUUUAUUGAGCCCAAAUAACUUUUCAAAUAAAAAGGUUGAACUUAGAGACAGUACACUACAAAUUAAGCACCUAAUAGCUAGACAUACAAGACAAACAAUCAUCACAAACUAGGAACAAUCGUCUUCCCAGUAACAAAUUCACCUUCUCAAGUUGGAGAACUUGCGAAAACUAGCCACUACAAAAUAGUAGCAAGUAUCUAUGCAGUCUUCGAUGAAGUACGACCACCUGCGUCGCCAAUAUGGAUCGAUGUAAAGAACUACUACAAUUAUCAUCACCACAACUGUGUAACAUACACCGAAAUUGAUGUAGAAAAACUCCAUGUCUAUGAAACCAUCAUCUCCUUGUUCAUCAUAAGGCACUGGCUGUGAUGGCACUGGUUGUGAUGGCACUGGCUGUGAUGGCACUGCUUCCUCACUACAAUUGUUUCGCAAUGGAGGUCCACACAAAAAAGGAUUUCCUUCGUAACAACUUUCAUCAAAGGUCCCAAACUGAUAUUUUCUCUCGGGUGUGUUACCUGACAAGUUAUUAUGCGCCACACUAAAAACUUCCAGUGUGGUAAUAUCAGUAAGUUGUGGAGGGAUGACACCAUUCAAGUUGUUGUAAGAAAGAUCCAAACUCUCAAUCUGCUUUAGGUUUGAGAAUGUUGCAGGGAUAGAUCCAGUGAGAUUGUUGUGUGAUAAGUUUAAUGACAGUAUCUUACUUAAGUCUCCAAAUUCUGGUGGGAUUGCUCCUACGAAGUUGUUAUUGGAGAGAUCAAUACCAGACAUGUAGCUGAGAGUCUUCCCCUUGUAACGAUAAUACAUAUUUUUAGUUGUAAAUUCUAUCACUUCUUCUGUAAAGUUAAGCAGAAAACCCUUUCUCAAGUUGUACAUACUCUCCACUAGUGGUGGACCCAUUGUUUCAUAAUAAGCUUUUUCUAUGGACCUUGAUAGAACAUCAGCUCCGAGAUCUGCGAGCGUUUUCUGGGAACUUUCCUUGAAAGUAAGAUUGCCCAAACAGGAGGGUAGUGGACCAGAGAGUUGGUUUUGUGAAACAUCCAAAAUGCUUAAUUGUUCUAACAAGCAUAAUUGAACAGGGAGCUCACCAUCAAAGUGAUUAGCCCUCAGAAGAAGAACACUCAAUGAUGAAAGAUUGCCAAUCCAAUUUGGAAAGGAGCCGGUGAAGUUGUUAUCUCGAAGAUCCAUCGUAACCAGGGAAGAGUUGUUAUAAAAUCCAUAUGUUAAUGGACCGCUCAAUCUAUUUUCAGAUAGAUGCACAUGGGUUAUUUGUGGUGGACUGAAACAAGAUGGUAUAUAUCCAGACAAGUUGUUCUCAGAAAGGUCCAAAUAUUCAAGCUGGUUAAGCUUACAAAAGUCUCUUAGGAUCGGACCCUUAAAAUAGUUUUUGGACAAAUCAAUUGCGAUAAGGCCUGUAGAAUUGACUAACCACCUUGGAAGCAUGCCUGAAAAUUGAUUGUCACUCAAAUCCAAUGUUGACCACAUUUUCCACCCAUAUAAUAGAAAAUCUGAUAUCUGACCCCAAAAGUUGUUACCGUGUAGGUAGAGAUAUUCUAAGGUAGAAGAAUUGAAUACUGAGGUUGGUAAUUGCCCACCCAAAUUAUUGUUUGACAGCUUGAGAAACCAUAUUGUUGUUAGUUGUUCUAGUUUUACUAUAGACAAUUGAUUGUUGGAUAAAUCUAAAAUUUUCAAAGAGCUAAUAUUUCCUAAACAAGAAGGAAUACAACCUGUGAAUCCAUUAUUGGCCAUCCUUAAGCUCCACAUAUUUGGAAAGAUCAAACAAAUAUCUUUAGGAAUUUGACCGUUCAUGUUGUUGUUGGAAAUAUCUAAUUCGGUCAUAUUCAGAUAUGGGUGAUCUUGCAACUGUAAAGUACCGACAAAGGAGUUGUUGCUUAGAUAUAGUUGCUCCAAUCGUGUAUUGUUCUUAAGCAACCAUGAUGGAAACAUUGCGGUGAUGUUGUUGUGGGAGAGAUCAAGGACUCUUAUGUCGUAUUGGUAAUAAAGGAAGUCGGGAAUUUUUACAUUUAGUGCUUCUGUUGUUUUUGACAAUCGGAAAAAUACUAGUUGGAACUUUGGAAUCAAAUUAUCAAAGGCAGCAGGUUCUGUUACUAGCUUGUUGUUCUCACUGGAGAAGAACUUGAGGCUUGAGUGGUUCAUAAAAGGCUUCAUUGAAAUGGGAACUUCAAAGAGGUUAUUUGAUAGUGAGAGGAAUUCAAGGGAUGUGAGGUUGGUAAGAGGACCGGAGGCAAUAUUUCCAGUAAACUGGUUUUCAGAAACAUCUAAUAGUUGUAGAGAUGACAAGUUCCCCAAACAAUCUGGGAGUGAACCUCCUAAAUUAUUUCCAGAGAGAUCUAACUGCCUCAGAUUCUUUAAUUCACACCAACCUGUACAAUUUAUCUUGAAACAGUCAAAACAGUGUUGAAAGAAUCUUUUAUUGAUGAUAGUUGUUAAUUUACCUUGAGCGGGUAGGGUGCCAUGGAGGUCACAUUCAGCAACAGACAAAACUUUAAGAUCAGGCAAUGCUCCAAUGUUCUGGAGAAAGUUUAUUGGGAGAGAAGUACGAUCUAGAUACAAUUCUUCAAGGGUGCUAGAAUUGAAGAAAGUCCCUGUGAAAAAGAAAGAAGAAGAGAUAUGAUGAAAAUUGUGGUCGUACAGAAUAGCCAUUCCAUUUAAUAUUAUUAAUUAAGAUUUUAAGAAACUAAACUAUGAUUAACCUUGACUUAAAUUAGUAUCCUUGAGAGAAAGGGUCUUCCUUAAACCUAUGAUGUGUAGAAUUGAAAGCAGGCAAUCAAGUAAGUAGUGAAAUUAAGUGUUAUCUUGAUCGAGUUUUUAAACCUAUGAUAAAGAACUGAUAUUGAAUAGUGAGAUGAUUUUUGGAUAGAAACAACAAAUUGCCUGAAAAAUCCAGAGAUAUUGCCUGAUAAAUUUAAAUUUAAAGACUUUACCAUUGACGGUCGUCGAUCCUAGCAACAUAUUGCCUGAUAAAUUUAAAGACUUGAGAUAAGAAAGCCCACGCAGAUGUGAUAAAAUGCUGUCGUUGAAUAUAUUAUAGCUCAGGUCCAGGUUAUCGAGUUUCUCCAAAUGUGAUGAUAUGAUCUCAAAACCUGCAAGAGAGUUGUUUCUAUAAGCAAGUCAUAAUUACAUAAUAACUUUAAUCAAACAUGAUGAAAUACUAUCGUUGAUUAUUAAAUGAAUAUAAAGUCCUCAAUUUUCAUAGAAGGAGAUAUGAGAAGGAGAAAAGAAAAUGUUUCGAAGCUAAAUAAUUAAAAGGUUACCAUAGAAGCUACCUGAUCCUGUCAAUCCAUUGCCUGAUAGAUCCAAAGACUUGAGAGUGGAAAGCCCAGUCAUGCAUGACAAAAUGCUUUUAUCAUUAUUAAAUCGGUUAUCACUUAGGUCAAGAUUCCUCAGAUUUGAUGAUAGGACUUCGAAGCCUGGAAGAGAAUCAUCAAAGCAAGAUAAUUGACAUUAAACACCAAUCAACCUUGAUUUAUUUUAUGAUUAUAAGUGCAGAAACAUUGAACUAACCUUCAUUCUCCAAGCAACCAACCAAUCCAUUAAAUCGCAAUUCGAGACUUUGCAAUUCUUUAAAAGGCAGAAACAAAGAUGCGUUGAGAACCCAAUCGCCAAAGCUCUGAUCCCUUGCUCCACUAAGAGAGAGUUCGAUCACUCGCCUUGUAGUGUUAUCACACUCGAUCCCAUCCCACUCACAACAAUUACUACUGUCCACCCAAUGUCUCAAGGAAAAGCCAUCUGGGUCGAUCAAAGAUUGGAUCUCCAAGAGACCAAUUCUCUCUUCCUCCAAACAUCCAUAACAACGACCAUACCAUUCGCCAACCAAAGUCAAUAAUAUUGCUAGCAACAUCCAAGCCCCCAUUCUUUUCAUCAUCAUCUUAGAUAAUUCUAUGUGACAUCAAGAACGUAGAAUAUUGUUGUUUGUUAUGUGCCUUUGGGCAACCAUAGAGGUCCUAUUUAUACUACACUGUGGCCAUUUCCGUGACUUUGAGAUGUUUUCUUUAUUUAAUUUCCAUGACUUUAUCUGCAUAUCUUGUGCAGGUUCGGUGUUUUGAGAUUUGAAUAUUAUUUUAUUUCUUUUUGGAAUAUUCUUGGAUUUGAAUAUUAUUUUAUUUUAUUGUUUAGCACUUAGUCUAUUUGCAUUUAAUUAUAUUUUGGUUACUAAUUAUUCAAUUUAUAAAAAAAUAAAAUAAAAAAAUUGUUGCAGUACUUCAACAUAACAUAUAUUUGUUUUUAUGGUGGGAAAGGUAUUCUUGACUUGUUUUUAUUACAUUUCAAUAUUAAAUAUAUUUUUUUCAAUCGAGUCAAAGAUAUACAAUUUAUAUUAGAAUGAGAAGACUAAUCAAUUUCUCUAGUUUUCUCCCUAAUUAUAAAAUACAUCUAAGAUAAAAGGAAUUUAUUUCUUGAAAUUAAUGCAUUAAAAAAUAUAAAAAUAUUUUUUAAAAAUUAAAAUAGUAGUAAAAGAAAAUUUAGUUUUUGAUUGAAGUGUAAACUAGUGGUCAAUGAACAAAAAGAAACUUUAUUGAUUAUCUAAUGAGUUACUUCUCCAAAAAGAAUAUAUAUAUUAUUGAAUAUCUAAAGGAAACGAUUCAUGAAACUCCGCCUAAUAUAUAUAUAUAUAACAGAGAAAUUGUCGAUAAUAGCAAUCAUUUUCUUAUCUCUUGUAUCAUUCAUAUCUUCCACAAAUCUUAAGUAAUUGAUGAGAAAGAUCGUGAACGCGGAUGCUUGACUUGUUGUGUGGCAUUUUGAUUUUUAAACACAACCAUGCAGUGAUUUCCUGGUGAUUUCCUUAUGCAUACUGGUGGUCCUUCAGAAUCUUGGAGGACCACCACAAGCCAAUCUAAAAAAAUGCUAAAAGUAAUCUUGAGGGUUGUAACUUAACUGGUCAGGUCCUGAGUUUGUUCCCCGAAGAUCACCAGUUCGAGUCCCACAAACCUCAGAGCCACUUGAGGCUUACAUGAUCAUUAACUUCAGGGCUCGUGGGAUUAGUCGAGAUGCACGCAAGCUGACCCGAACACCCACGUUAAUAAAAAAAAAUGCUAAAAGUCAAAACACACAAGCCAUAUAAAAAUCACACGACAGCCAAUUGCCUUAUCUUGUGAAAAAAAGAUCAAAAAAAAAAAAAACAUUCUCUUAGGUAUGCAAUGACUGCCUAUCUUCUCAUGGGGAGCAAAAAUCAGUAGCCUCCCAUGGAAUCCUAAUAAACCUUUCUCUGUGCUCUUCUAAGAUAUUAAAAAUGUCAAACAUACAUCAAUAAUCAAGAUUUGGGUCCUAGAUCAGACAAGUUAGCUUAUGUUGACUGGUGUUAAUCUAAAAUUGUAUCAUUUUAAGAAGAAAAAAAACUGUGUAGUUAAAAAAAAAAAACUAGUUUUUGACUGAGUUGAUUAGGUUCUUGGUUGAUUUAUCUGGUCGAUGAGGCUUGAUUGGGUCAACUCUCACUUGGUUUUUUCUAAACCUGAAUCCGGUCAGAUUCCAGAUUAAAAUGGUAGGCUUGAAUUAAAUUUAAUAACGCUGAUUAAAACCACAUUGUAGAAAAAAAAAUUGAAUUGCAUAAAAGUAAUUAACCGAAAACUUAUAUUCCUUCUUAUUGUCAAAGAACCAUCUCAACCCUUAAGCUAUUAGGUGAGGUCCCAAGAUAUGAUUUAUAUUAUUCUUUAACACACUCCCUCAAGUGAAAGCCCUUUGGGCUUGAAACUUGCAAAUGUCUACAUUACCUUGUGCUUGAUUUUUAUCAAAUUAAUGGGGGGUGAGAUUCGAACUCGUGACCGCUUGGUCAUCAAAGCUCUGAUAUUAUAUCAAAUAAUCACCUCAACCCAAAUUAAAACUUAAACUAUUAGAUGAGAUCCCAAGUUAUGAUUUAUAUUAUUCUCUAAGAACCCAUAUCAGUUUUUUUUAAGGAAAAGUAUGAAUCAAAGGUUAACGCUAGGCAGCUCACUUUGCAUGACAAUGACGGAUAUAGAAGACUUGCUACUUUCUUUAUGGAAAUAACGUGUGGAAAAUCAUGCCUUAAUGUUGAUGGUGAUGGCAAAAACAACCAGUAUCGUUGAUAAAAUGAACCACAAAUGAUAUUAUUUCUAAAAUACUUUUUUUCAUUGUCAUGACAACAAGUCUUCUUCUUUUUCUUUCUAAAGAGUCUAUUUUUUGUAACACAACCAACAAGUAAAAUGGAUAGGAAUUUGCAGUGUGAGAUGGGUCUGUGAGACUUUUGCCAUCUGCAUUUUUUCCAUGAUAUAGGCCAGUGAGAUAGUCCAUGAAACCAUUGCCCUGUAAGCAUUUAUGAGUUCGUGAGACCAUUUCCAUCUGCACAUUGGUCCCUGAAACCGUUGCCAUCAUGCAUUUUUUCCACGAGAUGGGUUCGUGGAACAUACUUUGGUUUAAUUGGGAAUGCUGUUAUUGAUUGAAAACUUUCUAAUUAAAAUAAAUUUGAUUAUUUGAUUGGAAGAAAUCCUUAAAUGUUAUUAACACAAGAAAUCAAUUUAUUUUCUUAAGAAAAAAAUAUUGUAACCAUAUAAGUAAUUUAUUUAUUUAUUUUAAUGAAAUAUAAAAUAGUUUUAAAUAAUCUUGUGGUAUAUUUCUUGUCUUUAAGAGCUAUGAACUUAUAUCUCAAAACUUGAAAACUAAUAUAAAGAUAUUAAGUGAUCAUUGAGUGUGUGUGUAUGUAUAUAAUCCUUUUCAAAACAAAAAGGAUUUUGAUGGAGAUCAGGACAUUGCAACAAAUUAUCCACGAGAUGGGUCGGUGAUACCAUUGUCAUCAUGUAAUUUUUCCCACGAGAUGGGGUCGUACGCUUGGGGCUCUAAAAGCUAUGGUUUUUAAUUUCAUCAGGUAUAUUUUAUUUCAAUUCUAAAAAUGAAAUAAAUUAGAAGAUAUUUCAUCUUGUUUAGAAUAUUAUCUCCUUACAUGCAUGAAUUUCACCUAAAUUUUGACCAGAAUAUAUCGGUUCUAUUCCGGCCAUUCUAUUAUGUCCAAAUAAUGUUUUGUUUUGCUUUUAUAUAUAUAAAAAAUAUAAUUUAUUUUUAUGAUAUCAAUUAUACCUUUCAAUUUGACUAUUAGAUUAGACUGAAAUUUUAUAAUCUCUUAAUAUGUAUUUAUAUCACAAGUUAAAAUUUUAGAGCAAUCAGAGUUUAGAAAGACUUGUGAAAUUACUGUUGAUAUUUUCAUAAUUUUAUUUAAAUUCAUAAUUUUUUUUUGAAAUGUUAUUUUUUGUGUUUUUUUAGAUUGAUUUUUUUUAAUUUUAUAAUUUAAUAAUAAAUUUAUUAAAAAUUAAAAUUCAUAAUUUAUUUUUAUUUAUUUUAUUUAAAAUUAUUAUAUUCUCAUUACUCAUAUCACGAAAAAAACCUUUGCUUUAAUUGGGAAUGCUGUUACAAGUAAUUGGACUCCGUGGGAUGGGAGACCGUUGCCAUCAUGCAUUUUUUUUCCACAGCAUGGGUCCGUAAAGUCCUCUAUAAAAGCUUAAACCUCCUUACUAUCCUCUAUAUCAAUUGAUCAGCAUUUAUAAGAUGGGGCUGUUCCUUCUGAUGCUGAUGGUUUUAGUAAUGAUGGUUUCUUGCAAGGAUGGCUGCCUCUUGGAGUAUAUUGACUUGAGAAUUAAUUGUUUUGAUAACAGUAUUUUAUUAUUUGUGGAGUUAUUUCUAUUUUUUAAAUUAUUAUAUUUAGAUUAUAAUAGAGUGAAAGAGUUAAUAGGUUUAAGAGAUUAGGAAAAAGCUAAUAUUAAUUAUAGUUAGGGACCAAACUGGAAUUUUUGCAUAUUUUUAAGGGUCAAAUUGUAAUUUUAUUAAAUUGAUGAAGGACCAAAAUGAAAAUAUCAUAUUUAUAACUAUACUGGAAUUUUGCCCAUAUUUCUUCUUUAAUUUUGCCUAGAAUCUCGGAUUAUGCUCUAGGGACCAAUCUGUAAUUUUUUUCAAAGUUUGGGGAUUAAACUGAAAUUUUCACAAAUUGAGGUACCAAGCUGAAAUUUUUUCAUCUUCAACCUCAUACCCAGAUUUUUCACAAAUCACCUAUUGAUAUAUCAAGAUUUUUAACUAGAUGAGGGUUUAGGUCAUAGAUUGGCCUAAUACUCAGAUCAAGAUUUGGAUCAAGUUAGCUUAUUGACUAGUGUUAAUAAAAAAUUGUAUUAUUUUAAGAUUUAAUUUAAUCAAAUAGAUUCAACUCCCAUGCCAUUCCACAAUUAAUUUAUUUUAUUAUGAUUUAGUGUUAUGUUAACCAGGCAACAUUUAAUUACCAUGAUAUAAAAUACAAAAAUAGUGGGAACAUAAAAAACAUGCUUUUAUAUAUUUUUUAUUUUAAAAGUACAAAUUUUACUCUAAGACUAUUGUAAAAAGAUAUUUAUUUUAAAUUUAUUUAUAUUUUUAUAAUUCAAAAAUUAAAAAUAAAACAGAAUUAAUCCAUACUCAUCUAAAAACAAUUAACUCUAACAUCAUUAUUUUAUAACAAAACUAGCAAAGAUAAUUUAUUAAUCACUAAGUUUUCUGGUUAUAAAUACAUUAGUAAUUGUCUUCGUCUCUUUUGUAUUUCUAACUAUUAACGAAUUGAAUAUAUAUAAUAAAUACCGAGUGAAAGAAUAAAUUUAGUUGUAUAAUGUACUAAAUAUUAAAUAGGUGACUUUAGAAUCACCAAGCAGUGAAUCACACGGGAAGAUUGAAAGAAUAAUUAAAGUGAUUUUAGUAACCGACAAGUUGACCCCAAGUCAAAAGUCUUUUGUGGAAAAACAUGAAUAAAAGGUUGAGGGUAAGGUCAUUGCUAUCAAGCGUUUUUUUCUACGAGAUGGGUCCGUUACACCAUUUCCGCUCAAGCUUGAGAAGUGAUGAUAUAUGCUUUAUUUUCAACUUGUAUAAAAAAUAAAUUUUAAUGUAGUGUGUUAGUGUUAAAUAAUUAUCUUAAUCUAAUAGUUUAAGCUGUUAGAUAAGGUCUCAAGAUAUGAUUUAUAUUAUUCUCUAACACACCUCUCAAGUAAAAACCCUUUGGACUUGAAACUUGUUCAGGUUCACAUUACCUUGUGUUUAAUUUUUAUCAAAUAAAUGAAGAUGGUGAGAUUCAAACUCGUAACUGUUUGGUCAUCAAGGCUCUGGUACCAUGUUAAAGAAUCAUCCCAACCCAAUAGCUUAAGCUGUUAGGUAAGGUCCCAAGAUAUAAUUUAUAUUAUUCUCUAAUACACCUCCUACUUUGUGUUUAAUUUUUAUCAAAUAAAUAGGGAUAGUGAGAUUCGAACUCGUGACCGCUUGGUCAUCAAGGCUCUGAUACCAUGUCUAAAAACUAUCUCAACCUAAUAGCUUAAACUGUUAGGUGAGGUCUUAGGAUAUGAUUUAUAUUAUUCUCUAACAAUAUUUUCUUCACUUUCUAUAUAGUUUUACCUUACACUAAUAUUGUCAGAAAAUGAUAUAUAGUUCUUGUGUUAUCCUUCAAGAUUUCAAUUGAAAAGGAGGGUCGUAAAAAAUUUAAUUUUUAUAAACAUACCCUUAACUUAAUUUGGAUGUGGAUAAUUGUUUGCAAUAUAUUUACAUCCAAUAUAAACAAUUCAUCAAUGAUCAAGUCGGCAUUGGUUAGCUAAAAUAUUGAAAAUACUUACUCUUUUUUUUUUUUUGGCCAUGCAGUUCCUAUAUAUAUAUAUAUAUAUAUAUAUAUAUAUAUAUAUAUAUAUAUUAGUUGAAAUUUCAUGAUGUCCAUUAAUCCUUUUAAAUUAAAGUCAAGUUAUUAAUUAUAUCCUAUAAAUUUCUAGAAAAACUAAUUCUCUCAAAUUUCGUCGUCUUUUUUACUAACUAUAGAAGGCGAUUGCUACAAACUAAAAUUUCAAGAUGAAAUUGAGAAAUCUGAAGGAGCAAACUGAGAAUCUACCAAAAUCUGACCAAGUCGUUUCACUAGUGGUUUCAAUUAAAAAGCUGAGAGGCAGGCAAUUUCCCAGAAACCCUCUUGGACCCCAUAAAUGAAAUAAUGACACAUGCCGGGGAACAUAGAAAAAUGAGCCUAUAAUCGAAUGAUCAAUACCGGCGAAAGAAAUCAAAUGGAGUAUAAGGUGAAGAGUAAGCCAUCGACAGCACUUUGGAGGCUAUAAUCGAAUCAGCUGCUUCUAUAUAUGCAAUGGGUCGCAUCCCAACUUGCAGACCUGAUAUGAAAUUGUUAUGAUGUUCGUUCUGUAACUAUCAAAACUCACUUAAUUCUGUAGUUUCCAUCUCUUUUUUACUUAACAUGUGAUGUUUGAGAGUGAAGGUAACUAUUGCUUUUUAAAAUAAAAUAUAAUUUAUGUGGUAUCUGAAUACAUAGGAACAAUAUCUGUGUGCCUCAUGCAUGCUUUUCAAAAUCAAGUUUGGGGUUUUUUACACCCAAAAAUCUAUUUUUCAAUUAUGUUUUCACCAAAACAAAAGCAACUAAAAAUCACUUAAUUAAAAGAUCAAAGUGAAUCUAUUUACUUUCUCAUACAAAAAUCAGUCCAAAAAUAAAAAAUAACUUAAAACCUAAAUUUUCUGAUAUCAUAUCUACUUUUUCAUGUAAUUUUAAGGUGAACACUCGAAUAAAACUACUUUUAUCUAAUGGACUAUUGACACAAAGAUUGACUAUUUUGAGGGCCAAAAUUGAUUUUAACCGAGAUUUUAUCUUUUUACCACUAGAAUUUAGCUACUCUCUUUUCUCUUUGAAACUAAAAAAAUAAAAAUAAAAAAAUGACCUUUUGAGUCAAAAUUGAAUCUUACAAAAUUAUAGGGAUUGAAGAUCUAUCAAUUGGAAGUAAGAAAAUCCAAGCUAACUUUUCGCAUUAAUUUUGAAAAAGCCACCUAGUGCCUUUGUUUUUUUCACUUUGAUCCCUUAACUCUCAAUCAUGCCCUUCAUCAAUAAAUUGAAAGAAAUUUAUUGGCGAAAUAAAUUUAUUUCGAAGCCCUUCAUCCUUUGCAAAAUUUACAAGAACAUACCUGAAAGUCCUUGUUGAGAAUCUUGGAGAUAGAGCAAAAUAGAGUGGCAAACAUUGAUACAAUGAACUGAACUUGCAGGACAAGGUCAAAAGUCAUGGCCUUGCCAGCCUUCAAGAAAGUAAACUCCAAUGCAGGCAUUAGAAACCCAUGAAGAGCUGCACCACCAAUAUUCAUGAAGAAACCCAAAAUAUAUUUUCCUUUAGACUCCCACUUGGUCUAUCUCCGUUCAUGUGAAAUACAAGAAUAAUAGACCCAAGGGUCAUCAAAAUCACCGCGUUUAUUCAGUAAUGUGUGAAGCCACUGAGCUAAAGAAUAAAUAAUCCAAGAAAAUUCCACCAAUUACCAUUAAUGUAAGGAAUUCCUGCUUCUUUUUUAGAAGAUCUUCUGGUUGUAUUUGGUUAAUAUCUCAUGCAGAAGAGACACAAAUAUAUAAAAGACAAACAAGUUUAAUUAAAGAGAUAGAAACAUAAAAUAAAUAUGUUUAUAAGAUAAUUUUAGAGUAAAUUUCUAUAUAUAUUUUCAAAUAAAAAACACAAAGAGACAUGUUCAGUACUUGUAUCAUAAGUUUUAUUAUCAUCAAACGUUUGCCUUUCACUACUUUUGCAUGUCUAUAAAGGAAUUUGAUUUCAUUCAAAACACAAUCUAAUAAUUUUGUAGAGAUAAAGAAGACAAGCACGUCGCAAACUGAUCAAUGGCCAUUGAAGUAGACAAAACAGUACUGACUAGCACCACCAGCUUUUACUUGCAUUUGGCUUGAAAGACGAGUGGACUACAUCAAGCAAAUAACAAAAAAAAGCAUGUAAAGAACUAUGAUUAAUUUAAUAAAAAGUAUCUUGCAGUAUUAGAAGGUUUCAGUGAUAUGCCUAUUAAAACAUAUUUGUCAAGUGAUUCUUUAUCCUACAUUGGUUAUAUAUUUAUUCGACGUGGUGGUACUAUUUGUCGUGAAUCCACAAAUACUAUUCAUCAUCAUAGUGUUCAUCUACAUGCAGAUCACUAUGGAUUGAAGCAGUAAUAUUUUUAAAAAAAUUUCAAUUUGGUUCUUAAAAUUUUAUUUCACAUGAUUUUAGCUCUUUUAAACCCAAAUUAUCACUCAAUUGCAUAUUUUUUUGGGAGAGAUGGUUGAAUUAAAAAACAUAGGACUGAAGUGAAAAAACAGGUGAAAUAGAUGGUGACCUUGAAAUUUCUCUUAAAAGUUCAUUUUUAUCCCCCAUAUUUUUUUUAGCUCUUAGGUGACCGGUCCCUUUAAUUUUUAAAAAUUUAAUUUUAAUAUUAAACUUUAUUUUUUUUAUUUUUCAGACUUUUUUAUGGGAGGAGAGAGAAAGUUGUCGUUGGUGAUGAUUUCAGCCAUUGAAAUAAUCAAUUUUUGUCUCAAAUAAUUCCAUCUAAAGAGAAGAGUUUGAAUUAAGUGUUUUGUUUUACCUUGAAAAUACCUAAAAAAUAGAUCCGAGCUCAAGAAGAUUUUUGAAUUCAGGUUGAUAUCAGAUUUUAAGGUGUUUUUUUUGUGUUUUUUUUAGUCCAUUAAUUGUUUAACAAGAUUUCUAAGGUAUUUUUUAGGAGUUUUAAAUAACAAAUAGAUUAAAAAUAAGUUUUUAGAUAAAAAAAUAUAAACAUCAGUUUUCCCGCUACAACAAUGGAUGGAAUCUAGAAAUCUAGAUGACACAUUAUCUUUUUUAAAAAAAAAAAACAGUGUCUGACCCCUUAGCUUAGAAAAUAAAAGCCCUUUGAUUAGCAGGCUUGUCAAUGUCUAAUCUCAUUCUUUCUUUCUUUUUUAAUUAGUACCUUUUUUAUAUAAUUUUUUAUUUUAUGUUUUACUAAUACAUCAUCUAUUGUUUUGGCUUAUUUAGAAUUUUUUAAAAUGAAAAUAGUUUAUUUAAUUAUAUUGAUUGUAUUUAAUUUUUAAAAAGGUUGAUAUGAUUUAUCUGUAAUUUUUUAUAUAAAUAUUUAUAUAUGGAUUAAAUUUACCUUUAAAAAAUUAAUUAAUUAUUUAUUAUAAUAUUUUUAAUAUGUACAGCCUUGUAUAAUAUUUUUUUCUCUCUUAUUUUAUUUAAUAAAUCUUAUAUUCUGGACAUAUCAGUAUGGUUGGUUAGGUUUGGUUUUGGGGUGAAAAAAGAAAAAUCCAACCACAUCAAAUUAAAUGUUAUGGUUUGUUUUAAUUCAAUUCAUUUUUUUAUUAAGAAACCCAAUUUCAUUCUUGGGUUUUUUAGUUGAUUUUUGUAGAUAGACUCUGAUGUAAUAGGCAUGGUUGUUUUUGAGGUUUUUUUAGUUUUUUAUUUUAAAAAAGCAAUUGUUUGGUUUCAUUCAGUUUAAUUUUUUUUAAUCUCUUAAAUCUAAAGCCAAUUUAAGAUCUUUUAAAACUUUCUAAUCGGUUUUUUUUUUAAUUUUAUAUUGGUUUUUUUUUUCAAUUAAUUUUAUGAUAAGAAUCUCGUUAUAAGAAGUAAAAGGAAAAAAAAAAAAAAACAAUUACAUGUCGCAGCCAUGUUUUCACAUGGCCUCCGUAAAGUUCGAACAUUAACAUGGUCUCUAGACAAUAAGAACCUGUUUGUAAGUUUAGCAGAAUUAUUUUUUAAAAUAUUUUCUAGUUUAAAAUAUAUUAUAAUAAUAUCUAGUUAAUUAUUUUUAACAUCAAUAUAUUAAAACGGUCUAAAAAUACUAAAUAAUUAAUUAAGUUUUUUUAUAAAAAAAAACCGGUUCAACUACGGGGCUAAGGAUGUGUUUGGAAGUAUGGUAGUAGUAAUUUUUCAAAGUGAUUGUACUUGAAAAUGUAUCAAAAUAAUAUUUUUUAUUUUUUAAAAAUUAUUUUGACAUCAGCCCAUUAAAACAAUACUCACAAAAUUGAGCAUCAACCUAAAAAUAAACACUUAUUUGAGACAAUUAUCCCUCGAAAGCAAACAAAAAGUAAUAAUGCAGUUCAUUUCCUAACCAAUUCAAUGUUAAAUGAUAAAAUCAAAAUAUUAAAAAUAAUUAAAAGACAAAAAAAACAUAUUAUAAUGGUGGGUAAACUCGUCAAACUUGUGAAUCGGGUAAGUCGAGCUAAUAUGACAAACCUGUAAAUUGGAUCAUUGACUCCAUUGGAAUUAUAAUUUGUUUUUUAAAGCUAUUUUCUUAGUUAACUAUAUGAUAAUAAAAAUAGAUAAUUACAAAAUCAAACACCAACUUAAUACCAAAAUGUUUUUAGAUCAUGAUAACCUCAUAAAAUGUGAAACAAAACCAAUUAUGAAACUAAAUUCACAAUUAAUCCAGUAUCCAAGGAUGAAAAAAAAAACUGAUUUAAAAAAGUUAAUCUUGUCAACUAGCCAAAUAUAUCCAUGGAAUUUAUAAAGUUUAAUAACAUAAUUUUUUCUAAAAAUUAUUUUUUUAACUAUAUAAGGAAAAAAUAGACUAUAAAAAAGUCAAGUUUAAUUAUAAAAAAAAAACCCCACCAAACUUGUAAACUAGGGCAACUUAGAUUACCUAGCAAACUCACAAACCAUGUUAACCUUAUAGAAAUGUAAAAUAAAAGAAACAAAUUAUAAAGUUAAAUUCUCAACCAUCUCAAUAUUAAAAGAUAAAAUUGAUAAAAAAAAAAUUUGAGAAAAAAAUCAUAACAAAAAUUAAAAAAACAAAAACAAAAAUGAAAGAAAGCAAAACAUUAUGGAUUACUAUUGUCAUUCACAAUACAAUGUGUGUGGGUGAACAAUGAUUUUCUCACACCCUUUAAUUUUUGUUAUUUUAUAAAGUUUAAUAACAUGACUUUUCUCUAAAAGUUUUUUAAUUAUAUGAGAAAAAAAUAGACUAUUAAAAAAGUCAAGUUCGAUUUUAAAAAAAAAUACAACCCACCAAACUCGUAAACCAGGGAACCCUAGGGUACUUUGGCAAACUCAUAAACUACACUAAUCCCAUAUAAAGGAAAAAAAAACAAACAAAUUACGAAACUCAUUUCUCAACCAUCUCAAUUUUAAAAAAUAAUAUUGACAAAAAUAGAUUUUAAAAAAAAUCAUAAUAAAAUUUCAAAAAAAAAGAAAAAAAAAAGCAAGACACGGUGGAUUAUUAUUGUAAUACAUAGUGUAAUGUGUGCUGGGUAAACAAUGGUUUCCCCUACAUCCUUUAAUUUUUAUUACUUCAUAAAAUUUAAUAAUAUGGUUUUUCUCUAAAAUUAUACUAUAAAAAAGCCAAGUUCAAUUAAAAAAAAACCUCACCAAAUCCAUAAACUGGGGUACCCUGAGUUACCUCGACAAAAUCGCAAACCACAUAGAAAGAAAAAAUAAAAAGAAAAAAAAUUAAAUUUAAAUUCUCAACUAUCUCAAUAUUAAAAAUGAAAUCAAUAAAAAUAAUUUUUUUUAAAAAUCAUAUAUAAGAAAAACAAUGAAAAGGAAAACAUCAUGUGUUCAAGGGAAAAAAAAAACAAAUAAUAUGAGGAAAUAUUAUAGCAAUCUAUAAUGUUUUAUGAGAAUAAUUGCAGUGCUAUCCCCAUAUAUUUUAAUUUUUCUUAUGAUAAUAAUAAUUAUAGUCUCUCAUGUCUCACAACUUUAUUUGUUUUUCUUGAAUAAGUGCUAAUGUUCUUUGAGGGGUCCAAGCACCAUAUAUUGAAAGAAAGAACUAGUUCAAAUUGAAGCACUAUUAGUUUUAGAAGCACCAUGAAGAUUCAGGCGUGUAAAGAUAUCAAAGGCUCCUGCCACAUGUCAAAAGAUUAGAGAAUGAAAUUGUUAGAAUACUGUUAGUAACUGUUAGUAUUGUUUGUCAGUUAAGAGAAUUAGUUAGCAUUGUUUCAGUGAAAUAAAAAGAGAAUAGAUAACGUGCAUAACCUUUCUACUAUAGCAUAUAUAAACAUGUCAGAUAAGAGAACUGUAAUCAAUUAAUAAAAGAAUCAGUGCUAAAGUUCUUCUUCUUCUUCUUCUCUGUUUAACAGAAUCACUCUCUGCUUUUCUUCAUCUUUAUUCUCUGUUUUUCUUCAUCUCUAUUCCUUUUCUGUGUAAAUCUUACUGUCCUCACAAGGCCCACAUCUUGCUUAUAAUACCCAAGAUCCUAGCACCUUGUAUUUAUAAACGCUAGACACAGCUGCUGUUUCAAUGAAUAAUUCUCCACGCUAUUAUUGAUAAAUAUUGUGUGCUAUAUAUACAGCAGUGUGGAAAUUCAGUUUAGGAAAAAUAUAAAUGGUAAUGCUAAAACUAUGCUAUUACAAUAUACAGCUGCAGAAUUCAAGUUUGGAAUCGGCUCCAAAUAUAGCGUUAAUGGCAGAAUCUUUGCCAUGAUUUUCGGCUACACCUUCUCUGUUUUGAUUUGAGCAGAUUCUCUGCUAGUUUCCCUGAUAGUAUUUAAAUGAAAGAAAAAGAGAAGGGCAAAAGACUGCCAUGAGGCAACCUCAAGUAUCAUACACCUCUGUUUUUGUCCUUUUCAUUUUUCACGUGUUUCUCACAAGAAGCGAACAUAAAGUGCUGGAAGGAAUUUUUUGUUGCAGCGUGAGAUAAGUUUAACUCAUUGCAUUUUCAUAAAUUAAAGGGCUUUGUCUUCUUUUCUUUGUCAAUUACAGUGCAUGUAUAAAAGUUUUAUUGCUCAGAGUAAAUGCUAUUGUAAUGUUUUCGCAGAGACUCCCCUGCUUUGCAACCAAUUCACUUAUAUAUCUUGGAGCAUAGUCAUAGCCAUAAAUGGAAGGUUCUUCCGGUUCAAGAAAAUUAACCACGAAGCUCGUAACUAGAAUUUAGAGUGACCAAGGUCUUUUUCAAGAACAAGGGAAGUGUGCAAAAUGCAAAUAACGAAUCAAUACAUAAAUAAUUAAGUAAAAAGAGAGGACACAGAAGUAUAUCCUCAGACGAUGAAAAUACAGAAAGCCUAGCAUAUUAGAAAGAGCAUUUAUCCAUUUUCCCCCUUCUCUUGUAACAUGGACUGCUAAGAAAUCUAAUGUUUUGUUAUUGAUACGUGAGUUCAGUCUGAUUAUCUGUUGUGCAUACUGGACCGAAAGCAAACACAAAUAAAACACAAACAAGCAGAUUUACGUGGUUCCCCAAAACCGGGUACGUCCACGGAGGCAGCAGAUUGUAUAUUAUUGGAGGAAUGAUACAAACACUCAACUCAACCCAGUACAAUCCCACAAAACCCAGUGUUUCACUCUUACACUCGGUGUUUCUCUCAAAUCUGCACUCUUUCACUCUCACAGUUGCACUAUUUUCUUCUGCACACUUGCACUCACACUGCACUCUCUCGUUCCUCUCUUCUAUCUUCUAUCUUUCACACACAUUUACAGGAGAAAGGAAAGCAUAAAUAUAAUGGAUGAAAAGGAGAGGGUGGUUGAAAAGGAGAGAGUGGUUGAUGGUUGUUGAGAAAAAAUAUUGACAAUUAGCAAAUGUUGACAAUUUGCUACAAAUCUCCACCUUGGCAAGAUUUUUCCAUUCAAUCCUCGUGAACAAUCAAUGCUACCUCCAAUGCGUCAUAUGACGCUGCACCCUGAAGGUGCUCAACACCGAGAGAUGUUGACCAAGUCCAAACAAUGUUGGAACUUGAUCCCUGAGACACAUUUUGUGAGCAUGUCAGCUGGAUUAUAUGCGGUACCAAUCUUCUGUAGCAGAAUAUCCCCUUCAUCCACAAUUUCUCGAACAAAAUGAAAUCGAACAUCGAUGUGCUUGGUGCGGGAAUGAUGAACCUGAUUCUUUGCAAGACAAAUAGCACUUUGACUAUCACAAUGGACAUCCACGUGCUCUUGAACAAUUCCCAAAUCUUCAAUCAACCCAUGUAACCAAAUAGCUUCCUUGAAAGCUUCCGUUACUGCCAUGUACUCUGCCUCAGUUGUUGACAAAGCUACUGUUGAUUGUAACGUUGACCUCCAACUUACAGGCCCUUUAGCAAGUGUAAACACGUAGCCUGUUGUGGAACGACGUUUGUCUAAGUCACCAGCAUAGUCCGAGUCCACAUAACCAACUAAAUUUUGCCCAAGUCUAUCAUCCCUCUCAAACUUCAAACCAAUAUCAGUUGUGCCAUGAAUGUACCGUAGAAUCCACUUAACUGCCUGCCAGUGACCCUUUCCCGGAUCAUGCAUAUACCUGCUCACCAUACUGACAGCAUGUGAAAUAUCUGGUCUCGUACAAACCAUUGCAUACAUUAAUGCACCAACUGUAUUUGCAUAAGGAAUUUGAGCCAUAUGCUUGCGCUCUUCCUCUGUGCGUGGAGACAUUGAAGCACUUAGCUUAAAAUGAGGAGCUAAAGGUGUGCUUACAGGCUUGGUCUUACCAUCUACCCCAAAUCUCUGUAGAAUUUUCUUCAAGUAUUGGGUCUGUGUCAAACAGACUGUGCCUUUUCUUCUGUCUCUCUGAAUCUCCAUGCCAAGAAUCUUCUUAGCUUCUCCAAGGUCCUUCAUUUCAAACUCAGUGCUCAGUUGAGCUUUCAGUCUAUCAAUCUCCACCUUGCUCUUCGAUGCGAUCAACAUAUCAUCCACAUAUAAGAGCAAAUAGAUGAAAGAACCAUCAAGAAGUUUGCGAAAAUAUACACAGUGAUCAAACUGACUCCGUGUGUAUCCAUGUUCUGCCAUGAACUUAUCAAAUCGCUUAUACCACUGGCGAGGAGAUUGUUUCAAUCCGUAUAAUGACUUCUUCAGUUUACAAGCCCAAUUCUCUUUCCCAGUGACUUUGAAACCAUCUGGCUGAGACAUGUAAAUUUCCUCUUCCAAAUCUCCAUGUAGGAAGGCAGUUUUCACAUCAAGUUGGGCUAACUCCAAAUCAAACUGUGCAACCAAGGCUAACAGAAUACGGAUUGAUGAAUGCUUAACAACUGGAGAGAAUACCUCAUUAUAAUCUAUCCCCUCCUUCUGAGCAUAGCCUUUUGCUACCAAUCUCGCUUUGAAUCGGAUGUUGUCUUUUCCAGGAUUACCUUCCUUCUUGGCAUAUACCCACUUGCAACCAAUUGUCUUCUUUCCUUUAGGGAGUUGUACCAAAUCCCAAGUCUGAUUCUUAUGGAGAGAUUUCAUCUCUUCAUCCAUUGCCUCUUUCCAUUUUGCACUUUCUACACUCUGUACUGCUUCUUUGUAGGUGUAGGGGAUUCCAUCAUCAAUCACCGGAAGUGCAUAAGCCACCAUGUUACAAUACCGAGCAGGUUUCUUGAUAACCCUUUUUGGUUUACUCGUUGCAAUGGAUUCUUGUUGUGUGGUUGCUGGAGUUGUUGCAUCCUCUUCAUCUGAACUUUCAUCUGAAUCUCCUUCAGUAGAGAUUGUCUGAACAGUCUUUAUAGGGAUGACUGAAGUCUCCAACUCCACCUGUUGUGCAUCACCAGACUGUUUUUCCUUCUCCUGUGAUUUCUCUUGCUGUAACAUGCCAGACUCAUCAAAAGUGACAUCUCUACUCAAGAUCACUUUCUUUGAUUCAGAACACCAGAGUCUGUAGCCUUUUACUCCUCCACUAAAGCCCAAAAAUAUAGCUUUCUUGGCUCUAGGAUCUAGCUUGGACUCAGUAACAUGAUAAUAUGCUGAGCAACCAAAUAUACGCAUAGAGUCAUAAUCAUUUGCAGGAGAGCCUGACCAUACCUCUAAGGGGGUUCUUCCAUUUAAUGCUGCUGAAGGUAACCGGUUAACAAUAUGACGAGCAUAACUUAAUGCCUCGCCCCAGAACACUUUGCUUAGUCCCGAAUGUGAUAGCAUACAUCGGACUUUCUCCACCAAUGUGCGGUUCAUGCGUUCUGCUACUCCAUUCUGUUGUGGUGUUUUGCGAACAGUAAAAUGUCGCUUGAUCCCUUCAUUCUGACAAACUUCAAAGAAAGGAUCUGAAGUGUACUCACCACCAUUAUCUGACCGAAGAGUCUUAACCCUCCUUCCAGUUUGAGUCUCCACCAUUUUCUUCCAUUUCAGAAAGAUAUCAAGGACCUCAUCCUUGUGUUUCAUCAUGUACACCCAUACUCGUCUUGAGAAAUCAUCAAUAAAAGUAACAAACCAACGAUUACCUCCAAGAGAUUCAUUCUUUGAAGGUCCCCAUACAUCUGUGUGAACAUAAUCUAGGAUCCCUUUUGUGUUGUGUACUGCAGUGCCAAACUUGACCCUUGUCUGUUUUCCAAGAACACAAUGCUCACAGAACCCAUGCUUCCCAGUCUUGGCGCCUUUUAAUAGACCUUGCUUGACUAAUCCUUGCAAAGCCUUUUCACCAGCAUGCCCUAAGCGCAUGUGCCAAAGUCUGGAAUUAUCUGCUUCAUCAUCUUCUAUACUUUUGGAAACAGCUGCUGUACCAGUAACUGUAGAUCCAUCCAGGAAAUAUAAGUUUCUUAUCCUCGUGCCUCUUAAGACAACUAAUGCACCACGAAUUGCUUUCAGGACUCCACCAUGCAUGAUAAUCUUAUAACCACUGGAUUCUAGGACUCCAAGUGAGAAGAGAUUUUUCUUCAAGUCAGGUACAUACCGUACAUCUGUUAGUGUCUUGACUACCCCAUUAUGCAUCUUCAGAUGGAUAGUCCCAAUCCCUUUGAUCUCACAAACAUCAUCAUUACCCAUCAACACAACUCCUCCAUCGAACUCCUCGAGUCUCGAGAAUAAGUGCUUGUUAGGGCACAUGUGAUAGGAACAUGCAGAAUCAAGAAUCCAUUCACCAGAAUGGUUUUCUGGUGAUGAGACCAUGAAUGCAGAGUCUCGUUCAUCCUCAUCCCGUGCAACGUUCACAGUUGGUUCAUCUUUUUCCUUGUUGCCCUUGAUUGGACAAUCUUUCUUCCAGUGCCCUUUUUUGUGACAAAAGGCACACUCAUCUUUUGCAAGAUAUCGUCUGUUUGAUGAUUCUCCUCUGGAUUUUGAGCGAGAUCUCCCUCGCCCUCGAAAUCUUCUGGGGUUUGUUCUGCCUCUAACUGUCAAUGCUUCUGACGUUGACUCCUUGUGAACAAUCUGGUCCUUCUUUCGGUACUCAUUAUUCACCAAAGCAUUGGACACAUCAAUGAAUUUAAUCUUUUCUUUACCAUACAGUAAAGUGGUGACGAGAUGUUCAUAUGUGUCAGGCAGUGAAUUCAAUAAUAGCAGAGCUUUAUCUUCAUCAUCAAUUUCCACAUCUAAAUUCUUCAAAUCAGCUAUCAUUUUAUUGAAAUCAUUUAGAUGCUCAUUCAUAGAAGUACCUUUCUUGUGCUGAAAACGGAAGAUCCUUUUCUUCAGGUAGAGACGAUUCUCUAUACUCUUCUUCAUAAACUUGUCCUCCAGUGCUUGCCAUAAUUCCUUUGCAGAGUUUUGUUCUGAAAAGGCGUACUUCUGAUCCUUUACAAGACAAAGUCGGAUGGAACUGCAGGCCAACCGAUUUAUCCUUUCCCAGCUUUUAUCAUCCAAAUCCUCCGGUUGAUCUUCUAAAGUGAAAUCCAAAUUCAUUUGGACAAGCAUAUCCAUGACUUCACAUUUCCACAUGCCAAAAUUACCUUUCCCAUCAAACUUCUCCACCUCAAAUUUGGUAUUCGAUACCGGGAUGUAUUGUGGAGGUAUACUAGCAUUCCCCGCUGAUUUUUCUUCUGGAAUAUCAGCCAUUAGGACGUCUUUGGAUUACAAAUGGACUCCUGAAAUUGUUAAAACACGCACUUUUAUGCUCAAAAGAGCCAAAACAGUAACUUCGGUGUGCUGUUUCACAAAACGGACAUCACGGUUGCGUCCGGAAUGGUUGAAAAUGCUAGGAACCAACUUGACUCGGCCAAAAAACAGGUCAAAAAUCACUGAGUUGGCCAAAAAACCAAUCUGACCGAGUUGACUCAGGGAAGGAAUAUUCUGUCUCUGAUAAAGAAUAUUCUGUCACGGGAAUAUUCUGUUACUGGUAACGGAAUAUUCUUAUUCUGUCAAGAGAAUAUUCUGUCACUGUUAGAUGACAUGUCUGAUGACGUGGCUGAUGACAGGGCGAUGUGGACCCUCUGUUGAUGACGUGGAUGAUGACUCAGCGCCUACGUGUCGGAUGACGUGGCUGUCUUCUCAGGCGAGAAUUCCGGCAAUGACUGGUUUUUCCGGCAGAUUUCCGGCGAAACUUCGGCGAGCUCUACAGGGCUCGUUUCAACUCCGAUUUCGAUGAUCUUUAUAUCGCCGGACUCGUAUGGACGAGAGGAAUCUCCUCAGCUGGUCAAAAGCAAGAUCUGAGAACUUUGAAAAUUCUGCAACUUUGAACAGAGAGCUGAAAAACGUGUUUUUUCAGUGUUCUAGCUUCCCUAAUGCUCUGAUACCAAUUUGUUGUGCAUACUGGACCGAAAGCAAACACAAAUAAAACACAAACAAGCAGAUUUACGUGGUUCCCCAAAACCGGGUACGUCCACGGAGGCAGCAGAUUGUAUAUUAUUGGAGGAAUGAUACAAACACUCAACUCAACCCAGUACAAUCCCACAAAACCCAGUGUUUCACUCUUACACUCGGUGUUUCUCUCAAAUCUGCACUCUUUCACUCUCACAGUUGCACUAUUUUCUUCUGCACACUUGCACUCACACUGCACUCUCUCGUUCCUCUCUUCUAUCUUCUAUCUUUCACACACAUUUACAGGAGAAAGGAAAGCAUAAAUAUAAUGGAUGAAAAGGAGAGGGUGGUUGAAAAGGAGAGAGUGGUUGAUGGUUGUUGAGAAAAAAUAUUGACAAUUAGCAAAUGUUGACAAUUUGCUACAUUAUCUGCGUAAAAUAUCUCUGGAGAUGCUUUCGAUGGAGAUUAGGUCUCAAAACGCUAUGCCCACUGCCCCCAUGGAUCCAGAGCGUGAAAAUGAAGCCGAGCAUUGAAUUUCUAAACAUCAUUUCCUUUUGUUUUAUAUUUCGCAUUGUUACCAAACUCUUUUACAUUUUAUUGCUGCAUAUAUUGCUAUGUAUAUACCAUGCUUUAAUCAAAACCUAUAAUGCAGGAAUAUCUGCAGAUGGCCAUUCCCAAAGGGAAAACUAAUCUUCCCUAGAAUAUUACAAAGUGCCAUUUCUACAGUGAGAAUAGCGUUUCGUUUUGGUUGUUUUGUUGAUGAUAACUAGAUCUUAAAACUAAUCCCUGUACUUUUACAUGAUGCUAUAAACUGGUCCCUUUUAUUAGUAAAAUGUUGAGCCAGUCAAUUGAUUAUUUAAAAAUCUUGAGGGAUUAAUUUGUUUGUUUCACAAAAAAAGACACUGAUUAAAUAAAAAAAUUAUCAUCAUAUGCAUGAGUGUUUACUUGUCCAACAACAGUUUGCAAGGGGCAGAUCCUUGGAUGGAUAUUAGAGGUGAGCAAAAAAACCAAUAAACAGAUUAAACAAAGAAAACAAAAAACAAAUAACCGAAAAAACCGAACCGAAAAAAAACUGAAUUAACUGAUUAAAAAAUCACAAAAAAAUUCCGGUUCGGUUUGGUUUCGGUUUCUAAAGUCUGAAACAGAUUGAACCAAACCGGUUAAACCAUGCCAGCACUUAAAAAAAAAAAGUAUAAAUAUGAUGUUUUUUCUAACACUAAACCUAAAGUAACAUUCAGUCGCGACCCCCGCCCCCCCUUCCCUUUGCUCUCUACAUCUCUUCUCUUUGAUUUUUCUUCAUGCUCCACAAUUGUUACUUGUUAAGCUCCUGCUCCAUGCUCCUAAAGGUCCUAAACCAACGCCCCCCCCCCCCCUUCUCUGCCUCUCAUCAUCUUCUCACAACCCCUCCUUUUUUCUCCCUUUUUCUCUCUGCCUCUCAUCUCUCCCCGUAGCCCCCCCUCCUUUUCUCUCUAUCUCUCAUCUCUGCAUCUUAUCUUCUCCACUUCAAGUUUGUGGGCACUGGGCAGAUAAAAAAAAGAGAUGGCUUUUUGAUGAUUAAGAUUCUAACUCCACUUCAAGUCCAUCCCUGCAUCUUGUGGGUUUUUGCUUUUUUUUUAUUAUGCUAUAAUUUGCUUGUAGUUUGUGGGCAAAUAUGUUUUUCAAAUAUGUCUUGGUCAUGUAAAUUGGAAUAAGUUUCUGAAUAACAAAAAUGAGAUUUGCUUUUCGGUUUUAUCGGUUGUCAUAACCCAAUUUUUUACCCUUUUAUUUUAAUUUUAUGAUAAAAAGAAAAAAUGAUGAAAAAAUAUAUAUAUAUAAUAAUGAUGAAAAAAAUAAAAAUGAAAUAAAUGAAGAAUGAAUUAAAAUUUGGGUUAAUGGCAACAUGAUUGGACGCUUAAAGAUUUAAUUUUUGACUUGUCUAAUUAAUCAAAUCAAUUGUUUAAUUGGAGAAUUGAUAAGUUUUGGGACUUAAUUAAGCUUGAAAUUAAUUUAAUUAAUCCAAUCAAGGGUUUAAUUGGAGAAUUGAUAAGUUUUGAGACUUAAUUAAGCUUGAAAUUAAUUUAAUUCAUCCAAUCAAGGGUUUAAUUGGAGAAUUGAUAAGUUUUAAACUUAAUUGGACUUUGGAUUUAAUUAAAUUAAUGAAAUCAGGGACUUAAUUGAAGAAAUAGCAAAGUUUGGGGUUAAUUGGGAGUCCCAAUUGUGAAAUUAAAAUCCAAGGAUUACAUUGAAAAAGGCGCGCAAAUGCAGGGGGCCAAUUACAGUUUAAACCAGGGGUUUAAUUACAAGACUUUCAAAACUGCAUGGAUCAAAACGAAAAAUGGCCGAACGACGUCGUUUUGAAGAUGUUGUUCAUCUUCUUCUCCUUUAUGCCAGUGACCGUUUCCGCAGUAAUGGAGGGAGGAACAUUGCAGCAGUAAUCGUCGUCCGUUGGCUUCAGUUAUGAGCGCCUUAAUGGUGGCCGACUGUUAGCCUACCGCCCGUUAUCAACCCGCCAAGGCCUAUAUAAACCGAGCAGCACCGAAGAGGAGCGAGGUUAGAGGGAGAGAGAGAGAGAGAAAAGAAACCGAAAAGAAGAGAAACACAACCAAAGCACACAAUUUUUAGGUUCAUCUCCAGAACUCCCAUACCAGAACUAGGCUUCCCUCACCAGUUCUGACUUAAGAAAAACGAGAGAGAAAACCGGCCGAAAGAGAGAGAGACGGUGUUCUGAAAAACAGAGCAAAAGAAACGAAGAAAAAUAAACCAAAACAGAGACGCAGGAAAGGAAUACAACAUGAAAACCAGAAGGAGUAAGAAGAAAUUCGAAGGCAGAAGCGUCGUCCUCAGCAAUCACGAACAAAUUCCCUGCAAACGAACCAGGUAAGUCUUCUGCUCUGUUUCCCUCGCUUUGCCUUAUUUCAUUUUCGACGUCCGUGUUUAAUUCAAUAACAGGGCCAUGUACGCGUGAUUUAGAUCACGCGUGCCUAGUGUGGCCCAGCCAGGUCACUGGCUUGGGCCAGUGACCGGGCUGGGCUGGCUGGGUCUAGCCCAGCCCAUGUGGGCUGAGCUGGGCACAGCCCCAAAAACAUAAAAAAUAGAAAAAUAGAAAAAUAGAAAAAAAAUAAUAAUAAUAAAAAAAUAAAAAAGUAAAAAAGGUAGAAAAAAUAAAAAAUGUGUAUGCAUAAAUAAAAAUAAUAUGAAUUUAUUGGUGUAUUCAUUGACGCCAGAGUCAGGAAUAAAAAUACCGGUUUAAAUUUAUAUUAUUUUUAUUCAUUGUAUUUUAUUUUAUUUAGCUAGAAAAUAAAAAAAUAUGUGCAUGUGUAAAAAAUAAUUUUUUUUAUGUGAAUAUUCACUUGCGCCAGAGUCAGGAAUAUUAUAAGAAAAUUAUCAUAGCAUAAACUAAUAAAUAUUUAGCAAUUUAAGACAAAACUAGCAAUGCAGUCUGCCUCAGGCAGAACGUUUAAGGGGUGAUAAUAUCUUCCCUUUUACGUAAUCAAUCCCGAGCCAUAGAAUCUCUGAUGACCAGUUAGGGUUCCUAGUGACCGUAAUACUAGGUGGCGACUCCUUAUACAAGACCUUUUCCCCUAAAAGAACAAGAUGCCAGAAAUCUGUUCUUUUUUCACAAUCUAGAAUUAUUUGUGGGCCGCCGUGAUGUCGGGUGCGACAUCGGUUUUUGAACAACAAAAGUCGAACCGAACCGAACCGAAACCAAUAAAUUUGAACCGGUUUCGGUUCGGUUUUGAUUUUAAAUUUUAAAAUUAAUAAUGUCGGUUUGGUUAAUUUUUUCAUGUAAAAAUUGAACCGAACCGAACCGAAAAUGAUCACCCCUAGGGAAUAUGUCUUCUCUUGAAUUCUUGAACCUAUCAGGGGACAAUUUCUCUGGUCUUUUACUGCCUAGAUUCAGCAAUUCCUCAAAAUUGAGAUAUGUUUAUUUGUCUAGAAAUAAAUUGCAAGGACCAAGCGCAAUAAAAUUUUAUGAUUCCUUUGAGAUAUUAGCCUUAGAUCUUUCCCAUAAUGAUUUAACUAGUAGGAUUCCAGAAUGGAUUGACAGGUUAUCUAACUUGAGAUUUCUACUUUUGAUUUAUAACAAUCUUGAAGGUAAAAUCCCAAUUCAAUUAUGCAAGUUCGACCAAUUAACCUUGAUUGAUCUAUCUCACAAUUAUCUUUCUGGUAACAUCCUCUCUUGUAUGAUAUUUACUCAUCCUUUCCCUAUUCAAUACAAUUCUCGUGAUUUUGUGUCCUUAUCACAACAACCUUUCGAGUUUACAAUGAAGAAUGUAUCUCUUUUUAAUAGAGGCAACAUUAUCUGGAAUUUCACUGGAAUUGAUGUCUUAUGCAACAAUUUCACAGGAGAGAUUCCCCGUGAAAUUGGAAGCCUCAGCAUGAUCAAGGUAUUGAAUCAUUCCCACAACAUUCUAACUGGACCAAUUCUAUCAAUAUUUUCAAACUUAAAGGAAAUAAAGAGCUUGGAUCUUUCCUACAACAAAUUGGAUGGAAAAUCCCAUCUUGACUAUAGAAUUUUUCAGUGUGGCACACAAUAAUCUGUCUAGCAAGACUCUUGCAAGAGUUGCACAAUUUGCCAUGUUGAAGAGAAUUGCUACAAGGGCAACCCUUUUCUUUGUGGAGAACCGCUACCCAAAAUAUGUGGUGCAGCUAUGCCACCAUCACCAAUGCCAACUUCAACGAACAAUGAGGAUCAUGGUGGCUUCAAUAAUCUGUUUGAAGAGAGCUGCUACAAGGACAACCCUUUUGCAUGUGAGCUUUAAGGUUGCAUAGAUCAUGGUGUUGUUGGUGAUAGGUGCAAUUCUGUACAUAAAUUCAUAUUGGUGACAAGCUUGAUUUCACUUUAUUGAGGUGAGCAUCAAUAAUUACUAUUAUUUUCUUGUGGAGAAUCUUUCCAUUUUAUCUAAGUUUGGAUUUUCAUAGCCUUUUAUCUUGAUGGUACUAAGCCUUGGUGCAUUGUUUUGGAUUUUAGUUUCAAGAUUUAAAUAAGUUUAUAUUGAUUUUCAUAUGAGUUUUGUUUUUGUUUUUAGCUUCUAUGUGAUAUAUAAUAAUCAAGUUUUUUUUUUUUUUUAAAGGUUAUCUAAGUUUUUUUAGCUGUUUUUUUUAUGCUUUUUAGGAUUUUUUUUUUUGCUUUUUUCUUUAUUUUUUUUAAUUAAUUUUUUUCGUUUAGUUUAGUUUGUUAAUGUUAAAUUUCUUUCUAUUUAGUUAUUAGACUUUCAUGACACAUAUCUCGAGUUUCACGGGUUAACCUGGUUUCACGGGUGAACCCAGUUAAUUCCGGGUUGACCCGUCAAUUUUUUAUUAUUAUUAUUUUCAUAAAUAUUUUUUUUUAAUUUAGUUUGUUAAUGUUAAUUUUUUUUUAUUUAGUUAUCAGACUUUCAUGACACAAAUACUGGGUUUAACAGAUUAACAUGGUUUGACGAGUUAACCCGAAUUUUUUUUCUUUUUAAUUAAUUUUUUUUGUUUAGUUCAGUUUGUUAAUAUUCACUUUUUUUUAUUUAGUUACCAGACAUUCAUGACACAGAUCCCGGGUUUAACGGGUUAACUUGGUUUGACGAGUUAACAUGAAUUUUAUUUUAUUUUUUGCUUUUUUUUUCUUUUUAAUUAUUUUUUUUCGUUUUGUUUUGUUUAGUUUGUUAAUGUUAAAUUUCUUUCUAUUUAGUUUUUUUUCUUCUUAGAGGUUUUUUUUCUUUUAUUUGUUAUUUUUAAUUAAUUUUAUUUAAUUAAUUUAGUUUAUUAAUAUUAAAUUUUUUUCUAAGUAGUUCUCGACUGAUGCCUUUAGUUUUUUUUUUAUGCCUUUGACUGUGAACUGCACAGUGCAGUCCACUGUGAAAAGGCUGAUGCUUUUUUUUAAUUAAUUUUUUUUGUUUAAUUUAAAUUGUUAAUGUUAAAUUUUUUUCUAUUUAGUUAUCAAACUUUCAUUACACGGAUUCUGGGUUUGACAGGUUAACCUGGUUUGACGAGUUAGCCUAGUUAAUUCUGGGUUAACCCAUUAAUUUGUUUUUUUCUUUUUAACUAUCAAGCUUUCACGAUGCAAAUUCAAUGUAUGACGGGUUAACCUGGUUUGAAGGGUUAACCCAAUUAAUUCAUUUUUUUUUUCAUUAGUUUUUUUUUCCUGUUAGUUUUUUUUUAACUAAUUUAUUAAAUUAUCACACUUUUAUGACACAACCUUGCAGCCAGACCCAUGUCCAAUGUUAUUGGGUCUGGUAUUGCAAUCCAGACAUUUUUAUGCUAAGGGUUAACCCAAGUUUAAUGUUAUUAUUAAUAUUAUAAACAUUACUCUUAGAUCAGGCGUUGCAACCAAACCUGAGACUCUUGGGUAUAACUUUGUAAAAAAACCUAAUACUUUUAGAUCUUAACUAUUUUUAAAAUGCAAAAAAUAAUUGACCUGCGGCAUCGCGCGGGGCAUGUAACUAGUAGAUUACUAAAGGGGAUCGAUUUUGAUUAUGAUUUGGUGUGGGAAAUUCUCUGCGUGCCUACAUAGAGUGUGGCUUCUUGAAACUCCAAAAAAUAUAUAUAGGUGUUUGCCUAAACCAGUAUUGGGCAGAUAAAGAUAAGCCAGGAUUGCCGAGGAAGAGGCUGUUCAGGUAGUCCGAACAGGGAUCUAUAAUCAUUAGUUAUAUAAUCAACCCUAAUCAGAAUUUCCCAAGAAAGAAUUAACUAAAGACUUCAGUUAAUGCUGAUGAACACGAGUAAAGGAUUUGCUAAAGACAAAACCAUGUAUUUAAGAACCAUUGCUAAGCUACAGGUUCUGGAGCCACAAACCACUCACAUUUACUGGGGUUGAUCCCAAAUUGAGACAAAUCUAUUUGUCCGGUUCGGAGAACCUUCAAACAAAAAGAAGAGUUAAACCUUGUAAAAUUGACUAUAUAUCAUCAAAAGGACAAGAAACACACAGGAAACCUCAUAAUUACCUCAGAAUGCACCGACGUAAAACACACAGGAAAUCCCAACACAUCAUAAGACAACAAAAGAAAACAUAUAUUUAGCAGAAUAAAAAGGUUGUACAAUUCUUUCACAGCUUACAGUACGUAUAGAAUAAGCAUUAAUAAUUACCUUCAUCUGGAUCACCCGAACUACCUGCAACAUGUAUCAUCACAUCACGCGGGCCACCCUAAGUACAACAAACAAGGAUAUGGUCACUUGCACUAUCUAAGCAGAACACACCUCCAGCACCAAUAUUACUCAGGAUUCUUUGCAAGUCUUCCAAUUUCACUGGUUCUGAUGAAGAGUUUACAUCACUCAUUACUUCUGCACCAAGGUCUGGGACAACUGAGUUUCCAGUCCUGAGAGCGAUGAGCAAAAAUCUCAUCGGAAUAAAAGAAAAUGGCCACGUAAUAUAUACCUGGCCAUUUGUUUUUGGUAACAAAAGUGCUCCUUAACCUUUUUGAAGUUAUUUUAGAAUGAAUUACAAGCAUUAAACAUUUAUAUAUAUGGACAAACACCGAGUUUAUGCAAGUCUGUGCAAGGGCAAUAUGGGGUGAAGGAUUUGACAUGGGCUAAGGUGGGUGAGAUGUUUUUGUCAAGAAAUGAUUUUGGAAAAUUUCUUGAUAUUUCAUGAAUAAAUAAGAUAUGAGUCUUUAUCAAGGAAAGAACAUAGGCUCUCCAAGAUGAUUGACCAGAAGGAGAGAAGGGAGGCUCAUUCUGCUCCACUGACUCUUAGUCUCAAAGAACAAAAAAUUACAUAGCUCUAUAUCCUUACUCUUACUUGCUAUAUCAACUCUUAGAGUUGAAGUAUCAUCUUUGACUAUGCUUCUUUGUUAUAAUAAAUAUACCUUGAUGAGAUAUUAUCUUCAAGCAUGUCUUCAAAAACUUGGAAAGGAGUAGAAGCAUCAGGCUCUUCUUCAUCAACUACACCAAAUUGUUUGCAUUUAAGAGAUCGGGGGAGGGGGGCAGAAGAUUAGACUUUGCAUUUAAAUAUAAGCCAAGAUGAUUAGGAACAAAAUAAUGACGAGUAGCAUGGCUAACAAAGGACUCAAAACACAAAAUUGUUUACCAAAUGGACGAUUAAUAUAAUAGUUGAAAGAGCUACAUAAUUGUGAAUCAUCUUUAGCUUUUGGCUCCUGCAAACAUGUUACACAAUUUUCCAAAAUCAUGCAGCUAACAGCUGAGUCAAUGUUACACAUAAGAGAGUGAAAAACGCAGAAAGUGAACCUGACCUGCACCCAAAUGAAAAACUUUCGAUCAUCUGUAUUGAAUUUCAAGAUGUAAACUCUUCCCAAAGCUUGAUUAACCUGAAUAACCCAAGGAAUUAUGAAUCUAUGAUAUUACAAUCAAUUAUUAGAGUCAAAUAUCUUCCAUCUAAGAAAAAACUAGGAGAGAAAAGUGUACCUUCUCAAAAACAGCAUCUUCAGAAAAAAAUAAUAUGAUCCUGUCAAUCAACGCGUCAAGAAAAAGCUACCAAAGUUCUCACCUCAAAAGAAUAUUAACAAAACAAACAACAGAAAAAAAAAUAAAAACCAAAGUUGGAAGGGAGAAACAAAAUCCCCAGGCUCAAAAACAUAAUAAUAACUAGGAUACAUCUUCCACAGCAUUCAAAUUCCUAUCAAGCCACUGGAAAUGAAGCAAACCCUCAUCACCCUGGAACAAUUCAAAAAUUUCGACUUCAAACAGGAAACAAGAUGCUAGAAACACUCUAUCUAGUACUUAAGAUAAACCAAAACAAUAGAAUUAACUAAAAAUCUUUACACAGACACGAACUCUAUAUAACACAAAAAAAAAAAACCAAAAGACACCAGUUUACCCUUCCAAUGCGAACAAGUCCUUUUCGAGAAUCAGGAACAAACUUUUUUCCAACGAAAACCAUUUUACCAGCACGAAACUCCAACAUAAUUUCCUACCAACAAAACAACCACAACACCAUAACAUAACCCCACCAAGAAAAACAUACUUGUACAUCCAACAAAGCAAUUACAGGCUCUAAUUAAAAAGAAACAGAGAUUUUAAGCAAAACCCACAAUUUUAAAAGUGAUUUUAUUUACCUGCAUUGCUGAAAUAUCUACAGUUGAUGAAGAACCCAUUUUUCGCAUACUUCCUCUAAAGCUUCCUUUUUUUCAACACUGCAAAAAACAAAAAACAAAAAAAAGAAGGACAAAUCAAAUACCCAAAUCAGAAACAAUAACAGAAAAAAAAUAAAAGAAAAUCCAAAGCUGGAAGUUGUAAUCAGGAGGAGAACCAGACAAUUUCAGAUAGAAUGACAUUUUAUCAAGAAUUGAACUGGGCAUUCAGUUAAUUAAAUAGGUUGUAAUCAGGUGAGAGUAGUGUCAACAACAUGUUUAGUUUUCCUCUCGGAAGUGCCAUUCUGCACAAGUCAGUGUUUUAAAAAUAUUUUUAAAAAAAUUUUAAUUUGUUUUUUUAGUGGUUUUAAUUUAUUUUCAUGUAUUAAUAUUAAAAAUAAUUUUAAAAAAUAAAAAAUAUAUUAUUUCAAUUUAUUUUAAAAUAAAAAAAACUUAAAAAAUACUGUUAACACAGUAUUAAACAAACUCUAAUCCUAUAACCAGAUGAACAACGUUAAGAUAUUUGUUUUUUGUUUUUCUUUUUUUUGAUAAUGAGACUGUCGUAAACAAUCUUGCCUAAUGAUUGUUAAGAAAUGAAAGAGGCAAUGCAUGGCUAAACCAAUGGAAGCUAAAAAGCUAAUGUUAUCCCUAGUAAGCAAUUGUUGCCGCAAUGACAUAUGCCUCGUUAGAGAUAUAUUUGAAUUUACAUAUUAUUAUUAUCAUAUAUUUUGUAUUGUCGUUUAAAAAAUAAAUAUUUUCCUUAUAUAGAGUAGAAUGUUUUUAAUUUUAUCAUUUAAAAUUUAUAUAUUUUUUAAAAAAUUAAUACAAUAUACAGUUAAUUAAACAUCUAUAAAUUAAUAUCAUUGAGAACAUGAAAUUUAUUAAUUAAUUAAGAUGUUAUUUAGUAAAUAAAUUUAUACACUUAUACAUUAAUCAAUAAAAAAUUUUCUUUUUCAAAAACAUUGAACUCAAUACAUGCAUCGUGUAUAAUAUUAUCUAAUCAUCAAAUUAUGAAUUAUCAUAAUUCUAUAUAUUUAUUUAAAUAAAACAAGUUCAAGAAUUAAUGUAAUCAAUCUUAUUAAUUAAUAAAAUUCAUGUAUGUAUUAACAUACAAGCAAAAAAUCUAUAAAAAGAAUAUACAAGUGAGCCAAACAACAAUAUAUAUUAAAAACGAACAAGAGGUCGAAUUAAUAUCCAUUAACUAAUAGUAAAAUUAAGAAGAUGAUACCAAAGAGACACAAAAUCACAAAAAAGCAUUUAACAUUUCAGAGAAAGAAGCCUGCAACACCCAUUAAGGAAAAGAGAGAAGGGAAAGAAAUGUGGAUUAAUUCAUACAGAGGCUCACCUUGUUCCAGACCAGCGCGAGACUGUAGACGAACCAAGAGCAAAAAAUGCAGGAGAGAUAAUCAUGAGAGAAACAAAUUCAUAUAUCCACGAAUAUGUACAAUAUUUGAAACCUAUAAUGCAAGAAUAGCUGCAGAUGUACAUUAAUAUUUUUAAUUUAAAGAAUCAAUUAAUUAUUUAAAAAACUUGAGGGAUUAAUUUGUUUGUUUCACAAAAAAUAGACACUGGUUAUAUAAAAUUUUACUUAAAUUUUUAUCAUCAUAUUUUAAAAGAAACCAGUUUAUGUUUUGCGCAACACGAAAAAUCAUAUAUGCUUAAGUAACUAUUUGGCAUCUUAAACUCAAUUUAGUAAAUUAAUUUUAAUUUUUUUCUAUCCGGCUCUUUUCCUAUAUCAAAUUUAAAAUUAACCAACAUAAAAAUUAUCCUCAAAUGAUACAGUCAAUAUGAUAGGUUUACAAAAAUAUAUUAAAUUGAUUCUAAUUUCAUGGCUUAACUCUUCAAACCCACUACUCGAAUAAUAGACUCCAUCUAGUUGUAAUUAUUAUUUUGUUUUUUAAUUAUUUUUUAUUGAAUAAUAUGAUAACAAUAUCAAUUCAAAAUCAACUAAAUAUUAAAGGAUAAAAUAAAAAAAAUAAAAAAAAUUCAAUAGAAAAAAAAAGGAGAAGAAUGGUAGAGUUUAAAAACAAAUAAACAAUAUGACGUCAUUGUUAGAGCACCUGAAAUUACUGUUCCUUUUUACUAUAAUGAUGAAGUUUCCACAUAAUAUAAAACAUGCUUAUAAAUUAAUAACCGAAAUAAAAAUUAAAUUGAGACGACAAUCAAUUCUUUAACUUUAAAACGAUUUAUUAACAAUAGAAUUGAGAAGGCCCGCCACAGAUCAAGAGGACAGCUUCAAUGAAGCCAUCCCAGCCAAUGCAGGUGAUUACCCGUCGGUUGAAGUCUCAUCGCGCGCCUAGCACCAGCCAAACCGCCUCAAUCUGAACAUGCACCAGACAAAGUUCAUGAAAAGACGCCAGGGAGCCUCAGCAGCUGAGAAGAAAGUGCGGGAACACCCACCGCACGAGAAGAAACGUGAAAAGCAGAGAGGGAGCGCGGUAAAGAUUGUCAAGCCACGGGAUUCACACACAGUGCACCGAGUUUUAAUGAGCACUCUUAGUUUUUUUUUAUAUAUAUAUAUAUAAAAUUCUUUUAGUUUUAGUUUUAGUUUUAGUUUGUUAGUUAUGAACAGUGAAGCAGCACCAGAAUACAGUUCUUUUAGUUUGUUAGCGAAUCUGGAAAAGAAUAAAGUCAUCUGUCAAGCUCUGUUCACUUUGGUCCGACAUUCCUCACCUCUCCCCACCUGAGCUCUCUCUCUUUCCCUCCUCCGCUUUCAGAAACCGCCGCCGCCACCACCUCAACCAAUAAGGCUUCAAAUCUCACCCAGAUGCUUCCUUUUCUAUUAUGUUUUUGUUUUUUAAAAUUUACGUCUGCUUUUUCAUUUAUUUAAUUGAAAUUACUAUCCAGAGAGAGAAAUUCGAUUUUAAUAAGUAAAUUAAAAAGAUAUAUAAUCGAACCCGAUGAAAUCGCUGCUCGUGAACGCAACUCGAAGAAAGGCGCAAUCAGCCGACUAUACUAUGGGUGGAGCAUUUAAUAUGGUCAGGGUUAUUGUGUUGUCUAUUCAAAGAAAGAUGUGCCUGUAAAUUUGUUAAGUUGAUUCUUAUCAGUCUACUCUUUAGAGUUGAUGAUAACAUGAAAUACUCGUUGUUAAUGCUCGUUGUUUUCUUCUUCUUUUUUCCUAGAUUAAAACAUCCUAGACAAUCUCUUUGGGAUGGUUUAGUAUUUCUGGCCUCUUCAUCUUCUAUUUGUGCUAUGGUUUUUAGUCUGCUGAUAUUGUUGAUAUUCAUUGGGGAUUGAAAGGCCUCGUUUUAUGACUUUGUUUUGUCUUCUUCUUAUUUCUUUAUUCUUUUGGGGAUGCGGCAUUUUCCUCUUUCAGAGAAAUAAAUAUAUACAUAAAUAACAAGAACAGGACGGGAAGGAGAGGGGGUUUUGACAAUAAGUAUUUGCUUAGAAGGGAAUGCUUCUUUGGUUUAGAAGCACCAUGAAGAUUCAGGCCCAAAUCUUUGCUUAGAAUGCCCGAAAUAAAUAUAUCACACACUUCUUUUUUUGUUUUUUGUUUUUCAUCUUUUCAUGUGUUUCUCACAAGACGUCACUUUCUUGCUUUUCUUUCGAGAGAGUAUUUGAUCCUUUUUUUGUAUAAAAUAAUGCUGCCAUUCAUUGAAUUUCCAAACAUCUUACCUUUUGUUUUGUUUGUCGCAUUGUUAUCAAACUCUUUUCCAUUUUAUUGCGGCAUAUUGCUACGUGUAUGGCAUGCUUUAAUCAAAAAGUUGAGUAAUUGAUGAAUGUUAGGCAAGAAAAUUACAGAUUAUUUUUGUUUUCUGCCUCCUCCUUCUCUUUCCCCCACCCCGAAAAUUGUCAUAUUUUUUUUUCAGCCGCCUCUUCUUCCCCCAACCCUAAAAAUUGUUUAUAUUUGCUUUGGAAGCAUGGCAAACUUCACUGCCUCUCAGCUUAAGGAGAUUGCAGCAGGUCUCGAAGCUUCUGGGCAUCAAUUUAUCCGGGUAUUUAGAAGAAGAAAAAAAAGAGUCAAGAAGACAAGGAAGAUUGUUUACCUCAAGGAUUUGAGGAAAGAAUGGAAGGCAAAGGGCUAUUAUCAGAGGAUGGACACUCCAAGUUUUGAUUCUUGAUCAUGAAGCAAUAAGUGCAUUUGUGACUCAUUGAGGAUGGAACUCAACUCUUGAAGGCAUAAGGCCAAUAUGUGCUGAGCAAUUCUAUAAUGAAAAGUUGGUGACUGAUGUUUUAAAAAAUGGAGUUAAGGAAUGGCCUAGAGUGCAUGGAGAUCAUGUUAAAAGUGAAGCUGUAGAGAAGUCAAAUUAUGAUGGGUGAAGAAGCAGAGGAAAUGAGGAGUAGAGCAAAGAAGCUAGGAGAAACGGCCAGGAAGGCUGUUGAAGAAGGUGGAUCUUCUUGCUCUGAUUUCAAUGCUUUGAUCGAAUAACUGAGGUGGGGUCGCCAUUGAAACAAAGGCAGAAGUAAGUGUUGUCACUCGUGCAUAGAAUAUUUUGUUUCUACUUAGUAGUGGUUUUGGCAAUAUAGACAAGUCUUGAGAGUUGAAAGAGUAAUCACAGCCGAGUCAAUGACCAGUCCAAAUCAGUUCCCUUCCUACUAGUUCAGGAAUGACAAGUCCAGCUUAUAUAUUUAGCCCAAAUAACUAAUCAAAUAGAAAGGCUGAGCUUAGAGGCAGUACACUACAAAAUAAGUACCCAAUGUCUUAGAGACAAACAAUCAUCACAAACUAGGAAAGACCGUCUCCCCAGUAACAAAUUCACCUUCUGAAGUUGGAGAACUUGCGAAAACUAGCCACCACAAAAUAGUAGCAAGUAUCUAAAUUAUUUCCAGAGAGAUCUAACUGCUUCAAUUCACACCAACUUGUAUAAUUUAUCUCUAAACAGUCAAAAUAGUGUUAAAAGAAUCUUUUAUUGAUGAUGUGAUUAUAUUUGUUAAUUUACCUUGAGCGGGUAAAGUGACAUAGAGGUCACAUUCACCAAUAGACAAAACUUGAAGAGCAGGCAAUGCUCCAAUGUUAUGGAAAAAGUUUAUUAGGAGAGAAGUACGAUCUAGAUACAAUUCUUCAAGGGUGCUAGAAUUGAAGAAAGUCCCUGUAAAAAAGAAACAAAAAGAAAAAAGAUAUGAUGAAAAUGGUGGUGGUACAUAAUAGGCAUUCCAUUCAAUAUUAUUAAUUAAGAUUUUAAGAAACUAAACUAUGAUUAACCUUGAUUUAAAUUAGUAUCCUUGAGAGAAAGGGUCUUCAGGGAUGGCAAUGACUGCAGGAAGUCCGGCUUCCUUAAACCUAUGAUGUGUACAAUUGAAAACAGGCAAUCAAGAAAGUAGUGAAAUUAAGUGCUAUCUUGAUUGAGUUUUUAAACCUAUGAUAAAGAACUGAUGUUGAAUAGUGAGAUGAAUUUUGGAUAGAAACAACAAAUUGCCUGAAAAAUCCAGAGAUUUCACAACUUUACCAUAGACAGUCGUCGAUCCUAGCAACAUAUCGCCUGAUAAAUUUAAAGACUUGAGAUAAGAAAAUCCACGCAGAUGUGAUAAAAUGUUGUCGUUGAAUAUAUUAUAGCUCAGGUCUAGAUUCUCGAGUUUCCUCAAAUGAUAUAUGAUCUCAAAACCUGCAAGAGAAACUAAAGAUAAUUAGAAUUGAUGAGAUGCUGUUGUUCAAUUGAUAUAUGAUUCUCAAAUUAUACAUACAUAUACACACACACACACACACACACACACAUAUAUAUAUAUAUAUAUAUAUAUAUAUAUAUAUAUAUAUAUAUAUAUAUAUAUAUAUAUAUAAUUGAUAUUUAUAAAAGCAUUAACUGUAGAGGAAUAUUUGGUACUUUGUUUCCCAAUAAAAAAUAGAUUUUUCUGCAAAGUAGCACCAAAAAAAAAACUGUUCAAAACUUAUAUAAGAAAUUAUACAGUUAGCGAGUCACAGAUGAUGAAUCUUAAAAAAAAUUGGCAAUAAUAACAGUACUCUAUUGCUAUUAAUUAACUUAAAUAUUCAAAACUUAAAAAUAGUUUUUAAAUUUAUCCAUGCCAAUUUAUCUUAAGAGAGUCGCAAUCUGUGACUAGUUAAAUUAUAUUGUUUCUGUAAAUAAAUUUUGAAUUGUGUUAUUUUUUGUUCUAGGUGCUAUUUUGCAAAAAAAAAAAAAACCUCCAAAUAAAAUAAUAAGAUUAACGUUUAAGUUGUCUAUUGUUCUUGGAUUUGUAGGUAUAACAACAGAAGAUAGCAAUCAAAAGCGAUGGUGACAUGGUAGAGCUUUGAGUUAUUGCUGUGUUCUAAUGAUGAAGAUGUAGGAAAACGAUCUCCCUUCUGCUGUCUGGAGCUGGGCUUCCUCUCCCUGUAAGAACAAUCAACAUCUUAUCUGCGUUGUUGUUAGUGGCCACUUCAUCGACCCAUUAGUGGGUGGAUUUUAAGCUUAAAAAGGAUUUUUUUUAUAAAAAAAAAAAGGGAAGAGAGAGGGGGGGCGCAUCAUCACGUGAAAGCAAGGAGCUUGCCACCCAUUAUAGAGUGUGGGGCACUCUUGCAUCUAAGAAUAAAUGAUCCUGAGGUUGUUCUGGUGAUGGGUAUUGGCCAUUACAUAAAGCUUCGACAAGCCCUUUUAGCUGCCUGUUAUUAGAAUUUGUAUAAUGAGCAUUCAAACUUAAACUUCUUUAAAUGGGAUGAAAACGAGUGAAAAUCAAGAAGUUGGAGGUGUUCAUCUCUAAUGCAUAGCUAAAGAUCCUUUGUAAGAAAAUACAGCUAAAGACAGUGUGUGUGUGUGUACCAGAGAAAUUGUCGAUAAUAGCCAUCAUUUUCUUUGUCUCUUGUGUCAUAUCUUCCAAAAAUCUUAAAGUAAUUGAUGAAAAAGUGGAUACACCUCUUUGUCUUCUUUAUAGCACUGCUGGCCACUGUGAGUUAAAGCAUUAAAAGGUCGUGAACGCGGAUGCUUGACGAGCGAGUGUUUACUUGUUAAUUUUUUUAGAAGGAAUCUGGAAAAGAAUAAAGUCAUCUAUUUCACUUUGGGACAACAUUCCUCACCUCUCCCCGCCCUCCCUCCCUCCCUCUUCCGCCUCUCGGAAACCGCCGCAUCCAAUAAGGCUUCAGAUUUCUGCCAGGUGCUUCCUUUUCUAUCAUGCUUUUGUUUUUAAAAUUUAUGGGUGUUUUCAUUUAUUUUAUUGUAAUUAUUAUUCAGAGACAGAAAUCCAUUUUAAUAAGUAAAUUAAAAAAAACAAAUAAGCGAUCCGAUGAAAUCUCUGCUAGUGAACGCAAUUCGAUUUUAAUAUGUAAAUUAAAAAAGUAUAUAAUCGGAUCCGAUGAAAUCGCUGCUCGUGAACGCAAUUCAAAGAAACGCACAAUCAGCCGAUUCUAAUAUUUUCUUUUUCAACCCCACCCUAAUUUACAUGAUAUUAUCCGAUUUUUCUCACAGUUAUUGUUGUAAUAAUCAAGCCCUGAAUUCUUGAACCCAAAUUUAUUUUAUUUUAUUUUUUAGUUUUAUUUUUAAGUGGAGAAUAGAAAUCAAUUCAAAUCUUUUAGGCUCGAUCGAUAAUUUGUUAAUUAGUUUAUGCAGCAGCUGGAGUGGAAGAGAUAUUACUGCCGGAAUGGCCGAAAAAUGAGCUGUUUGGUUGAUUCUUCUUUUUUGGAAUUUACUGAAUUCUUCAAAAUUAUUGUGUUUUUAACAACAAUACGAUAUCCUUGGGUUUCAUGCUCGCUCACACAUGGAAAAAAGAAAGAAAGAACAGAACUUUAAAUUUUAUAAUUUGGUCAAGUUAAUGCUCGUCGUUUUCUUCAUUUUCCUAGCUUAAAACAUCCUAGACAAUCUCUUUGGGAUGGGUUAUUGUUUGUGGCCUCUUCAUGUUCUAUUUGCUGGGGUAUUUAGAGUACUGCUGAUUGAAAAGCCUUGUUUUAUUGCACGUUAGAAAAGUUAAUACAUACAUAAAUAACAAGAACAGGGGCCGGGGGGGGGGGUGUUGGGGUUUGACGGUAUGUAUUUGCUUGCGAGUAAAAAUUGGUAAGCACUUGAAAAAGGUCCUGUGCUGAAUCUAAAUUGGUAAGAUGUUAUAUACUGAUAUCUAGAAAGAUAACUUAAUCUAUCUAUUGAAGUAAAGCAUUUAAAUACGUAUACAAUGUUUUUGGAAUAUUAAAUAUCUAUUUGAUCAGAAUCUGUGAACCUCUAAAACCACAAUGAAUACAAAUGCAAGUUUGUCAUUGUAAACAUUGCAUCGAUGAUGUAUCACAAGUGUUGCUAGAAAACAUCAAGUUAAAAUUGAAGCACCAUGAGUUUCUCUAUGGCUUGGUUUACCAACACUCACCAUCUGUUGGUGCGGCAAGUUAUGAACUAGCUGGCUAGUUUUUUGCUUCCUUGGUUUUAGAAGCACCAUGAAGAUUCAGGUCCAAAUCUUGCUUAUAAUACCCGAAUACCCAAGAUCCUAGCACCUUGCCUUGAAUGGUCGUGUAUAUUUGUUAUGGCUGUUCAGAUUUUAUGCAUCCAUAUUUGGGAGAAUUCUUUAAUAAAGUACAUGCUAUUAGAUGGAAGUUCUCUUUAAAUCUAUUCAAGUCUGAAUAAACUGAUAUUCCAAUUUUCAUGACUUUGAUGUGCUCUUACUCUUCUGCUGUUCCUGACUUUCUUUUUAAGGUCUAUUCUAACGUGCAAUAUUAUUUAUUUAUUUAUUUAUUGUCAUGAUAGAAGUGAUUUUUUUUGGUUGGCCAAAACCCCUUGGAUGCCAAUAAUUGGAGGUCCACUGCCCCAGGCGGAGAACAUGUCAUUGACACGGGUGAUUGGAGAAUUCAAUUGCAGCCUGACUCACGGAAAAGAAUAGUCGACAAAAUGUAAGUACGUGUUUCCUAAUAUGUGCAAGUGCUGCAAAAUAGUAAAUUUUUUAUUUAUAUGAAAGAAAAGUAGAAGGGCAAAAGGUUAAUUAAAAUUAGCUGGACUGCCAUGAGGCAACCUCAAGUAUCACACACCUCUUUUUUUUGUUUUUCAUCUUUUCGCUUGUUUCUCACAAGAAGCAAACUUGAGGGAACGUAAAGUGCUGGGAAGUGAUUUUUGUUGGAACUUCUUGUGUAACAUCUUCUUUUGACGAUGACCUCUUGGAUGGCUGCAUGAAGCUUGUUCCGCUUUAAAUUUCAAGGUUAAUCUAUUGCUAUGAGCAUUGGUGUUUCAAUUUCAACCUUGAGUUGCAACUGAACUUAAAUGAAUAGUGUUGGAUUUGGGCCUUCUAUUUGCUUUAACUUCUACAGGAUUGAAAUGAUAGUGAUCUUAAAGUAGAAAAGCAGCAGACAAAAAUCAAUUAGCCACAAUAGUGUAUGGUUUCCUAGUUUCUCAGUAUAAAGUUGAAUGUUUUGGUGAUAUCUCCACAUCCAAAAUCAUAUAGACAGCUACUGUUGGCACUUGCAGUAGCCAAUGAGCACUGUAGAGUAUAUAUAUUGCAGCGUGAGAUAAGGUUAACUCAUUGCAUUUUCAUAAAUUAAAGGGAUUUCUCUUCUUUUCUUUGUCAAUUACAGUGCAUGUAUAAAAGUUUUCUACAGUGCACUGUAGAGUAAAUGCUAUUGUAAUGUUUUCACAGAGUUCCCCUGGUUUGCAACUAAUGCACUUAUAUAUCUUGGAGCAUAGCCAUAGCCAUAAAUGAAAGGUUCUUCUGGUUCAAGAAAAUUAACCAUGAAGCUCGUAACUAGAAUUUUAGACAGAAGGUUGGCCAAGUAAACUCUUACCUCUGGAAUAAUACGGGGAAACGAAGUAAAAAUAGAUGUCUGUAUUUUGAUGCCAUUUAUUACUUUACUAACACUCGGCUAUAUCAUUAUUUGUUUUUACUUUUUGCUAAUGAUUUUGUUGUAUACAUUUCUGAUAUUAGUGUGGUGUAUGAGUUCACAGUUUUUUCUCACUACUGCUAACUUCUCUAUACCUGCCUUGUCAUUAAAAAUUAAAUGCAAUGUUUUACAUGUGCAGAAUGGAGACAUUAAAGAGGCAUCUUCCGUUUUCUGGUCAGGAGGGAUUACAAGAACUCAAGAAAAUUGCCGUACGGUUUGAGGAAAAGAUUUAUACUGCCGCCACCAAUCAGGUAUUCGGCUAAUGCUAGGUUCAAUAAUUUUGAUAUUCUCUGGACAUGAAUAUACACAUGCAUAAGUUUGUGGAUUUAUGCAUGUACACGUGUGUGUAGUGUGUCCACACUUCCUCACUGGUCAUUCUGUAGAAGUUCUUAUCUUUCCGUUAAUUCUCUUGACAAGUGUUUUAUUUAGAGUGACCAAGGUCCUUUUCAAGUACAAGGGAAGUGUGCAAAAAGCAAAUAACGAAUCAAUACAUAAAUAAUUAAAUAAAAAGAGGAGACACAGAAGUAUAUCCUCACAGAAGAUGCAAAUACAGAAAGCCUAGCAUAUUAGAAAGAGCAUAUAUCUCUUUUCCCCCUUCUCUUGUAACAUGGACUGCUCAGAGAUCUAAUGUUUUGUUAUUGAUAUCUGAUUUCAGUCUGAUUAUCUGCGUAAAAUAUCUCUGAAGAUGCUUACAAUGGAGACCAAGUCUCAAAAUACCAUACCCACUGGCAAUGGUAACAAACCCCUGGAUCCAGGAGGUAAUAAUGCAGCCAAGCAUUGAAUUUCUAAACAUCCUUACCUUUUGUUUUAUAUUUUGCAUUAUUAUCAAACUCUUUUACAUUUUAUUGCUGCAUCCUUACUCUUUUACCAUUAGGGAAAUAAUUUCUAAAAAUUACAGAUUAUUUUUGCCCCCCCCCCCCCCCCCCCCCCCCCGCCAGCCCCAAAAUUGUCAAAUGGCACUUUUAUGCUUUGAGUCAAAACCACCUUAAUUAUUUCCCUCAUAACUUUAUGUGUGAACUGUCAUUGUUUCAUUUGUUUUUCUUGUUCAAUGCCUUCUUUUUUUCCUUUGACAUGGUUAUCCUUUUUGCCUUUUAUCUUGAACAGCAUCUCAUAGUAUGCCGCCUCAAGUUCACAACCAAGGGCAGUCGCUCCCUAUCUCAUUGUCCAGUAAUCAGCCUCAAGCACGUCAGCAGUUAUCACAAAACAUGCAGAAUAGUAUGUCAUCUAAUGGAGUUCAAAGUUCUGCUGGUUUACAAUCAGCAAUGCCUUCUGUCUCCAGUUUAACCCAGACUAUCGCAAACACUGUUGGACAGAAUGCUAACAUGCAGAGUAUCUCUGGUGUUUCACAGAACCCAGUUGGGAAUUUAAUGGGACAAGGGAUUCCCUCCAAUAUGUUUGUCAAUUCUCAGAGACAAAUGCCAGGCAGGCAACAGGUUGUUCCUCCACAGCAACAGCAGCAGUCCCAAAAUCCUCAGCAGUAUCUUUAUCAGCAGCAGAUACAACAACAGCUUUUAAAGCAGAAGCUUCAACAGGGAAAUCAUCCACACUCACUUGUGCAAUCUCACAUCCACCACCAGCAGCAGCAGCAAAACUUGUUACAGCCAAAUCAGUUGCAAUCUGGUUUGCAAACAUCAACUGUUAUGCAGCCUUCAAUGAUGCAAACCGUCUCUGGCCUUCAACAGAACCAACCAUCUUCUGUUCAACAGUCAACACAACCAAUGCACCAGCAACAUCCACAAUCAGUCCUUAGGCAGCAGCAGCAACAACCUCAACAGUCUGCUGGUAUUCAUCAGCAGCAAACACCAAUGAUGCAGCAGCCACUAUUGCCUCCACAACAGCAGCUAAUGGGGCAACAAUCAAAUACCACUAACAUGUCGCAAAAUCAGUUAAUUGGACAGCAAAACAUUGUUGGGGACUUGCAGCAGCAGCAGCAGAGAUUGCUAGGGCAGCAGAAUAACCUUCAAAAUCUGCAGCAGCAGCAGCAGCAGUUAAUGGCUCAACAAAAUAACCUCUCAAGUAUGCAUCAGCAACAGUUGGGCCCUCAAAGUAAUGUCACUGGUUUACAGCAACAGCAGUUGCUUGGAGCUCAGCCUGGUAACUCAAGCAUGCAAUCUAAUCAGCACUCUCUACACAUGCUGCAACAGCCCAAGGUUACGCUGCAGCAGCAAGCACAACAAAGUGGAAGUGCUUUGUUGCCGAAUCAAGGGCAGCAGUCACACUCACAGCUGCCACAGCAGCAAUUGAUGGCACAGAUUCAAUCACAGCCUGGACAGCUGCAACAGCAAUCAAAUCCAUUACAACGUGAUCUGCAGCAAAGGCUUCAAGCAUCAGGCUCCUUGCUUCAACAGCCGAAUGUGAUUGAUCAGCAAAAGCAGUUAUAUCAACCUCAAAGAGCCCUUCCAGAAACGUCCUCAAGUAAGUUUUUGUCAUCCUUGCAGCUUUCUAGCCUUGCUCCAACUUUAAUUUUGCAGCUUUGUGCUUUCAUGUUAGAUUAUAACAUAUUUAUUUAAAUUUCUUGAAAAUACAAUAAUGGUUCAAGUCAGUAAUGCUCUUUUUGGUAGCUUUAUGAGCUACGGCUGCCACUUAUGGCAUCAGAAAUGCCACUGCUAUUGGAGCCAUUGUAAUCACACAUACAUUUGUUACGACAUCAUGCCAUCCAGUGCAUUGCACCAACUAUUCACCUCUCAUAAUGGUUCAAGUCAGCAAUGCUCUUUUGGUAGCUUUAUGUUCUACUGAUGCCACUGCUAUUGAAACCAUUGCAAUCACACUCGUUUGUUACCACAUCAUGCCCUCCAGCUCAUCGCACCAAUUGUUCACCUCUCAUUUUGAAUUUAACAGACAUGAAUUUUAAAAAUAUAUGUAUAACUGGACAAUGCAUUUGACACUAGGGUAACUAAUCAUCAGCCAAUUGAUUUUUAUGGGAAGAAAGAAAUUAGCAAGUGGACUAACUCUGAGGCACUUAAGGUUUGGUGUGCUGAUAAAUCAUUGAGCCUUUUUUUUUAAUAUAUAAUGAUCACUUGUUGGGGGGGGGGGGGGGGGGGAAGCAUUUUAAAGGGUCUCUCUGUCUAUUUGAAUGAUUACAUAACGUUGAGAUGGAGUUCCUAGUACUCCAAGUCCAAAAAGGACUUGUAUUCCUAUGUAAGAAAAUACCAAUGGUCCUAUCUGGGAUAGGGAAAACCUAUUAAAGCUCCUUAUUCUUUAGGAACAAUAAAAUACUAAAUAGAAAUAAAACCAAGACCUACAAUAUUCCAUAAUUUUCAGCAAGUGUGAAAAUUACAGAAAUACCCUUGUGUGCAGAAAACAUUCAUAAAAUACAUGAAUUCUAAUCUUUUGUUGGCUGUAUCAAAAUUUUUGUAGCAUCCCUAGAUUCUACAGCAGAGAUUGGACAUGCAAAUGGUGCUGAUUGGCAAGAGGAGAUCUACCAAAAGGUAAUUUCUGUAGUUUACUGUUCAUUAGAUGAAGUUCAUGUAUGUCAUUGUCUUGCAAGAUUUCAAUGGAAAAGGUCUCCUGGAAUUUGGUACAAGGGAGUUUUAUUCAGCUAUGGUUGUGAUUAGUUAGGAAGCAUUGUAAGUUCCAUGAUUGCAGCAACUAAGAAACGAUAAAUUACUGAUAAGAUGAUUAAAGGUAAAUAAUCAGAUUUCUAGGUCAAGAGGGUUAUUUUCUUGGUACUGACACGACAAUUUUUUCUAUUGCAAAUCUCUCCCUUUCAAUUUUUUCCCUGUAUUUCCAUACAUUUAUUGUGUGGUGAAUUAUUAUUUUAUUAUUUCCAAUAAGUCCAAUUGACAAUACUUCUUACUGUAAUAGACAGACUUGAAAACAAGAGUGAACUGUUUCUGAAUAGUCAUCGUUAUAUUUGGUUAAGUGAACAGUUAUUUUCAGGAUUACAAUCAAAUUUGUUCUGAAACAUGUGACAAUGGAAGAAAGGAAAAUAAGUGGACCUAAUCCAUUGAAUCAUGACCAUGUCCAGUAUUGUUGAAUUUUAUAGAAAACGAGGUUGAAAUUCUGAAUCGUUUAAUGGCUGUAGUUGCAAUUCAUAACUGCAUAUUUGAUGAGGUCAAUUUUUUUGUGCCUGGGAGGGUACUAAAACGGGAAUAGGAGUGGUUGUUGAUAAUUAGGAUAUAAGGGUUAUAAAUCUAAAGUUAUAAGGCUAAGAAGUGUUUACCAAAGUCGUGACAUCCAUUGACUUGAGUUAGAACAAUAGAAAACAAUGGUGAGUAGUUUGCCGUGAGACAAAGUAACUGAACUUGACCAACCCCUGAAUCUUGUCUGAAGGGGUAACUACACAAUCCUUUGCAUGCAAUCAAUAACGAUAUUCUCUUUUGAGUUUUCGGCAUUGAUUCCACUUUGCUAUUUUUAUCUCAAACAAUAUAUGCUGUCCUCUGCCAUUUUAUUUAUUUAUUUAUUUAUCAAUUCUCUCAAGUUUGCUUAUGUUUCUUUCUGACUCUGGCACGUGAAGAAAUCAAGCAUAUGAUUGAUAAUGUCUUGCUGGUUAUAUGUACUUCCUAGAUCAAAGUUAUGAAGGAAACGUAUUUGCCUGAAAUAAAUGAAAUGUACCAGAGAAUUGCUACCAAGUUACAGCAGGUAAAUUGUCUUUGUAAUUUUUUCCGAUUUAUUUGCCCACACAUAUUCAUAAACCCCCACAGUUGAGCUUUUGUAUUAAUUUGUUUUCCCCAUCAGCAUUGCUUGUCACUGUAUCAUCUGCACUAAUUACCUCCCCCACCCCCAACCACCCCACAACCAUGCAUUGACACAGAAGAAUUGGAAUAGAAACAUUUUUUUCACUUAUGUUUUACUAGUUUUGCUAGAAAGGAUCAAUGCAAUUUUUAAUUCUCGUGUAUGUUAACUUUGCUUUCCAGCAUGACCCUCUUCCGCAACAACCGAAGUCAGAACAGCUUGAAAAGCUGAAGGUAUUCAAGGUCAUGUUGGAGCGCUUGAUAACAUUCUUACAGGUCUCUAAAAACAACAUCACACCUAAUUUCAAGGAGAAAUUGGGUUUCUAUGAGAAGCAGAUUGUAGGUUUUCUAAACCCAAGCAGAUACAGGAAGCCUAUUCCUAAUCUACAGCAAGGACAACCUCCCCAACCUCGUAUUCAACCUAUGCAGCAACCCCAAUCUCAAGUUCCUCAAUUGCAGUCCCAUGAAAAUCAACUGAUUCCCCAGUUGCAAUCAAUGAAUACGCAAGGUUCUGUACCACAGAUGCAGCAGAACAAUAUGUCAAGCUUGCUGCAUAAUUCCCUUUCAACUUUAUCUGGGGAUUCGACGUCACAAUCAAACAUGAUGAAUCCAAUACAACCAGGCUCCAAUUUAGAUUCUGGACAAGGAAAUGCACUGAGCUCAUUGCAGCAGACACCUGUAGGAUCUGUACAACAGAAUCUCGUGAGCAUUUCCCAACCAACCAAAGUUAACACAUUGUCAACACAAAGUGGGGGGAGUAUGCUGCAGCCAAAUAUUCCCCUUCAGUCGAAUUCCAAUAUGAUUCAACACCAGCAUCUAAAACAGCAGCAGCAGCAGCAGCAUGAACAACAGAUGCUACAAACACAACAGCUUAAACGAUUCCAGCAACACCAGAAUUUAAUGCAGAAUCAACAGAUGCAGCAGCAGCAAUUACACCAGCAAGCUCCGUCUCCUAUGCCAGGAGAUUCUGACAAACCAGUUUCUGGUAUUUCCUCACUCUUAGAUACUGGAAAUAUUGUACACCAACCAUCUGUUGCACAAGCACUGGCUCCAUCCCUUGCAAUUGGCACUCCUGGGAUAUCUGCAUCACCUUUGCUUGCAGAGUUUACCAGUCCUGAUGGUGCUCAUGGCGGUGCUUUGACAACUGUUUCUGGCAAGUCAAAUGUUACAGAGCAAUCACUUGAGUGCUUGAUUAAAGCGGUUAGUGAUGCUCUCCUUUUGGUUUUACUCCACCCCACCCUUAUUUUGGAGGUUUCUGAAAAAGAAAGAAACUUCUUUGUGAAUGAGAUGGUGAUGCUGCAAUUUUUUUUCCCAGGUGAAAUCUCUGUCUCCCAAAGCACUUAGUGCAUCUGUCGGUGACAUUGGCUCCGUUGUCAGUAUGAUUGACAGAAUUGCUGGUUCUGCAGCUGGUAAUGGAUCUAGAGCUGCAGCUGGUGAGGAUUUGGUAGCAAUGACAGGAUGUCAUCUUCUUUCGUUUUUGUCUUUUUUAUUUUUCACGUGUUUCUCACAAGAUGGGAACUCGAGGGAAUAAAAAGUGCUGGGAAGUAAUUUUUGUUGGAACGUCUUGUGUAACAUCUUCUUUCGAUGAUGACCUUUUGGAUGGCUGCAUGAAGCUUGUUCCGCUUUAAAUUUCAAGGUUAAUCUAUUUCAAUUUGAAACUUGAGUUGCAACUGAACUUAAAUGAAAAGUGUUGGAUUUGGGCCUCUAUUUGUUUUAACUUGUACAGGGUUGAAGUGAUAGUGAUCUUAAAAGUACAAAAGCAGCAGACAAAAAUCAAUUAGCCACAAUAUAUAGUGUAUGGUUUCCUACUUUCUCAGUAUAAAGUUGAAUGUUUUGGUGAUAUAAUCUCUACAUCCAAAAUCAUAUAGACAGCUACUGCUGGCACUUGCAGUAGCCAAUGUUAACCAAAAUCAUAUAAUCUUAAAGUUGAAUGUUGUAUUUUCAUAAAUUAAAGGGAUUUCUCUUCUUUUCUUUGUCAAUUACAGUGCAUCAUAAUAAGUUUUCUUACUCAGUAAAUGCUAUUGUAAUUUUUUCACAGAGACUCCCCUGUUUUGCAACUAAUUCACUUCUGAAUAAAUCUGGGAAACAGAAAGGCAAUCAACAAAGAGUAAGGCAUCUUCUGAAGAAACAAAGAAAUUUAAUACCAUAAACUAAGCAGCACGUAGAAGGCAAAAACUGAGCACAAAUUUUCAGGAAGGGACAAACGAAAAAAACCAAAAAGAAAGCAAAGAAAAAUACAGACUCAAAUUCACAACACCCAUUUUCUUUCCAUUGGAACACUUUAAAUAGUUUAUUAAAUUUAUAAUGAUCUGAUUUCUACGCAUAUAAAAAAAUCAACUAAAUGAUCAAUUCUCUAUAAUUUCGGCAUUACUAAAAACAUCCAAACUAAUAAACAAUUAGUUAUUUUACUCAUUUUAAUAAACAUUUUAGUUAUGAAUUCACCAAACAUUUUGAACAAUUCAUAUUGAUGAAUUAACAUUUAAAUUUUAGAUUUUUUGAUUUAUUAUUUCCUUCGUGAGUUACUUCUAAAGUAUGCUAUAUAUCUUUAAGCAUUUUUAUAGAAUAUAAUUCUAUCAAAUUCACUUUUACCCAAUGCAUAAUAUAAAGUAUUCAUGGCUUUAACAUCCAUAAAAAAUAACUUUUUAUCAUUGUCCGUAUAUUCCCUUUUAGUUUUAGAAAUCUCAAUACCAUUUUUAAUUUGAUAGGUCUAGGAGAUCUAUUUUGUAUGGAUAGCCACAAAUUAAAAUCAAUAAAUUGAUAAUAAAUUAUCAUUAAACAAUUUAUUACUUGCUCUUUGGUAAUAAGAAUGUGAUUGUAAUAUUAUUUUGUAUGGAUAGUUUUAUCUAUCUAUUAUCUCAAUAACAAGAUUAACUUUGCAAUUAUAUAUCACACUUAUAUAAUCUCAAAUAAUAUUAAUUAAAAUGAAUCACAAAAAUUUAACACAGUAAUUCUGCAAAAAAAAUAAAAACAAUUUAAUAAACAAUUUAACUUUGCAAUUAUGUUUUUAUUUGUUUGUUUUUCUAUGAGACACAAUGGAAUUUUCAAUAGAAACUACAACAAUACAAAUAAUUACAAAUAUUUUUCUUUCAACAUCAACAUAAAAAAACAUUAUGCACUUUUCGAUACUUACGUAAUUCUAGGAUUAAAGAAACAAUAACAUCUAAGGGGGGUGAAUUGGGUGUUGCACUAAUUAUAUCAAAUAAUGGUGUUGCACUAAUUAUAUCAAAUAAUGCAAUAAUUAACAAUAUAAUUAAAGUGUUUAAAGUAAAUAGAUAAGGAAAUAGAUAUUACAAACUCGGUUUUUAAUGUGAUUCGGUAAGCCUACAUCUACACCUCAAGUACUAACCGUACUUGAGUAUUGUACUCUUUUACCAAUCCAAGUGAAAUAUACAAAUGCCCUUGAUAAAUCCACACCGAGAAAUUAUACCACUUGAAGUUUUUUCUCUUGGUGACAAUACAUCACUAAUGCUAGGAGUUUAUCCAAACUCACAAAUGUUUACAAUUAUAAUUUGUUUGCAACAAGAUUCACUCUCUCAUAAAGUAAAUUGUACAAUUGAAAACUAUAAUCUUUAUAACUCACUCGAUAGCACUCAAGAUGAUUGAAAGUGUGUAAAUAUAAUGAGUGUGAGACAUUAUACUCAUGUGUUAGAAUAUAAAGAUUUAAUUUAGCACAACUUAAAAGCAUGUUAUGAUUGAUGAUUUCUAAUUGAUUUUUUUUUAAAAUAACUUCUAUGUUAUAUAUGUUUGGAAUCUCUCUUUUAUUUGUUAUAUAUAUAUAUAUAAACUAAUUGUUUAUAGUUGUUGAGAUGUCUCUAACAGCUAAAGUAAUCUAUAUGCAACUUAAACAAAAGAAUUCCAAUUAAAUGGAAUUGCACUUAACAUGUAUUAUUUCAAAUGCAACAAUUGCAUAGAUAACAGACAACAAGGAAUUUAACAGAAGAUAUAUACACUUUACUUUUCCUACUAAAAUUAAACUAUUGGAAUUUAACAUAGUCAUAAUCAAUUUGUUCUUGUGAGAUUAUCUAUUACAUGUAUAACAAAUAUAUUAGAAAAUAAAUUGUUUUAAGAUUGUUAGAACACCUUAAAUAGUUCAUAAAAUUAUUGUUCCAUUUUACUAUAAUAAUCAAGUUUCCACAUAAUAUAAAUCAUGCAUAUAAAUUAAUAAUCAAAAUAAAAAUUAAAUUAAGAUAACAAUCAAUUUUUUAACUUUAAAAUAAUUUAUCAUCUAUUUUCUAAUACUAAUAGUAUGAUUGUAAUAUUAUUUUUUAAUUUAUUUAAUAAUUUAAUUUUGAUAGCACAACCAAAAAUAAAUAAUGAACCAAAAUUUAUAUGAUAUUUUUUAUAAAAAAUUUGAUAAAAAAAAUAUAAAAACAAAAAUAAUGUCUCAAUUAGAAUAAUUUUUUCAUUAAUGAGAAGGCCCACCACAGACCAAGAGGACAGCUUCAAUGAAGCCAAUGCAGGUGAUUACCCGUCGGCUAACAUCUCCUCGCGCGCCUAGCACCAGCUAAACCGCCUCAAUCUGAACAUGCACCAGACAAAGUCUAUGAAAAGACGCCAGGGAGCCUCAGCAGCCGAGAAGAAAGCACGGGAACACCCACCGCGCGAGAAGAAACGCGAAAAACAGGAGACGGAGCGCGGUAAAGACUGAAGCCACAGGAUUCACAUACAGUGAAGCACUCUUAGUUUUAUAUAUAUAUAAUUCUUUUAGUUUGUUAGUUAUGAACAGUGAAGCAGCACAAGAAUACAAUUCUCCUGUUUGUUUGCUGGAAAAUAGUUUUUUUUAGAAAGUGAAUUAUUUUCCGAUGUUUGGUAGUGUAAUGGAAAAUAAGUUAGAAAACAUUUUUCAGUGUUUGGUUAUGUCAUGGAAAAUGAGUUGGAAAAUAACUUAUUAAUAUUUUAUUUUUUUCAAUUUUAUUAAAAUAAUAAAGAAUAAAUCUUACAAAUUAAAAAGUUGAAUGAAAAUAAAAUUGAAAAAAAAUAUAAUUUCAUAAAUUAUCUUAAAUAAAAUAAAUAAUAAUCAAAAUAAUAAAAAUCAAAUCUAAAAAAUAAAAAAUUUGAUCGCUUCAUUAAUUUCUCGUUAGGAAAAUGUUGAGCUUCUCAGCAAUAUUUCCUUACCUUGUGCCGCUAACUUGACGGUAAAAUGUGAUUAAAGGAUCAAUUAAUUAUUUAAAUCAACUUGAGGGAUUAAUCUGUUUGUUUAACAAAAAUACAGACACUAGUUAAAUAGAAUUUAACUCAAAUUUUAAUCAUCAUAUGCGUGCGUGUGCGUGUGCGCACGCGUGCGAGCGAGGGUUUACUCGUUAAUUUUUUUAGAAGGAAUCUGGAAAAGAAUAAAGUCAUCUAUUUCACUUUGGUCCAACAUCCCUCAAAGGCGCAGCUGUGCAUCUAGUUAGGAAGAACAUUUUAUAACUCACCUCAAGGUCGAGCAUGGUCAGGGUUAUUGUGUUGUCUAUUCCGAGGAAGAUGUGGCGUUCAAUCCAUGUGAAUCGCACGACUUGUCCAUAUCUUUCUUAUUGAUUACAAAUAGCAUUGAGAAUUAAAGAAUAUUAUCUUAAUAAGUUCCAAUUUAUUCUACAAAACUAUAUAUAAAGAUGUGACAAAAAGAUGUAUACAAAUUAGUUAUUUAUUGUUUGUAAGUAUUAUUGUAUUGCAAAGACAAAAAUAAGAUGCAACUUAUGGCGUGGUCGUCCAACCUGGUUCUGGUUUUGAUCCUGUUCAAAAUCUAUUUUGUUGAAUUGUUGAUCUACUUGUGAGUUAUUGGGUUAACUAGAUCAAUUUUUUAAACAAAACAAUGCCAUUUUAAAAAAAAAAUUGGUUCUGACAUAGAAAUAUAAUAUUAGAAACUUAAACCUUAUUGAUUAGCAAAAACUCAAUGGGAAAUUUAGUUUUGAAAUAGAUUGUUGUAAAAUCAAAUAUGAAUUGAUAACCAGAAAGUUUGCUUAAAAUUGCAAUAACCUUAUAGAAGAAAGCAAACAUAAAUAGAAUUAUUAAAUUCAAUGGAGUUCAUAUAACCAGGAUCACGAGUUUAGCGAGUUAAGCCAUGAAACCCUAAUCGAUCAAAUAUGUCGCCGUUUCAAUUAAAAAAAAUACAUCUUAAAAAGAAUUAAGCUAAACCACGUUUCUACCUAUUAUCUGGGUUGUCUUUAGACUUGUCAAGUCGACUGAGCCAUAUUAGGACAACUUCCAUAUAAUUAAAUUUGAAACUCGAGCUAGAUAAGAAAUCAGGUCAGGAAAUUUUAAUAUUGAUUUGUUGAAUCGGAUUUAAUAACAAUGCCAAAGAUCUGAAUAUUUAUUUUUUACUCAAUUUUUUUUAGGUCCUGUUUGUUUGAUGGAAACAGUUUUUUUUUAGAAAGUGAAUUCCUGUAAAGUGAAUUAUUUUCUGAUGUUUGGUAGUGUGAUGGAAAAUAAAUUAGAAAAUAUUUUCCAGUGUUUGGUUAUGUUAUGAAAAAUGAGUUGAAAAAUAGCUUAUUAAUAUUUUAUUUUUUUUCAAGUUUAUUAAAAAAACGAGGAAUAAAUCUUACAAAUUAAAAAGUUGAAUGAGAAUGAAAUUGAAAAAAAUAAUCUAAUUUUAUAAAUUAUUUCAAAUAAAAUAAAUAAUAAUCAAAAUAAUAGAGAUCAAAUCUAACAAAUAAAAAAAUUGAAAGAUGAUGAAAUUAAAAUAAUAAUAAUUACAAUUUCAUAAAUUAUUUCAAAUAAAAUAAAUAACAAUUAAAAGAAUAAGGACCAAAUUUGAUAGAUAAAAAAUUUCAAUUAAAAAAAUGAUAAGACAAAAGCAAAUAACAAUCAUAAAAAUAAGGACCACAGUUAAUAUAAAAAUCAAAUUAAAUCAAAUUUUAAGGAAGGAAAUUAAAAAAAAAGAUUCAAACAAAAUAUAUAUCAAUUAAAAGUUUGAAGACUAAAUUUGAUAUAAUCAGCAAAUAAUAUGAUAUUUCUAAAUUUUUCACAACUUCUGGAAAAUGUUUUCCGUCCAAAAUAAAAGGAAAAUACUUUCCUGAAAAUCGAGUUAAAUUUUUCUUUGACUGUAAAGUGUUUUCCAUUGACCAACUUUUUUAAUGACAAACAAACACAUGAAUGUUUGGAAAGUGGUUUCUAGAAAAUUAUUUUCCAGGCAAACAAACACCCCCUUAAUUCAAUCACUAAAGAGUUAUCCAAGAAUAAUUAUUCUCCACUAGCAGUUGUUGCAUACUAAAUUUUUUUUGUCAAAACAUACAUGAUAGGUGGCUUCAAUAUCAAUCCACCAUUUUUUAGGAUUUUCCAUGAAGUUUACUUCUAAUAUAACUACAACAAGCUUAGUAGCUUUCUCAUCAACAUUCUCAAUCAUAUGCUAAGAAAUCAUGGUUUUGUUGAGCUUUGUUAUCAUCAUAGGCUUGAUGAUGGAAGGAUUAUUGCUUCAUCAUGCUUUAUAUUUAAGUUCACGCCACUCAAAUUAUUUUGGUUUUUUCCCCACAUGAAGAAUGUUUAGGAAUCGGGUUUGCCAUCUAAACCACAAAGAUUACUAGGUUAACAAGUACAUCGAAAUCAUUAACAAUAGUUUUAUCCAUCUAUUAUCUCAAUAAUAAAAUUAACUUUGCAAUUAUAUAUCACGCUUAUAUAAUCUCAAAUAAUAUUAAUUAAAAUGAAUCACAAAAAUUUAACACACUAAUUGUGCAAAAAAACAAUUUAAUAAACAAUUUAACUUUGCAAUUGUGUAUUUAUUUAUUUGUUUUUCUAUAAGACACAAUGUAAUUUUCAAUAGAAACUAUAACAAUACAAAUAAUUAUAAAUAUUUGUCUUUUGACAUCAACAUAAGAAAACAUUAUGCACUUUUUUAAAGUUACGAUAAAAACAAAUCUGAUUGAUACUUAUGAUAUUCUAGGAUUAAAGCAAUAAUAACAUCUAAUAGAGAUAAAUUAGGUGUCAAACUAAUUAUGUCAAAUAAUACAAAUAAACAUGCUAAACACAUAUAAUAUAAUAAUCAACAAUAUAAUUAAAAUGCUUAAAAUAAAUAGAUAAGAAAAGAGAGAUUACAAACUCGGUUUUUAACAUGGUUCAGUAAGUCUACAACCACAUCUCAAGUACUAAUCGUAAUUGAGUAUUGUAUUCUUUUACUAACCAAUAAUAUAUUAUUUCACCAGUAAUUAUUAUCCAAUAUGCAACUUUUUUUUCCAAUCUUCUGUUUUUUUUUUCCAUAUCAAUCCAACAAUAAAGAAAAUAACAUGUAACAUAAAAUUUCUUUCCCCGUAGAAUCAAUGCAACAAGUAUACAGAUACCACACAACAAACAAUUUAACAAGUCAUGUAAUUUAACAGAAGAUAUAUUUACUUUGCUUUUCCUACUAAAUUUAAACAACUUUUUUGUAAUCUAUGUCAACAUAUAAAACAUAUAUAUAAAUCAAUAAAAAAAAUAAAAAAUAGGUAGAGGUAAUGAUUAAUUUUUUAGCUUUAAAAUUUUUUAUCAUCGCCUCUUUAUGCUAGUAAUGUAAUUGCAAUAUUAUUUUAAAUUAAUUUAAUAUUUUAUUUUUGAUAACAUAACCAAAAAUAAACAGCGAACCAGAAUUUAUAUAGAGUUUCCUAUAAAAAUUUUGAUAAAAAAAAAUAUAAUAGAAAUAAGUUUAUAAAAACAAAAACAAUGUCUCAGUUAGAAUAAUUUUUUCAUUAAUGAGAAGGCCUGCCACAGACCAAGAGGAGAGCUUCAAUGAAGCCAUCCCAGCCGAUGCAGGUGAUUACUCAUCGGCUGACAUCUCCUCGCAUGCCUAGCACCAGCCAAACCGCCUCAAUCUGACAUGCACCAGACAAAGUCGAUGAAAAGACGCCAGGGAGCCUCAGCAGGCGAGAAGAAAGCGCGGGAACACCCACCGCGCGAGAAGAAACACGAAAAACAGAGACGGAGCGCGGUAAAGAUUGUGAAGCCACAGGAUUCACACAUAGUGCACCGUGUUUUAAUGAGUUAUAUGUAUAUAUAUAUAUAUAAUUAUUUUAGUUUAGUUUUAGUUUGUUAGUUAUGAACAGUGAAGCAGCACCAGAAUACAAUUCUUUUAGUUUGUUAGCGAAUUUGGAAAGAAUAAAGUCAUCUGUCAAGCUCUGUUCACUUUGGUCCGACAUUCUUCACCUCUCCCCACCUGAGCUCUCUCUCUUUCCCUCCUCCGCUCUAGGAAGCCGCCACCACCUCAACCAAUAAGGCUUCAAAUCUCCACCAGGUGCUUCCUUUUCUAUCAUGUUUUUUAUUUUUAAAAUUUACAUCUGUGUUUUCAUUUAUUUAACUGAAAUUCUUAUCCAGAGAGAUAAAUUCGAUUUUAAUAAGUAAAUUAAAAAGAUAUAUAAUCGGAUCGAUGAAAUCGUUGUUCGUGAACGCAACUCGAAGAAAGGCGUAAUCAGCCGAUUCUACUGUGGGUGGAGCAUUUAGUAUGGUCAGGGUUAUUGUGUUGUUUAUUCAAAGAAAGACAUGCCUGUAAAUUUGUUAAGUUGAUUCUUAUCAGUCUGCUCUUUAGAGUUAAUGAUAACAUGAAAUAUUCAUUGUUAAUGCUCGUUGUUUUCUUCGUCUUUUUCCUAGACUAAAACAUCCUAGACAGUCUCUUUGGGAUGGGUUAGUGUUUCUGGCCUCUUCAUCUUCAAUUUGUGCUGUGGUGAAAGGCCUCGUUUUAUGACUUUGUUUUGUAUUCUUCUUAUUUCUUUAUUCUUUUGGGGAUGUGGUGUUUUCCUCUUUCUAUUACACUAUUUACUCCCUACAAUAUUUAUUUUUUCAGAGAAGUAAAUAUAUGCAUAAAUAACAAAAACAGGAGGGGAAGGGGAAUGGGGUUUGAUAGUAAGUAUUUGCUUAGAAGGGAAUGCUUCUUCGGUUUAGAAGCACCAUGAAGAUUCUUUGCUUUGAAUGGCCGAAUACCCAGGAUCCUAGCACCUAGGCCUGAAUGUUUGUGUAUAUUUGUUAUGCAUCCAUAUUUGGCUGAAUUCUUUAAUAAAGUACAUGAUAUUAGACGGAAGUUCUUUUUAAAUCUAUUCAAGUCUGAAUAAACUGAUAUUCCAUUUUUCAUGUUCUUGAUGUGCUUUUGCUCUUCUUGUCGUUCCUGACUUUCUUUUAAGGGUCUAUUCUAACAUGCAAUAUGAUUUUUUUUUUCUUUUUGGUUGGCCAACUGUCCUAGGCGGAGAACCUAUCAUAGACACGGGUGAUUGGAGAAUUCAAUUGCAGCCUGACUCAUGGAAAAGAAUAAGCGACAAAAUGUAUGUGCAAGUGCUGCAAAAUAGUAAAUUUUUUUAUUUAUAUGAAAGAAAAGGAGAAUGGCAAAGGGUUAAUUAAAAUCAACAAGAUAGCCAUGAGGCAACCUCAAGUAUCACACACCUUUUUUUUUUUUCAUCUUUUAAUGUGUUUCUCACGAGAAGAAAACUUGAGGGAACAUAAAGUGAUGGGAAGUAAUUUUUGUUGGAAUUUCUUGUGUAAUCUCUUCUUUUGAUGAUGACCUCUUGGAUGGCUGCAUGAAGCUUGUUCCGCUUUUAAUUUCAAUUUAAAACUCGAGUUGCAAUUGAACUUAAAUGAAUGGUGUUGGAUUUAGGCCUUCUAUUUGUUUUAACUUCUACAGGGUUGAAAUGAUAGUGAUCUUAAAGUUGAAAAGCAACAGACAAAAAUCAAUUAGCCACAGUGGUGCAUGGUUUCGUAGUUUCUCAGCAUAAAGUUGAAUGUUUUGUUGACCUCUCUACAUCCAAAAUCAUAUAGACAGCUACUUCUGGCACUUGCAUUGGUCAAUGAAUACUGUAAAGUAUAUAUUGCAGUGUGAGAUAAGGUUAACUCGUUGCAUUUUCAUAUAUUGAAAAGAUUUGUCUUCUUUUCUUUGUCAAUUACAGCAAAUGUGUAGAAGUUACUCAGAGUAAAUGCUAUUGUAAUGUUUUCACAUACUCCCCUGCUUUGCAACUAAGUCACUAAUAUAUGAAGCUCGUAGCUAGAAUUUUUAGAUAGAAGGGUGGCCAAGUAAACUCCUAUAAUAUGUACCUCUGGAAUAAUACAGGGAAAAGAUGUCUAUGUAUUUUGAUGUCUUAUAAUACUUGACCAACUCUUGCUUAUCUUGUUGUUACCCAUUUUUUAGUUCACAUAAAAAUGAGAAAAUACAAAAAACAAAUAUCAAAAGAAAUCCAAAAAAUAAUAGGAGCGAGAAAAGGAUUGCUGGAAUGCCGAAAAAAAAAUGCCAAAAUUGGUUGAGGAGAUUCAAAAAUGCAAAAGGUUGAAAUUUGACAGUGAGAGUCCUGUUGAUGAGGAAAAUUCAAUUUGAGAAAGAAAAGUCCAAAAUCAGAUGUUUAUGGACUCAAUUAAAUUUUAUCCAAGGUUUAAUUGAAUUUAUAGAGGGUUUGAUUGCAAGAAAAUUGAUUUUGUAAGUCAAUUUAGGCUUUUAUCGGAAGAAAUUAAAGUUCUGGGGUCCAAUUAUAAUUUUAAAGAGUUGAUUUGGUCAAAUCAGGGGCUUAAUUGCAUAAUUAUUGAAGUUUGAUGGCCAAUUAGGGACUUAAUUGAAAUAAUUUGAGACCAAGGAUCAAACCAGAAAAGGCGCUAACAUUAAGGGAUCCAAUUACAAUUUUGUCAGGGGGGUUUGAUUAUAAAACAGCGAAAACUUCAAGGGCCAAAUUAGAAGAACCCAAGCGGCGCCGUUUCCACCAUUAAUGGUCUUCAAACAGCUGUGAAUCGGUGACGAUAAUGGAAGGAGACGUUAGCAGCAAUUAUGGAAAAUAUUCUCAAUUCAAUGGGGCUGGUAUCGCGGCUGACAUCCCUCGUCACCGUGAUGGGCGCCGGCUUACCAAUAUUGCUGGCGUCCUCUGGCUAUAAAAGCCAGAGGAAGAGCUGCACCAAAAAUAAAAGGAGGUGAGAGAGAGGAGAGGCUACAGUGAAGAAAAAAAAAGGGGAGUGAGACAGUUUAUGAGAACGUAAGAAAAGUGAGAGGGUGGAGAAAUAGCGAGCAAGCAUAAGGGAGAGAAGAGGAAGGAGAGAAAGAAGCAAACCGAACGGGAACAGAGGACACGGUGAAGCAGAGAACCCAGCACCACCAUCGUCUUCGUCUUCUCAAAAUCAGGUAUGUUCGAUGCCCUUCUCCGUUUCCUUGCAAAAUGAGAUGAUGCAUGUUAGUAUGUAAAAUACAGAAAGAAAAUAUAAGGAAACCGACACCAGAAAUCGCCAGUUACAAUGCUCUGUUUUGUUUUCCUUUUUCAUUCUCGCACUGCAACAAAGAUGGUUAACAGAGCGAAGGUAAUUUAAUUACCUUCGCCCUGUUCAUACAAGCCUAAAUAUAUUAUGGUGCCAUUAGAUAAAAAUAUGCCUUGCAGUCUAGAUGGUCAGCUUACCUGGCUCUCAUCCGAGAGACCCGGUUUCAAGUCCCAACAAGGGAAUUCCUUUUUGAAGGUGGUCACUGGCAUGGGCCAGUGACCAUGCUGGGCUAGCUGAAUCCAGCCCAGCUACGCAGGUUGGCUGGGGUCCAGCCCAGCCAUAUGGGCCGGGUUGGGCCCAGCAAUAAAAAAUAAAAGAAUAAAAAUAAAUAAAAAUUCAAAAAAAUUAUUUAAAUAUCUGUGAUUUUCCGUCAAUUUUUACUGCAUUUUAAUUAAUACGGUUUGUAUUUUUAUACUGUAAAGAUACAAAUCCGGUAUUAAAAUACCAUAUUUUGGUCCAAACAUUAAAAAAGAAGUUUUGUUUUCAUACAUACGGCUAAGUCUCUCAAAAAUAAAAAAUCAUAUUGUAUUUUCAUACAACAAAGAAAAUUUCAAAAAAUAUGUAUUAGCAUGCAUUUUGGCUUUAAUAACCAGUUUAUUAAAGUCACGAGAACUAGGCCAAUAUUUCAAAAAUUCUAAAAAAUUUAUUUUGUUUUCUUUUAAUAUCGGGGGCCGGGUUAUGAUCUUAUACGUAAGACGUGUUCCAGAUAUUAAAUUUUCUUUGUUGGCAUUAGACCGGUUAGGUUUUACCCGAUAAGAUAAGGAUCUCUUUACCGAAGAGAACUUUUCUUAAACCAUAAACGGACCAACAAAUAGAAAGCACAACAUGACCUUAGAUUUUAUCAGACAAUAAAACAAUGCAGCUUACCUUAGGUAGGGCGUAUUUGGGGUGCUAAUACCUUCCCUUUACGCAACCAAUCCUCGUACCCGAUCUCUGAGACCAGUUAGGGUUCCUAGUGACCAAAAUACUAGGUGACGACUUUCAUUCUAUUUUUUCACUGAUAAAAGACAAGAAUACCUUGUCUCCACACAUUUGCCACAUUUUUAGAUAAGAUAAGAUAGAAUUCGAGGGUGGAUGUUUUCGCCGCGACGCCGCACACGUGCGACAUAUCUCAUUAUUUGUUUUUACUUUUUGCUAAUGAUUCCACACAUUUCUGAAAUUGGUGUGGUUUAUGAGUUCAGGGUUCUUGCUUGCUGCUGCUAACUUCUCUAUACUUGCCUGGUCAUUAAAAAUGAAACGUAAUGAUUUGCAUGUGCAGAAUGGAGACAUUAAAGAGGGAUCUUCUGUUUUCUAGUCAGAAGGGAUUACAAGAACUCAAGAAAUAUGCCAUACGUUUUGAGGAAAAGAUUUAUAUUACCGCCACGAAUCAGGGUUCAAUAAUUAUGAUAUUCUCUUGACAUGAAUAUACACAUGCAUUUAUGCAUGUACAAAUGUGUGUGUAGUGUGCCUCCACUUCCUCACCGUGCAUUCUGUAUGCAAGGCUGAUUGGGAGUUCGCAUGUUUUUGUUAAUUCUCUUGACAAGUGUUUUAUCUAGAGUGACCAAGUUCAAGUACAAGGGAAGUGUGCAAAAAGAAAAUAGCAAAUCAAUACAUAAAUAAUUAAAUAAAAAGAGAGGAAACAGAAGUAUAUCCUCACAAACGAUGAAAUGAUAGAGCAUAUAUCCAUUUUCCUCCUCUUGUAACAUGGAUUGCUCUGAGAUCUAAUGUUUUGUUAUUAAUAUAUGAUUUCAGUAUGAUUAUCUGCGUAAAAUAUCUCUGGAGAUGCUUUCAAUGGAGAUCAGGUCUCAAAAUACCAUGCCCACUGCCCCCAUGGAUCCAGCAGGUUAUAAUGCAGCCGAGCAUUGAAUUUGUAAACAUCUUACCUUUUGUUUUGUUUGUCGCAUUGUAAUCAAACUCUUUUACAUUUUAUUGCGGCAUAUUGCUAUGUGUUUAGCAUGCUUUAAUCAAAAAGUUGAGUAAUUGAUGAAUGUUAGGCAAGAAUAUUACAGAUUGUUUUUGUUUUCUGCCUCCUCCUUUUCUUUCCUCCACCUUGAAAAUUGUCAUAUUAUUUUUGUUUUCAGUCGCCUCUUCUUCCCCCAUCCCUGAAAAUUGUCAGAGGACAUUUUUAUGCUUUGAAUCAAAUCCAUCCUAAUUUUUUCGCUCAUAACUUUAUGUGUGAACUGCAUAUGUUUCAUUUGUCUUCCUUGUUCAGUGCCUUCUUUUUUUCUGUGACAUGGUUUUCCCUUUUGCCUUUUAUCUUGAACAGCAUCCCAUAGUAUGCGCCCUGAAGUUCAGAAUCAAGGGCUGUUUCUCCCUAUCCUAUUGUCCACUGAUCAGUCUCAAGCAUGUCAGCAGUUGGUAUCACAGAACAUGCAGAAUUGCAUGGCAUCUAAUGGAGUUCAAAGUUAUGCUGGUUUACAAGCGGCACUGCCUCCUGUCUCUGGUGUAACCCUGACUAACCCCAACACUGUUGUCCAGAAUCCUAACAUGCAGAGUAUCCCUGGUGUUUCACAGAACUCAGUGGGGAAUUCAAUGGGACAAGGGAUUCCCUACACUAUGUUUGCCAAUUCUCAGAGACAAAUGCCAGGUAAUGCUCUUUUUGGUAGCUUUAUGUGCCACUGCUUCCCUUUAUGGCAUUAGAAAUGCCACUGCUAUUGGAACUAUUGCAAUCACACAUGCAUUUGUAACCACACGAUGCCCUACAGUGCGGUGCACCAACUGUUCACCUCUCAUAAUGGUUCAAGUCAGCAAUGCUCUUUUAGGUAGCUUUAUGUGCCACUGCUGCCACUUGUGGCAUUAGUAAUGCCAUUGCUAUUGAAACCAUUGCAAUCACACACGUAUUUGUUACCACAUCAUACCCUCCAGUGCAUUGCACCAGCUAUUCGCCCUCUCAUUCUGCAUUUAUAUGAUCACAUAACAUUUAUAUGAAGUUCUUAAUACAAAAAGGACUUGUAUUCCUAUAUAGGAAAAUACUAAUAGUCCUAUCUAGAAUAGAAAAAACCUAAUGAAGCUCGCUAUACUUUGGGAAUAAUUAAAUACUAAAUGGAAAAUAAAACUGAGACUCGUAAUAUUUCAUAAUUUUCAGCAAGCGUUAAAAUUAUAGAAAUACCCUUGUAUAUGGAAAACACACAAAAAUACAUGAAUUCUAAUAUUUUGUUGUCCGCAUUGAAAUUUUUGUAGCAUCCCUAUAUUCUACAGCACAGACUGGACAUGCAAAAGGCGCUGAUUGGCAAGAGGAGAUCUAUCAGAAGGUAAUUUCUGUGAUUUACUGUUCAUUAGAUGGAGUUCAUGUUUGCCAUAGUCUUGCAAGAUUUCAAUGGAAAAAGGUCUCAAGAAAAUAAGUGGGACUUAUUCCAUUGAAUCAUGACCACAUCCAGUAUUGUUGAAUUUUACAGAAAAUGAGGUUGAAAUUCUGAAUGUCUCAAGUCAUAGCUGCAUGUUUAAUAAGGAGAUUUUUUUUUUGUGCUUAGGAGAGUUUUAAAACGGGAAUAAGAAUGGUUGUUGAUAAGGACAAUUUUUUUUGUGCUGAGGAGACCAAUAUUUGCUGAGCAAUUCUAUAAUGAAAAGUUGGCGACUGAUGUUUUAAAAAUUGGAGUUAAGGAAUGGCUUAGAGUGCAUGGAGAUCAUGUUAAAAGUGAAGCUGUAGAGAAGGCAAUCACUCAAAUUAUGAUGGGUGAAGAAGCAGAGGAAAUGAGUAGCAGAGCAAAGAAACGGCCAGGAAGGCUGUUGAAGAAGGUGGAUCUUCUUGCUCCGAUUUCAAUGCUUUGAUUGAAUAACUGAGGUGGGGUCGCCCUUGAAACAAAGACAUAGAACAUUUUGUUUAUACUUUAGUAGUGGUUGUGGCAAUUUAUUUUCGGACAAGUCUUGAGAGUUGAAAGAGUAAUCACACCCGAGUCAAUGACCAAUCCAAAUCAGUUUCCUUCCUAAUGAUUCAGGAAUGAGAAGUCCAGCUUAUAUAUUUAACCCAAAUAACUAAUCAAAUAGAAAGGCUGAGCUUAGAGAUAGUACACUACAUAUUGCCAAUAACUAGAUAAACAAUCAUCACAAACUAGGAACGACCGUCUCCCCAAUAACAAAUUCACCUUCUGAAGUUAGAGAACUUGCGAAAACUAGCCACCACAAAAUAGUAGCAAGUAUCUAUGCAGUCUUCGAUGAAGUACAACCACCUGCGUCGCCAAUAUGGAUUGAUGUAGAGAACUGCUGCAAUCGUCAUCACCACAACUGUGUAACAUACACCGAAACUGAUGUAGAAAAACUCCAUAUCUAUGAAACCAUCAUCUCCUUGUUCAUCAUUAGGCACUGGCUGUGACACCACUGCCUUCUCACUACAAUUGUUUGGCAAUGGAGGUCCACACAAGAAAGGAUUUCCUUCGUAACAGCUUUCAUCGAAGGUCCCAAACUGAUAUAUUCUCUCGGGUGUCUUGCCUGACAAGUUAUUGUGCGCCACACUAAAAACUUCCAGUGUGGUAACUUCAGUAAAUUGUGGAGGGAUGGCACCAUUCAAGUUGUUGUAAGAAAGAUCCAAACUCUCAAUAUGCAUUAGGUUUGAGAAUGUUGCAGGGAUAGAUCCAGUGAGAUUGUUGUGUGAUAAGUUUACUGACAGUAUCUUACUUAAGUUUCCAAAUUCUGGUGGGAUUGCUCCGAUGAAGUUGUUAUUGGAGAGAUCAAUACCAAACAUGUAGUUGAGAACUUUCCCCUUGUACCCAUAAUACAUAUUUUUAGUUGUAAAUUCUGUCACUUCUUCUGUAAAGUUAAACAAAAAAAAAUUUCUCAAGUUGUCCACACUAUCCACUAGUGGUGGGCCCAUUAUUUCAUAAUAAGCUUUUUCUAUGGACUCUGAUAUAAAACCAUAUGCGACUUCCAAUAUCGCUUUCUUGUCACUUUUCUUGAAAGUAAGAUUGCCUAAACAGGAGGGUAGUGGACCAGAGAGCUGGUUGUGUGAAACAUCCAAAAUGCUUAAUUGUUCUAACAAGCAUAACUGAAUAGGGAGCUCACCAUCAAAGUGAUUAGCCCUCAGAAGAAGAACACUCAAUGAUGAAAGAUUGCCAAUCCAAUUUGGAAUGGAGCCGGUGAAGCUGUUUUCUCGAAGAUCCAUCGUAACCAGGUAAGAGCUGUUAAAAAAUGCAUAUGUUAAUGGACCGCUCAGUCUAUUUUUCGAUAGAUGCACAUGGGUUAUUUGUGGUGGACUAAAACAAGAUGGUAUAUAUCCAGACAAGUUGUUCUCAGAAAGGUCCAAAUAUUCAAGCUGGUCAAACUUACAAAAAUCUCUUGGGAUCGGACCCUUAAAAUGGUUUCCGGACAAAUCAAUUACUCCAAGGAUCGAAAAAUUAACGAAGCUCCUUGGAAGCAUGCCCGAAAAUUGAUUGUUACUCAAAUCUAAUACAUUCCAUACAUUCCACCUAUAUAAUGGAAAAUCUGAUAUCUGACCCCAAAAGUUGUUACCAUUUAGGUAAAGAAAAUUCAGGCGAGAAGAAUUGAACACCGAGGUCGGUAUUUUCCCACCCAAAUUGUUGUUUGACAGCUUGAGAACCCAUAUUGUUGUUAGUUGUUCUAGUUUUACUGUAGACAAUUGAUUGUUGGAUAAAUCUAAAAAUGAAAGAGAGCUAAUAUUUCCUAAACAGGAAGGAAUACAACCUGUGAAUCCAUUCUUAGCCAUCCUUAAGGUGUGUAGAUUUGGAAAGAUCAAACAAAUAUCUUUUGGAAUUUGACCGUUCAUGUUGUUGUUGGAUAUAUCUAAAUUGGUCAUAUUCGGAUGGAGGUGAUCUUGCAACUGCAAAGCACCAAUAAAGGAGUUGUCGCUCAGAUAUAGUUGUUCCAAUCGUGUAUUGUUCUUAAGCAACCACGAUGGAAACAUUCCAGUGAUGUUGUUGUGGGAGAGAUCAAGGGCUCUUAAGUCUAAUUGGUAAUAGAGGAAGUCGGGAAUUACAUUGAGUGCUUCCGAUGUUGGACUACUUGACAAGCGGAAAAAGACUAGUUGGAACUUUGGAAUCAAAUUAUCAAAGGCAGCAGGUUCUGUUACUAGCUUGUUGUUCUCACUGGAGAAGAACUUGAGGCUUGAGUGGUUCAUAAAAGGCUUUAUUGAAAUGGGAACUUCAAAGAGGUUAUUUGAUAGUGAGAGGAAUUCAAGGGAUAUGAGGUUGGUAAGAGGACCGAAAGCAAUAUUUCCAGUAAACUGGUUUUCAGAAACAUCUAAUAGUUGUAAAGAUGACAUGUUCCCCAAACAAUCUGGGAGUGAACCUCCUAAAUUAUUUCUAGAGAGAUGUAACUGCUUCAGAUUCUUCAAUUCACACCAACCUGUACAAUUUAUCUUGAAAUAGUCAAAAUAGUGUUGGAAGAAUCUUUUGUUGAUGAUGUAAUUAUAGGCGGAUGGAGAGUUGUUAAUUUACCUUGAGCAGGUAGGGUGCCAUGGAGGUCACAUUCACCAACAGACAAAACUUUAAGAGCAGGCAAUGCUCCAAUGUUCUGGAGAAAGUUUAUUGGGAGAGAAGUAUUAUCUAGAUGCAAUUCUUCAAGGGUGCUCGAAUUGAACAAAGUCCCUAUGAAAAAGAAAGAAGAAGAGAUAUGAUGAAAAUAGUGGUGGUACAGAAUAUAUAGCCAUUCCAUUCAAUAUUAUUAAUUAAGAUUUUAAGAAACUAAACUAUUAACCUUGACUUAAAUUAGUAUCCUUGAGAGAAAGGGUCUUCAGGGAUGGCAAUGAACACAAUGACUGUAGGAAGUCCAGCUUCCUUGAACCUAUGAUGUGUAGAAUUGAAAACAGGCAAUCAAGUAAGUAGUGAAAUUAAGUGUUAUCUUGAUCGAGUUCUUAAAGCUAUGAUAAAGAACUGGUACUUUUGUAGUGAGAUGAUUUUUUGAUAGAAACAACAAAUUGCCCAAAUAAUAGAAGAUGCCAAGAGAUAUUCACAACUUUACCAUUGACAGCCGUCGAUCCUAGCAACAUAUUGCCUGAUAAAUUUAAAGACUUGAGGGAUGAAAGUCCACUCGGAUGUGAUAAAAUGCUGUCGUUGAAUAUAUUAUAGCUCAGGUCCAGGUUCUCGAGUUUCCCCAAAUGUGAUGAUAUGAUCUCAAAACCUGCAAGGAGUUGUUUCUAAGAGUAAGUCAUAAUUAUGAGCUCACGAUAUGCAUAAUAUAUAGAAACUAAAGAUAAUUAGAAUUGAUGAGAUGUUGUUCAAUUGAUAUAUGAUUCUCAAAUUAUACAUAAAAAGAAUGAUAUAUGAACGCAUAUUUAAUUAUAUAAUAGAUUAAGAAAUAAUUUAUGGAUAAGAUCAAAGCUCCAUAGAUAUUAAUCUUCAUAGAUGAAAUUAAAGCGCAAUCAAACAUGAUGAAAUGCUAUCGUUGAUUUUUAAAUAUAUAUAAAGUCCUCAAUUUUCUUGAUAAACAGAAUGCAACUUACUAUUGAUAGAUCCUGUCAGCUGAUUGUUUGACAGAUCCAAAGACUUGAGAGAUGAAAACCCAGUUAGAGAUGGAAAAAUGCUAUCGUUGUAUUGAUUCCGUCUUAGAUGAAGGUUCUCAAGCUUUUUCAACCUUGAUGACAAGACUUUGAGACCUGCAUGAUGUUCCUCAAAAGCAUAGAAAUGAUACAUGAACGCAUAUUUAAUUAUAAAAUAGGUUGUGCACGCUUCUAAGAUUAAGAUACAAUUUUUAAAUAUCAUUCUAAUUUUGAUCAUUGGAAAAAAAAAAACAAUUUACGGUUAUAAAGUCGCUAAAGAUGGAAGCUAAGUUAUGAUAGACUUACAAAACAAAAUAAAGAAACUUAUAAUUAAGAUCUCAUCGGUAAUUAAAACAAGAAUAAUAAUCGAUCCAUGUAAGUUCAAAUAUUGCCUAAUUUUGAAAAACUAAUUAAUUAGUUAUGAUAGUUUCAAAAACUAACUGCCUCUGUAAGAUGCUAAAUGCCUCUCUCGUUGGCUGUCUAGUGAUUUGUAUUGGAUAGUUUUUUUUUGAAUUGAUGUUAAGAUCCAAGUUUUAAUAAUUACAAUUUUCUUAAUUAUAUAUAAUAUUAUAGGAGAGAGCUUCUUAUUAUGUUAUUCAAAACCCAUUCAAACUCAAAUUCAUAAAAAAAAAUACUUAGAGUUGUGUUCGACUAAGGAUCUCAAGACAGAAAAAACAUAUAUAAAAAUAUAUUUAUUUAAAAAGAUAAAUAUAAAAUAUAUAUUUAUAGGAGAGUUUUGAAGUGAACUUCUGAUUGCUAAUUUAAUCUAAAUAUUACAACACUUUUGGCAUAAAAGGGCCAAAAUAAGAAUAAAAUAUAUGCCUCUUUACGUAGAUAUAAAGUUCUCAUUUUUGUUGAUAAAGAAACAAUAUAAUUAAGAGAAUGUCAUGUGAAGCAUUUAGGUAGAAACUGUGUAUUAUACCUGAUCCUGUCAACUCAUUGUACGACAGAUCCAAAGACUUGAGGGAUGAAAAUCCAGUAAGAGAUGGAAAAAUGCUAUCGUUGCAAUGAUUCCAACUUAGAAGAAGGUUCUCCAGCUUUUUCAACCUUGAGGACAAGACUUUGAGACCUAAAUAGCAGCUACCUCCUGAUCAUUUAAAUGCGUAGAAAAAAAUGAUAUGAGAAGGAGAAAAGAAAAGGUUUCGAAGCUAAAUAAUUAAAAGGUUACCAUAGAAGCUACCUCCUGAUCCAGCUGUCAACCCAUUCUCUGAUAGAUCCAAAGACUUGAGAGUGGAAAGGUUACCAUUGAAACAUGACAAAAUGCUUUUAUCAUUAUUAAAUCCGUUAUAACUUAGGUCAAGUUUCCUCAGUUUUGAUGAUAGGACUUCGAAGCCUGGAAAGAGCAAGAUAAUUGACAUUAAACACCAACCAACCUUCAUUUAUUUUAUGAUUAUAUUUAAGUGCACAAACAUUGAACUAACCUUCAUUCUCCAAGCAACCAACCAAUCCAUUACCUUCCAAUUCAAGACUUUGCAAUUCUUUAAAAGGCUGAAACAAAGAUGCGUUGAGAACCCAAUCGCCCAAGCUCUCGUCCCUUGAUCCUCUAAGAGAGAGUUGGAUCACUCGCCUUGUAGUGUUAUCACACUCGAUCCUAUGCCACUCACAACAAUUACUACCGUCCACCCAAUCUCUCAAGGAAACGCCAUCUGGGUCGAUCGAAGAUUGGAUCUCCAAGAGACCAAUCCUCUCUUCCUCCAAACACCCAUAACAACGACCAUACCAUUCGCCAACCAAAGUCAAUAAUGCUAGCAACAUCCAACUCCCCAUUCUUUUCAUCAUCAUCUACGUAGAAUAUUGUUGUUUGUUAUGUGUCUUUGGGCAACCAUAGAGGUCCUAUUUAUACUACAAUUUUGGCCAUUUCCAUGAUUUUAUCUGCAUAUCUUAUGCAGGUUCUAUGUUUUGAGAUUUGAAUAUUAUUUUAUUUCCUUUUGGAAUAUUCUUGGAUUCGAAUAUUAUUUUAUUUUACUGUUUAGCACUUAGUCUAUUUGCAUUUAAUUAUAUUUUGGUUACUAAUUAUCCAAUUUUAAAAAAAUAAAAAAUAAAAAUUGUUGCAACAUUUCAAUUUUUUUAUCGACAUUCAUGUGUGAUUUCACGUAAGAUCUUUUUAAAUUUAUAAUUGUACUUUUCUCGUUAUAAUUUAGAAUUAUUUAGGAGCCUACUUGCAUGGUGUCAUCACUAUUAUAUAUAAUUAAAUACAUAAAUUAUCAAUAAUAAUAAAUUCGGAAUAAUUAUAAAUCUUAUCCCUGUGGAUUGUGUGGCUACAGUAUGAUAUACAAAAACUUCAAAUAUAUAUAAAUAAAAGAAUGCUAAAAGUGACAUUCUCUUGGGUGACCACCACAAGCCCAUCUAAAACACACAAGCCAUAUAAAAAUCACACGACAGCCAAUUACCUUAUCUUGUGAGAAAAAAGAUUAAAAAAAAAAAAAGCAUUUUCUUGGGUGUGCAAUGACUGCCAAUCUUUCUCGUUAUGACAUUCAAUGCUCUGUAAGAAGUUGCAUGAUGCUCUUCUCAUGGGGAGCAAAAAUCAGUAGCCUCCCAUGGAAUCCUCAUAAACCUUUCUCUAUGCUCUUCUAAGAUAUUAAAAAUGUCAAACAUACAUAAAUAAUAAGAAAAACAAUAAAAAAAGAAAGCUAUACAAAUAGAGCUUCCAACAAAAAGACUAGGAAGUUGUUUACUGAAAAUUGAGAUUCAUAAUUUGUUUUGAUUUGUUUUGAUUUGUUUUGAGUUAUUAUGGUCUCAUGACCCGGGUCACAGAUUUAAAGGUUAAUCUAGAUUGACCCGGGUCGAUUAAUCCAAUAUGUUGUUGUUUCGAUAUACUUUUUUUAAAAAAAUAUGUCAUCUUGAUUUUUUUCAAGUGAAACUAUAUUUUUACCAGUCGUCCAGACAAUCUUUGAGCCCAUCGAAUCGAUCGGGUUAUAUCAAUUUAACUCUUAUUUUUUUAUUUAUAUUUGAAAUUUAAAUUGCAUAAUUUUUUACUUAUUUUUUUAUAUAGGUGGUUAUGAGUUACAAAAAUUAAGCAAUUUCGAGUAUAUUGACAUGAGAAUUAAUGGUUUCGAUAACAAUAUUCUAUCAUUUGUAGAGGGAUUUUCAUCUUUUAAAUCACUAUAUUUAGAUUAUAAUAGACUGGAAGGGUUAAUAGAUUUAAAAUGUUAGUUUUUUUAUAUACUUAUUUUUUCUCUAUUAAAUUUAAUUUCAAAAGAACACAAUUUUCGAUAACAGUAUUCUAUCAUGCAAUUUUUGUUUUGUUUCAAAAGAACACAAUCGCCCAAGCGGAAAUCCCUUGCAUAGAAAAGAGAGAGUUGGAUCACUCGCCUUGUACGUAGUGUUAUCACACUCGAUCCUAGGCCACUCACAACAAUUACUACUGUCCACCCAAUCUCUCAAGAAAAAGCCAUCUGGGUCGAUCAAAGCUUUGAUCUCCAAGAGACCAAUCCUCUCUUCCUCCAAACACCCAUAACAACGACCAUGCCAUUCGCCAACCAAAGUCAAUAAUGCUAGCAACAUCCAACCCCCCAUUCUUUUCAUCAUCAUCUACGUAAAAUAUUGUUGUUUGUUAUGUGCUUUUGGGCAACCAUAGAGGUCCUAUUUAGACUACAAUUUUGGCCAUUUCCAUGAUUUUAUCUGCAUAUCUUAUGCAGGUUCUAUGUUUUGAGAUUUGAAUAUUAUUUUAUUUCUUUUUGGAAUAUUCUUGGAUUUGAAUAUUAUUAUUAUUUUAUUGUUUAGCACUUAGUCUAUUUGUAUUUAAUUAUAUUUUGGUUACUAAUUAUCCAAUUUAUAAAAAAAAAUAAAAAAUAAAAUAAUUGUUGCAGUACUUCAGCAUUGUUAUCGACAUUCGUGUGUGAUUCCGUAUAAGAUCUUUUUAAUUUAAUUGUACUUCUCUCGUCAUAAUUUAGAAUCAUUUAGAACCCUAUUUGUGUUAUGACUAUCAUAUAUAUAAUUAAAUACAUAAAUUAUCAAUAAUAGUAAACUCAGAAUAAUUAUAAAUCUUAUCCCAGUGGAUUGUGUGGCUACAGUAUUUUAUACUUCAAAAUAUAUAUAUAUAUAUAAAAGUUAGAGCUGCUUUUGUUUUUAUGUUCGGAAAGGUAUUCUUGACUUGUUUUUAUUACAUUUCAAUAUUAUUAUUUUUUUUCAAUCGAGUCAAAGAUAUACCAUUUAUAUUAGAAUGAGAAGACUAAUCAAUUUCUCUAGUUUUCUCCCUAUUUAUAAAAUACAUCUGGUUUUUGAAGUCCAGAUUUUAGGAUAAAAGGAAUUUAUUUCUUGAAAUUAAUGCAUUAAACAAUAUAAAGAUAUUUUUUAAAAAUUAAAAUAGUAGUAAAAGUAAAUUUAGUUUUUGAUUGAAGUGUAAACUAGUGGUAAAUGAACAAAAAAAAAAAACUUUCUUGAUUAUCUAAUGGAAACUCCGCCUAAUAUAUAUAUAAUAGCAAUCAUUUUCUUAUCUCUUGUAUCAUUCAUAUCUUCCACAAAUCUUAAGUAAUUGAUGAGAAAGUGGAUAUUGCCAAGAAAGGUCGUGAACGCGGAUGCUUGACUUGCUGCGUGGCAUUUUGAUUUUUAAACACAACACUACUUUCUUUGUGGAAAUAACGCUACUUUGCAUGAAGAUGAUGGAUAUAGAAGACUUGCUACUUGUUUUAUGGAAAUAACGUAUGGAAAAUUAUGCUUUAAUUUUAAUGAUGAUAGCAAAAUCAAACAGUAUUGUUGAUAAAAUGAGCCAUAAAUAAUAUUAUUUCUAUUGUCAUGACAAUAAGUUUUUUUUUUUUUUUUUCUAAAGAGUCUAUUUUUCCUCUAGGAGAGGCCGCGAGACGUCCUCUUCCAACCAUCAUGCAUUUUUUCUACGAGAUGGGUUCAUGGAAAUACUUUGGUUUAAUUGGGAAUGCUGUUAUUGAUUGAAAUAUUUUUAAUUAAAAUAAAUUUGAUUAUUUGAUUGGAAAAAAAAUAUUGUAACCAAGUAAUUUAUUUAUUUAUUUUAAUGAAAUAUAAAAUAGUUUUAAAUCUUGUGGUAUAUUUCUUGUCUUUAAGAGCUAUGAACUUAUAUCUCAAAACUUGAAAACUAAUAUAAAGAUAUUAAGUGAUCAUUGAGUGUGUGUGUGUGUAUAAUCCUUUUCAAAACAAAAAGGAUUUUGAUGGAGAUUAGGACAUUGCAACAAAUUAUCCACCACUAGAUGGGUCAAUGAUACCAUUGUCAUCAUGCAAUUUUUCCCACGAGAUGGGGCCGUACGCUUGGGGCUCUAAAAGCUAUGGUUUUAAUUUCAUUAUGUCACAUCUAGAAUGGCAGGUAUAUUUUAUUUCAAUUUAAACAAUGGAAUAAAUUAGAAGAUAUUUCAUCUCGCUUAAAAUCUUAUCUUCUUAUAUGAUUUCACCUAAAUUCUGGCUGGAAUGUUUAAGUUAUAUUCUAGCUAUUCUGUUAUGGCCAAAUGAUAUUUUGUUUUACUUUUAUAAAAAAUUAAAAUAUAGUUUAGUUUUUGUAUUUAUUUUCUGGUUAUAUUUAAUUUGUCAUCAAUAUUCAUAACGUAAAUUGCUAUGCAUUUCGAAUCUUGAAAGGAUUGAAAGAUGGAAAACAGAAAAGAAAGAGAGACCCCCAGUUCAAAAGAAAAAGAAAAAAAAACAAUAGUAAAAGAAAGAGAAGAGAACAAAAGUGAAGCAGUUUUUACUAACUAUAUAAAUUUUAUAAUUAUUAAUAUUAAAUUCAAAAUAUGUACAUAAUGCAAAUAUGUAAACAUAUCAUGUGGUUUAAAGAAAUGAUUUUUAUAAAGAUAUAUGUCUUAACAAUAUUAAUCAACUCUUAAUAUUUUUCAUUUUAUAAAUAUUAAAAGUAAAUAUUAAAACCUAUUAUAUUAAUUUGUGAAGGUAUUUACUCGGAUGCGAAUUAUAUUUCUAAUUUUUUAUUAAAAAAAAAUUCUACAUACUACAACUAGCCUAAGAAAGUCAUUUUCAUCUAAAAAAAAGUAGAAAAAAUUGAAUUGCAUAAAAGCAUCACUAUAAAUGUUAUACUCCGAAAAUAUCUUCUUUCCUUGAUAAAAUUCCCUAAACUACUGUAUGUCUCUAACAGUGAAAAUAUCACUAUAAUUUACAGUCACCUUAUUUAAUCGAAAGAAAACUUUAAAGAUGCACCUCCAUCUAGUGUAUUUAAAAAGAUUUAACAAAUUACUUUACACGUGCUAUGCUACAAGUUACAUAUUUUUUCAAUGUAAACAAAAAUUAUAUAGGUAUUUUUAACAUUUUUCUAUUAAAAAAAACUAAAACAUAUAAAAAUUAACCAAUUUAUAAUUAAUUAAUUAAUUGAGAAUUUGAGCUCCUUAGAAAAGUUGUUUAUGGACUUUUGUUUUCCGGAGAAAGCUCCUUUAAAACCCUUGAGCACCACCUUCUUUAAAACUUCUAUCUUUGCCAUAACUGAGGGGCUCUGUAUUUUUUUUAAGGUGAAUUAACAAGUUACAACUCAACUCUGUAUUUUUUUUUUUAGUUUAAUGUGGGUGUCUGGGUCAACUUACGCGUACCUCGACUAAUUCCACGGGCCCUGAAAUUAAUGACCAUAUAAACCUACAGUGGCCAUCAUAUGAACAAUCACAGGACUAGGGCUCGAACUUGAGACAAAAAAAAAAAGCAAAUUUUUUAAUCUUAAAUUCUUACCACUGGAUCACUAUCUAAAUUGUUACCUUGUAUCUAAUCUAGAUGUGUCUGUGACUGUGCUUGAUGUUCUCAUAACCAUUAAGAUGGUUCGAACCCAAAUAAAUAGAAACAAAUUUAUUUUCUGUUAUUCUCCGAAUUCCUAGAUAGAAUUUGCUUGGAAAUGAUGAGCUACCACUCCCUUUUGACUUUGCUGGCCUCCCAAAUAAAUAAAGAAUUCCGCUUGAUAGAAUUUUCUUGGAAAUGAUGAGAAUAUUUUAUAAUUUUCUGGUUGACGCCAGCUGUCAACAACUGUCUUACAUUCCCUUGGCAUCGUGUUCCAUGCCCUUGCAAAAUAUUAAAGGCUCCAAUGCCUCUCUCGCAAUAAGAUUAUUUUUUUUAUUUGUCCCCGAAUACAUGUGUCAUUUAUCGAAAUAAUUAAUUUAAUCACACACAUAAAAAAAAAAAAAAAUUUAAAUAGGCGGCUUUAGAAUCAGCAAGCAGUGAAUCACACGGGAAGAUUGAAAGAAUAAUUAAAGUGAUUUUACUAACAUUGUAAAAAAAAUUGAAUUGCAUAAGAGUAAUUAACCGACAGGUUGACCCAAAGUCAAAGUCUUCUGUGGAAAAACAUGAAUAGAAGAUUGAUGGGCGUUGCGUGAUAGCAAAAGAUUUGAGAUCUGCACAGCAGGUUUUGAAUUCGAGUCAGGGCGUGCAUCUCUUGUAAAAGCUUGGGAUAGCCGGGAUUUUACUGUCUCAUCUGGGCCCAUAAAGUGCGCUUUCCAAGGAAAUGAGGUUCCCUCGAAUCCAUAAAAAAAAAAAAAGUAAUACCAUUGCUAUCAAGCGUUUUUUCUACGAGAUGGUCCGUUCCCCCAUUUCCCCUCAAGCUUGAGAAGGGAUGAUAUAUAUAUGCUUUAAUUUCAACUUGUAUAAAAAAUAAAUCUUAAUGUAGUGUGUUAGAAUGCAACCACCGAUUCAUUAUUUUUAAUGGCUGGUCAUUUAAACUUGGGUGUUUUUUCGGUAUUAAUAUAUAUAUUCCUCAAUUAUCAUAAAAAAAUUAAGAAAAAACUAAUAAUAAGAUUAAAAAUAAAUGUUUUAUUUAUCGAAAUAAUUAUUAAAAGUAAGGUAUACUCAAGGUAUAUGUGGGACGAUAAAAAAAUAACAAAAAAAUCAAUUUACAAAAAAAAUCAUAGAUUUAGUUUUCCUAAAUUUUAAAUGUAGUGCAACAUUAGCCUUUCAAGAAAUAGAUAAUCUUCCUCUUUGAAGGAAUUAAUUAGUGGGUUGGAAAAAUGUCGUCUUUUGCUCUAAUAUUUUCUUCGCUUUCUCUAUAGUUUUACCAUACACUAAUAUUGUCAGAAAAUGAUACAUACUUCUUGUGUUAUCCUUCAAGAAUUCAAUUGAAAAGGAGGGUUGUAAAAAAUUUAAUUUUUAUAAACAUACCCUUAACUUAAUUUGGAUGUGGAUAAUUGUUUGCAAUAUAUUUACAUCCAAUAUAAACAAUUCAUCAAUGAUCAAGUAGGCAGUGGUUAGCUAAAAUAUUGAAAAUACUUACUCUCUUUGUUUUUUAGUCAUGCAGUUCCACUAUUGUAUGUUAUUUUUGUUUAGCUAAAAAUAUCAAAAAAUAUUAAUUUGGAGUAAAAAAAAAAAAAAAAUUUAAUUUUUUUAAAAAUAUUUUUGAAACAUAAAAACAAACAGUGCUAAAAGACAUAGAAACAGUUACCCAAAUCAAUUUAUUUUUUUAAAAAAUAAAAAUAGAAUACUAUACAAAUGGAGCUUCCAACAAAAAGAUAUGGGAAGUUCGAGGGAAAAAAUGAUUAGUUAAUUCAAAACACCAGGAGUAAGUAAUAAUUACAAAACACGAUACCGAAACCAAAUUGAAAAGUGAGCAAAAUACAAAACUGGUUACAUGUAUCGAAAGGAACUGGAACCAAUUUCUCCACCACUGGAUGUCCCUUUUGUUCAGUCUAUGUUUGGUGCAAUCACCUAAAGCUAGAAACAAAAACAGCGCCUUAGUCUAUGUUUGGUGCAUUUUUUCCACGAGAUGGGUUCGUGGAAAAACUUUGGUUUAAUUGGGAAUGCUGUUAUUGGUUAGAAACUUUUUAAUUAAAAUAAAUUUGAUUAUUUGAUUGGAAAAAUCCUUAAAUGUUAUUAACACAUGAAAUCAAUUUAUUCUCUUAAGAAAAAAAUAGUUUUACAUCUUGUGGUAUAUAUGUCAAGCAUUUUUUUUCCCUCAAGAUGGGUUCGACAGACAAUCACCAUCAUGCAUUUAUGAGUCCAUGAGACCAUUGUCAUCUGCACAUUGGUCCCCUAUAGCGUUGCUUUUCCUCAAGACCAUUUCCAUCAUGCAUUUAUGAGUUAGUGAGACCAUUUCCAACUGCACAUUGGUCCCUGAAACCGUUGCCAUCAUGCAUUUUUCCUCGAUGAGAGGUCGUGAGACGUCCACUUCCAACCAUCAUGCAUUUUUUUCACGAGAUGAGGCCGUACGUUUGGGGCUCUAAAAGCUAUAUAUAUUAGAAAUAUUAUUUGAAAAUAAAUUAUUUUUUAUUUUUAAAAAUAAAAUUCUUCUAUACAAAAGAUUUUUAUAAGUAUAAUUUAAUUUAUUCAGUUUUUUAAAUAAAGUUAAUCUAUCGCAAGAGUACACGAAAUAAGUAUUUUUCCGUCAUGCAUUUUUUUUCCUCAAGACCAUUUCCAUCAUGCAUUUAUGAGUCUGGGAGACCAUUUCCAUCAUGCAUUUAUGAGUUGCUGAGACCAUUUCCAUCUGCACAUUAGUCUCUGAGACCGUUGCCAUCAUGCAUUUUUCCUCGAGGAGAGGCCGUGAGACUUCCUCUUCCAACCAUCAUGCAUUUUUUCCACGAGAUGGGUUCGUGGAAAAACUUUGGUUUAAUUAGGAAUGCUGUUAUUGAUUGGAAACUUUUUAAUUAAAAUAAAUUUGAUUAUUUGAUUGGAAAAAUCCUUAAAUGUUAUUAACACAUGAAAUCAACUUAUUCUCUUAAGAAAAAAACAGUUUUAAAUCUUGUUGCCGUCAUGCAUUUUUUUUUCCUCAAGAUGGGUUCGACAGACAAUCACCAUCAUGCAUUUAUAAGUCCAUGAGACCAUUGUCAUCUGCACUUUGGUCCCCUAUAGCGUUGCUUUUCCUCAAGACCAUUUCCAUCAUGCAUUUAUGAGUCCAGGAGACCAUUUCCAACUGCACAUUGGUCCCUGAGACCGUUGCCAUCAUGCAUUUUUUCCACGAGAUGGGUUCGUGGAAAUAAUUUGGUUUAAUUGGGAAUGCUUUACUGUAUUUGUUUUCUGGUUAUAUUUAAUUUUUCAUCAAUAUUCCUAAGCACGUAUUUUGAAUCAUGAAAAGCACGUGGAAAAGAGAGGGAUGGUGAAAAUGACAUGUAAAGGGACUGUUUGGCAGUGCGCAUAGAAAAGGGAAAGUGUCAUUGCCAUUUUGAGUGGUGUGUUUGCAUUUGAUUUGUUAAUUUCGAGUUUUGUCAAAGAGUGAUUACUAGUCAUCAAGCAUUUUAUUAAUUUAAUUUAUCCUGUCAAGUGAAGGGCCAAACCUGUCAUUCAUUGCCAGUCACAGUCACAAGUCUUGGUCUUACCAUUUUACUAUCUAUUAAUUAAUUAAUUGUUUGAUUAAUCAACGAAACUGUGCGUUUCUCUUGUGAUUUCUCGAAGACGGCCAUGAAUAUAUAUAUAUAUAUAUACAACUUUUCAAAACAAAAAGGAUUUUGAUGGAGAGGACAUUGAAACAAAUUAUCCUCGUGAUACCAUUGUCAUCAUUCAAUUUUUUCCACGAGAUCAGGCCGUAUGCUUGGGGCUCUAAAAGAUAUUAUUUCUAAUUUUAUUAUAUCACAUCUAGAAUAACAAGUAUAUUUUAUUUCAAUUUAAAAAAUAGAAUAAAUUAAAAGAUAUUUCAUUUUUAAAAUUUUAUUUUGUUUUAUGAAUUUCACCUAAAUUCUGACUAGAAUAUUUUGAUUAUAUUCCAGCCAUUUUAUUAUGAUAAAAUAAUAUUUUGUUUUGCUUUUAUAAAAAAAAUAUAAUCUAAUUUUACAGUAUCAAUCAUAUCUUUCAAUUCGACUGCUGGAUUGGACUAAAAUUUUACGAGGAAUCUCCUAACAUAUAUUUAUAUCGCAAAUUAAAAUUUUAAGGCAAUCAGAGUUUAGAAAAAUUUUGCGAAAUUACCGAUGAUAUUUUCAUAAUUUUAUUUAAAUUCAUAAUUUUGUUAGGAAAUAUUAUUUUUUGUUUCUUUUUUAGAUUGAAUUAUUUCUAAAGUACUUCUUGUCAUUGUCAUGACAAUAAAUCUUCUUCUUUUUCUUUUUAAAAAGUCUAUUUUUUGUAACACAACCAACAUGUAAGAUGGAUGGGAAUUUGCAGUGUGAGAUGGGUUUGUGAGACUUUGGCCAUCUCCAAUUUUUUCCACGCCAUUGAGAUGGUCUAUAAGACCAUUGCCCCGUAAGCAUUUAUGAGUUCGUGAGACCAUUUCCAUUUGCACAUUGGUCCCUGAGACCGUUGCCAUCAUGCAUUUUUUACACGAGAUGGGUUCGUGGAAAUACUUUGGUUCAAUUGGGAAUGUUGUUAUUGAUUGGAAACUUUUUAAUUAAAAUAAAUUUGAUUAUUUGAUUGGAAGAAAUCCUUAAAUGUUAUUAACAAUAGAAAUCAAUUUAUUUUCUUAAGAAAAAAAUAUUGUAACCAUAUAAGUAAUUUAUUUAUUUAUUUUAAUGAAAAAUAAAAUAGUUUUAAAUCUUGUGGUAUAUUUCUUGUCUUUAAGAGCUAUGAACUUAUAUCUCAAAACUUGAAAACUAAUAUAAAGAUAUUAAGUGAUCAUUAAGCGUGUGUGUGUGUAUAAUGCUUUUCAAAACAAGAAGGAUUUUGAUGGAGAGGACAUUGCAACAAAUUAUCCACCACGAGAUGGGGCUGUACGCUUGGGGCUCUAAAAAACUAUGGUUUUUAAUUUUAUUAUGUCACAUCUAGAAUGGCAGGUAUAUUUUAUUUCAAUUUAAACAAUGAAAUAAAUUAGAAGAUAUUUCAUCUCGUUUAGAAUGUUAUCUCAUUUCAUGAAUUUCACCUAAAUUCUGGCCGGAAUAUUUUGGUUCUAUUCCAGCCAUUCUAUUAUGAUCAAAUAAUGUUUUGUUUUGCUUUUAUAAAAAAAAAAUAUAUAGUUUAGUUUUAUGGUAUUAAUUAUAUCUCUCAAUGCAAUUAUUGGAUUAGACUAAAAUUUUACAAGGAAUCUCUUAACAUAUAUUUAUAUCGCAAGUUAAAAUUUUAGAACAAUUAGAGUUUAAAAAGACUUUGUGAGAUUGCCGAUGACAUUUUUAUAAUUUUAUUUAAAUUCAUAAUUUUGUUUCAUAAGGUCAUUUUUUGUGUCUUUUUUUAGAUUGAUUUUUUUUUUUCAAUUUCAUAAUUCAACAAUAGAUUUAUUAAAAAUUAAGAUUCAUAAUUUGUUUUUAUUUGGGAUUAUUAUGGUCUCAUAAUCUGGGUUACGGAUUUAAAAGAUUAACCUAGAUUAACCUGGUUCGAUCUAAUAUGUUGUUGUUUCAAUAUUUUUAACAAAUAUAAUUUUAAUUGAUAUUUAAAAAUAAACUAACUUGAAAUUAUAUAAUUUAAAUUUCAAAUAUAAGUAAAAAUAAAGAGUUAAAUCAAUAUGACCCAAUUGAUUUGAUGAGUCCAAAAUAUAUAUAAAACAAUCCAAACGACACGUCAAAAUACUCAAAAAUCAAAAUAUAUUGUUACAAUUAAAAAAAUAAAACACCAAUUAAAAUGGAAUUGACGACCUUGCUUGAUAUAAGCCUAAACUCCUCGCUGCCAUUUGCAAGAGAUAGUUACUUAUACCAGUAGCAAUUUAAUAAUGAUUGGUCAAAUUUUAUAUUAAGAUGGGGCUAUUAAUUCAAAUGUUGAUGGCGUUAGUAGCAAUGAUUUUCUUGGAAGCAUGGUUGCCUCUUGGCUGCUUGAAAAUAUAUGGUUUUUUUAAUGUCGCAUGUGUGCUGCGUCAUGAAAAAAAAAUUCACUCUCAAAUCCUAAAUAUUGGUAUCCUGGAAAAAUUGGGAAAAAUAAGGAGACAAGAAAUUCUUGUCUUUUAUUAGUGGAAAAAUAAAAUGGGAGUCGCCACUUAGUAUUUUAAUCACUAGGAACCCUGAUUGGUCUCAGAGAUUGGGUACGGAGACUGGUUGCGUAAAGGGAAGGUAUUAGCACCCCAAAUACGCCCUACCUAAGGUAAGUUGCAUUGUUUUAUUGUUUGAUAAAAUCUAAGGUCUUGUCGUGUUUUCUAGUUAUUGGUCCGUCUAUGAUUUAAGAAAAGUCUUCAUCGAUAAAGAGAUCCUUAUCUUUUCGGGUAAAACCUAACCGUUCUAACGUAAACAAAAGAAUUUAAUAUCCGGAAUACAUCUUACGUAUAAGGUCGUAACCCCAGAUACUAAAAGAAAAUUUUUUUUUUGGAAUUUUUUAAAUAUUGGCCUAGUUCUUGUGACUUUAAUAAACUGGUUUUUAAAACCAAAAUGCAUGUUAAUACAUAUUUUUGUUGUAUGAAAAUAUGAUAUGAUUUUUUUCUUUGAGAUACUUGGCCGUAUGCAUGAAAAUAAUUUUUUUUUUAAUUUUUCAAUGUUUUGACGAAAACUAGGUAUUUUAAUACCAGAUUUGUAUCUUUACAGUAUAAAAAUACAAACCAAUACUAAGAAAAAUUUAGUAGAAAAAUAUAUGGGAAAAUUAUAGAUUUUUUGAAAUGAUUAUUUUUGAAGAAUUGUUUUUUACUGGGCCGGACCCGACCCAACCAUUUUGGGCGGGCCGGCACUGUCCGGGCUGGAAAACUAAAACAAACAAUGGAGAGACUCUCCACUGUUCACAUGCAACGUGAACAGUGGAGCGGCCUGGAGAAGACAAAGAAGAAGAGGAGGAAGAGGAAGAAGCAGACCUGCGGCCUAGCGGUGCUGCUAGUGGCGGUGGACGGUGUUGCGGUUGCGGAGUGUUAGAAAUAAUGUUCAGGACUGCUGAGCUGGAAUUUUAUUCUUUCUUAAUUUUUGAUUUAGUCAAUUCUGUUCCUAUUCUCUUGUUCUUGUUGCUACUUCGCAGCUCUGUUAUUUCCAUUAUCAAUUGAUCAUGGCUUGAAUGUAGUACCAUGAUCGUAGGAGUUUGUUAUGUAUCAGCUCUAUAAAUUGAGCUGCAGUUAUGAAUAAAGUAUUCAAGCUUUUCAUUCAUCAAUCUCUUCUUAAACACAAGCAUUAUCCUUUGUUAUUUUUGUUGUUCAGAAUCACUGCAACAACGACAAUUGGUAUCAGAGCAUCUUGAUUUAAAGGGAUCUGUGUUGUAACCCAUGGAGACAGAAGUAAGAUUCUCAUCAAUUGCUCCACCAGUGUUCAAUGGUGACAAUUACCAGUUUUGGGCAGUACGGAUGGAGACAUACUUAGAGGCUCUGGAUUUGUGGGAGGCAGUGAAAGAAGAUUAUGAAAUCCCUGCACUUCCAAAUAAUCCCACCAUGGCGCAGGUCAAAUCACAGAAGGAGAAGAAGACAAAAAAAUCAAAGGCAAAGGCGUGCUUGUUUGCUGCAGUAGCAUCCACCAUUUUCACUCGAAUCAUGUCUCUGAAAACAGCAAAGGAGAUAUGGGAGUUUAUCAAGACUGAGUAUGAAGGGGAUGAAAGAAUUCAAGGUAUGCAAGUGUUGAACUUGAUGCGUGAUUUCGAGUUGCAGAAGAUGAAGAAAACUGAAUCCAUCAAAGAGUACUCUGACAGGCUGCUUAAUAUUGCAAGCCGAAUCAGUUUACUUGGCUCGUCCCUGCCUGAGUCAAGAAUUGUUCAAAAAAUUCUUGUAACAAUUCCUGAAAUCUUUGAGGCUACAAUUACAUCCUUGGAAAAUACCAAGGAUAUGUCAAAAAUUACUUUGACAGAAAUGCUAAAUGCAUUACAAGCUCAGGAGCAAAGGAGGAUCAUGAGACAAGAAGAUGAGAUUGAAGGAGCUCUAUUCGUCAAGCAUAGAGAAAAAGGAAAGAAUUACAAGAAGAAUGGAAGCAGUCAAGCAUCAUCAGGUGAUUCCAGGAAUUUCAACAGGAGCAACACUGGAAACAAAAAAGGACCUUUUCCUCCAUGCCAGCAUUGUAAAAGGAGAUCACAUCCACAUUUUAAGUGUUGGAGAAGACCAGAAGCUAAGUGCAACAAAUGCAAUCAAAUGGGCCACGAGGCUGUCAUCUGCAAAAACAAAAUUCAACAGCAUGGUGAAGAAGCUCAAAUUGCUGAUCAAGAAGAAGAAGAUCAAUUGUUUGUGGCCACUUGCAUUUCCAGAAAUGACUCAAGUGAAAGCUGGCUCAUUGAUAGUGGUUGCACCAACCACAUGACACAUGACAGAAACAUAUUCAAGGAGCUGAAACAAACAACUUCAAAGGUUCGAAUUGGAAAUGGAGAAUACCUUGCUGUUGAAGGAAAGGGAACCGUGGCAAUCUUGACUUGCUCAGGUACUAAGUUCAUCUCUGAUGUAUUGUAUGUCCCUGGUAUAAAUCAAAAUUUAUUCAGUGUUGGUCAGCUUAUUGAGAAGGGUUAUAAAGUAGUGUUUGAAAACAAUUGCUGCUUGAUCAAAGAUGUGAAUGGUCAUGAUAUUUUCAAAAUAAUCAUGAAAGGGAAGAGUUUUGCUUUAAAUCCAUUAGAGGAGGAGCAUAUUGCUUUCCCAAUUAAAGAAAAUAUCACAGAUAUUUGGCACAAGAGGCUCGGGCACUAUCAUCAUAGAGGGCUGAUGCUUAUGAAAUCCAAGAUGAUGGCUAAGGAUUUCCCAGCACUUGAUGAUCACAUAUCCAGCUGCAGAACUUGUCACACUGGCAAGCUAAACAGGAAGCCCUUUCCAGAAGCCACAUGGAGAGCAACAAGGAAGCUGCAAUUGAUUCAUACUGACAUUGCAGGACCAUAAAGGACACCCUCUCUAAAUGGGAGUCUGUAUUAUGCUGUCUUCAUUGACGAUUACAGCCGAAUGUGCUGGAUUUUCUUCUUGAAGCACAAGUCAGAGGUAGCACAGGUGUUCUGGAAUUUCAAGGCCAAAGUUGAAAAUGAAAGUGGCUGCAAAAUUCAAGCCCUCAGAUCAGACAAUGGCAAGGAAUACACUUCCAAUGCCUUCAACAUUUUUUGUGAGGAGGCAGGCAUUCAUCAUCAGCUAACAACUCCGUAUACUCCUCAACAAAACGGAGUUAGUGAGAGGCGAAACAAGUUCAUAUUGGAAAUGACAAGAUGCUUGCUACAUGAGAAGAAUUUACCAAAGAAAUUCUGGGCAGAGGCUGCAAACACUGCUGUGUUCUUGCAAAACCGACUGCAUACAAGAGCCUUGAAGGAUCAAACACCCUUUGAGGCAUGGUAUGGUUACAAACCAUCUCUGAAUUUUCUUAAGGUAUUUGGAUGUUUGUGCUUCACCCUUGUUCCACAGGUCAAGAGGGAUAAACUUGACAAGAAAGCACUUCCAGGCAUUUUUGUUGGCUACAGCUUAGUUUCAAAGGCUUAUAAGAUUUUCCAACCACAAACUGGAAAAAUCAUUAUAAGCAGAGAUGUCCAAUUCCUGGAAGAUGAAGAAUGGGACUGGAACGAUGCAAUCAAAGAAGAUUCAACCUCUCCAAAAGGCAAUUAUCUUGUUUCAGACACAGAUGAUCAAAGCAUGGAAGAUUGGGACAUCAACAUGACAGAUGACACUCCUGUUACAGGCACACGGUCACUCCUUGAUGUGUAUCAAAGGCGCAACAUUGCUGUGUGUGAACCAGCAGACUUUGAAGAAGCCAAGCUAGAUCAAAAUUGGCUUGCUGCGAUGAAGGAGAAGCUUCUCAUGAUCAAGAGAAACAACACGUGGGAGUUGGUUGACAGACCUCAAAACAGAAAUGUAAUCGGUGUAAAAUGGGUGUAUCGAACAAAACUCAACGCUGAUGGCUCAAUCAAUAAGCUCAAAGCCAGGCUAGUGGUGAAGGGUUAUGCACAAAUCUUUGGCGUGGACUACUCAGACACGUUUGCACCGGUAGCAAGACUUGACACUAUCAGGCUGCUACUUGCCAUUGCAGCACAACUGAAUUGGAAGGUGUAUCAAAUGGACGUCAAGUCAGCAUUUUUAAAUGGUGUUUUGCAGGAGGAGAUCUAUACUGAGCAACCAGAAGGCUUUGCAAAUGAAGGAGAGGAGGACAAAGUCUGUCUUCUUAAGAAGGCACUAUAUGGAUUGAAGCAAGCUCCAAGAGCUUGGUACAGCCGAAUCGAUGAACAUUUGCAGCACUUGGGAUUCACUAAAAGCCUCUCUGAAUCGACUCUUUACAUCAAGCAAAAUGGUGAUAACAUCCUUAUCAUCUCACUUUACGUUGAUGAUUUGCUUGUAACAGGAAAUAACAACAAUAAUGUGGAGAUAUUCAAGCAAGAGAUGAUGAGUGUAUUUGAGAUGACAAAUUUGGGUUUGAUGUCCUUUUUUCUUGGAAUGGAAGUUAAGCAAGUUGAACAUGAAGUGUUCAUAUGUCAGAAGAAGUAUGCCAAAGAAAUCCUCAAAAAGUUCAAACUUGAAGAUUGCAAAGCAGUAAGCACUCCUAUGAAUCAAAAGGAGAAGCUAUGUAAAGAAGAUGGAGCCGAGAAGGUUGAUCAAGCACAAUUCAGAAAAAUUGUUGGAUGCUUGAUGUAUCUCACUGCAACUAGGCCUGAUAUUUUGAAUGCUGUGAGUAUCUUGUCUAGAUUCAUGCAUUGUGCUAGUGAAUUGCAUUUCAAGGCUGCUAAAAGAGUGAUAAGAUAUGUCAAAGGAACCUGCAAUUUUGGCAUAAGAUACACAAGAAGUAGAGAGUUCAAACUGGUCGGGUACUCUGACAGUGAUUGGGGAGGCUCAAUUGAUGACUUGAAGAGCACAUCAGGCUACUGUUUCUCUUUAGGUUCUGGUGUGUUUUCAUGGAAUUCAAAAAAGCAAGAAACCGUAGCCCAAUCCACUGCUGAAGCUGAGUUUGUGGCUGCAACAGCUGCUGUCAAUCAAGCUUUGUGGCUGAGGAAAAUUUUAUCUGAUCUUAACCUGGAGCAAAAGGAAAGCACAGAAAUUCUAGUUGACAAUCAAGCUGCCAUUUCCAUCUCUAAUAAUCCUGUGUUUCACGGGAAAACCAAGCACUUCAACAUCAAAUUAUUCUUUUUGAGAGAGGUGCAGAAAGAUGGGAGUAUCAUUCUUAUUUACUGCAAAACUGAAGAACAAGCAGCUGAUAUUUUCACCAAACCACUGCCAGUCAACAAAUUCGAAUUUCUGAGAACAAAGUUGGGAGUUUGCAGCUCCUAAACAAGGAGGAGUGUUAGAAAUAAUGUUCAGGACUGCUGAGCUGGAAUUUUAUUCUUUCUUAAUUUUUGAUUUAGUCAAUUUUGUUCCUAUUCUCUUGUUCUUGCUGCUACUUCGCAGCUCUGUUAUUUCCAUUAUCAAUUGAUCAUGGCUUGAAUGUAGGACCAUGAUCGUAGGAGUUUGUUAUGUAUCAGCUCUAUAAAUUGAGCUACAGUUAUGAAUAAAGUAUUCAAGCUUUUCAUUCAUCAAUCUCUUCUUAAACACAAGCAUUAUCCUUUGUUAUUUUUGUUGUUCAGAAUCACUGCAACAACGACACGGACCGUGGCGCUGACUGGCGGGUGGUUCUUCUUUCUUUCUCUGCGUUUCCCUUCUGCUUUUUUUCUAUUCUGCUCUGUUCUUCCUCUUGUUCCCUGUUUUAUUCUUUCUCUCCCUCUCUGGUCCUCUCAAACGUCCCUUGGAGCUGCUGCCUGAAGAUGAAGACGAAGUUGAGGGUGAUCAGUGCUCUGAUCGGGCGACGUUUCUUUCUUUCUUCUGCUACUGUUUUCGUUUCUGAUUCUCCUCGUUCAAUUCUUAUUUGCACUCUUCUUCUUCUUCGUCUCUGGUUUUUGAAAUGACGAAGACGAUGGCAACGCUGGUUCUAAUCUCAACGAUUUCCUCUUCUUACAUUCUUUCCUUUUGCUCGUUUCUGUCUCCCUCUCGUGCUGCUCCCCACUUUCUCUCUUGUCCUGCUCGCUCUCCCUCCCUGUCUCCUCUUCUUUUUUUUUUGUUGUCCGUCUCUCCUCUAGCUUUUUAUAGCCAGAGGAUGCAUGCUUUUCGGGAUUUAUUGCAGGAAGGUUGUAACGGCCGGCGUGCAUCAUGGUGGAGAGGGAUAUCAGCCGUGAGACGUGCUCCCCUGAUUGAAGCAGCUCCACCACUAACGUCUUCACUUCCUUUUACUGUAGAAACCGUUGUUGAUGAAGAAGGUAAUGAACAGUUGUCAAGGAAAUGGUACCGUUUUAAAAUUCAAAAUGAAUAUUUCCGAUUUGGUCAUUGGAUUUUUUGCAAUUUUGUAAUCAAGCCCCCGAAUAAAUUGUAAUUGGAUCUCUGGAUUUUAGCCCCAUUUACAAGACAAUCUUUGGUUCUGGAUUCAUGCGAUUUGACUCUCAAUUGAUCAAUAAACUUCUAAUUUCUUUAAUUUAGCCCCUGACUUGGUCAAUUGCAGCCCUUAUAUUUACACGCCUUUUCCGGUUUGAUCCUUGGUUUCGGAUUUUUUCAAUCAAGUCCCUAAUUGCCCAUAAAACUUUAAUAAUUAUGCAAUUAAGCCCCUGAUUUGACCAAAUCAACUCUUCAAAAUUAUAAUUGGACCUUAGAACUUUAAUUUCUUCGAAUAAAAGCCUAAAUAGACAUAAAACUCAAUUUUUCUUUCAAUCAAACCCUCCAUAAAUUCAAUUAAACCUUUAAUAAAAUUUAAUUGAGUCCAUAAACAUCUGAUUUUAGAUAUAUUUUUUUAAAAUUGAAUUUUCUUUGUCAACAGGGCUCUCAUUAGUCAACGAUAUACUGUCAAAUUUCAAUCUUUAUAUUUUUUAACCUCCUCAACCAAUUUUUGGCCAUUUUGAGCAGUCCGACAGCUUUCACUGUGACAUAUAUAUUUUUUUAUUUAUAUUAUUUAAUUAAUUUAUUAUUAUUUAUUUAUUUAAUUUUUUUCAACUCUUACUUUUUGUAUUUUCUUCUUUUUUGUGUGGGGUCCCAAAAAUGGAUAACAACACUUAAGUUCAAAUCUAUUAAUAAAAAUAUAGUUUUAUUGACUUUUUUAUAUACUUUUAUUAGAGAAAUCAAUGUAAACAAAUUUAUGGACAAACAUUAGUUUAUCAAGUACUUAAAUAGAAAAAUAAAAUCAAUUAGAGUACUUGAAUAAAAAAAAUAUAAAUUAUAAGCAUUUUAUAUAUCUUUAUUGUUCAUAAAUUAAAAAUAAAAUAAAAUCAAUCCAGACUAAUCUAAAAAGAGUUAACUAUGACAUCAUCAUUUUGAUAGUAAAACUAAUGAAGAUAUUUUAUUGAUUAAAUUCCGUGAAUAUAAGUAUUCAAAUUGAAAAAAAAAAACAUUGAUACAAGAUUUUAAAUAAAAAAAUUAUAAAAUACAUAUAAUUUGUACUUCUCAUUGUCUCUUUUGCAUUGCUAACACUUAACAAAUUGAAUAUAUAAUUCUCAUGUCAAUAACGUCAGAAUAAAUUUAGCUACAUGACAUAAUAAUACCUGUUUAUUUUUGUAUUUUAAAAAUAUUUUAAAAACAUUAAAUUGUUUUAAAUAGAUAACUUUUGAAUCAUCAAGUAGUGAAACACAGGAAAAGCGAAGAAAGUGAAGAAUAAUCAAAGUGGUGCGUGUCCACAUCAAUUUUUGUCCAUGUUUUUGGUAUUAAUCUCUUCAUCUAUUUACAGCUGGAGAAAAGAACAUCACCUACUACUUUUCUUGUCUCUUCUUACUUGGAAGAUCAGGUAUGUGAAUCUUUGAGUGCCACUUAUUUUAGUACAUAGACUUAGUUAUUUGACCACAACUUCACCACAAGUUAAAUUGUUUUAAUUAAAAAAAUUUAUAUAAAGAUUUCUUCAAUAAAUUUUUUAUUUAAAAAAUUUCUAAGUGAAAAUUAAAAAACUUAUACACAAAUAUAGUUAAAUAAAUCAAGAAUUAUGUGUGUUAAUAAGUGAAAAAAACCAUAAAUGAUGACUCAAAAUAAAAACUGAAAAAAUCAACUGAUAAAUGUAGAUCAAAAUAUUUAAUUUCACAAGACGUGAUAUUAAUGCAGUUGUGUUUUCUAAAAUUUUUAAUUAAAAUAAUUUUUUAAUUUGAUCAAACGAUAAUAAAAAUAGACACACAUAUUAUAAAUUGAUUGAAUAAAAUAAAAAAUAAUAAUAAUAUGCUAGGCUUUAUAUAUUGGAAAUAUUAUUUAAAAAUAAUUUUUUUUAUUUUAAAAAAUAAAAUUUAUCUAUUAAAAAAAUUUAUAUAUUAAAUUCAAAAUAAAUAAACUUUAAAAUAAUUUGCAAGGCUGCACAUAACCCCUUUAAAAGGAAAGUGAUAUAACAAACGUGGAACAAUUUUUAUUAACUAAAUAAACUUAAUAACUAUUAAUAUUAAAUUCGAAAUAUAUAUUAAAACCUAUUAUAUUAAUUUUUGAAUUUAUCAAUUCAGAUGUGAAUUAUAUUUCUAAAAUGUUAUAAGAAAUUUCUAUAUACGACAACUAGCUUAAGAAAGUGAUGUUCAUCAAAACCAUAGAGUACAGAAAAAGAAUUGAAUUGCAUAAAAUUAAGUAAUUAACGGAAACUUAUAUUCCUUCUUAAAACGUUGACCCCAAGUCAAGUUUAUUUAUUAUUAUUUUUUUUGAAAAAAACAUGAAUAAAAGUUAAUGCUAGGCACAUGGGAUAUAGAAGACUUGCAACUUUCUUUAUAGAAAUUACGUGUGUAAAAUUUAGGCCUUGAAAAAAAAUUAAAAAUAAAAUACUAUUAAUCGUGUUGAUAAAAAUUAAUAUAGAGACUUUAUUGAUAAAAAUUCAUAAGAGCAAGUAUUCAAAUUACAAAAAAUAAAAAUAUUUCUUCAAAUUUUCAAUAAAAUUUAUUUCUUGAAAUUAAUGCAUUAAACAAAAUUAAAAUAGUAGUAAAAGUAAAUUUAGUUUUUGAUUGAAGUGUAAACUAGUGGUAAAUGAACAAAAAGAAACUUUAUUGAUUUCUCCAAAAACAAUAUAUAUAUUAUUGAAUAUCUAAUGGAAAGGAUUAUGAAACUCCGCCUAAUAUAUAUAUAUAUAUAACAGAGAAAUUGUCGAUAAUAGCUAUGAUCUAAGUAACUGGACCACGACGAAGACAUAUACAAGAAACAAAAAAAAGAUACUUCACUAACAAUUGGGGUUCUUCAUAAGCUUCAAUAGAAUUGAUAGAGGGUCGAAACAAAAAAGAGAUGAAGAGAGAGGAGGGAAUGGAAAGAAGGGAAAAGAGAACUCUUGCGAUCUGUUGAAUAAGACUCAGUAUAUAUAUAUAUAUAUAAAAUAAAAAAAACUCAAGUUAGCGCAUCAAAUCUUCGACUUGGAUUAUGAGAUCGGGAUAAGAAAACUUAAUAUUUAAAAAUAAAAUUAAAGAAAAAAACUAUAAAAACAUAUAUGGUUUAACAAUAUUAAUCAAUUAUUAAAAUCUUUCAUUUUAUAUAUAUUAAAAAUAAAUAUUAAUAACUAUUAUAUCAAUUUGUGAAUGUUUCAAUUAGGAUGCGAAUAAAUGUUUUAUAUAUGACAUUUUUCUUAAGAAACCAAAGUUAUUAAGCAUGUUUAGAUUUAAUUACCAAAUGAGAGUGAGGGUUGAGGUUAUAGAUUGACCUAAUUAAUACUCAGAUCAAGAUUUAGGUCCUAGAUCGGACAAAUUAGCUUAUUGACUAGUGUUAAUAAAAAAUUGUAUCAUUUUAUGAUUUUUGUUAUAGAAAAAAUCAAAAUGGUGUUGUUAAAAAAAGUAAAACUAGGUUUUAACUGAGUUGACUAGGUUGUGGGUUGAUUUAUCUGGUCAACUAGGCUCAAUUGAGUCAACUCUCACUUGGUUUUUUCUAAACCUAAAUAGGGUUAGGUUCCAGAUUAAAAUGUAAGGCUUGAAUUAAAUUUAAUAACAUUGAUUAAAACCACAAUGUAGGAAAAAAAAUUGAAUUCAUAAAAGUAAUUAACCGAAAACUUGAAUUCCUUCUUAUAAAGUUGAACCCAUGUCGGUUUUUUUAAAGGAAAAGUAUGAAUCAAAGGUUAACGCUAGGCUGCUCACUUUGCAUCACAAUGACAGAUAUGGAAGGCUUGCUACUUUCUUUAUGGAAAUAACGUGUGGAAAAUCAUGCAUUAAUUUUGAUGUUGAUGGCAAAAUCAAACAAUAUCGUUGAUAAAAUGAAUGACAAAUGAUAUUAUUUUUAAAAUACUUCUUGUCAUUGUCAUGACAACAAGUCUUCUUUUUUUUCUUUCUAAAGUACUUGUCAGUCUAUUUUUAUGUAACCCAAUCAACAAGUAAGAUGGAUAGAAAUUUGCAGUGUAAAAUGGGUCUGUGAGACUAUGUAUCGCCAUCUGCAUUUUUCCACGAUCUAGGCCAGUGGGAUGGUACAUGAGACCAUUGCUAUCAAGCGUUUUUUCUACGAGAUGGGUCCAUGAGACCAUUGCCCUGUAAGCUUGGGAAUGGAUAAUUAAUAUGCUUUAAUGUCUAUUUAGUUUGCAAAAAAAAUAAUUAAAUGCUUAUGAAUAAAAAAUAAAUCUCAAGUGUUAAAAUGCAACCACCGAUUAAUUAAUGGACAAUGGACCUUAGAUUAAUACAUGACGCAACUUUCAAUGGAAUUAUAUUUGUGGAGGUAUUUACUCGGAUGCGAAUUAUAUUUCUAUUUUUUUAUUUAAAAAAAUUCUAUACUACAACGAGCUUAAGAAAGUCAUGUUCAGGGGCGGAGCUAUAAUUAUUUGUUAGGAAGAUCAAAAUUAAUAUAAUAAGAUAUAAAAUUUAUUUUAAUUUAUUAUACAUGAGUUCUAAAACAAAACCUGUAUAAUUUAGUUUUAUUCAAAUAACUUACUACAAACAUAUAAUAACCUUUGUGAAGUAUAUUGGGACUGCUCAACCAUAACUUUAACAUUACACAUUGGAGUUGGUUCACUAGGCUGUGAGUUAUCAAUAUUUUUUAUUUUUCUUUUUCAAAAAAAAAUCAAUUCUUCUUAUUUUGUUCAUGGUUCAACCUAAAAUCAAAACAUAUAUCGUAAGAAAAAAUUGAUAAUUUAGUGACUCUGCUAAAAAUAAAACAUAAAACAAAUCCAAGCAUAAUCAAAACAAAACCAAUAAAAUAUAUCUAAUUAAUUAGAAAAAAAAUCAUUAUAAUAAGAAUUCAAAAAAAAAUGGUAAAACUAGCAGAUCUGAGAAAAAAAAAGAGCAAAAAUGAUAGAAAUAUAAAAAAAAUCUCAUCAAAUUAUUAACAAACAUCUCAAAACAAAACAAAUAUAGAUUUUAAAUUUAAGUUACUUUGUUUUGUUUGAUGAAAGAUAAAUUAAUUGGUGGCUCUGCUUCAAUCUUUUUGUAGAAACAUUUUGCUCACAAUUUGUAUUUUUAUUUCUUUGUUUGAUCGGCUGCAGGAUUUAUAUUAGGGUAAAUUAAUGGUUUUGUUUUUUAUUUCACAAAGUAAUGCCUUAAUAUUGUUUUCUUCCAUCUAGGUCAAGAGUAAAUUAAAAGGAAAUCAAAAGUAAAGUCAAUAAUAACCCAAAGUAAUGCCUUAAUUAUUUGAUGUCACAAAGUAAUGCUUUAAUAACCCAAUAAUAAAAAAACAAAAUGUCUUGAGGGGGGCUCGGGCCCCUGCUUGCCCCCUACUUCCACCCUUGGUCAUGUUCAUCGAAAAAAAAAAUUAUAUUUACUCGGAUGUGUUUUUUCUACGAGAUGGGUCCAUGAGAACAUUUCCAUCUGCAUAUUGGUUCUUGAGACCGUUACCAUCAGGGGCGGAGACAGAGGGGCUGGCAGGGGCCCCGGCCCCGGCAAGGAAAAAGUUUUUCCAGCCCCUCCCUUAACAAUAUUUAUAUUUUUAGUUUAAAUAAUAAAACAAUUAAUAUUUUGAUCCCCUUUAAUUUUAUUUUCUGGUUCUGCCCCUGGUUGCCAUCAUGCAUUUUUCCUCGAGGAGAGGCCAUGAGACGUCCUCUUCCAACCAUCAUGCAUUUUUUCCACGAGAUGGGUUCGUGGAGAAACUUUGGUUUAAUUGGGAAUGCUGUUAUUGAUUGGAAACUUUUUAAUUAAAAUAAAUUUGAUUAUUUGAUUGGAAAAAAUCCUUAAAUGUUAUUAACACAAGAAAUGAAUUUAUUUUCUUAAGAAAAAAAUAUUGUAACCAUAUAAGUAAUUUAUUUAUUUAUUUUAAUGAAAUAUAAAAUAGUUUUAAAUCUUGUGGUAUAUUUCUUGUCUUUAAGAGCUAUGAACUUAUAUCGCAAACCUUGAAAACUAAUAUAAAGAUAUUAAGUGAUCAUUAAGUGUGUGUGUAUGUAUAUAAUCUUUUUCAAAACAAAAAGGAUUUUGAUGGAGAUCAGGACAUUGCAACAAAUUAUCCACCACGAGAUGGGUCACUGAUACCAUUGUCAUCAUGCAAUUUUUUCCCACGAGAUGGGGCCGUACGCUUGGGGCUCUAAAACGCUAUGGUUUUUAAUUUCAUUAUGUCACAUCUAGAAUGGCAGGUAUAUUUUAUUUCAAUUUAAACAAUGGAAUAAAUUAGAAGAUAUUUCAUCUCGUUUGGAAUCUUAUCUCAUUUCAUGAAUUUCACCUAAAUUCUGGCCGGAAUAUUUUGGUUCUAUUCCAGCCAUUCUAUUAUGAUCAAAUAAUGUUUUGUUUUGCUUUUAUAAAAAAAAAAAUAUAGUCUAGUUUUACGGUAUCAAUUAUAUCUCUCAAUUCAACUGUUGAAUUAUACUAAAAUUUUACAAGGAAUCUCCUAACAUAUAUUUAUAUCGCAAGUUAAAAUUUUAGAACAAUUAGAGUUUAGAAAGACUUUGUGAGAUUGCCGAUGACAUUUUCAUAAUUUUAUUUAAAUUCAUAAUUUGGUUUCGUAAGGUCAUUUUUUGUGUCUUCUUUUAGAUUGUUUUGUUUUUCCAAUUUCAUAAUUCAACAAUAAGUUUAUUAAAAAUUGAGAUUCAUAAUUUGUUUUUAUUUUGGAUUAUUAUGGUCUCAUAAUCUGGGUCACGGAUUUAAAAGAUUAACUUAGAUUAACCCGAGUCUAUCCAAUAUGUCGUUGUCUCAAUAUUUUUAACAAACAUAAUUUUAAUUGACAUUUAAAAAUAAACUAACUUAAAAUUAUACAAUUUAAAUUUCAAAUAUAAGUAAAAAUAAAGAGUUAAAUCGAUAUGACCCAUUUGAUUUGAUGAGUCCAAAGUAUAUAUAGAACAAUCCAAAAUGACACAUCAAAAUACUCAAAAACAAAAAUAUAUUGUUACAAUUAAAAAAAUAAAACACCAAUUAAAAUGGAAUUAACAUCCUUGCUUCAUAGAAGCCUAAACUCCUCGCUACCAUUUGCAAGAGAUAGUUAUACCAAUAGCAAUUUAGUAAUGUUGGUCAGAAUUUAAUAUCCUUCUCGAUAAGAAGAUCCUUAUCUUAUCGGAUAAAACCUAAUUGUUCUAACGUCAACAAAAGAAUUUAAUAUUCGGAAUACAUCUUACGUAUAAGGUCGUAACCCAAAUACUAAAAGAAAAAAAAUAAUAUUUUUGGAAUUUUUGAAAUAUUGGUCUAGUUCUCGUGACUUUAAUAAACUGGUUAUUAAAACCAAAAUGCAUGUUAAUACAUAUUUUUGAAUUUUUGUUGUAUGAAAAUAUGAUAUGAUUUUUUUUCUUUGAGAUACUUGGCCAUAUGCAUGAAAAUAAAAACAUGUUUUUUUUUUAAUUUUUCAAUGUUUCGACGAAAACUGGGUAUUUUAAUUCCAGAUUUGUAUCUUUACAGUAUAAAAAUACAAAUCAAUACUAAGAAAAAAUCAAUAGAAAAAUACGCGGUAAAAUCACAGAUUUUUUAAAAUGAUUUUUUUUUGACCGGGUAGGCGUUGUUCGGGUCAGAAAACUAAAACAAACAGUGGAGAGACUCUCUGCUGUUCACAUGCAACGUGAACAGUGGAGCGGCCUGGAGAAGACUAAGAAGAGGAGGAGGAAGAGGAAGAAGCAGACCUGCAGCCUAGCGGUGCUGCCAGUGGCGGUGGACGGUGUUGCGGUUGCGGACCGUGGUGCUGACUGGUUGGUGGUUCUUCUUUCUUUCUCUGCGUUUCCCUUCUGCUUUUUUUCUGUUCUACUCUAUUCUUCCUCUUGUUCCCUGUUUUAUUCUCUCUCCCUCUCUGGUCCUCUCAAACGUCCCCUGGAGCUGCUGCCUGAAGAUGAAGAUGAAGUUGAGGGUGAUCAGUGCUCUGAUCGAGCAACGUUUCUUUCUUUCCUUCUGCUACUGUUUUCGUUUCUGAUUCUCCUUUUUGUUCAAUUCUUAUUUGCACUCUUCUUCUUCUUCGUCGUCUCUGGUUUUUGAAAUGACGAAGACGAUGGCAACGCUGGUUCUGGUCUCAACGAUUUCCUCUCCUUACAUUCUUUCCUUCUGCUCAUUUCCGUCUCCCUCUCGUGCUACUCCCCACUUUCUCUCUUGUCCUGCUGGCUCUCCCUCCUUGUCUCCUCCUUUUUUUUUUUCCUGUCCGUCUCUCCUCUGGCUUUAUAUAGCGAGAGGAUGCAUGCUUUUCGGGAUUUAUUGCAGGAAGGUUGUAACAGCCGGAGUGUAUCAUGGUGGAGAAGGAUAUCAGCCGUGAGACAUGCUCCCCUGAUUGAAGCAGCUCCACCGCUAACAUCUUCACUACCUUUUACUGUAGAAACCGUUGUUGAUGAAGAAGGUAAUGAACAGUUGUCAAGGAAAUGGUACCGUUUUAAAAUUCAAAAUGAAUAUUUCCGAUUUGGUCAUUGGAUUUUUUGCAAUUUUGUAAUCAAGCCCCCGAAUAAAUUGUAAAUGGAUCUCUGGAUUUUAGCCCCAUUUACAAGACAAUUUUUUGUUCUGGAUUCAUGCAAUUUGACCCUCAAUUGAUCAAUAAACUUCUAAUUUCUUCAAUUUAACCCCUGAGUUGGUCAAUUGCAGCCUCUCUAUUUACGUGUCUUUUCCGAUUUGGUCCUUGGUUUCGUAUUUUUUCAAUCAAGUCCCUAAUUGCCCAUAAAACUUUAAUAAUUAUGCAAUUAAGCUCCUGAUUUGACCAAAUCAACUCUUCAAAAUUAUAAUUGUACCCUAGAACUUUAAUUUCUUCCAAUAAAAGCCUAAAUCGACAUAAAACUUAAUUUUUCUUUCAAUCAAACCCUCCAUAAAUUCAAUUAAACCCUCAAUAAAAUUUAAUUUAGUCCAUAAACAUCUGAUUUUGGAUAUAUUUUUUUUAAAAAUGAAUUUUCUUUGUCAACAGGGCUCUCAUUAGUCAACGAUAUACUAUCAAAUUUCAAUCUUUGUAUUUUUUAACCUCCUCAACCAAUUUUUAGCUAUUUUGGGCGGUCCAACAGCUUUCUCACUACGACAUAUAUUUUUAUUUAUUUAUUUAUUAUUAUUAUUUAUUUACUUUUUUUCGACUCUUACUUUUUGUAUUUUCUUCUUUUUUGUGUGAGGUCCUAAAAAUGGGUAACAAUACUUAAGUUCAAAUCUAUUAAUAAAAUAUAGUUUUAUUGAAUUUUUUUAUAUACUUUUAUUAGAGAAAUCAAUGUAAACAAAUUUACGGAAAAACAUUAGUUUAUCAAGUACUUAAAUAGAAAAAUAAAAUCAAUUAGAGUACUUGAAUAAAAAAAAUAUAAAUUAUAAGCAUUUUAUAUAUCUUUAUCGUUCAUACAUUAAGAUAUUUUAUUGAUUAAAUUUUGUGAAUAUAAGUAUUCAAAUUGAAAAAAAAAACAUUGAUGCAAGCUUUUAAAUAAAAAAAAUUAUAAAAUACAUAUAAUUUGCACUUCUCAUUGUCUCUUUCGCAUUGCUAACACUUAACAAAUUGAAUAUAUAAUUCUCGUGUGAAUAACGUCAGAAUAAAUUUAGUUAUAUGACAUUAUAAUACCUUUUUAUUUUUAUAUUUUAAAAAUAUUUUAAAAAAAUUAAAUUGUUUUAAAUAGAUAACUUUUGAAUCAUCAAGUAGUGAAACACAAGAAAAGCGAAGAAAGUGAAGAAUAAUCAAAGUGGUGCGGGUCCACAUCAAUUUUUGUCCAUGUUUUUGGUAUUAAUCUCUUCAUCUAUUUACAGCCGGAGAAAAGAACAUCACCUACUACUUUUCUUGUCUCUUCUUGCUUGGAAGAUAAGGCAUGUGAACCUUUGAGUGCCACUCAUUUUAGUACAUAGACUUGGUUAUUUGACCACAGCUUCACCACAAGUUAAAUUGUUUUAAUUAAAAAAAAUUAUAUAUAGAUUUCUUCAAUAAAUUUUUUAUUUAAAAUUUUUUUAAGUGAAAAUUGAAAAACUUAUACACAAAUAUUGUUAAAUAAAUCAAGAAUUUUGUGUAUUAAUAAGUGAAAAAAACCAUAAAUGAUGACUUAAAAUAAAAACUGGAAAAAUCAAUAAACAAAUGUAGAUCAAAAUAUUUAAUUUCACAAAACGUGAUAUUACAGUUGUGUUUUCUAAAUUUUCUAAUUAAAAUAAUUUUUUAAUUCGAUCAAACGAUAAUAAAAAUAGACACACAUAUUAUAAAUUGAUUGAAUAAAAUAAAAAAUAAUAAUAAUAUGUCAGGCUUCAUAUAUUGGAAAUAUUUUUUGAAAAUAUUUUUUUUAUUUUUAAAAAUAUAGUUUAUCUAUUAAAAAAAUUAUAUAUUAAAUUCAAAAUAAAUAAACUUUAAAAUAAUUUGCAAGGCUGCACAUAAGCCCUUUAAAAGGAAAGUGAUAUAACAAAAGUGGAACAAUUUUUAUUAACUAAAUAAACUCUAUAACUAUUAAUAUUAAAUUCAAAAUAUAUAUUAAAAAUAAAUAUUAAAACCUAUUAUAUUAAUUUGUGAAUUUAUCAAUUGAGAUGUGAAUUAUAUUUCUAAAAUGUUAUAAGAAAUUUCUAUAUACUACAACUAGCUUAAGAAAAUCAAGUUCAUCGAAACCGUAGAGUACAGAAAAAAAAUGAAUUGCAUGAUUAACCAAAACUUAUAUUUCUUCUUAAAACGUUGACCCCAAGUCAAGUUUUUUUUUUUUUUUGAAAAAAACAUGAAUACAAGGUUAAUGCUAGGCACAUGACGAUGAUGGAUAUACAAGACCUGCUCCUUUCUUUAUGGAAAUUACGUGUGGAAAAUUUAGGCCUUGAAAAAAAUUAAAAAAAAAAUACUAUUAAUCAUGUUAUUUGCAUUAUGGCAAAUAUAGAGACUUGAUUGAUAAAAAUUUAUAAGAGCAAGUAUUCAAAUUUUAAAAUAAAUAAAUAAAUCAAUUCAAGUUUUUAAUUAGAAAAAACAAGAUACAAAUACUCUGUGUAAGUGCCACUAACUCUUUGUAUUUUCUAACUAUUAAAGAAUUGAAUAUAUAAUACACGGGUGAUAAACAUCAAAAUAAAUCCAAUUGUAUAAUUUACUAAGAUUUUAAAAACUAACACUACAUAGAAAAAAAAAUCUUAAAAUAAAUAACAGAAAACUUGUAUUCCUUCGAGGGGUGUUUGAGAGUGUGGUAGCGGUUGCUUUUCAAAGUUUUUUCCCUUAAAAAUGCAUCAAAAUAAAUUUUUUUGAUUUUUUAAAAAUUAUUUUUAACAUCAUUAUAUCAAAAUGAUCUAAAAAUAUUAAAAAUAUAUUAAUUUAAAGCAAAAAAUAUAAAAAAAAUUAAAAAAUUUUAAUAAUACUUUUAAAAUACUAAAACAAACAAGAUAUUAAAAAAUAUACUACAAGUCAAAGUCUUUUUGAAAAAAAACAUUAAUAAAAGGUUAAUGGCAGGUAGCUUAUUUUCUGCCCUAAUAAAGCUCAAGGUCUGUUCAGAAAACUAAGUACGUAGGCAUACACCCAAUCCAAGCACCAUCAAAUCAUUUUUUAUACAUAGGGAUAGGAACGCUAGCUUCACAUGAUAGAUAAAAAAAAUUAAAAGAUAAUAAAAUUAAAAAAAUAAUUAUAAUCUUAUAUAUUAUUUUAAAUAAAAUAAAUAUUGAUUAAAAAAACCAAAUAUAAUAAAUUAAAAUAUUUAAUUUAAAAAAGAUAAGAGAAAAGUAAAUGAGAAUUAAAGUUGAUAUAAAAAUUAAAUUAUAAAAUAUAAAAUUCAAAAAAAAAAUAAAACCAAUUUUUUUUUUCUAAAAGAUAAUAUUCAGAUUAAAAGCAUUAUAAAAAGAAUAGCUCCUUGUUUCUUCCUUGUUUCAAUUUCAAGAUAUUAAGAUUAAAACCCAAUCGUAUAGCUGGUUGGGUUGAGAAGAAAGGUUUGCUUUUGUAUUACAAAUUAUUUAGAUUAGUUUUUUUUUAAAAUUAAUCAAAUUAGUAUCAUUUUGGUUCUCCAUCGAAGAAAAUAGAAAACAUAUUUAGUAAUAAGGUGUUGUUUAAUUCCUUAUAUUAUUAAUAUAAUCAUGGCAUCAUCACUGUAACAAUAAGUCCUCUUACUUGUAUUUUCACCGUCCCAACCUCUUUACAUGGCGUCACCGUAGCAAUUAUAUAUCUCUUGAUCAAUCAUAAUUAAAUUACUGUAAUAAUAUCUUUUUUUAUUCUUUUAUAUGAAGUCUUAAUUUAUUUUUUUAUAUAGGUAGUUAUGAAUUACAGAAAUUGAACAAUUUAGAGAUCUUUGACUUAGAAUCUAAUUGUUUCGAUAACAGUAUUAUAUUAUAGAGGGAUUUUUAUCCCUUAAAUUAUUAUAUUUAGAUUAAAAAAUAAAAACUAAUUAGGAGUCAAUUAAAUAAAUAAAUAAAAACCCUCAAAAGAUAAAAGAAGAAAACAUAAAAAGUACACUACCCAACCAAUAAUUGACCUGAAUCACAUGUUGUCCACUGCCAGAACUUAUUAGCAAUCUGCUUACAACAGCAAAUUGAUCAAUAAGAAAGACUUAAAUUCCAAAUUUAAAAACCAACUCAAUUGAGAUCCUUAUUAUUCAUUCAAUUAGUUGCUUCUUGCUAACUCUUUUAUUUCCUUUAUAAUUUUAAUUCAUUUUAAUAUAAUUUCUUGAUUGUGGCAAGCUUCCUUUAUCUCAAGAACUUGGAAUACUUGGAUUUCCCAAGAAAAAAUUAACUUAAGACUUUAGUUAAUGCUAUGAACACGAGUAAAUGAUAUGCUAAAGAAAAAACCAUGUAUUUAAGAACCAUUGCUAAGCUACAGGUUCAGGAGCCAUAAACCACUCACAUUUAGUGGGGUUGAUCUCAAAUUCAGACAAAUCUACUUGUCCAGUUCGGAGAACCUUCAAACAAAAAGAAGAAUGAAACCUUGUAAAAUUGGCUAUCAUCAAAAGGACAAGAAACAGUACAAGAAGGAUCAGCCUCGCAUUUCUUGCAUAAGUAAAAGAAUCCACUUGUUAAUGGAAAGGAGGACUCUGCAACAAGUCUAAAAUAUCCUCUGGAGUUCAGUGACCCUACAACCUUAUAUUUACCUCAGAAUGCACCCACGUAAAGCACACAGGAAAUCCCAACACAUAAGACAACAAAAGAAAACAUAUAAUUAGCAGAAAAAAAAAGGUUGUACAAUUCUUUCAUAGCUUACAGUACGUAUAGAAUAAGCAUUAUCAAAUCAGGCUAACAUACCUCAGGUAAGUGAGAUGUUAAUCCUUCUUCAAGCGGCAAUGUCUCAAUCAAUGACAUUAUCAAAUCAGGCUUCAGUAUAUCCCCUAAUCCCAAGCCUAGGACAACAAAAGAAAACAUCAUGAAAAAAAAUGAUUUUACAGUAAUGCACCCAGUGCCAGAGCAUAUAAUUAGCAGAAAUAAAGGUUGUACAAUUCUUUCACAGCUUACAAUACGUAUAGAAUAGGCAUUAAUAAUUACCUUCAUCUGGAUCGGCCAAACUACCUGCAACAUCUAUCAUCACAUCACGGCGCGGGCCACCCUAAGUACAGCAAACAAGGAUAUGGUCAAUUGCACUAUCUGAGCAUAACACAGAUAUUACUCAGGAUUCUUUGCAAGUCUUCCAAUUUCACUGGUUCUGAUGAAGAGUUUACAUCAUUCAUUACUUCUGCACCAAGGUCUGGGACAACUAAGUUUCCAGUCCUGAGAGCUAUGAGCAAAAAUCUCAUCAGAAUAAAAGAAAAUGGCAACGUAAUACUGGGCCAUUUCUUUUUUGUAAUAAAAGUGCUCCUUAACCUUUUUGAAGUUAUUUUACAAUGAAUUACAAGCAUUAAACUUGUAUAUACAUGGACAAACACCAAGUUAUGAUUCUAAAUUUCCAUAUAAAAGAUGCCCCAAGUUUUAAAAUUUACCCCGAGGGCAAGUCUGUGCAAGAGCAUAAGGGGAUGAAGGAUUUGACAUGGACUAAGGUGGGUGAGAUGUUUUUGUCAAGAAAUGAUUUUGGAAAAUUUCUUGAUAUUUCUUGAAUAAAUAAGAUAGGAGUCUUCAUCAAGGCAAGAACAUAGGCUCUCCAAGAUAAUUGACCAGAAGGAGAGAAGGGAGGCUCAUCCUGCUCCACAGACUCUUAGUCUCAAAGAACAAAAAAUUACUUGGCUCUAUAUCCUUACUCUUACUUGCUAUAUCAACUCUUAGAGUUGAAGUAUCUGAAAGGGUUUAUUUUUAGUAUUUGAAUAAGUCCAUGAGUCCCUAGUCUUCAGGAAGAUAUACAUGGUCAAGAUUAAAUUAAGGAUUUUAGUUGCUUAUUUUUCGUUAUUUCAUGUGCCACGUUACUGUGAACGUGAGCUAUUUUUCAGUCUUAUUAUUAUUCCUGUAAGGCUAUUUAUUAGCCAUUUCCAUUCAGUAAAAGCAAUUCAUUCAAUUCAAAUACUGUGCACUUUUGUUCUUAUUCUUUACAAUUGGUAUCAGAGCUAUUACAUCUGACCUGUUACGAAGAAAUAGAUACAAAAGGAAGACAUAUUUUUGAGUGACUUCAAACUUAGAGUGAGUGAGUGCUUGAGUGCUUUUAAACACAGAGUGAGUGAGUUUGAGUGUUUUUUAAACACAGAGUGAGAAAGAGAGUUCUUGAGGGUCAAUUUCAACAAUGGCAGCAGAGUCCAGCAAUUUUGUAUCACCUUGCAUCCCGAAAUUUGAUGGAGACUACGAGCAUUGGAACAUGCUAAUGGAGAAUCUCUUGCAUUCCAAAGAGUAUUGGAACGUUAUUGAGACAGGAUAUGUCGAGCCUGCAUCAGGGGAAAUUCUGAAUAAUGCACAGAAAAAGACAUUGGAGGAGACAAAGCUGAAAGAUUUAAAGGUUAAAAAUUACCUUUUUCAGUCCAUCGACAAAUCCAUUCUGAAGACUAUUACUCAAAAAGACACAGCAAAACAGUUGUGGGAUUCCAUGAAGAUCAAAUACCAAGGAAAUACAAGGGUUCGGCGUGCUCAACUUCAAAUCUUUCGCAGGAAUUUUGAAGUGCUGGAAAUGAAACAAGGAGAAACUGUCACAAGUUAUUUUGGAAGAGUUAUGCUGGUGGCAAAUGACAUGCGAAAUCUGGGAGAAAGCAUACCUGAUGAGAAGAUUGUAGAGAAGAUUUUACGCACACUUACUGAGAAGUACAAUUACAUAGUGUGCUCCAUUGAGGAGUCUAAAGAUAUUAAUCAUCUUUCAGUUGAUGAGCUGUAGAGUUCAUUACUUGUUCAUGAACAGAAAUUCAAAAGGCAUGACACAGAUGAUCAUGCCCUGAGAAUCUAUGAUGACAGAUUCUGUGGCAGAGGUCGUGGCAGAAACAAUUACAGAAGCCGAGGCCGUGGGGGCAGAACACAAACAUUCAAUAGAGACAUGGUGGAAUGUUUCAGGUGUCACAAACUUGGACACUUCCAAUACGAGUGUCCAACCAUGAACAAGGCAGCUAAUUAUGUGGAGCUAGAUGAUGAAGAUGAGAUGCUGCUAAUGUCCUAUGUUACAUUAGCUAAGACAACACGGAAUGAUGCAUGGUUCCUGGAUUCAGGAUGUUCUAAUCAUAUGUGUGGUUAUAGAGGUAUGUUCUCCUACUUGGAUGAAAAUUUUCAGCAUUCAGUCAAACUUGGAAACAAUAGCAGAAUGGCAGUAGUUAGCAAAGGCAGAGUAAAAUUACUAAUCAAUGGUAUUAAGCAUGUUGUUAAUGAUGUCUAUUAUGUACCAGAGCUUAAAAAUAAUUUACUGAGCAUAGGUCAACUACAAGAAAGGGGCUUAGCAAUUUUAAUUAAGAAUGGAGUUUGUAAGAUUUACCAUCCUGAGAAGGGUUUGAUCAUUCAAACCAAGAUGAGUGCAAAUUGGAUGUUCAUCCUACUUGCACAGACUCAAGCUCCCGUACAUGCACAGACUCAGAAUCAAGAGAAUUGUCUUCUCACCGGUUCUCAAAAUCCCUCAGUGCUAUGGCACAGACGGUUCGGUCACUUAAGCUACAAAGGCUUAAGAACCUUACAAUGGAGACAUAUGGUACAUGGACUGCCCACCUUCUCGACUCCCACCAUCACCUGCACAGAUUGCCUCAAUGGCAAGCAACACAGAGAGGUCAUGCCCAAACACAGCAAAUGGAGAGCAAAUCAGAAAUUGGAAUUAAUUCAUGCAGACAUUUGCGGUCCUAUUUCCCCCGAAUCCAAUAGUGGCAAAAGGUACAUAUUAUGUUUCAUUGAUGAUUUCAGCCGAAACUAUGGGCAUUUCUUUUAGCUACAAAAUCCGAAGCUUUCAUUUAUUUUAAGAAAUUCAAAGCUAUGGUGGAAAAAGAAACCCUAUUGCAUGUGAAGUGUCUAAGGACUGACAGGGGAGGAGAAUUUACCUCAAGUGAAUUCAACGAAUUCUGCAGCCAACAAGGUAUCAAACGGCAGCUCACCACGGCGUACACUCCACAGCAAAAUGGAGUUGCAGAGAGAAAAAAUCGAACCGUGAUGAACAUGGUCCGAUCAAUCCUCUCUGGUAAAGGGAUUCCAAAACCCUUCUGGCCAAAGGUAGUGAACUGGGCCUUCUAUGUGCUCAAUCGGUGCCCAACUUAUGCUUUGACAGACAUCACUCCUCAUGAGGCAUGGAGCGGAACUAAACCAUCAGUAGACCAUUUCAGGGUCUUUGGGUGCUUGGCCCAUGUUCACGUUCCAGAUGUGAAACGGAGUAAGCUUGAUAACAAAAGCUUUGUGUGUGUACUGUUGGGUAUGAGUGAGGAGUCAAAGGGGUACAAGUUGUUUGAUCCUUUAAACAAAAAAAUCGUGGUUAGCAAAGAUGUGAUCUUUGAGGAGGACAAACAGUGGGAUUGGGAUGUUGCUUAUGAAGAACAAAUCUUGACAGAUUUGGUUUGGGGUGACAGAGAAGGAACACGUGAAGAUGGUGAUAAUAGUGAUGACAAUCACGGGGAUGAGAGUGGUGAACGUGAGGCUGAAAUCAAUGGGGAAGAAGGGGAAGAAAACGAAGAACACAGACACAUUGUCUGUGAAGAUGAUGAAAAUGCUGAGAGAGAAGAAGAAGAAGCUGAGUUAAAUGAUCUUACGGUGUGUAUGCUGCCAGUUGGAAGAAUAGGUGAGCAGGUCAAUCCUACGGCAUGAACGCGGCCAAGUGAACAAAGGGAGAUGACAGAUGGCAAAAUAGAUGUUAAUCCAACGGUGAGAAUUCAGUCUGACAGGGAGAGUGAUUAGAUGACAUGUGGCGUACAUCCAACGGCACAAAACAUGGCAGACGGAGAGAAUGAGCUGCUGACAAGUGGAGACAAUCCAACGACUGACAUGCAAUCUGACGGGGAGAGUGGCCUGCUGACAAGUGGAAGAAGAGAAAGGGGUCCUCCGGUGUGGAUGCAAGAUUAUGUUACAGGGGAGGAUUUAUCUGAAUAUGAGUCCAAUAUGGCACUAAUUAUGUCUUCUGAUCCCAUUUAUUUUGAAGAUGCUGUGAAAGUUAACACUGGAGACUUGCUAUGGACAGUGAAAUUAAUGCAAUAGAGAAGAACAAUACCUGGACGCUCAACGAGUUGCCGGAGGGAGCAAAAAAAAUUGGAGUCAAAUGGGUCUACAAAACAAAGUACAACGAACAUGGGGAUGUUGAUAAAUACAAGGCAAGGCUAGUUGCCAAAGGGUACUCGCAACAACACGGAAUUGACUAUACAGAAGUCUUUGCACCAGUGGCAAGGAUGGAUACAGUAAGGAUGAUUAUUGCUCUCGCCGCUCAAAAAAACUGGAUUGUUUAUCAGUUGGAUGUCAAAUCGGCUUUUCUGCAUGGGGAAUUGCAUGAAGAUGUUUAUGUUGAUCAACCAAAAGGGUAUGAAAAGAAGGCUAGCGAACAUCUAGUUUACAAGCUGCAUAAAGCGUUGUACGGGUUAAAACAAGCUCCAAGAGCUUGGUUCAGUCGAAUCGAGGGUCAUUUUUUCAAUGAAGGCUUUCUACGGUGUGAAAGUGAGCAAACUUUAUUCACAAAGAGAAGCAGGGAAGGAAAGAUUAUCAUUGUAAGUGUUUACGUUGAUGAUCUAAUAUUUACUGGCGAUGAUACACAUAUGUUGUCUGAAUUCAAAAACUCCAUGAUGAGGGAGUUUGACAUGUCAGAUUUGGGGAAGAUGCGGUAUUUCUUGGGAAUCAAAGUAUUACAGCAUUCAGGUGGCACCUACAUAUGUCAGAAGAAAUAUGCACUAGAGGUGUUGAAGAGGUUUGGUAUGAUGGAAUGCAAUGCGGUGAAAAAUCCAAUAGUUCCCGGAUGCAGAGUCAACAAAGAUGAAGGCGAAGCUAAAGUAGAUGAAACAUAUUAUAAGCAGUUAGUGGGCAGCCUAAUGUAUCUCAUAGCAACAAGACCAGACAUGAUGUUUGUUACUUGUCUCAUCAGCAGAUACAUGGCCAAACCUACGGAACUUCAUCUACAAGUAGCAAAAAGGGCACUUAGAUAUCUAAGAGGGACAAUAAAUUUUGGAAUUUAUUACAAGAAAGGGGGAAGUGAUGAACUACUCUCAUUUACGGAUAGUGAUUAUGCUGGAGAUAUGGAGGAUAGAAAGAGUACAAGUGGAUAUGUUUUUUUGUUAAGCUCAGGAGCAGUCUCAUGGAGUUCGAAGAAGCAACCAAUAGUGACUCUUUCUACAACUGAAGCAGAAUUUGUAGCAGCCGCAAUGUGUGUAUGUCAAGCUCUUUGGAUAAAAAGAGUCUUGAAGGAAUUGGGACACUCAAAUAAUGAGUGCACACAAGUGAAAUGUGAUAACAGCUCAACUAUUAAAUUGUCCAAAAAUCCAGUGAUGCAUGGACGCAGUAAGCAUAUCGAUGUAAGAUAUCACUUUCUGAGAAAUCUUACUAAAGAAGGUACAAUUGCAUUAGUUCAUUACGGAAGUCAGGAUCAGGUGGCAGAUUUAAUGACCAAGCCUUUAAAGCUUGAUGCAUUUCUGAAACUAAGAACACUGUUGGGAGUCCAAGAAAUUACUGAUGUAAACUAACUGCAUACUGCAGUAAGUUUAAGGGAAGGAAUGAAAGGGUUUAUUUUUAGUAUUUGAAUAAGUCCACGAGUCCCUAGUCUUCAGGAAGAUAUACAUGGUCAAGAUUAAAUUAAGGAUUUUAGUUGCUUAUUUUUCGUUAUUUCAUGUGCCACGUUACUGUGAACGUGAGCUAUUUUUCAGUCUUAUUAUUAUUCCUGUAAGGCUAUUUAUUAGCCAUUUCCAUUCAGUAAAAGCAAUUCAUUCAAUUCAAAUACUGUGCACUUUUGUUCUUAUUCUUUACAGUAUCAUCUUUGAGUAUGCUUAUUUGUUAUAAUAAAUAUACCUUGAUGAGAUAUUAUCUUUAAGCAUGUCUUCAAAAACUUGGAAAGGAGUAGAAGCAUCAGGCUCUUCUUCAUCAAGGAACUCUGCCAGGCAAUAAGAUAAAGUAGCGACGUUGCUGAUGGAAAAACUUCACUCUUGAAUGAGUGCUGAAGUUAUAAGCCAGGUCAUUAGUUUGAAGGAGUAAAACUGGUUAGUAAAAUUUUAGGAAAACCAAUUCACACAUACGGAGUGUGUAACUAAAAUAAAUAAACAGGAAGUAGAAAACAGGAAAUCCAAUUAGUCUAAUAUGAUAUUUCUGUGAAAUAGAGGUUUUCUUUAUGAAAUUGUGGAGAUGAGAGGAGAUAAAUGCAGAUGCAAGAUAAAAAAAAACAAUAAAAAAAAACACAAAAGUAGCAUGGCUAGCAAAGGACUCAAAACACAAAAGUAUUUACCAAAUGGACGAUUAAUAUAAUAGUUGAUAGAGCUACACAAUUGUGAAUCAUCUUUAGCUUUUGGCUCCUGCAAACAUGUUACACAAUUUUCCAAAAUCAUGCAACUAACAGCCGAGUCAAUGUUACACAUAAGAGAGUGAAAAACACAGAAAAUGAACCUGACCUGCAUCCAAAUGAAAAACUUUCAAUCAUCUGUAUUGAAUUUCAAGAUGUAAACUCUUCCCAAAGCUUGAUUAACCUGAAUAACCCAAAGAAUUAUGAAUCUAUGAUAUUACAAUCAAUUAUUAGAGUCAAAUAUCUCCCAUCUAAGAAAAAACUAAGAGAGAAAAGUGUACCUUCUCAAAAACAGCCUCUUCAGAAAAAAAAAUCUGAUCCUGUCAAUCAACACGUCAAGAAAAAGCUACCAAGUUCUUACCUCAAAAGAAUAUUAACAAAACAAACAACAGAAAAAGAAAUAAAAACCAAUGUUGGAAGAGAGAAACAAAAUCCCCAGGCUAAAAAACAUAAUAAUAACUAGGACACAUCUUCCACAGCAUUCAAAUUCCUAUCAAGCCACUGGAAAUGAAGCAAACCCUCGUCACCCUGGAACAAUUCAAAAAUUUCGACUUCAAACAGGAAACAAGAUGCUAGAAACACUCUAUCUAGUACUUAAGAUAAACCAAAACAACAGAAGUAACUAAAAAUCUUUACACAGGUACGAACUCUGUAUAACACAAAAAAACCAAAAGACACCAGUUUACCCUUCCAAUGCGAACAAGUCCUUUUCGAGAAUCAGGAACAAACUUUUUUCCAUCAAAAACCAUUUUACCAGCACGAAACUCCAACAUAAUUUCCUACCAACAAAACAACCACAACAUCAUAACAUAACCCCAUCAAGAAAAACAUACUUAUACAUCCAAAAAAGCAAUUACAGGCUCUAAUUAAUAAGAUACAAGAUUUUAAGCAAAACCCACAAUUUUAAAAGUGAUUUUAUUUACCUGCAUUGCUGAAAUAUCUACAGCUGAUGAAGAACCCAUUUUUCGCAUACUUCCUCUAAAGCUUCCUUUUUUCCAACACUGCAAAAAAAAAAAAAGAAGAACAAAUCAAAUACCCAAAUCAGAAACAAUAACAGAAAAAAAAUAAAAGAAAAUCCAAUGCUGGAAGUUGUAAUCAGGAGGAGAACCAUACAAUUUCUGAUGGAAUGACAUUUUAUCAAGAAUUGAACUAGGCAUUCAGUUAAUUAAAUAGGUUGUAAACUUGUAAUCAGGUGAGAGUAGUGUCAACAUGUUUAGUUUUCCUCUCGGAAGUGUCAUUCUGCACAAAUCAGUGUUUUAAAAAUAUUAAAAAAAAAAUUUAAUUUGUUUUUAAAUUUGUUUUUUAGUGGUUUUCAUUUAUUUUCGUGUAUUAAUAUUAAAAAUAAUUUUUAAAAAAUAAAAAAUAUAUUAUUUCAAUUUAUUUUAAAAUAAAAAAAAAACUUAAAAAAAAUACUGUUAACACAGUAUUAAACAAACUCGAAUCCUAUAACCAGAUGAACAACGUUAAGAUAUUUGUUUUUUGUUUUUUGUUUUUUUUGAUAAUGAGGAUGUCCUAAACAAUCUUGCCUAAUGAUUGUUAAGAAAUGAAAGAGGCAAUGCAUGGCUAAACCAAUGGAAGCUAAAAAGCUAAUGAUGCCCCUAGCUAGUAAGCAAUUGUUGCCGCAAUGACAUAUGCCUCAUUAGAGAUAGAUUUGAAUUUACAUAUUAUUAUUAUCAUAUAUUUUGUAUUCUCGUUUAAAAAAAUAAAUAUUUUCCUUAUAUGGAGUAGAGUGUUUUUAAUUUUAUCAUGUAAAAUUUAUAUAUAUUUUAAAAAUUAAUACAAUAUACAGUUAAACAUCUAUAAAUUAAUAUCAUUGAGACCAUGAAAUUUAUUAAUUAAUCAAGAUAUUAUUUAGUAAAUAAAUUUAUACACUUAUCCAUUAAUCACAAAAAAAUUUCUUUUUCAAAAACAUUGAACUCAAUACAUGCAUUGUGUAUUCUGAUUAUAUGAAUAUUAUCUAAUUAUCAAAUUAUGAAUUAUCAUAGUUCUAUAUAUUUAUUUAAAUAAAACAAGUUUAAGAAUUAAUGUAAUCGAUCUUAUUAAUUAAUAAAAGUCAUGUAUGUAUCUAUUUUUGCAAAUUGGAUGCAUACUUAAUUAAUAUUAAGUCAAGAACAAAACCAAAAAAAGGAAUAUACAAGUGAGCCAAACAACAAUAUUAAAAACGAAUAAGAGGUUGAAUUAAUAUUCAUUAACUAAUAAUAAAAUUAAGAAGAUGAUACCAAAGGACACAAAAUCACAAAAAUUCGUGAAACUACAUAAGGCGGUUUGUUCAAUACCAAGAAAUUAAAUAUUUAAAAAAAAACUAAAUGAAUUGUUUAAAAAGUUAAAAGAAAAUAAAUGCACUUUUGUCCACGUCAACAACAACUAUAACAAAAUGCUGGGCUGUAGAAGAUUUUCCACAGCAACCUGAAAAAAUCAUAUAUGCUCAAGUAACUAUUUGGUAGAGCGUAUUUGGAGUGCUAAUAUCUUUUCUUUAUGGAAUCAGUCCUCGUACUCGAUCUCUGAAACCAGUUAAGGUUCUUAGUGACCAAAAUACUAGGUAGCGACUCUCAUUCCAUUUUUCCACUAAUAAAAGACAAGAAUUCCUUGUCUCCCCAUAGAUGCCUGAUAGAUAAUACAUUUUGAGAGUGGAUAUUUUCACCGCAACAUCGUAUACGUGCGACAUUAUGUAUACAGGUAUUUCACGAGAUGAUGCGGAGUGUUAAAUAUAAGCUUUGUGUUUAAAUCUGUUUUUUUAUGUAAUAUCUUUUGUUUUAUAUGUAAUUUGUAUUAUAUGUAGAUUUUAAUAUAUGAAUCCUAAAGAUAUUUGCUUUUGGUAUUUAUACAUUUAGAAUGUAUGAGUAAGGAACUAAUAUUAGUAAACUAUUUGAAAAGAAUACUUAAUAAUUAUAAUUAUGCAUGUUUAAAAGAUGGAUGCAUGUUAACGUAAUAAUUAGUUCAAUAUGAAUCCUUUGAGUUUAUAUUUGUAUGCAGUUAAUGUUUUAUUUUAAGAGAAUAUAAUUGCUAUGUUUUAUUUUUUUAUGAUGUAAGGUUGAGAAAGCACAACAAAGUAUUGCUAUGUGAAAUAUUGUAUGAUGAGAUGGGAUAUGAUCCAGGAUGGUUGAAUUGAAAUAGAAGAUUGAGUAUUGUGAUUGAAUGAAGUCUAGUCGAUAACUUGGUAACAUAAAAAAACAAAAGAAACUCUGCCGAAUUUUCUGUAGAAAAUUAGAUUUAUAUAAUAACUAUUACUUUGAUGAUAUAACUUUGAGAGUGAUACAUCAAAUGUGAGAUAUGUUAGACAAUAACCGCAAGACAAUAACGGUUCAAGACGUAGACAAUAACAAUUCAAAUUUCGGUAGUCCUCAUAUGAAUACCAUAUAUAUAUAUAUAUAACUUUACUCUGUUUUUCAGUUGCAUGAUAUUGUUAUUUUAUCCCGAUUGAGGGGGUGUUAUAAUUAUGGUCUUAUGAUCCGAGUCACUGAUUUAAAAGGUUAACCUAGAUUGACCCGGGUCGAUCCAAUAUGUUGUUAUCUCAAUAUUUUUUAAAAAAAUAUUAUCUUGAAUUUUUUGAAGUAAAACUAUAUGUUUAUCAGUCGUCCAGACUAUCUUUGGACUCAUUGAAUCGAUUGGGUCAUAUCGAUUCAACUCUUUUUUUUUAGUUAUAUUUGAAAUUUAAAUUGUAUAAUUUCAAAUUGGUUUGUUUUUAAAUGUCAAUUAAUAUAUAUAUAUAUAUAUAUAUAUAUAACAAUCCAAAAUGACAGGUUAAAAUACUAAAAAACCAAAACAUAUUGUUACAAUUAAAAAAAUAAAAUACCAAUUAAAACGGAAUUAAUUGACAACUUGCUUGGUAGAAGCAUGAAACUCCUCGCUGACAUUUGCAAGAGAUAGUUACUUAUACCAGUAGCAAUUUAGUAAUGAUUGAUCAGCAUUUAUAGUAAGAUGGGGCUAUUAAUUCAAAUGUUGAUGGCAUUAGUAACAAUGAUUUUCUUGGAAGGAUUGCUUCCUCUUGGUUGCUUGAAAAUAUACGGUUUUUUUUUAGUUCAAAUCUAUUAAUAUAAAUAUAGUUUUAUUGAAUAUUUUUUAUAUAAUCUUAUUAGAGAAAUCAAUGUAAACAAAUUUAUGGACAAACACUAGAUUAUCAAGUAUUUAAAUAGAAAAAUAAAACAUUGAUACAAGCUUUUAAAUAAAAAACAUUUAUAAUAAAUAUAAUUUGUACUUGUCAUUAUCUCUUUUUCAUUGCUAACACUUAACGAAUUGAAUAUAUAAUUCUCAUGUGAAUAACGUCAAAAUAAAUUUAGUUGCAUGACAUAAUAAUACCUAUUUGUUUUUUGUAUUUUAAAAAUAUUUAAAAAAAUUAAAUUUUUUUAAAUAAAUAACUUUUGAAUCAUCAAGUAGUGAAACACAGGAAAAGUGAAGAAAGUGAAGAAUAAUCAAAGUGGUGUGGGUCCACAUCAACUUUUGUCCAUGUUUUUGGUAUUAAUCUCUUCAUCCAUUUACAGCCGGAGAAAAGAGCAUCACUCAGUGCUUUCCUUGUCUCUUCUUGCUUAGAAGAUAAGGUAUGAGAACCUUCGAGUGCCACUCAUUUUAGUACAUAGACUAGAUAUUUGACCAUAACUUAACUGUUAGUUAAUUGUUUUUUCAAUUAAAAAAAUUUAUAUAUAGAUUUCUUCAACGUAUUGUUUAUUUAAAAAAUCUUAAGUGAAAAUUAAGAAAUUUAUACACAAAUAUAGUCAAAUAAAUUGAGAAUUAUAUGUGUUAAUAAGUGAAAAAAAAACCAUAAACGAUGACUCAAAAUAAAAACUGGAAAAAUUGAGAGACAGGUGCUGAUCAAGAUAUUUAAUUUCACAAGACGUGACAUUUAUGCAGUUGUGUUUUUAAAAUUUUCUAAUUAAAAUAAUUUUUUAUUCAAUCAAACGAUAAUAAAAACAGACACACAUUAUAAAUUGAUUGAAUAAAAUAAAAGGAGAAAAAAUAAUAUGCAAGCCUACACAUAUUAAAAAUAUUAUUUGAAAAUACAUUUAUUUUUAUUUUCAAAAAUAAAAUUCAUCUAUACAAAAGAUUUUUAAAAAAUAUAGAUUAAUCACAAAAACCUCCUCAAAAAUUAAAUGCAUAAUUAAAAAAUAAUUAUCAUUUCAAAUAGGCUUUCUAAAUAAUAUAAAAGAGAGAAGGGAUAUAAAUAUAAAUAUAAAUAAGAUUAAGAUUAAGAUUAAUUUAAAAAAAUACAAACAAAAAAAAAGAAAAUAUUUUUUCUUAAACAAAAAAAAGUGAACAAUGUCGUUCACAGUAAAACUUGUGGGGUGAACUCGAACUCAACCGAGUUUAAUAUUUUUCCUCUUAAAUUUAUAACAAACCUAAAAAAAGUAAACAAUGUCGUCCAUUGUAAAACAUGAGGAGGUGAAUAGUGCAACUACACAGUGUUCACCUUAUAUAUUUUUCCUCUUAAAUUUAUACCAAAACCGUAAUAAAAAAAGGUGACCAAUGUUGUCCAUAGUAAAACGUGAGGGGGUGAACAACGCAUCUUCAUAGUGUUCACCCCGCACACCUUAGCUUAUUUAGGGUGAACCUGAAUCAUGAACUCAAUCGGGUUUAAUAUUUUCCCCUCUUAAAUUUAUAGCAAACCUAAAAAAAAGGUAAACAAUAUAGUCUAUAAUAAAAUAUGAGGGGAUGAACAAUACAGAUGCACAAUGUUCACCUCACAUAUUUUUUUCCUUAAAUUUAUAGCAAAACCUAAUAAAACAAAUAGUGAAUAGUAUAUUCAUUGUAAAACGUGAGAGGGUGAACAAUGUGGCUAUAUAAUAUUCACCCCACAUGCUUUAGAUUAAACGUGAGAUGGUUAUUUUUUAAAAUAAAAAAAAAUUAAUAAGCAGGCUAUUACAAUGCGCUUUUUAAUGAUGACGAUAUUUGUAGCAAAAAUUUCAAAGGAUUUAAUACAAAUCCAAGCCAAAAUAUUUCACUAGAUUACUAUUUUACGAUCUUCUUAAAACUUGGGUUCGAGCUUGUCAUGUUGAAUCAUCUCUUCUAGAAUCCUUUUUACCGUCUAAUGACUGCCGCUUAUGUUUGUGCAAUUUCUUGUUUACUAGUAAAAUUGUACAGACGUGGGCUUGAAGCUGUUAACUUUCCCUGGACUGGUUAUGUAAUAUAUUUAUAGGUCUAACUGUAUACUAUCACUUGGUCCAAGAGGCAAUAUUGCAAGAUUCCAACGAAAUCUACUGUAAUCUACUGUCCUGGGACAAGAGUUCCAAAAACAUCUACUCCAAAUUUUGUUCUUUUUGAAUCUUUAGUUAUUUUUAUUUUUUCUCAUCAUUUUUUAAAAUAAAAAAUAUAAAUAAAUUACUACAAAAUGAAUAAAACAAAACCAGAAUAAAAAAGUAACAUUAAACAGCAGCCAUUUCAUCAGCUUUAAUUUUAGUAUAACACAAUAAUAUGAACCAACCUUGAUUCUCGAAGGCACCCAACUAAUUCAUUAGCCUUCAAAUUGCCAUCACCUAAUUUCACGAUCCAUGACCGACAUAUAAACAAGGGUCCUCUCCAAGUUCCCAUACAUAUACGAAUCCAAAUAUACAUAGAAACUUAUCUUUUAAAUAAGUCAAUUAGAGUUCAACACAAUAUUAAUAACAAAAUUAAUUAAAUAAGUCAAUCAGAGUUCAACAUAACAUUAAUAACAAAAUUAACUUCAUAAUAUAAUUUGAUUGUCUUAAUACAAAAAUUAAUACAAAGUUCGUAGUUGUGGAGCACUAUCUAGACAUAAAAAAAAUCAUAACAAAAACAACAAGGGAGGGGGUUUGAUAGUAUGUAAUACAACAACUAGAAAUAUAUAUAUAAUUAUGGCUUUAGGUUUUUAUAAAAACGUUUUUUAAAUAGAUCAUAUAAGAACAACGGAGGAGGGGGUUUAACGGUAUGUAUUUGCCUGCUAGUAAAAAUUGGUUAGCACCUAAACAAGGUCCUGUGCUAAAUCUAAAUUGGUAAGAUGUGAUAUGCUAAUAUCUAGAAAGAUAACUUAAUCUAUCCAUUGAAGUAAAGCAUUUAAAUGCGUAUACAAUGUUUUUGGAACAUUAAAUAUCUAUUUGAUCAGAAUCUGAUGGGGCAAUAGGUGAUGCAGGCAUAAACUAGAAAGACAACAAACAAACACAAAGAAAAAAGAUUUGUUAAGCAAACAGGGUUGCAAACUUAAACACUAAAUUCGCAAUUUAUUAUUCUGAAAAAAGUCUAAUGAUGUUUGCCUCUCAAAGAGGUUUCUAAAACAUUUAAAUAUGCUAAAAAACCUAUCUCUAUUGGAAAAAAAAAAUUCAGAAUCCAAAAGAAUAAACAAAAACUACAUAAAAUCUGAAAUAAAACAAUAAAUAUGAAAAAAAUCAAGGAAAAAUAGCUAAAUUGGCUCAAAACAGGAUCUUAUGAACCUAAUUUCAGGGGAUCCGAACAUCAAAUGAUCAACAAAGUAUGUUUCCAAUUGAGAUGGGCCUUAGAAAUCUCCUAUAAAAAUUGAGAUCUAAGCAAAUUAAGUGAUAUUUGUUUGAGACUUCGCUAACUACAUAUAAAGGAAUUAAAAAUAAAUUAUGAUGAUCAAUUCAAAAUCAACAAAAUAUUAAAGUGAAAUUGGAAGCAAAAACAGGGCAAAAAUCAUUAAAUCAAAAGAAGAAAAAAUUAGAAGAUAGAAUUUAUUUAUUUUUUUUAAAAAAGGGGGGAGGAUAUGAAUAGUGAAGUAGGAGGGAAAAACCUAAUUUUUUUAGUAUAAUAAAUAAUUUUUAAUUAAAUUAAAAUCUUCAUCUCAUACAAUUAGACCCAAAAAGAGUUAAAUAAAAAAGGGAAGAAAAUUUCUAAAGAUAUAAGGACCAAUUUAAAAAAAUAAAAGGAAAAAAAAAUGAAAAAACACCAAAUCAAGAAACGAAAAAAUAUAAGGACCAAUUUAAAAAAACAAUAAAAAAUAUAAAGAGUGAAGGAGGUAGAGAAACAUAAGUUUUUUAGUAUAGUAGUUUAUUUCUAGUUAAAUUAAAAACUUUAUCUCAUAUAAUUAGGCCAAAAACAAUUUUUUAAAAAAAAUAAGGACUAAUUUGUAAAAAAAGAAGAGAAAAAAACAGAAUCAAAUCAAAAGGGAAAAAAAACUAAUUUAAAAAUAAAAAUAAAAUGCUUCAUUAUUCAUGUAAAAACAAAACAUCAUUAUAGUAUCCAACUAGACAAGUGACCUACACUACGGGCUAUCCUAAUUUUUUUAAAGCAAAAUUUUUUUUUAGCAUUAUUAGAUGUGAGAAAAUAUUUUUUAAAAAACAUACAUGUGUACAAGAUAGGAGAGAUUUGGUUUGAGAAUGCAUGCUAAAAAUCUAAACAUGAACUAAAACAAAGUGGAAUUAAAAAAAAAAAAAAAACUUAAAAGAGAUCAGUGAUUCAUUAUAGACUGUGAGGUAAAACACUGUAGAUUAGCAUAAUAUAUUUAUUUUUUGACCUUCUCUACGUAAAAUAAUUGCCUUGCUAACAGGGUAAAGUUGUUAUUUUCAAUGGAUCUAAAGGUUAUUUGUAAAUUGAUUGGGAAUAAUUUAGUAGGUUAGCUAUUUUAUUUGCGUAGUAAAAUGACGUCAAUACCCUUGAGAGUUCAAAAAUAUUGACCUUGACAAAGGCAUUUUUUAGUCUUUUCCAUGUUUUGUAUACUGUAAAAUGACAAAGUUAACCUUAGAAUAAAAAAAUCUAAAGCUGGUCUGGGAUAGCAUUUUCAUCUUUGCAAUAUAGCUUUUUUGUAAUAUUUAGAUGCUCUUAUGAGCUAUUUAGCAAUUUAAAGUAUUGAAAUAUUAAUAAAUCAAUAAACAAAGGCUGACAUGUGUGUAGCACGUGUCAACACGUGAUAGUCCACCACGUCAUUUGGGAGGCGUGUGAUAGUCCAACAUGUAAUAUGGAGGUGUAGUUGAUGACGUGGCGUGUCGUCAUAUUUGUAGUGGUUUAAUGGUGAUAAAAAAAUUUUCCCGUCCCCCUCUUUUCUCUCUCUAAGGCUUUAGUAUUCACGCCGAUGCUUUAAAAUUUCACUUGUAUCCUUUGGAUUGUAUUUAUAUUAAGUUUGAUUCUUAUUAUUUUAAUUUCUAUUUAUUUUGAUUUUAGUGUUUUUUAAAGAAAAAAAUUUCAAUUUCAUUCCUCAACAUUUUAUUUCAUUUAAUUUUUAUAUUAAACUUGGUCCUCAUUCUUUUAAUUACUAUUUUCUAUCCUUUACUUAAUUUUUUUAAUUUUAUUUCUUAUUAUUUUAUUUUAUUUUAUUUUGUUUGCAAUUGCAGUUCUUUUUUUUUUUUAUCCCUAGUAAGCAAUUGUUGCCGCAAUGACAUAUGCCUAGCAAGAGGAAAAAAAAAAAAAAAAAGAGACGCUUGAAGGUUAGAGAAGGCACCUCUGAGUGGAAGGAGGCUGAGGUGCGCUAUUUUUGAAGUAUGUGAAAAUCAUAUGUUUCAAUGCUACUUCUUGCAAGAGUCUCCUUAACCAACCUAGAGUGUUAUAUUAGACUGCUAACGUAUUUUAUAAAAAUAUUGAUAAAAAUAUUUUUGGAUAAUUUUUUUUAUUUUAUUUGAAUUUAUUUCUUAAAUAAUUUAAAUUAAUAAGAUAAUUACAUAAAAGAUAAUGUUAGUCAAGUUAUCUUUUUACCAACCAUAAAAAGAUUUUUACUAAUCCAAGCCAACAAAAUAACAAUUACAUGUAUAAAUUGUCAUAUGUUGGAAAAAGGAGUUAGCUCAUAUUUUAGGGAUUAUAUUAAAGUGUUAGCAUCUUGCCUGGUUAGAAAUAGAAUUGAAUUUACAUAUUAGUAUUAUCAUAUAUUUUGUAUUGUCGUUUAAAAAAAUAAAUAUUUUCCUUAUAUGGAGUUAAGUGUUUUUAUUUUUAUCAUGUAAAAUUUAUAUAUUUUUUAAAAUUAAUUUUUCUAAUCAUCAAAUUAUUUUUAUUUUUUAAAAUUUAUAUAUUUUUUAAAAUUAUUUCUUAAAAAUAAAUUUAUUUUUCUAAAAAAUUGAACUUAAUACAUGCAUAUUAUCUAAUCAUCAAAUUAUGAACUAUCAUAAUUCUAUAUAUUUAUUUAAAUAAAACAAGUUCAAGAAUUAAUGUAGAUCAAUCUUAUUGAUUAAUAAAAUUCAUGUAUGUAUCUAUUUUUGCAAAUUGGAUGCAUACUUAAUUAAUAUUAAAUCAAGCAAAAAAUCUAUAAAAAGAAUAUACAAGUGAGCCAAACAACAAUAUUAAAAACGAACAAGAGGUCGAAUUAAUAUCCAUUAACUAAUAGUAAAAUUAAGAAGAUGAUACCAAAGGACACAAAAUCACAAAAAAGCAUUUAACAUUCAGAGAAAGAAGCCUGCAACACCCAUUAAGGAAAAGAGAGAAGGGAAAGAAAUGUAGAUUAAUUGAUACAGAGGAUCACCUUGUUCCAGACCAGCGCGAGACUGUAGAAGAAUCCAGACGAACCAAGAGCAAAAAAUGCAGGAGAGAUAAUCAUGAGAGAAACAAAUUCAUAUAUCCACGAAUACGUACAACAUUUGAAACCUAUAAUGCAAGAAUAGCUGCAGAUGUACAUUAAUAUUUUUAAUUUAAAGAAUCAAUUAAUUAUUUAAAAAACUUGAGGGAUUAAUUUGUUUGUUUCACAUAAAACAGACACUAAUUAUAUAAAGUUUUACUCAAAAAACAGACACUAAUAAUCAUAUGCGUGAGUGUUUACUUGUAAAUAUUUUGGAAGGAACUGGUUUAUGUUUUGCGCAUCAUGAAAAAAUCAUAUAUGCUUAAGUAACUAUUUGGCAUCAAUCUAGUAAAUUAAUCUUAAAUUCCUUUUAUCCAACUCUUGCCGUUUUAAAAUUAAUCAAUGUAAAAGUUAACCAAACAUGAUAAAAUCAAUAUAAUGGGUUUACGAAUACAUAUUAAAUUAAUCUUGGUUUUAUAGCUUAAUUUUCUAAACUCACUACUCAAAUAAUGAACUACAUCUAGUUUUAAUUUUUUUUAUUUAAUAUUAUAAUAACAAUACCAUUUCAAAAUUAACCAAAUAUAUAUAUAUAUAUAUAUAUAUAUAUAUAUAUAUAUAUAUAUAUAAUAGAGUUUAAAAACAAAUGAACAAUAUGAUAUUGUUCCAUUUUACUAUAAUGAUGAAGUUUUCACAAAAUAUAAAACUUAAAUUAAAUUAAGGCAACAAUCAAUUCUUUAGCUUUAAAACGAUUUAUUAUUUGCUUUCUAGUGGUAGUAGUAGGAUGAUUGGAAUAAUUUUUUUUCCAUUAACAAUAGAAUUGAGAAGGCCCGCCACAGACCAAGAGGACAGCUUCAAUGAAGCCAUCCCAGCCGAUGCAGGUGAUUACCCGUCGGCUGACAUCUCCUCGCGCGCAUAGCACCAGCCAAACCACCUCAAUCUGAAAAUGCACCAGACAAAGUCAAUGGAAAGACGCCAGGGAGCCUCAGCAGCCGAGAAGAAAGCGAGGGAACACCCACCGCGCGAGAAACACGAAAAACAUAGAGGGAGCGCGGUAAAGACUGUGAAGCCACAGAAUUCACACAUUGUGCACCGUGUUUUAAUGAGCACUCUUAGUUUAUUUUAUAUAUAAUUCUUUUAGUUUUAGUUUUAGUUUGUUGUGUUAUGAACAGUAAAGCAGCACAAGAAUACGUCUGCGUCAAGCUCUGUUCACUUUGGUCCGACAUUCCUCACCUCUCCCCACCUUAGCUCUCUCUCUUUCCCUCCUCUGCUUUUAGAAACCGCCGCUGCCACCUCAACCAAUAAGGCUUCAAAUCUCACCCAGGUGCUUCCUUUUCUAUUAUGUUUUUGUUUUUUAAAAAAGAUUUACGUCCGCGUUUUCAUUUAUUUAAUUGAAGUUACUAUCCAAAGAGAGAAAUUCGAUUUUAAUAAGUAAAUUAAAAAGAUAUAUAAUCGGAUCCAAUGAAAUCGCUGCUCGUGAACGCAACUCGAAGAAAGGCGCAAUCAGUCGAUUCUACUGUGGGUGGAGCAUUUAGUAUGGUCAGGGUUAUUGUGUUGUCUAUUCAAAGAAAGAUGUGCCUGUAAAUUUAUUAAGUUGAUUCUUAUCAGUCUGCUCUUUAGAGUUGAUGAUAACAUGAAAUAUUCAUUGUUGAUGCUUGUCGUUUUCUUCUUCAUUUUCCUAGCUUAAAACAUCCUAGACAAUCUCUUUGGGAUGGUUUAGUGUUUCUGGCCUCUUCAUCUUCUAUUUGUGCUGUGGUAUUUAGUUUGCUGAUAUUCAUUGGGGAUUGAAAGGCCUCGUUUUAUGACUUUGUUUUCUUCUUAUUUCUUUAUUCUUUUGGGGAUGUGAUAUUUUCCUCUUUCUAUUUACACUAUUGGCUCCCUACAAUAUUUUUUCCUUCAGAGAAGUAAAUAUAUACAUAAAUAACAAGAACAGGAGGGGAAGGGGAGGGGGGUUUGACAAUAAGUAUUUGCUUAGAAGGGAAUGCUUCUUUGGUUUAGAAGCACCAUGAAGAUUCAGGCCCAUAUUUGGCUGGUUUCUUUAAUAAAGUACAUGAUAUUCCAUUUUUCAUGUCCUUGAUGUGCUUUUACUCUUCUUGCCGUUCCUGACUUUCUUUUUAGGGUAUAUUCUAACAUGCAAUAUGUUUUUUUUUUGUUGGCCCACUGUCCCAGGCGGAGAACCUGUCAUGGACAUGGGUGAUUGCAGAAUUCAAUUGCAGCCUGACUCACGGAAAAGAAUAGUCAAAAAUUUUUUUUAUUUAUAUGAAAGAAAAGGAGAAGGGCAGAAGGUUAAUUAAAAUCAGCAGGAUUGCCAUGAGGCAACCUCAAGUAUCACGCACCUCUUUUUUUUUUCAUCUUUUCAUGUGUUUCUCACAAGAAGCAAACUUGAGGGAACAUAAAGUGCUGGGAAGUAAUUUUUGUUGGAAUUUCUUGUCUAAUCUCUUCUUUUGAUGAUGACCUCUUGGAUGGCUGCAUGAAGCUUGUUCCGCUUUAAAUUUCAAGGUUAAUCUAUUGCUAUGAGCAUACGUGUUUCAAUUUAAAACUCGAGUUGCAACUGAACUUAAAUAAAUGGUGUUGGAUUUGUGCUUUCUAUUUGUUUUAACUUCUACAGGGUUGAAAUGAUAGUGAUCUUAAACUAGAAAAGCAGCAGACAAAAAUCAAUUAGCCACAAUGGUGUAUGGUUUCUCAGCAUAAAGUUGAAAUGAUAGUGAUCUUAAACUAGAAAAGCAGCAGACAAAAAUCAAUUAGCCACAAUGGUGUAUGGUUUCUCAGCAUAAAGUUGAAUGUUUUGUUGACCUCUUUACAUCCAAAAUCAUAUAGACAGCUACUGCUAGCACUUGCAGUGGUCAAUGAAUACUGUAGAGUAUAUAUUGCAGUGUGAGAUAAGGUUAACUCAUUGCAUUUUCAGAUAUUGAAAGGAUUUCUCUUCUUUUCUUUGUCAAUUACAGGACAUGCAUCGAAGUGUUCUUACUGAGAGUAAAUGCUAUUGUAAUGUUUUCACAGAGACUCCCCUGCUUUGCAACUAAGUCACUAAUAUAUCUUGGAACAUAGCCAUAAAUGAAAGGUUCUUCCAGAUCAAGAAAAUUAACCAUGAAGCUCGUAGCUAGAAUUUUUAGACAGAAAGGUGGCCAAGUACGCUGUACCUCUGGAAUAAUACAGGGAAAGGAUGUCUAUGUAUUUUGAUGUCUUAUAUUACUUGACCAACUCUUGCUUAUCUCAUUAUUUGUUUUUACUUUUUGCUAAUGAUUCCACACAUUUCUGAUAUUGGUGUGGUUUAUGAGUUUAGGGUUCUCGUUGCUGCUAACUUCUCUAUACUUUGCCUGGUCAUUAAAAAUCAAACGUAAUGAUUUGCAUAUGCAGAAUGGAGACAUUAAAAAGACAUCUUCUAUUUUCUGGUGAGGAGGGAUUUCAGGAACUCAAGAAAUUUUCCAUACGUUUUGAGGAAAAGAUUUAUACUACCGCUAACAAUCAGGUAUUUGCCUAAUGCGAGGUUCAAUAAUUAUGAUAUUAUCUAGACAUGAAUAUACACACGCAUUUAUGCUUGUACAAAUGUGUGUGUAGUGUGCCUACACUUCCUCACCGUUCAUUCUGUAUGCAAGGUUGAUUGGGAGUUCACAUCAUUUUGUUAAUUCUCUUGACAAGUGUUUUAUUUAGAGUGACCAAGUUCAAGUACAAGGGAAGAAUGCAAAAAGCAAAUAACGAAUCAAUACAUAAAUAAUUAAAUAAAAAGAGAGGUAACAGAAGUAUAUCCUCAUAGAAGAUGAAAUGAUAGAGUAUAUAUCUAUUUUCCUCCUCUGGUAACAUGGAUUGCUCUGAGAUCUACUGUUUUGUUAUUAAUAUCUGAUUUCAAUCUGAUUAUUUGCAUAAAAUAUCUCUGGAGAUGCUUUCGAUGGAGACCAGGUCUCAAAAUGCCAUGCUCACUACACCUAUGGAUCCAGCAGGUAAUAAUGCAGCCGAGCAUUGAAUUUCUAAAUAUCUUACCUUUUGUUUUUCUUCUCGCAUUGCUAUCAAACUCUUUUACAUUUUAUUGCUGCAUAUUGCUAUGUAUAUCGCCUUGCUGGAAAAAUCUCAUGAUCACCUCCACGAUGAUAAUUUUGUAAUGCAUGUGAAGUGUUUCAUCCUUAACUUGUUAAGGAACAAGGACUGUGAUGCAUGGUAUUUUAUAUUUUAUGAUUGAGAUGGUAGAUUUUAAAGAUUUUCAUGUUAAGGAGAUAAGACGUCACUUUCUUGCUUUUCUUCCGAGAGAGUAUUUGAUCCUUUUUUCAUAUAAAAUAAUGCUGGCAUGCAUUGAAUUUCCAAACAUCUUACCUUUUGUUUUGUUUGUCGCAUUGUUAUCAAACUCUUUUACAUUUUGUUGCGGCAUAUUGCUAUGUGUAUGGCAUGCUUUAAUCAAAAAGUUGAGUAAUUGAUGAAUGUUAGGCAAGAAAAUUACAGAUUAUUUUUAUUUUCUACCUCCUCCUUCUCUUUCCCCCACCCCGAAAAUGGUCAUAUUAUUUUUUUUUUCAGCCACCUCUUCUUCCCCCAACCUUGAAAAUUGUUUAUAUUUGCUUUGGAAGCAUGGCAAACUUCACUGCCUCUCAGCUUAAGGAGAUUGCAGCAGGUCUCGAAGCUUCUGGGCAUCAGUUUAUUUGGGUAGUUAGAAGAAACAAAAAGAGUCAAGAAGACAAGGAAGAUUGUUUACCUCAAGGAUUUGAGGAAAGAAUGGAAGGCAAAAGGCUAUUAUCAGAGGAUGGGCACUCCAAGUUUUGAUUCUUGAUCAUGAAGCAAAAGGUGCAUUUGUGACUCAUUGAGGAUGGAACUCAACUCUUAAAGGCGUAAGGCAAAUAUUUGAUGAGCAAUUCUAUAAUGAAAAGUUGGUGACUGAUGUUUUAAAAACUGGAGUUAAGGAAUGGCUUAGAGUGCAUGGAGAUCAUGUUAAAAGUGAAGCUGUAGAGAACGCAAUCACUCAAAUUAUGAUGGGUGAAGAAGCAGAGGAAAUGAGGAGCAGAGCAAAGAAGCUUUCAGUGCUUUGAUUUAAUAACUGCAAAAAAUGAAAGGUUGUUGAAGAUGGUGGAUCUUCUUGCUCCGAUUUCAAUGCUUUGAUUGAAUAACUGAGGUGGGGUAGCCUUUGAAACAGAGGCAUAGAAUAUAUAUAUAUAUAUAUUUUAGCUUUUUUAGUUUAACGUGGGUGUUCGGGCCAGCUUGCGCGCACCUCGACUAAUCCCACGGGCCCUGAAGUUAACGACCAUGUAAGUCUCCAGUGGCCAUCAUAUGAGCAACCACAGGGCUCGAACCUGAGACCACAGAGGGAGCAAACCUUUUAGUCCCAAGCUCUUACCACUGGGCCACCACCUAGAUGGUUAAGGCAUAGAAUAUUUUGUUUCUACUUAGUAGUGGUUUUGGUAAUUUAUUUUCAGACAAGUCUUGAGAGUUGAAAGAGUAAUCACAGCCGAGUCAAUGACCAAUCCAAAUAAGUUCCCUUCCUAAUGGUUCAGGAAUGACAAGUCCAGCAUAUAUAUUUAGCCCAAAUAACUUUUCAAAUAAAAUGGCUGAGCUUAGAGACAGUACACUACAAAUUAAGCACCCAUUAGCUAGACAUACAGGACAAACAAUCAUCACAAACUAGAAACGACUGUCUUCCCAGUAACAAACUCACCUUCUCAAGUUGGAGAACUUGCGAAAACUAGCUACUACAAUAUAGUAGCAAGUAUCUAUGCAGUCUUCGAUGAAGUACGACCACCUGCGUCGCCAAUAUGGAUUGAUGUAAAGAACUGCUACAAUCAUAAUCACCACGACUGUGUAACUUACACCGAAAUUGAUGUAGAAAAACUCCAUGUCUAUGAAACCAUCAUCUCCUUGUUCAUCAUUAGGCACUGGUUGUGAUGGCAUUGGCUGUGAUGGCACUGGCUGUGAUGGCACUGCUUCUUCACUACAAUUGUUUUGCAAUGGAGGUCCACACAAGAAAGGAUUUCCUUCGUAACAGCUUUCAUCGAAGGUCCCAAACUGAUAUUUUCUCUCGGGUGUCUUACAUGACAAGUUAUUGUACGCCACACUAAAAACUUCCAGUGUGGUAAUUUCAGUAAGUUGUGGAGGGAUGACACCAUUCAAGUUGUUGUAAGAAAGAUCCAAACUCUCAAUCUGUUUUAGGUUUGAGAAUGUUGCUGGGAUAGAUCCAGUGAGAUUGUUGUGUGAUAAGUUUAAUGACAAUAUCUUACUUAAGUUUCCAAAUUCCGGUGGGAUUGCUCCUACGAAGUUGUUAUUGGAGAGAUCAAUACCAGACAUGUAGUUGAGAGUCUUCCCCUUGUAACCAUAAUACAUAUUUUUAGUUGUAAAUUCUAUCACUUCUUCUGUAAAGUUAAGCAGAAAACCCUUUCUCAAGUUGUACAUACUCUCCACUAGUGGUGGACCCAUUGUUUCAUAAUAAGCUUUUUCUAUGGACCUUGAUAGAACACCAGCUCCGAGAUCCGUGAAUGCUUUCUGGGAACUUUCCUUGAAAGUAAGAUUGCCCAAACAGGAGGGUAGUGGACUAGAGAGCUGGUUUUGUGAAACAUCCAAAAUGCUUAAAUGUUCUAACAAGCAUAAUUGAACAGGGAGCUCACCAUCAAAGUGAUUAGCCCUCAGAAGAAGAACACUCAAUGAUGAAAGAUUGCCAAUCCAAUUUGGAAUGGAGCCGGUGAAGCUGUUAUCUUGAAGAUCCAUCGUAACUAAGAAAGAGCUGUUAUAAAAUCUAUAUGUUAAUGGACCGCUCAAUCUAUUUUCGGAUAGAUGCAUAUGGAUUAGAGUUGAUGGACUGAAACAAGAUGGUAUAUAUCCAGACAAGUUGUUCUCUGAAAGGUUCAAAUAUUCAAGUUGAUCAAGCUUACAAAAGUCUCUUGGGAUCGGACCCUUAAAAUGGUUUUUGGACAAAUCAAUUGCUGCAAGAAUCGUAGAAUUAAGAAAGCUCCUUGGAAGCAUGCCUGAAAAUUGAUUGUUACUCAAAUCCAAUACAAUCCACAUUUUCCACCUAUAUAAUGAAAAAUCUGAUAUCUGACCCCAAAAGUUGUUACCACCUAGAUAGAGAUAUUCUAAGGUAGAAGAAUUGAACAACGAGGUCGGUAAUUGCCCACCCAAAUUGUUGUUUGACAGCUUGAGAAACCAUAUUGUUGUUAGUUGUUCUAGUUUUACUGUGGACAAUUGAUUGUUGGAUAAAUCUAAAAUUCCCAAAGAGCUAAUAUUUCCUAAACAAGAAGGAAUACAACCUGUGAAUCCAUUCUUAGCCAUCCUUAAGCUCUUCAGAUUUUGAAAGAUCAAACAAAUAUCCUUUGGAAUUUGACCGCUCAUGUUGUUGUUGGAUAUAUCUAAUUCGGUCAUAUUUAGAUAUGGGUGAUUUGGCAACUGCAAAGUACCAACAAAGGAGUUCUCACUCAAAUAUAGUUGCUCCAAUCGUGUAUUGUUCUUAAGCAACCACGAUGGAAACAUUCCGGUGAUGUUGUUGUGGGAGAGAUCAAGGACUCUUAAGUCGUAUUGGUAAUAGAGGAAGUUGGGAAUCUCUACAUUGACUGCUUCUAUUGUUUUUGACAAACUAAAAAAGACUAGUUGGAACUUUGGAAUCAAAUGAUCAAAGGCAGCAGGUUCUGUUACUAGUCUAUUGUUCUCAUUGCAGAAGAACUUGAGGCUUGAGUGGUUCAUAAAAGGCUUCAUUGAAAUGGGAACUUCAAAGAGGUUAUUUGAUAGUGAGAGGAAUUCAAGAGAUGUGAGGUUGGUAAGAGGACCAGAGGCAAUAUUUCCAGUAAACUGGUUUUUAGAAACAUCUAAUAGUUGUAGAGAUGACAAGUUUCCUAAACAAUCUGGGAGUGAACCUUCUAAAUUAUUUCCAAAGAGAUCUAACUGCUUCAGAUUCUUCAAUUCACACCAACCUGUAUAAUUUAUCUCGAAACAGUCAAAAUAGCUAAAUAAUUAAAAGAUUACCAUAGAAGAGGAUGGAGUGUUGUUAAUUUACCUUGAGCGGGUAGGGUGCCAUGGAGGUCACAUCCACCAACAGACAAAACCUUAAGAGCAGGCAAUGCUCCAAUGUUCUGGAGAAAGUUUACUGGGAGAGAAGUACGAUCUAGAUUCAAUUCUUCAAGAGUGCUAGAAUUGAAGAAAGUCCCUGUGAAAAAGAAAGAAGAAGAGAUAUGAAGAAAAUAAUGGUGGUACAGAAUAGCCAUUCCAUUCAAUAUUAUUAAUUAAUAUUUUAAGAAACUAAACUAUGAUUAACCUUGACUUAAAUUAGUAUCCUUGAGAGAAAGGGUCUUCAGGGAUGGCAAUGACUGCAGGAAGUCCAGCUUCCUUAAACCUAUGAUGUGUAGAAUUGAAAACAGGCAAUCAAGUAAGUAGUGAAAUUAAGCGUUAUCUUGAUCGAGUUUUUAAACCUAUGAUAAAAAACUGAUAUUGAAUAUACUUUUAUAAUGAUAUGAUUUUUGGAUAGAAACAACAAAUUGCCUGAAAAAUCCAGAGAUUUCAAAAGGUAUUGUUAAAAAAUGAAGUAAAUAAUAUUCACAACUUUACCAUUGACAGUCGUCGAUCCUAGCAACAUAUUGCCUGAUAAAUUUAAAGACUUGAGAUAAGAAAAUCCACGCAGAUGUGAUAAAAUGCUGUCGUUGAAUAUAUUAUAGCUCAAGUCCAGGUUCUCGAGUUUCCCUAAAUGUGAUGAUAUGAUCUCAAAACCUGCAAGAGUAAGUCAUCAUGAGCUCACGAUAUGCAUAAUAUAUAGAAACUAAAGAUAAUUAGAAUUGAUGAGAUGCUGUUGUUCAAUUGAUAUAUGAUUCUCAAAUUAUACAUAAAAAUAAUGAUACAUGAACGCAUAUGUCAUUAUAUAACAGGUUGUGCACACUUCAAAGAUUAAGAAACAAUUUUUAAUCAUUCUAAUUUUGAUCUUAUUGGAAAAAAAAAAAAAAUUUAUGGAUAUAAAGUCGUUAAAGAUGGAAACUAAGUCAAACAUGAUAAAUGCUAUCAUUAAAUUGAUCAUUACAUAGAUAUAAAGUACUUAUUUUUUAUGAUAAUGCAUGUAACGAGUAUUAUUGAUUAUUGUUCUUGUUUUAAUUACCGAUGAGAAAUUUUGAACAAUCAUUUGAUUUUAUUAGUUUUGAAUAAUAUAAUAUUUUUGAAGAUUAUAAAAUGUUAUGUAUUUUUAAAUAACUUGUUUUUUUGAUAUGUUUGUUAUGAGGCUUAGCGUAGGUGGGGUGUCCUUUCGAUACAGCUCCUGCGUUGCCAGUAAUAAACUUGAGACUCGAGUGGUGACAAAAUUGAUCUUUACAUGGAUAUAAAGUUCUCAUUUUUGUUGAUAAAGAAACAAUAUAAUUAAGAGAAUGUCAUGUGAAGCAUUUAGGUAGAAACUGUGUAUUAUACCUGAUCCUGUCAGCUGAUUGCCUGAUAGAUCCAAAGACUUGAGGGAUGAAAAUCCAGUUAGAGAUGGAAAAAUGCUGCUGUUCAACUUAUUAAACGAUAGAUCCAAAGACUUGAUCAGGGAUGAAAGCCCACUCAGAAUUGAUAAGAUGCUGCUGUUCAAUUGAUUGAAACUCAGGUCAAGGUUCUCUAACUUUCCCAGCCUCAUCGGUUGGAGUUGAAAACCUACAAGAUAUACAUAAAAAAAAAUAUACAGUGCAUAGAUUAAGGAAGAAGAUAGAUUGCAAGUAUCCAUUCUAUACAUGUAAUUUUUAAUCAUCCUAGUUUUGAUCAAGUUGUGUCUUAUUAGAAAAACAAUUUAUGGAUAAGAUCAAAGCCCCAUAGAUAUAAAUCUUCAUUGAUGAAAGCUAGCGCAAUCAAACAUGAUGAAAUGCUAUCGUUGAUUAAUUAUUAAAUAAAUAUAAAGUCCUCAAUUUUCUUGAUAAAGAAACCGUAUAAAAGAAUGUCACGUAAAGCAGUUAGGUAGAAAUUAUAUAUAACUUACUAUUGAUACCAGCAGAUCCUGUCAACUCAUUAUAUGAUAGAUCCAAAGACUUGAGAGAUGAAAAUCCAGUUAGAGAUAGAAAAAUGCUAUCGUUGUAUUGAUUCCCACUCAGAUAUAGUUUCUCCAGCUUUUUCAACCUUGAUGACAAGACUUUGAAACCUGCAUGAUUUUUCUCAAAAAACAUAGAAAUGAUAUGAGAAGGAGAAAAGAAAAGGUUUUGAAGCUAAAUAAUUAUAAGGUUACCAUAGAAGCUACCUCCUGAUCCAGCUGUCAACCCAUUGUCUGAUAGAUCUAAAGACUUGAGAGCGGAAAGCCCAUUGAAACAUGACAAAAUGCUUUUAUCAUUAUUAAAUCGGUUUUCACUUAGGUCAAGUUUCCUCAGUUUUGAUGAUAGGACUCCGAAGCCUGGAAGAGAAACAUCAAAGCAAGAUAAUUGACAUUAAACACCAACCAACCAACCUUCAUUUAUUUUAUUAUUAUAAUUAAGUGCACAAACAUUGAACUAACCUUCAUUCUCCAAGCAACCAACCAAUCCAUUAUAUCCCAAAUCAAGACUUUGCAAUUCUUUGAAAGGCUGAAACAAAGAUGCGUUGAGAACCCAAUCGCCCAAGCUCUCAUCCCUUUCUCCACUAAGAGAGAGUUGGAUCACUCGCCUUGUAGUGUGAUCACACUCGAUCUCAGGCCACUCACAACAAUUACUACUGUCCACCCAAUGUCUCAAGGAAAUGCCAUCUGGGUCGAUCAAAGAUUGGAUCUCCAAGAGACCAAUUCUCUCUUCCUCCAAACACCCAUAACAACGACCAGACCAUUCGCCAACCAAAGUGAAUAAUGCUAGCAACAUCCAAGCCCCCAUUCUUUUCAACAUCAUCGUAGAUAAUUCUAUGAACUACUACGUAGAAUAUUAUUGUUUGUUAUGUGCCUUUGGGCAACCAUAGAGGUCCUAUUUAUACUACACUGGCCAUUUCCAUGACUUUGAGAUGUUUUCUUUAUUUAAUUUCCACGACUUUAUCUGCAUAUCUUGUGCAGGUUCCGUGUUUUGAGAUUUGAAUAUUAUUUUAUUUCUUUUUGGAAUGUUCUUGGAUUUAAAUAUUAUUUUAUUUUAUUAUUUAGCACUUAUUCUAUUUGCAUUUAAUUAUAUUUUGGUUACUAAUUAUUCAAUUUAUAAAAAAAAUAAAAUAAAAAAAUUGUUGCAGUACUUCAACAUCGACAUUCGUGUGUGAUUCCACAUAAGAUCUUUUCAACUUUAUAAUUGUACUUCUCUCGUUAAAUACAUAAAUUAUCAAUAAUAAUAAACUCGAAAUAAUUAUAAAUCUUAUCCCUGUGGAUUGUGUGGGUACAGUAUUAUAUACAAAAACUUCAAAUACAUAAUAUAUAUAAGUCAGAAAUAUUUUUGUUUUUAUGGACUUGUUUUUAUUACAUUUCAAUAUUAAAUAUAUUUUUUUCAAUCGAGUCAAAGAUAUACCAUUUAUAUUAGAAUGAGAAGACUAAUCAAUUUCUCUAAUUUCUCUAGUUUUCUCCCUAAUUAUAAAAUACAUCUGGUUUUUCAAGUCCAGAUUUUAAGAUAAAAGGAAUUUAUUUCUUGAAAGUAAUGCAUUAAACAAUAUAAAAAAAAUUUAAAAAAUUUAAAAUAGUAGUAAAAGUAGUUUUUGAUUGAAGUGUAAACUAGUGGUAAAUGAACAAAAAGAAACUUUAUUGAUUAUCUAAUGAGUUACUUCUCCAGAAAGAAUAUAUACAAUAUUAUUGAUUAUCUAAUGGAAACUCCGCCUAACACACACACACACACACACACACACACACACACAUAUAUAUAUAUAUAUAUAUAUAUAUAUAUAUAUAUAUAAGUUAGAGACACUUUUUGUUUUUAUGUUCGGAAAAGUGUUCUUUACUUGUUUUUAUUACAUUUCAAUAUUAAAUAUAUUUUUUUCAAUCGAGUCAAAGAUAUACCAUUUAUAUUAGAUUGAGAAGACUAAUCAAUUUCUCUAGUUUUCUCCCUAAUGUAUAAAUUUCUCUAGUUUUCUCCCUAAUUAUAAAAUACAUCUGGUUUUUCAAGUCCAGAUUUUAGGAUAAAAAGAAUUUAUUUCUUGAAAUUAAUGCAUAAAACAAUAUAAAAAUAUUUUUAAUAAAUUAAAAUAGUAGUAAAAGUAAAUUUAGUUUUUGAUUGAAGUGUAAACUAGUGGUAAAUGAACAAAAAGAAACUUUAUUGAUUAUCUAAUGAGUUACUUCUCCAAAAAGAAUAUAUAUAUUAUUGAAUAUCUAAUGGAAAGGAUUCAUGAAACUCCGCCAUAUAUAUAUAUAAAAGAGAAAUUGUCGAUAAUAGCAAUCAUUUUCUUAUCUCUUGUAUCAUUCAUAUCUUCCACAAAUCUUAAGUAAUUGAUGAGACAGUGGAUAUUGCCAAGAAAGGUCGUGAACGCGGAUGCUUGACGAUUAUGAUUUUUAAACACAACCAUAUAGUGAUUUCCUUAUGCAUACUGGUGAUCCUCCAGAAUCUUGUAGGAACACCACAAGCCAAUCUAAAAGAAUGCUAAAAGUCAAAACACACAAGCCAUAUAAAAAUCACACGACAGCCAAUUACCUUAUCUUUUGAAAGAAAGAUAAUAAUAAUAAUAAUAAUAAUAAUAAUAAUAAUAAAAGCAUUCUCCUGGGUGUGCAAUGACCGCCAAUCUUUCUCAUUAUGACAUUCAAUGCUCAGUUAGAAGUUGCACGAUGCUCUUCUCAUGGGGAGCAAAAAUCAGUAGCCUCCCAUGGAAUCCUCAUAAACCUUUCUCUAUGCUCUUCUAAGAUAUUAAAAAUGUCAAACAUACAUCAAUAAUAAAAAGACAUUAAAAAUGUCAAACAUACAUCUAAGAUAUUACGCAAAACGAGGUUUUUUUCUGCAAAAAAAUAAAAAUAGAAUGUUAUACAAAUGGAGCUUCCAACAAAAAAGAUAUGGGAAGUUCGAGGAAAAAAAUGAUUAGUUAAUUCAAAACACCAGCAGUAAGUAAUAAUUACAAAACACGAUACCGAAACCAAAUUGAAAAGUGAGCAAGAAUACAAAAAUGGUUACAUGUAUCAAAAGGAACUGGUACCAAUUUCUCCACCACUGUAUGUCCCUUUUGUUCAGUCUAUGUUUGGUGCAAUCACCUAAAGCUAGAAACAAAAACAGCGCCUUACUCUACAAGUAGCUCAUCAAAGUAUAUGUUGUAAAUUGCAAACACGUGCUAACAAUAAAUUGUGGCCAGAGGAUUUGCUUCGAUCCCAGAGGCCAUUGAGGAUAUUCGUCAAGGAAAGGCUCAUGCACCCUCUUGAUUUGAUGAUUCUUUGCAUUUAGUUAUUGUUGUUGAUGAUGAACAAAUUAAGAGAAAAUGAGGGGGGCCUUAUAAUGGCAGCGUCAAAGGCAACACCAGAAGCUAUGGCAUUUAUUGUCAAGCAUGGGACUGGUAUAGUGUGUGUGAGCUUCCAUUAAUGGUAACUCAUAAGGAGAAUGAGGAAAACUGUGCACUGCAUUUACUGUAUCAGUGGUACGUCAUUAACUUCUCCAUUUAUAUUAUCUAAUGGAUAUGAUCUUUUCAAGAAACCUUUAUCUUGGUUUGAUUUUAAAGUGCUAAUUUAAUUGCGGAUUCUGUCCCAGAUGAGGUCCGGUUUCCUGAAAUCAAAGAUGUCUACACUGUCCCGUGGACUUAUAGUUCAGUUGCUCAAUCAGAACUGAUGACAUCUGCACAUUCGGCGACUCCAGCAUUAAUUGUGGCCUUGACAGAUUGUGAGAGGCCAGAUGGGAUGGAUUAGAUGCGUCUGAGUUUGUUGGAGAGGAAGACUUGCAGAAUAAUUUUGAGGGAGUGGGUGGCAGUUCGAUGGAGCGGUUCCUGUUGGUGCAACGCCGAACACAUGCCACGCAGGAUAUAUAGAAAUGCUAGUCAGCUUAUGAAAUCCGAGGUUGAUACGAUACUUAUCUUCAUAGAUUGUGAAUGUUGUUCUUUUUUCUACAAACGAUCCGUUAUGCAAAGCAAAUUCCAAGACCAGAAAAAUAAUGUUUAGAGUUAAAAGACAAUGUCUUAGCAGCAAGGACCUAUUCCAUCAGGAGAUAUGUGAAUUCUCAAGCCUUUGCAAUGCUUUUAAAUUAAUGAAGGAUCAAAAUGAAAAUGUUAUAUUCAUAACUAUACUGCAAUUUUGCCCAUAAUUCUUCUUUAAUUCUGUCCAGAAUCUUGGAUUAUGCUCCAGGGACCAAUCUGGAAUUUUAGUAGAUUUUUAAGGGUCAAAUUGUAAUUUUAUCAAAUUGAAGGACCAAAAUAAAAAUGUCAUAGAUUCAUAACUAUACUGGAAUUUUGCUUGUAAUUCAUCUUUAGUUCUGUCCAGAAUCUAGGAUUAUGCUUCAGGGAUCAAUCUGUAAUUUUUUCAAAGUUUGGGGAUUAACUUAAAUUUUCACAAAUUGAGGGACCAAAUUGAAAUUUUAUUAUCUUCAACCUCAAACCCAGAUUUUUCAUAGAUCACCUACUGAUAUAUCAAGAUUUCGAACUCAAAUUCAUCAUUUAAACAAACUAUAACUCAAAAUCAUCAUUUUUACCUAAAAUUUUCAAAAAUCAACUAAAUAACUCAUUACCCAUAACAGUCAUUCCGCUAAAUUAUUUCUACUUCUGCUUCUUCUUCUUCUUUUUUAUAAUACUCGAGUAUUAUUAUAGAAAGAUGCUUGAGCCAAAAUUAGAGGCUAUCUAGCAUAAAAGAAAAACAGAGGUAUAUACAGGACAGAGAGGAAGUAAUAACAUUAUAUAUAUAUAUAUAUAUAUAUAUAAAACUUGAGUUAACCCGUCAAGUCUAUGACCUGGAUUAUGAGAUCGGGAUAAGCAAACUCAAUAUUAAAAAAUAAAAUUGAAAAAAAAACAAUAAAAACAUAUAUGGUUUAACAAUAUUAAUCAAUUAUUAAAAUAUUUCAUUUUAUAUAUAUUAAAAAUAUAUAUUAAUAACUAUUAUAUCAGUUUGUGAAUGUUUCAAUUUGGAUGCAAAUAGAUGUUUAAUUAUCUAUGACAUUUUUUUUAAGAAACCAAAGUUAUUAAAUAUGGUUAGAUUUAAUACCUAGAUAAGGGUUUAGGUCAUAGAUUGGCUUAAUACUCGGAUCAAGAUUUGAAUUAUAGAUCGAACAAGUUAGCUUAUUGAUUGAUGUUAAUAAAAAAUUGUAUCAUUUUAAGAUUAUUUUUUAGUAAAAACCAAAAUCAAGUAGUUAAAAAAAGUGAAAGUAGUUUUUGAUAGGGUUGACUAGGUUGUAAGUUGAUUUAUCUAGUCGAUUAGGCUUGAUUGAGUCAACUCUCACUUGGUUUUUUUUAAAUCUAAAUCGGGUCAGGUUCCAGAUUAAAAUGUUAGGCUUGAAUUAAAUUUAAUAACGCUGAUUAAAAUCACAUUGUAGAAAAAAAAUGAAUUGCAUAAAAGUAAUUAACCAAAAACUUGUAUUCCUUCUUAUAAAGUUGAACCCAUGUCAGUUUCUUUUUUGGAAAAAUAUAAAUCAAAGGUUAACGCUACUUUCAUGACGAUGACGGAUAAAGAAGACUUGCUCCUUUCUUUAUGGAAAUAACGUGUGGAAAAUCAUGCCUUAAUUUUGAUGGUGAUGGCCAAAUCAAACAGUAUCGUUGAUAAAAUGAACCACAAAUGAUAUUAUUUCUACAAGACUUCUUGUCAUUGUCAUGACAAUAAGUCUUCUCCUUUUUCUUUCUAAAGAGUCUAUUUUUUGUAACACAAUCAACAAGUAAGAUGGAUAGAAAUUUGCAGUGUGAGAUGGGUCUGUGAGACUAUAUAUUGCCAUUUGUAUUUUUUUCAUGAUAAAGGCUAAUUGGAUGGUCCUAUCAAGCGUUUUUUUUACGAGAUGGGUCCAUAAAAACAUUUCCAUCUACACAUUGAUCCCUGAAACCUUUGCCAUAAUGCAUUUUUUCCACGAGAUGGGUUCGUGGAAAUACUUUGGUUUAAUAGGGAAUGCUGUUAUUGAUUGGAAACUUUUUAAUUAAAAUAAAUUUGAUUAUUUGAUUGGAAGAAAUCCUUAAAUGUUAUUAACACAAAGAAAUCAAUUUAUUUUCUUAAGAAAAAAAUAUUGUAACCAUAUAAGUAAUUUAUUUAUUUAUUUUAAUGAAAUAUAAAAUAGUUUUAAAUCUUGUGGUAUAUUUCUUGUCUUUAAGAGCUAUGAACUUAUAUCUCAAAACUUGAAAACUAAUAUAAAGAUAUUAAGUGAUCAUUGAGUGUAUGUGUGUGUGUAUAAUCUUUUUCAAAACAAAAAGGAUUUUGAUGGAGAGGACAUUGCAGCAAAUUAUCCACGAGAUGGGUCGGUGAUACCAUUGUCAUCAUGUAAUUUUUCCCACGAGAUGGGGCCGUACGCUUGGGGCUCUAAAAGCUAUGGUUUUUAAUUUCAUUAUGUUACAUAUCUAGAAUGGGAGGUAUAUUUUAUUUCAAUUCUAAAAAUGAAAUAAAUUAGAAGAUAUUUCAUCUUGUUUAGAAUAUUAUCUCCUUACAUGCAUGAAUUUCACAUAAAUUUUGACCAGAAUAUUUCGGUUCUAUUCCGGCCAUUCUAUUAUGUCCAAAUAAUGUUUUGUUUUGCUUUUAUAUAUAUAAAAAAUAUAAUUUAUUUUUAUGAUAUCAAUUAUACAUUUCAAUUCGACUAUUGGAUUAAACUGAAAUUUUAUAAUCUCCUAAUAUGUAUUAUAUCACAAGUUAAAAUUUUAGAUCAAUCAGAGUUUAGAAAGACUUUGUGAAAUUACUGUUGAUAUAUUUUCAUAAUUUUAUUUAAAUUCAUAAUUUUAUUUUGAAAUGUUUUAUUUUUUGUGGUUUUUUAGAUUGAUUUUUUUUCAUUUUAUAAUUUAACAAUAAAUUUAUUAAAAAUUAAAAUUCAUAAUUUAUUUUUAUUUAUUUUAUUUAAAAUUAUUAUAUUAUCAUUACUCAGAUCACGAAAAAAAAACCUUUGCUUUAAUUGGGAAUGCUGUUACAAGUAAUUGGACUCCGUGGGAUGGGAGACCGUUGCCAUCAUGCAUGUUUUUUCCACGGCAUGGGUCCGUAAAGUCCUCUAUAAAAGCUUAAACCUCCUUACUAUCCUCUAUAUCAAUUGAUCAGCAUUUAUAAGAUGGGGCUGUCUGUUCCUUCUGAUGUUGAUGGUUUUAGUAAUGAUGGUUUCUUGCAAGGAUGGCUGCCUCUUGGAGUAUAUUGACUUGAGAAUUAAUUGUUUUGAUAACAGUAUUUUAUUAUUUGUGGAGUUAUUUCUAUUUUUUAAAUUAUUAUAUUUAGAUUAUAAUAGAGUGAAAGAGUUAAUAGGUUUAAGAGAUUAGGAAAAAGCUACUAUUAAUUAUAGUUAGGGACCAAACUGGAAUUUUUGCACAUUUUUAAGGGUCAAAUUGUAAUUUUAUUAAAUUGAUGAAGGACCAAAAUGAAAAUAUCAUAUUUAUAACUAUACUGUAAUUUUGCCCAUAUUUCUUCUGUAAUUUUGCCUAGAAUCUCGGAUUAUGCUCUAGGGACCAAUCUGUAAUUUUUUUCAAAGUUUGGGGAUUAAACUGAAAUUUUCAUAAAUUGAGGUACCAAACUGAAAUUUUUUCAUCUUCAACAUCAAACCCAGAUUUUUCACAAAUCACCUAUUGAUAUAUCAAGAUUUUUAACUAGAUGAGGGUUUAGGUCAUAGAUUGGCCUAAUACUCGGAUCAAGAUUUGAGUCAAGUUAGCUUAUUGACUAGUGUUAAUAAAAAAUUAUAUUAUUUUAAGAUUUAAUUUAAUUAAAUAGAUCCAACUACCAUGCAAUUCCACAAUUAAUUUAUUUUAUUAUGAUUUAGUGUUAUGUUAACCAGGCAACAUUUAAUUACCAUGAUAUAAAAUACAAAAAUAGUGGGAACAUAAAAAAACAUGCUUUUAUAUAUUUUUUAUUUUAAAAGUAUAAAUUUUACUUUAAGACUAUUGUAAAAAGAUAUUUAUUUUAAAUUUAUUUAUAUUUUUAUAAUUCAAAAAUUAAAAAUAAAACAGAAUUAAUCCAUACUCAUCUAAAAACAAUUAACUCUAACAUCAUUAUUUUAUAACAAAACUAGCAAAGAUAAUUUAUUAAUCACUAAGUUUUCUGGUUAUAAAUACAUUAGUAAGUGUCUUUGUCUCUUUUGUAUUUCUAACUAUUAACGAAUUGAAAGAAUAAAUUUAGAAUCACCAAUUAAGCAGUGAAUCACACGGGAAGAUUGAAAGAAUAAUUAAAGUGAUUAUACUAACCGACAAGUCGACCCCAAGUCAAAGUCUUCUGUGGAAAAACAUGAAUAAAAGGUGGACGCUGGGCAGCUCACUUUCCAUGAAGAUGAUGGAUACAGAGCCCUCCCUUCUAUCUUUAUGGAAAUCACGUCUAGAAAAUCAUGCUUUAAUUUUAAGCUUGAGAGGGGAUGAUAUAUAUAUAUAUAUAUAUAUAUAUAUAUAUAUAUAUAUAUAUAUAUAUAUAUAUAUGCUUUAAUUUCAACUUGUAUAAAAAAUAAAUCUUAAUGACUGGUGAUUUAAACUUGGGUGUUUUUUCGGUAUUAAUAUAUAUAUUCCUCAAUUAUCAUAAAGAAUUAAGAAAAAACUAAUAAUAAGAUUAAAAUAAAUGUUUUAUAUAUCGAAAUAAUUAAAAGUAAGGUUUACUUAAGGUAUAUAUGGGAUUAAUUUAAAAUAACAAUAAAAUCAAUUUAUUAAAAAAAAUCAUAAAUUUAGUUUUCCUAAAUUUUAAAUGUAGUGUGAAUGCAUUCCGCAAGAAAAAAACAGUGCAAAAUUAGCCUUUCAAGAAAUAGAGAAUCUUCCUCUUUGAAGGAAUUAAUUAGUGGGUUGGAAAAAUGUCGUCUUCUGCUCUAAUAUUUUCUUCACUUUCUCUAUAGUUUUACCUUACACCAAUAUUGUCAGAAAAUGAUACAAUAUACUUCUUGUGUUAUCCUUCAAGAUUUCAAUUGAAAAUUAAGGAGGGUCGUAAAAAAUUUAAUUUUUAUAAACAUAUCCUUAACUCUGUAUCUUCUCUAGAUAUGUCUGUGACUGAGCUCCAUAAAGAAUUCCUAUUUAACAUUAAUCUGUCCAUCAAGUUUUUGAUCCCCGAUUAAGGCCAUCUUGAUAAAUGAGAUUUUACUCUGUAAUUUUAAUGUAUAGCUGUCAAUGACCUGAAACAUGCAAAUUAAAAUUCAAAGUGUGAGCAUUGAAUUUCUUGUCAGUUUACACCCUUCUGUGGUGUUUCCUCUUUCCAUUGAUUGAAGAGCGUCCAAGAGGAAAAACUGAAAAGGCAAAAGUUCUAUUGUACAGUGAAAAAGAGCAUGAGAAAUACACAGAAGCAGAGAUGCAUGAAUCCUUCUCCACUAGCAGCUCUCGUCCAUAGGAUCAUUGUGGUUUCAAGAUUGAUGCCCAAUCAUUUCCCUCUUUGUUCGAUUCCUCAGACCUUUUGGAAACUGUACAUUCCGGGGGAAAGUCUGUGCAAGGGCAAAAGGCGACGGUGGACUUGACAAAGGGCUGAGGGGUGGGUGAGAUGUUAUGUCAAGAAAUGAUUUUGGAAAAUUUCUUCAUAUGUGUUGAAUAACUAAGAUAAGAUAGGAGUCUUGAACAAGGCAAAAGCAUAGGCUCUCCAAGACGAUUGACCAGAAGGAGAGAAGGAAGGCUCUAUAUCCUUAGCACGUCAAACACUCCUUUGCACAUUAGAGAAAUUGUCGAGUUAUUCCUGCUUCUUCUUCUUCUUCCUUUUUUUUUUUUUUAUUUAUAAUAGUCCAGUAUUAUUAUAGAAAGGUGCUCGAGCCAAAAUUAGAGACUAGCUAGCAUAAAAGAAAAACAUAGGACAAUAUAUACAAGACAGGGGAGGAAGUAAUAACAUAACAUAAUAUAUAUAUAUAUAUAUAUAUAUAUAUAUAUAUAUAUAUAUAUAUAUAUAUAUAUUAAAAAAAACUUGAGUUAACGCAUCAACUCAACGACCCGAAUCAUGAGAUCAGGAUAAGCAAACUCAAUAUUAAAAGAUGAAAUUUAAAAAAAAAACCUUAAAAACAUAUAUGGUUUAACAAUAUUAAUUAAUUAUUAAAAUCUUUCAUUUUAUAUAUAUUAAAAAUAAAUAUUAAUAACUAUUAUAUCAAUUUGUGAAUGUUUCAAUUUGAAUGCGAACAAAUGUUUUAUAUAUGACAUUUUUCUUAAGAAUGUCUCUUUCAUUAAAACCAAAAUUAUUUAACAUGAUUAGAUUUAAUACCCUGAGAGUUUAGGUCAUAGAUUGGCCUAAUACUCGGAUAAGAUUGAGAUCAUAUAUCAGACAAGUUAGCUUAUGUUGAAUGGUGUUAAUCUAAAAUUGUAUUAUUUUAAGAUUUUUUUUAGAAAAAAUCAAAAUUGCGUAGUUAAAAAAAAUAAAACUAGUUUUUGACUGAAUUAACUAGGUUGUGGGUUGAUUUAUUUAGUCGAUUAGGCUUGGUUGGGUCAGCUCUCACUUAGUUUUUUCUAAACCUGAAUUGGGUUAGGUUCCAGAUUAAAAUGUUAGGCUUGAAUUAAAUUUAAUAAUGCUGAUUAAAACCACAUUGUAGAAAAAAAAUUAAAUUGCAUAAAAGUAAUUAACCGAAAACUUGUAUUCCUUCUUGUAAAGCUGAACCCGUGUCAGUUUUAUUGAAGGAAAACUAUGAACCAAAGGUUAAUGCUACUUUCAUGACGAGAAGACUUGCUACUUUCUUUAUGGAAAUAACGUGUGGAAAAUCAUGCCUUAAUUUUGAUGGCGAUGGUAAAAUCAAAGAGUAUCGUUGAUAAUUAAAUGCUUAUGCAUAAAAAAUAAAUCUCAAGUGUUAGAAUGCAACCACUGAUUAAUUAAUGGACAACGGACCUUGGAUUAAUACAUGACGCAACUUUCAAUGGAAUUAUAUUUGUGGAGGUAUUUACUCGGAUGUGAAUUAUAUUUUUAUUUUUUUAUUUUAAAAAAAAUUCUAUAUACUACAACUAGCUUAAGAAAGUCAAAAAAAUUUAAGUGAAAAAAAAUAUAUAUAUAUUUAUAUACACUCACGCACACACAAAAAUAUAGUCAAAUAAAUCAAGAACUAUGUGUGUUAAUAAGUGGAAAAAAAAACCUUAAACGAUAACUCAAAAUAAAAACUAGAAAAAUCAAGAGACAAGUGUAUAUCAAGAUAUUUAAUUUCACAUGACGUGACAUUUUUUUUUUUGGAUUCGACGAAACCUCACCCCUCCGAAAAGCACACUUUGUGGGCCCAGGUGAGGGAGUAAAACCCCGGCUGUCCCAGGCUCUUACAAAAGGUGCACGCCCUGACUCGAACUCGAGACCUGCUGUGCAGAUCUCAAACCCUUUGCCAUCACGCUACGCCCCUUGGGGACAACGUGACAUUUACGCAGUAUUGUUUUCUAAAUUUUCUAAUUAAAAUAAUUUUUUAUUUGAUCAAACGAUAAUAUAAACAGACACACACAUUCUAAAUUGAUUGAAUAAAAAAAAAAUAUAUGCAAAGCUGUAUAUAUUAAAAAUAUUAUUUGAAAAUAAUUUGUUUUUCAAAAAUAAAGUUCAUCUAUGUAAAAGAUUUUAAAAAAAUAUAGAUUAAUCAAAAAAACCUCUUUAAAAAUUAAAUUCAUGAUUAAAAAAUAAUCAUCAUUUCAAAUAGGCUUUUUAAAUAACUAAAAAGAGAGAAGGGAUAUUAAUAUAAAUAUAAAUAUAACUAAAAUUAAGAUUAUUUUAAAAAAAUAGAUAAAAAAAAUUUUAAGCGAAAAAAAGUGAACAGACACGGUGAACUUAACUCAUAAACUCAACUGAAUUUAAUAUUUUUUUCGUUAAAUUUAUUAUAAAUAUAAAAAAAAACAAAAUUAAUAUCAUUCACGGUAAAACAUAAAUAAAAAACAGUACAACCGCAUAGUAUUCACCUCAGGCAUUUUCUUUUAAAUUUAUAGCCAAACCUUAAAAAUAAACUUUUGUGCUCAGUAUCUUUUUAAGGUGAAUUAACAAGUUUCAACUCAUCUCUGUAUCUUCUCUAGAUACAGAGAAUUCCUAUUUAACAUUAAUCUGUCCAUCAAGUUUUUGAUUCCCAAUUAAGACCAUCUUGAUAAAUGAGAAUUUACUCCGUAAUUUUAUUGUAUAGCUGUCAAUGACCUGAAACAUGCAAAUUAAAAUUCAAAGUGUGAGCAUUCAAUUUCUUGUCAGUUUACACCUUUCUGUGGUGUUCCCUCUUUCCAUUGAUUGAAGAGCGUCUAAGAGGAAAAACUGAAAAGGCAAAAGUUAUGUUGUACAGUGAAAAAGAGCAUGAUCAGAAAUACACAAAAACAGAGAUGAAUGAAUCCUUCUCCACUAGCGCUCUCGUCCAUCGGAUCAUUGUGGUUUCAAGACCGAUGCCCAAUCAUUGCCCUCUUUGUUCGAUUCCUCAGACCUUUUGGAAACUGUACAUUCCGGGGGAAAGUCUGUGCAAGGGCAAAAGGGGACGGUGGACUUGACAAAGGGCUGAGGGGUGGGUGAGAUGUUAUGUCAAGAAAUGAUUUUGGAAAAUUUCUUCAUAUGUGUUGAAUAACUAAGAUAAGAUAGGAGUCUUGAACAAGGCAAGAACAUAGGCUCUCCAAGACAAUUGACCAGAAGGAGAGAAGGAAGGCUCUAUAUCCUUAGCACGUCAAACACUCCUUUGCACAUUAGGGAAAUUGUCGAGUUAUUUCUGCUUCUGCUUCUGCUUCUUCUUCUUUUUAUAAUAGUCGAGUAUUAUUAUAGAAAGGUGCUAGAGCCAAAAUUAGAGGCUAGCUAGCAUAAAAGAAAAACAAUGAUUAAUUGCAAGAGAUGGUUACUUAUACCAGUAGCAAUUUAGUAAUGAUUAAUUAGCAUUUAUAUUAAGAUGUGGCUAUUAAUUCAAAUGUUAACAAUGAUUUUCUUGGAAGGAUGAUUGCCUCUUGGUUACUUUAAAAUAUACGGUUUUUUUAGUUCAAAUCUAUUAAUAAAAAUAUAGUUUUAUUGAAUUUUUUUAUAUACUUUUAUUAGAGAAAUUAAUUUAAACACAUUUAUAUACAGACACUAGUUUAUCAAGUACUUCAAUAGAAAAAUAAAAUCAAUUAGAGUACUUAAAUAAAAAAAAAUAUAAAUUAUAAGCAUUUUACAUAUCUUUAUUGUUUAUAAAUUAAAAAUAAAAUAAUAUCAAUCCAGACUAAUCUAAAAAAAAAUUAACUAUGACAUCAUCAUUCUAAUAAUAAAACUAAUAAAGAUGUUUUAUUGAUUAAAUUUCGUGAUACAGGGUUGAAACAAAAAAGAGAUGAAGAGAGAGGAGGGAAUGGAAAGAAGGGAAAAAAGAACUCAUGCGAUCUGUUGUUUGUAAGUUUUUUACAUAAUAUAUAGGAAGGUAUUUUAAUUAUUUUGUUCAAAUUAAAAAUUUUCAUUGACUAAAAAGCGUAAUUAUCUAAAACAUAAAAGCAAAGUAAAAAACUCAAAUGCUUCAUUAAAAAACUCAAUUGAUUCGGUGCUUUAUUAGUUUCUAUAGUAUGGUGUCUUAUGCAUUUUGUUCUAAUCAUAUAUGGGAAAGUGUUUGGUUGAUUAACGUAUAUCAUGACUUUGUAUGGGUCCUACCACAAACUCUCUCUUUUGAAAUAUUAAUUAAGAAAAAGCUAUAAUUUAUAGUUUUUUUAAAUUUAUUUUUUCAAAUUACAAUCAUAUAAACUACUAUAAUAUCAAAUACAUAUUUGAAUAAGACUCAGUAAAAAUUUUCUUCUUCUAAAUACAAAGUGGAAAUGAGUUACUUUCUCCAAAAAGAAUAUAUACAAUAUUAUCGAUUAUCUAAUGCAAACUCCGUCUAACAUACACAGAGAAAGAGAGAGAACCUUAACUAUGUUUAUUUUAUGCACUUUAAUUAAAAAUAAAUUUUGGAUUGUACGAGAGACUUUAAUUAAAUUUCAAUAUUAAAUUUAUGCACUUUAAUUAACAUACACAGAUCAACUAUUAAUAUAUCAAGACUUUUAACUCAAAUUCAUUAUUUAAACAAACCAUAACUUAAAAUUAUUAUCUUUAUCUAAAAUCUUUAAAAAUCAAUGAAAUAACUCAUUAUUCAUAAUAAUUAACCUGCUAAGUUAUUUCUGCUUCUUCCUUUUUAUAAUAGUCGAGAAUUAUAUAUUAUAGAAAGGUGCUAGAGUUAAAAUUAGAGGCUAGCUAGCAUAAAAGAAAAACAGAGGUAUAUACAAGACAGGGGAGGAAGUGUGCGUGCGUGCGUGUGUGUGUGUGUGUGUGUGAUCCCUUCUCAAGCUUAAAAGUAAAGCAUGAUUUUCUAGACGUGAUUUCCAUAAAGAUAGAAGGGAGGGCUCUGUAUCCAUCAUCUUCAAGGAAAGUGAGCUGGCCAUCGUCAACCAUUUAUUUAUGUUUUCAACCAUUUAUUUAUGUUUUUCCACAAAAGACUUUGACUUGGGGUCAACUUGUCGGUUAAUUACUUUUAUGCAAUUCAAUUUUUUAAAAAUAUAUAUAUAUAUGCUUUAAUUUCAACUUAAGUUAUAUACGGGACGAUAAAAAAAUAACAAUAAAAUCAAUUUAUAAAAAAAAUCAUAGAUUUAGUUUUCCUAAAUUUUAAAUGUAGUGUGAAAGCAUUCCGCAAGAAAAAAACAGUGCAAAAUUAGCCAUGACAAUAAGUCUUUUUCUUUCUAAAGAGUUUAUUUUUUGUAACACAAUCAAUAAGUAAGAUGGAUGGGAAUUUGCAGUGUGAGAUGGGUUUGUGAGACUAUAUAUUGCCAUCAGCAUUUUUUCCAUGAUAUAGGCUUGUAGGAUGGUCCAUGAGACCAUUGCUAUAUAUCAAGCGUUUUUUCUACGAGAUGGGUCCAUGAGACCAUUACCUCGUAAGCUUGGGAAUGGAUAACAUGAUUUAAUGUUUAUUUAGUUUAAAAAAAAAUUAAAUGCUUAUGCAUAAAAAAUAAAUCUCAAGUGUUAGAAUGCAACCACUGAUUAAUUAAUGGAUAAUGAACCUUGGAUUAAUACAUGACGCAACUUUCAAUGGAAUUAUAUUUGUGGAGGUAUUUACUCGGAUGUGAAUUAUAUAUAUAUAUAUAUAUAUAUAUAUAUAUAUAUAUAUAUAUAUAUAUAUAUAUAGGGGCACACACAAAUAUAGUCAAAUAAAUCAAGAAUUAUAUGUGUUAAUAAGUGAAAAAAAAAAUAUUAAACUAUAACUCAAAAUAAAAACUAGAAAAACCAAGAGACAAAUGUAUAUAAAGAUAUUUAAUUUCACAAGACGUGAUAUUUACGCAGUAUUGUUUUCUAAAUUUUCUAAUUAAAAUAAUUUUUUAUUCGAUCAAACGAUAAUAAAAAUAGACACAUACAUUAUAAAUUGAUUGAAUAAAAUAAAAGGAGAAAAAAUAAUAUGCAAGGCUGUACAUAUUAGAAAUAUUAUUUGAAAAUAAAUUUCUUUUUAUUUUCAAAAAUAAAGUUCAUCCAUGUAAAAUAUUUUUAAAAAAUAUAGAUUAAUCAAAAAAAUCUCUUUAAAAAUUAAAUGCAUGAUUAAAAAAUAAUCAUCAUUUUAAAUAGGCUUUUUAAAUAACUAAAAAGAGAGAAGGGAUAUUAAUAUAAACAUAAAUAUAACUAAAAUUAAGAUUAUUUAAAAAAAAUAGAUAAAAAAAUUUUAAGCAAAAAAAAGUGAACAGACAACUUAUAAACUCAACUGGAUUUAAUAUUUUUCCUGUUAAAUUUAUUAUAAAUAUAAAAAAACAAAAUUAAUAUCAUUCAUGGUAAAACAUAAAUAAAUAAAUAAAUAAAACAGUACAACCGCAUGUUAUUCACCUCAGGCAUUUUCUUUUAAAUUUAUAGCCGAACCUUAAAAACAAACUUUUGUGCUCUGUAUGUUUUUAAGGUGAAUUAACAAUUUUCAACUCAACUCGGUACCUUCUCUAGAUAGAUCUGUGACUAUGCCUUGGAUUUUCUCAAAACUACUAAGUGUGUGCUUGAGAGGGUGAUUAUAGUUGUUUUUUAAAGUGUUUUUCACUCAGAAAAACAUGUCAAUAAUAUUUUUUUAUAUUUUAAAAUUUAUUUUCGAAAUCAGCACAUCAAAAUGAUUUAAAAACAUCAAAAAUAUAUUAAUUUAAAGUAAAAAAAAAAUUCAAAUUUUUGCGGAAGUGCUUUUGAAAAGCACUCCCAAACACUCCCAUGGUUGGAUACCAAGUAAAUAGAGAUAAAUUUAUUUCCUGUUAUUCUCCGAUAGUAUCUUCGUCCCUUGAUAGAACUUUCUUGGAGAUGAUGAGCUACCACUCCCUUUUGACUUUGCUGGCCUCCCAAAUAUAAAUAAAGAAUUCCUCUUGAUAGAAUUUUCUUCGAAAUGAUGAGAAUAUUUUAGAAUAUUCUGGUUGACGCCAGCUGUCAACAACUAUCUUACAUUCCCAACGCAUGCCUUUGCAAGAUGUUAAAGGCUCAUCUAAAAACAAUUAACUCUGAUAUCGUUAUUUUAUAACAAAUUAGCAAAGAUAAUUUAUUAAUCACUAAGUUUUCUGGUUAUAAAUACAUUUGUAAUUGUCUUUAUCUCUUUUGUAUUUCUAACAAUUAACGAAUUGAAUAUAUAAUAAAUACCGACUGAAAGAAUAAAUUUAGUUUAAAUGUGCUAAAGUUUAAAUAGGCGACUUUAGAAUCACCAAGAAGGCAGUGAAUCACACGGGAAGAUUGAAAGAAUAAUUAAAGUGAUUUUACUAACAUUGUAAAAGUAAUUAACCGAAAAGUUGACCCCAAGUCAAAGUCUUCUGUGGAAAAACAUGAAUAAAAGGUUGACGCUGGGCAGCUCACUUUCCAUGAAGAUGAUGGAUACAGAGCCCCCCCUUCUAUCUUCAUGGAAAUCACGUCUAGAAAAUCAAACAUUAUUAUUGCCAUCUGCGUUUUUUCUUAGAGAUGGGUCCGUUCCACCAUUUCCCCUCAAGCUUGAGAUAUAUAUACGUGACACGAUUUAAUUUCAAAUCUUAAUGUAGUGUGUUAGAAUGCAACCACCGAUUGAUUAAAUUUAAUGGCUGGUCAUUUAAACUUGGGUGUUUUUUCGGUAUUAAUAUAUAUAUAUAUAUAUAUAUAUUCCUCAAUUAUCAUAAAAAAUUAAGAAAAAACUAAUAAUAAGAUUAAAAAUAAAUGUUUUAUUUAUCGAAAUAAUUAAAAGUAAGGUUUACUUAAGGUAUAUAUGGGAUGGUAAAAAAAUAACAAUAAAAUCAAUUUAUAAAAAAAAAUCAUAGAUUUAGUUUUCCUAAAUUUUAAAUGUAGUGUUUAUAAUUAAUUAAUUAAUUGAGAAUUUGAGCUCUUCUAAAAGUUGUUUAUGGACUUUUGUUUUCCGGAGAAAACUCCCUUAAAACCUUUGAGCACUUCCUUCUCUAAAAUAUAUGUUUUUGCCAUAACUCAGGGGCUCUGUAUCUUUUAAGGUGAAUUAGGCUUUAUAUCUUUUUAAGGUGAAUUAACAAGUUUCAACUCAUCUCUGUAGAUACAUAGAAUUCCUAUUUAACAUUAAUCUGUCCAUCAAGUUUUUGAUCCCCAAUUAAGACCAUCUUGAUAAAUGAGAUUUUACUCUGUAAUUUUAAUGUAUAGCUGUCAAUGACCUGAAACAUGCAAAUCAAAAUUCAAAGUGUGAGCAUUGAAUUUCUUGUCCGUUUACACCUUUCUGUGGCGUUUCCUCUUUCCAUUGAUUGAAGAGCGUCUAAGAGGAAAAACUGAAAAGGCAAUCACUAGCGGCCCUCGUCCAUCGGAUCAUUGUGGUUUCAAGAUUGAUGCCCAAUCAUUGCCCUCUUUGUUCGAUUCCUCAGACCUUUAGGAAACUGUAUAUGAGAUGUUACAGAGUGACGGAGGACUUGACAAAGGGCUGAGGGGUGGGUGAGAUGUUAUGUCAAGAAAUGAUUUUGGAAAAUUUCUUCAUAUUUGUUGAAUAACUAAGAUAGGAGUCUUGAACAAGGCAAGAACAUAGGCUCUCCAAGACGAUUGACAGAAGGAGAGAAGGAAAGCUCUAUAUCCUUAGCACGUCAAACACUCCUUUGCACAUUAGAGAAAUUGUCGAGUUAUUUCUGCUUCUGCUUCUGCUUCUGCUUCUUCUUCUUUUUAUAAUAGUAGAGUAUUAUUAUAGAAAGGUGCUAGAGCCAAAAUUAGAGGCUAGCUAGCAUAAAAGAAAAAGAAAAACAGAGGACAGUAUAUACAACUAUACAAGACAGGGGGAGGAAGUAAUAACAUAAUAUUAAUAACUAUAUAUAUAUUAAAAAAACUCGAGUUAACCCAUCAAGUUUACGACCCGGAUUAUGAGAUCGGGAUAAGCAAACUCAAUGUUAAGAAAUGAAAUUAAAGAAAAAAACCAUAAAAACAUAUAUGGCGUAGUGUCUUAUCGAUUAAGUUUGAUUGGGUCAACUCUCACUUGGUUUUUUCUAAACCUAAAUUGGGUUAGAUUCUAGAUUAAAAUAUUAGGCUUGAAUUAAAUUUAAUAACACUGAUUAAAACCACAUUGUAGAAAAAAAAAAUGAAUCGCGUAAAAGUAAUUAACCGAAAACUUGUAUUUCUUCUUAUAAAGUUGAACUCAUGUCAGUUGUUUUUUAAGGAAAAAUAUGAAUCAAAGGUUAAAGCUAGGCAGCUCACUUUGCACGACAAUGACGGAUAUAGAAGACAUAACGUGUGGAAAAAUCAUGCCUUAAUUUUGAUGGUGAUGGCAAAAUCAAACAGUAUCGUUGAUAAAAUGAACCACAAAUAAUAUUAUUUCUAAAACACUUCUUGUCAUUGUGAUGACAAUAAGUCUUCUUCUUUGCAGUGUGAGAUGGGUUUGCAUUUUUAUUUUCCACGAUAAUUAAUUAAUUAAUUGAGAAGUUGAGCUCCUUAAGAAAAGUUGUUUAUGGACCUUUGUUUUCCGGAGAAAACUCCCUUAAAACCCUUGAGCACCACCUUCUCUAAAACAUCUAUCUUUGCCAUAACUGAGAGGCUCUGUAUCUUUUUAAGGUGAAUUAACAAGUUACAACUCAACUCUGUAUCUUUUUUAGAUAUGUAUGUGACUGUACCUUGAUGUUCUCACAACCAUUAAGAUGGAGACAAAUUUUCUUUUCUGUUAUUCUCCGAAAAUAUCUUCGUUCCUUGAUAGAAUUUUCUUGGAAAUGAUGAGCUUCCACUCCCUUUUGACUUUGCUGGCCUCCGAAAUAAUUAAAGAAUUCCUCUUGAUAGAAUUUCCUUGGAAAUGAUGAGAAUAUCUCACAUUCCCUUGGCAUCGUGUUCCAUGCCUUUGCAAAUUAUUAAAGGCUCCAAUGCAUGUGUCCUUUUAUUCAUGUUUUUCCACAAAAGACUUUUGACUUGGGGUCAACUUGUCGGUUAGUAAAAUCACUUUAAUUAUUCUUUCAAUCUUCCCGUGUGAUUCACUGCUUAAUUGGUGAUUCUAAAUUUAUUCUUUCAAUUCGUUAAUAGUUAGAAAUACAAAAGAGACAAAGACAAUUACUAAUGUAUUUAUAACCAGAAAACUUAGUGAUUAAUAAAUUAUCUUUGCUAGUUUUGUUAUAAAAUAAUGAUGUUAGAGUUAAUUGUUUUUAGAUGAGUUUGGAUUAAUUCUGUUAAUUUUAUUUUUAAUUUUUGAACUAUAAAAAUAUAGAUAAAUUUAAAAUAAAUAUCUUUUUACAAUAGUUUUUUAGUAAAAUUAGAGUAAAAUUUGUACUUUUAAAAUAAAAAUAUAUAAAAACAUGUAUUUUAUGUUCCCAUUAUUUUUGUAUUUUAUAUCAUGGUAAUUAAAUGUUGCCCGGUUAACAUAACACUAAAUCAUAAUAAAAAAAUAAUAAUUAUGGAAUGGCAUGGUAGUUGGAUCUAAUUUUUUUAUGGAAUGGCAUGGUAGUUGGAUCAUAAUAAGAGUAUUCAAAUUAAGAAUAUUUAAAUGAGUGUUAAUUGGGUUUAAAAGACUUACAAGCAAAAUAUAAGUUGUUUGUUAGAAUUCUUAUGGAUCCGAUAGAAAAUUAAUACUUCAUUCAUAUACAUUACAUGAGCAUAUAUAUAUUUCUUUUAUCAACAUAAUGAUAUGUUUAUUUAUGUAACAGGUCCAUCAAAUAUCCAUGGAGAUCAUUAGUUUAGGGCUCUACUUUGUCAAGCUUAUGUAAAUAUUUAACUUAAGCAAAAGGGAAUUAACGCAUUUAUGUAGUAUGCUUUUGUAUAAACCUUGAUGUAUUUAUAAAAGUUCAGCUUAGCAUGUAGUACUUUAGUUAUCUUGUAAUUAACCCUUCUGAAAUAUUUAAAAACACUUAUUAUGUUGUAAAUGCUUUAUUUACAUGUUAGUAUUCCUUUUUCUUUUAAUUUUAUGAUAUGAUAUAUGGGCUAUGUUCAUAUUGAACUUGCUCAUAGGAUAUAUAUAAAUAUAUAUUGUGUGGAUUAUAUGAGGUGUUGAAUUAUGAUGAUUAAUAUAAGGUUCGGAAUUAUGGGACCUUGUGAUGAUGGAUUGAUUGUGUAAAUUAAUAGUAGUCGAUAACUUGGGAUGUUCUAAAUACAAACAAAACUCUGCUGAAUUUUUGGUAGAUUUAAAAAAAAAAAUUACCCUCAAAUUAAAAGCAUAUGUUGAGAUCUUUUAACAUUGAUCAAGUCGUAUAGUUGGUUCUGUUACAUGUUAGGUAUACAAUGUCUCUGUGAUAUGGACAUAAUGAUUUUUGAUGUGUCAAAUUCUUACUAUUUCACUCUUAAGAGUAGAAAGAUCUACUUCGUUGGACAACCACCAAGGCUUAACAACAAUAAUGAGAAAAUAAGCAUGUGAAAGGAAAAAGACUUAAUCUUAUAAGCCCAAAUGAUUUUGAGAAUCAGGUUCAUGAAGAGUUUGUUGCAUUUGCUUUAGUGGCUAAGAAAGUUUUAGAGAAAGCACUCGAAGAAAUAAGUGUAGUUUUGAAAGAAUUUCAAGAUGUUUUUCCUCUCAAAGUUCAUAAUUCCUUACCCCAUUAUACGUGACAUUCAACACGUAAUAUUUUAUCCCUAGUUACCUCUUGGUUUCAAGCAAGAAACACACUUCAAUAUCAUUAUGCGUUACUGUAUUCCUAAUAGAUGCCCUCUUAGCAGACAUACCCAACCCACAACUAUUCCAGAAUAAAAUCUUCAUUGAUAAAUGAUUUUAAACCUUACCAAGUUAUACUGCAAAAUGGAAUUAUUCCCAAAACCCAAAGCAAAUAACAUCCUCUGCGCCUCAUCUUCAACAAUACAUUCUGCUGUUGCAGCAGAACUGUAAGUUAUCAUAUAACGAAGAUUCCCUUUUCUGAUUCUAGAAUCCAGUGAACCUGGUGAUUCCACCUCACGUUCAUCCUCCACCCGCUGAAGACUACCAUUGAAAGAGAAAAGCUCCACCUUUGGGUGUAAACUGGAUUGAUUGCAUCCCAUCUGAAUCACGUGGGCUUAAUGGAAGGAACGAACAAUUGUCGGUUUUAAAAGUUUGGUUUGUAACAAUCAUUGUAAUUCCAAAUUUCCAUACUCCUUCCAUUUAAGCAAUUAAUAAUAACAGAGAAUAUGUAUAAAUCUCAAUGUUGUUUUAAAUUUUAUGUAAGAUAGUACAGUUUCAUUCAAAAAAUGAGAAAGAACAAUAAAAAUCCUCAAAUUCUACCACCUUCAAUUCUCAUUCAUCAACAACAGCAUACAUUCAAACAAGUGAUCAAUAGUGUUGAUGAAAAAUAAAUCAUUAGCGAUCAAGUGACGAGGACUAUAGUAAGAUUGGCGCCAUUGUAAGCUUGACAAGCUUUGCCUACUCUAAUUAACAGCAACGAAAGAUUCAGUGCCUAAUCUCUGGACGGAGAAGGGGACGCCUUUGUUAUGUACAUGGUUGCCCUAAAUGGUUCGAUGAUGCUCAUUUUAAACAUUUUUUGUCAAGGUUGUCAAUUUUGCUCCGUUUAGUGUUUCAUUUUUUUAAUUGAAACGGUAUGUUUUGGUUUCGGAGCAUUUCAGUGUGUUGUUUCAGGAUUAUAUAUAUAUUAACUCAAUUAAACAUAAUUUAAAUUUAAAUUUAAAGAUAAAUUAACUUGAAAUUAUGCAAUUUAAAUUUCAAACACAAGUAAAAAAGUGAGAGACUGAUAUGACUUGAUCGACUAGAUGGGUCCAAAGACAACCUUUACGACUGGUAAGAAUAUAGUUUGACUCAAAAAAAUUUAAGAUGAUAUUUUUUAAAAAAUAUAUUGAGAUGACAACAUAUUAAAUCAACCUGGGUCAACUCGAUCGGAUUAACUUUCUAAAUUCGUAAUCCAGGUUAUGAGACCAUAAUAACCUAAAAUAAAGCAAAUCAAAACAAAUUAUAAAGCUGAAUUCUCAAUAAACAUGUUAUUGAAUGGUUAAAUUGGAAAAAUUUUAAUAUAAAAAAAGACACAAAAAAAUGACCUUCAGAGACUAUUGUCGUCACCAGAAUGUUUUGCCCGCCACACAAGCUUCACAUAUCUUUUGCAACUCAGAUUUGGAAACUUUAGAGUACCUUUUUAUAUACUGUAACUUUUCUAGGAGUGUUUGGAUGAAAGUUUUGGAUUAGUGGGGUAUCUAAUGUUGUUGUCGAGCACUUUAGACUCGCUACUUCUACAACAACAUGGAAUGGUGCAGGGUAAAUUCCAAAGAUUAGCUUGGAGACUAAUCUCUAGUAGUAUUACUCGGGGUAUUUGGUUGUUGAGGAACAAAAUUGUUUGUGAGGAGAGAACUAUAAGUUUGUUUGAUUGUUUCUCUAUCAUCCUUUAUCAGGUUGCUAUUUAGUUGUAUACUCUGUAUUCAAACUUUACUUAUACAGGAAAUGAUCUCUUAAGAUCUUUUGAUGAUAUCAAAUUGUGGUGUAAUAAGAAAUCUUAGGUAGUUUCUUUGUUUUUUUGUUGUAGCAAAUCAGUUUUGUUUUCUUUUUUUCCCCCUUUUUUCUUUUUUUUUUUGUCCUAUGAGACUAUUGUCAUCUGCAUUUUUUCCAUGAUAUAGGCCAGUGGGAUGGUCCAUGAGACCAUUGCUAUCAAGCGUUUUUUGUACGAGAUGGGUCCACGAGACCAUUGCCCUGUAAGCUUGGGAAUGGAUAAUAUGCUUUAAUUUCAAUUUAGUUUACAAAAAAAUUAAAUUAAAUGCUUAAGCAUAAAAAAUAAAUCUCAAGUGUUAGAAUGCAAUUACCGAUUAAUUAAUGGACAACGGACCUUAGAUUAAUUAAUAUAUGAUGCAUCUUUCAAUGGAAAUGUAAAUGCUUUACUAGAAUAUUAUUUUUUUUUGUAUUUGUUUUCUGGUUAUAUUUAAUUUUCAUCAAUAUUCCUAACAUAAAUUGCUACGUAUUUUGAAUCUUGAAGGAUUGAAAGAUAGAAAACAGAAAAGAAAAGGAGACAAGGCAGUUCAAAAGAAGAAGAAAAAAGUACGAUAGUGAAAGAAAGAGAAGAGAAUAAAAGUGGAGCAGUUUUUAUUAACUAUAUAAAUUUUAUAAUUACUAAUAUUAAAUUCAAAAUAUGUACAUAUUACAAAUAUGUAAACAUAUCAUAUGGUUUAAAAGAAAUGGCUUUUAUAAACAUAUAUGGCUUAACAAUAUUAAUCAACUCCUAAUAUUUUCAUUUUAUAUAUAUUAAUUAAAGUAAAUAUUAAAACCUAUUAUAUUAAUCUGUGAAGGUAUUUACUCGGAUGCAAAUUAUAUUUCUAAUUUAUUAUUAAAAAAAAUUCUAUAUACUACAACUAGCUUAAGAAAGUCAUGUUUAUCAGGAUCAUAGAGUAAAAAAAAGAAAAAAUUGAAUUGCAUAAAAGUAUCACUAGCUUAAGAAAGUUAUGUCAUCUGCAUCUUUCCUCGAGGAGAGGCAGUGAGACGUCCUCUUCCAACCAUCAUGCAUUUUUUCCAUGAGAUGGGUUCGUGGAAAAACUUUGGUUUAAUUGGGAAUGCUGUUAUUGAUUGGAAAAUUUUUAAUUAAAAUAAAUUUGAUUUUUUGAUUGGAAAAAAAUCCUUAAAUGACAUUAACACAUGACUCCACUUUAUUUUCUUAAGAAAAAAAAUAUUGUAACCAUAUAAGUUUCAAGUUUAAAGGGUUUUCAUUUGAAGGGGUGUGUUAGAGAAUAAUAUAAAUCAUAUCUUAGAAUCUAACCUAAUAGCUUAAGCUUUUGGGUUGAAUCGGUUCUUUGACAUGGUAGCGGAGCCUUGAUGACCAAGCGAUCACGAGUUCGAAUCUCAUCAUCCCCAUUUAUUAGAUAAAAAUUAAACACAAGGUAAUGUGGAUCUGUACAAGUUUCAAGCCCUUCUAUUGGGUUAAGAUGGUAUCUUGAGGUCUCACCUAACAACUUAAACUAUUGGGUUGAGAUGGUUCUUCGACAGGCUACCAGAUGGUGCGGCGCUACACCUCUGUUCUUGCUUUUCUCUGCUUGUUUUCUCUUCUUUUUUUAUUUCUCUUGUUCCCUUUGUCUCUCUCUGUAUUAUCUAUGUUUGUUCAUUUUUCGUCUAUGUCUUUUUGUAUUAUCUGUCUGUGGUUCUCCCCUUCUAUGUGGCUUUUCUUUGUUUGUCUUGAUUUCUCUGGGUUUGUAUUUGGUUGGUUCAACAACCUACGGUGAGGGGAAGUUGAAUAUUAAAGGCUCCCAUGCCUCUCUAGCAAUAAUAUUAUUUUUUAUUUAUCCCCAAAUACAUGUGUCAUUUAUCAAAAUAAUUAAUUUAAUCACCAAAAAAAAACAAAUAGAUCCAACAACCAUGCCAUUCCACAGUUAAUUUUUUUUAUAUUAUGAUUUAGUGCUAUGUUAACCGGGCAACCUUUAAUUACCAUGAUAUAAAAUAAAAAAAUAAUGGGAACAUAAAAUAAAUGUUUUUAUAUAUUUUUUAUUUUAAAAGGAAAAAUUUUACUCUAAUUUUACUCAAAAACUAUUGCAAAAGGAUAUUUAUUUUAAAUUUAUCUAUAUUUUUAUAGUUCAAAUAUUAAAAAUAAAAUAGAAUUAAUCACUAAGUUUUCUGGUUACAAAUACAUUUGUAAUUGUCUUUAUCUCCCUUGUAUUUCUAACCAUUAACGAAUUGAAUAUAUAAUAAAUACUAAUUAACAAAAGAAUAAAUUUAGCUGUAUAAUGUACUAAAGUUUAAAUAGGUGACUUUAGAAUCACCAAGAAGGCAGUGAAUCACACGGGAAGAUUGAAAGAAUAAUUAAAGUGAUUUUACUAACCGACAAGUUGACCCCAAGUCAAAAGUCUUUUGUGGAAAAACAUGAAUAAAAGGUUGACGUAAGACCAUUGCUAUCAAGCGUUUUUUCUAAGAGAUGGGUCCGUUCCACCAUAUAUAUGCUUUAAUUUCAACCACCAUAAAAAAUAAAUCUUAAUGUAGUGUGUUAGAAUGCAACCACCGAUUGAUUAAUUUUAAUGGCCGGUCAUUUAAACUUGGGUGUUUUUUCAGUAUAUAUAUAUAUAUAUAUUCCUCAAUUAUCAUAAAAAAAUAAGAAAAAACUAAUAAUAAGAUUAAAAAUAAAUGUUUUAUUUAUCGAAAUAAUUAAAAGUAAGGUUUACUGAAGGUAUAUACGGGAUUAAUAAAAAAUAACAAUAAAAUCAAUUUAUAAAAAAAUAAAUCAUAGAUUUAGUUUUCCUAAAUUUUAAAUGUAGUGUGAAUGCAUUCCGCAAGAAAAAAAACAGUGCAAGAUUAGCCUUUCAAGAAAUAGAGAAUCUUCCUCUUUGAAGGAAUUAAUUAGUGGGUUGGAAAAAUGUCGUCUUUUGCUCUAAUAUUUUCUUCACUUGGUCUAUAGUUUUACCUUACACUAAUAUUUUCAAGAUUUCAAUUGAAAAGGAGGGUCGUAAAAAAUUUAAUUUUUAUAAACAUACCCUUAAUUAACUUAAUUUGGAUGUGGAUAAUUGUUUGCAAUAUAUUUACAUCCAAUAUAAACAAUUCAUCAAUGAUCAAGUCGGCCUUGGUUAGCUAAAAUAUUGAAAAUACUUGCUCUCUCCUUUUUUCUUUUUUGGCCAUGCAGUUCCUAUAUAUAUAUAUUAGUUGAAAUUUUAUGAUGUCUAUUAAUCCUUUUAAAUUAAAGUCAAGUUAUUAAUUAUAUCCUAUAGAUUUCUAGAAAAACUAAUUCUCUCAAAUUUCGUACAUUUUACUUACAAACUAUAAAAGGUGAUUGCUACAAACUAAAAUUUCAAACAAGGAAGCUUAAAUCUCUUUUAUCUACAUUUGAAAUUUACAAAAAAUAAAAUUAUAUUGGAUUAAGCCUAAACACUAUAUAAAAUUCUUGAACAACACAUUAAAAACAAAUCAAAGAUACUUUUCAAAAUAUCAAAUCAUUAAAUCUUACAUAUCAAAUAAAUCAAGUUAUCAUAUAUCAAAUUAAAAGGAAGAAUUAAAUGAUUGUUUUAUUUUUUAUAAAAAUAUUUUAAAUAGAAAUUAUAAUGUGGAUCAUAUGGCUCAAUGCAAAUUAAGGUCUCACAUAUAGCCAGCUAUAGCAUGGGAUAGCCAGCGGUCAUUCCAUCAGGAGAUUUGUGAAUUCUGAAGCCUUUGCAAUGUGCAUGGCAUGUGUCCAAGAACCCACCAGGAACUCCAUUUUGACUGGGAAACCUUUGACGAACUGUAUUAUAUGUGAUUUGCUCCUGGUAUUAUAAAUUAGAAAGUGUAAAUUGUAAAUCCCAACCAAUAAGAUAUCUACAUAAGAGUCUGUAAAUGUUACAGAUGAUUUAAGUUUGUUUAGCAAAUUUUUCAAGAACAUGUUUGUCUUUGAUAGCUUAUUGUCAUAGCUGUGAACUCUGAAGAAAAUUGAUGUAAGAAACCAAAGUCCAUUUUGUUCUAGAUUGUAGAUGGAUAUAAGCUUGGUGAUUCCCGAUUCUUUUAUUAAUUUCAUUUUAUACAUUCCCUGUGAUGUGUUCUUAAUUUAUAUACCACACCGAUGUCUGUUAGGUUCUGAUUCAAUCGAAUUGGAGCCGAUCAAAAUUGUAAUGACUCAGUUUCUUUUAUGACCUGGAUUGGGCUUCACAUGCCCUUGAUUAUGCCCAAGAAGAAAACUAAAUAAAUAGUAGAUGAGUAGUGUACUGAAAAUAAAUAUUUUCAGCAUAUUACAUAGAUCUAAAACAAUAGCACACAGGAAUUAAAAAAGAGGAGGGAUCGCUAGGGAUACAAGAUUUGCAGCCAAAACUAUGACCUGACAUGUUCAGGAAACAGAAGGGAACUAUGACCUGACAUGUUCAGGAAACAGAAGGGAGGUGUUUCUUUUAAACACAAGGCAGAUUUUUAUGAUCUUAUUCCUUUUGGUCAUUAAAUUUUCUUAAAAGGAGCUUUGGUUUGAUUCCUACAAGCUGGGGGCAAAUCUUCAGCGUUUCGACAGUCAGCCUCAUGAGCAAAAGAAAGACAAUGUGCGACCACUCCAAGCUUCUCGUUGCUCCCCUGUUCCGAUUAGAAAUGGAGAUUCAAGAAGCUAUGCUACUGUCCUGAGACAAGAGUUCCAACGAAAUCUACUGUAAGUUCCCAAGACACUCUUUUAUAACACUUUGGUCAUUUCCAUGACUUUAUCUGCAUAUCUUGUGCAGGCCAGUUCCAUGUUUUGAGAUUUGAAUAUUAUUUUAUUUUAUUGUUUAGCACUUAGUCUAUUCGCCAGGUUGGGAAAAAUAUUCAAAUUAGUUUUGUUGGCAUGUAACCUCACCAAACAAUUUAAGACUUCACUAAACAAUUUGCGUAGACCGUAUUGACUGGGAGUCAACUAUUGUCGUAGUGCUUUUUUGCACUAUCUGUGUGCGUGAAUGGAAAGAAAAGCAGGGUGGCAACUGGGGUGAGAAAAUGAAUAGAAAACUCCAACAAGGGUGUGAAAAUGAGUUACUUCUCCAAAAAGAAUAUAUAAAUUAUUGAAUAUCUAAUGGAAACUGUCGUGAACGCGGAUGCUUGACUUGCUGUGUACCAUUUUGAUUUUUAAACACAACCAUGCCGUAAUUUCCUGGUGAUUUCCUUAUGCAUACUGGUGGUCUUCCAGAAUCUUUUUCCAAACAAUCCUCGUUAGACCCUGCUCGGGGAUUAACCUGGAGUAAGAUUUGUAUCAUGGUUUUUUAUCAUGUUCCAGGUCAACUUGGAUCAACUAAAUUUUAUGAGUAUGUCAAAACGACAUUGUUUUUUAUAUAUAAACAUAAAUAUGAAUCUUGAGCUCUUUUAUAAUCUUAAGACGAAGUAUAUUAAUAGUUGAACCAUUAUCCACCAAGAUACAAUUCAUCAUCUUUUCAUCGAUAUAUCUUUUAAUAAAAAAAUAUCGUUUAUGGAGUUUUGAUUCAAGCAACAGGUCUUCAUCGUUAAAGAAUAUCUAUGUAGUGUAUACACCUUGAGACAAGUCGAAAGAGUUAGUCAUGACAGGUUUAGUAGGAGUUUUCUUUAUAGUUUUCUCAUUUUUUAUGUUAAAUUAGGAAGAGAUCAAUAAGAAACUGAACUUGAAGAUGGACUAUAUCAUUGUUAACUUCUUGAUCCGAAUACUCCAACAUGAUGGUUAGUGCAAAUUUUUUUUUUUUUAAAAAUAGCAAAAACAAAGUAAUUAAACAAGACAGACUUAGGAUUCCACAGAUAAAUAUAUGGCCAUAUUUGUUUCCCGGAAUUCACUUUCCGGGAAGCCACUUUCCAAACUUUCCUGUGUUUGUCUGCCAUUAGAAAAGUUGGUCAACGGAAAACACUUUCCAGUCAAAGGAAAAUUUAGCUUGGUUUCCAGGAAAGUGUUUUCCUUGAAAAUUUAUGCGGAAAACACUUUCUGAAAGUUGUGAAAAAUUUAAAAAUGUCAUAUUAUUUGCUGAUUAUAUCAAAUUUGGUCCUCAAACUUUUGAUUGCUAUAUAUAUAUAUAUUUUUGUUUUGAAUAUUUAUUUUUCAAUUUCAUCUCUUAAAAUUUAAUUUUUAUAUUAACUUUGGUCCUCAUUUUUAUAAUUGUUAUUUGCUUUUCCCUUAUCAUUUUCUUAUUGAAAUUUUUUAUCUAUCAAAUUUGGUUCUCAUUCUUUUGAUUGUUACUUAUUUUAUUUGAAAUAAUUUAUGAAAUGUUAAUUAUUAUUAUUAUUUUAAUUUCUUCAUCUUUCAUUUUUAUUUUAUUUUUUAGAUUUGAUUUUUAUUAUUUUGAUUAUUAUUAUUUAUUUGAGAUAAUUUAUGAAAUUAUAUUUUUUUUCAAUUUCAUUCUCAUUCAACUUUUUAAUUUGUAAGAUUUGUUCAUCAUUAUUUUAAUAAACUUGAGAAAAUAAAAUAUUAAUAAGUUAUUUUCCAGUUCAUUUUCCAUGACAUAACCAAACACUGAAAAAUAUUUUCCAACUUAUUUUUCAUUACACUACCAAACAUCGAAAAAUAAUUCACUUUCCUGGAAUUCACUUUAAAAAAAAAACUACUUUCCAGCAAGCAAACGGGCCAGUUUCAACACUUCUCUAUUGAAACGUUCAACAAUAAGGCUAAGCUAUGAGGUCAACCCACUAAAAAGCACCCAUUAGCUGGACACAUUCAAGAAAAUUGCCGACAAGUUUCGAACUAACACAAUUUUGGGCCGAGAAUGCAAGAAGCAAACCACUGAUUCCCCCACCAGCAACCACAACAAAUUCAGUGCUCCCAUGCUAAGAUCCUCUGAUGUUGGAGAACUAGCGAAAUUUAAUACAAGGCUUCAACACUCCGAAGCCUGCUAGAGAAAUAUUAAAGCAAAAUAAGUAGUAGCAUUAAACAACAGCCAUUUCAUCAGUUUUAAUUUUAGUAUAACACAAUAAUAUGAACCAACCUUGAUUCUCAAAGGCACCCAACUAAUUCAUAGCCUUCAAAUCAAGACUUUGCAAUUCUUUAAAAGGCAGAAACAAAGAUGCGUUGAGAACCCACUCCCCUAACCCCCAAUCCCCAGCACCCCCAAGAGAGAGUUGGAUCACUCGCCUUUCGGUGGUAUCGCACACGAUCCUAGACCACUCACAACAAUUAUUGCCCAGGUAUUUCAACAGUUAUGGCUUGUGUGGGUUUUGGUUCACGAUGGAGAUGAUGGAUACAAUAAUGUAUUUCGACAACAAAACUUUCAAUGCUUGUGAAUGGCUCUCCAACUAAAGAGUUCUUUAUCGAAAAGGGAUUGCGACAAGGGGACUCUUUAUCAACAUCUCUUUUCAAUAUAGCAACUGAGGGUCUUAGUAGAAUGCUAAGAAGAGAUGUGGUUUGGGACUUAUAAAAGGUAUUUGUUUUGGUCACUUUCAAGUUUGUAGAUGAUACACUCAUCUUCAGUUCAUAUGAUUUUCCAUCUCUUCAAAACAUCAAAAUAACCAUGUGAUGUUUUGAGUUGAUUUCUAGGCUGAAGGUUAAUUUCCACAAGAGCUCAAUCACGAGAACUAUUGUUAUUUCUUCAACUGCUAGCAAUCUAAUAUGUAGUAUGGAGGGGAUGCCAUUUAAGUAUUUGGGCCUGCCUAUUUGUGCAUCUUCAUCUCAUGUGGAAAACUAUUGUUAAUAGAAUCAAUAGCAAGUUGGCACUUACCUAUUGGUGAGAGAGUGUGCUUGCUUAAAUCAAUUAUAAAUAAUCUUCCUAUCUACAACCUUUCUUUAUUUCCUAUCACAUCCAUUGUUGCUACCAAAAUUGAGAAACAUAUCAUAUCUUUCUUUGGUUCUUAGGAGGAAGGAGGGAAAAAACUAUGCAAUGUUAAAUGGGCAUCGGUGGUUCCUCCAAAAAAAAACAAAAAGGGCUGGGUAUAGACUACAUUAUUGAUAAAAAUCAUGGGUUACUAACACUUCCAUAGCAAAGAGAUAUGUAUUUUCCCUAUUAAUUUCUCAAGUUACCAUAAUGAGAGUGUGAUGUGACUCCAAUAAAUGUAGGAUAUGUUAAUUAGGUAUACAAUGUCUAUGUGAUAUGGACAUAAUCAUUUUUGGUAUGUCAAAUUCUUACUAUUUCACUCUUAAGAGUAGAAAGAUCUAGUUAGUUGGACUGCAUUCCGAUCUGCAAUCUUCCUAUAUAUCCCAAUUGUUGUAUUUGCUUUAGUGGCUAAGCAAGUUUUAGAGAAACCACUUGAAGAAGUAAGUGCGGUUUUGAAAGAGUUUCAAGAUGUUUGUAAUAGAUUUGAUCCCUAGUGUUAUAUUGACCUCUUGGUUUCAAGCAAGAAACACACUUCAAUAUCAUUAUGCGUAAUUGUAUUCCUAAUAGAGUUAUGAUGUAAGUUAUGAUGUAACGAAGACUCCCUUUUCUCAUUCUAGAAUCCGGUGAUUCCACCUCACGUUCAUCCUCCACCCGCUGAAGACUUAUACCAUUGAAAGAGAAAAGCUCCAGCUUUGGGUGUAAACUGGAUUGAUUGCAUCCCAUCUGAAUCACGUGGGCUUAAUUAAUGGAAGGAACGAACAAUUGUCGGUUUUAAAAGUUUGGUUUGUAACAAUCAUUGUAAUUUCAAAUCUCCAUACUCCUUCCAUUUAAGCAAGUAAUAAUAACAGAGAAUAUGUAUAAAUCUCAGUGUUGUUUUACAUUUUAUAUAAGAUAUUACAGUUUCAUUCAAAAAAUGAGAAAUAACAUUAAAAAUCCUCAAAUUCUACCACCUUCAAUUCUCAUUCAUCAACAACAGCAUACAUUCAAACAAGUGAUCAAUAGUGAUCAAGUGAUGAGGACUAGAGUAAGAUUCGCACCAUUGUAAGCUUGACAAGCUUCGCCUACUCUAACUGUAACGAAAGAUUCAGUGCCUAAUCUCUGGACGGAGAAGGGGACGCCCUUGUUAUGUACACGGUUGCUCUAAAUGGUUCGAUGAUGCUCAUUUUAAACAUAUCAUGUCAGGUUGUCAAUUUCGUUCUGGUUAGUGUAACGGACCCGACUGUACGACUUGAUCAAUGUUAAAAGAUCCCAAUAUAUUCUCUUAGCCUGAGGAUAAUUUUUUUUUUAAUCUAUCAAAAAUUCAGCAGAGUUUUGUUUGUAUUUAGGACAUCCCAAGUUAUCGACCACUAUCAAUUUACUCAAUCAACCCAUCAUCACAAGGUCCCAUAAAUCCGGACCUUAGAUUAAUCAUCAUAAUUCAACACCUUACCCAAUCCACACAAUAUAUAUCCUACGAGUAAGUUCAAUAUCAACAUAACCCACAUAUCAUAUUAUAAAAUUUAAAAGAAAAGGAAAUACUAACAUGCAAAGAAAGCAUUACAACAUAAUAAGUGUUCUUAACCAUAUCAAAAGGGUUAAUUACAAGAUAACUAAAAUACUACAUGCUAAGCUGAACUUUUAUAAAUACAUCAAGGUUUACACAAAAGUAUACUACAUAAACACGUUAUUUCUCUUUUGUUUAAGUUAAAUAUUUACAUAAGCUUGACAAAGUAGAGUCCUAAAUUAGUGAUCUCUCUGGAUAUUUGAUGGACCUGUUAUAUAAAUAAACAUGUCAUUAUGUUGAUAAAAGAAAUAUAUAUAAGCUCAUGUAAUGUAUCCGAAUGAAGUAUUAAUUUCUAUUGGAUCCAUAAGGAUUCUAACAGACAUCUUAUAUUUUGCUUGUAAAUCUUUUAAACCCAAUUUACACUCAUUUGCAUAUUCUUAAUUUGAAUACUCUUAUUUAUUUGCAUGAACCGGGUGACCUUGCAAAGUCUAUUCUUGUAAUCCAUUUCCCAGCAAUCAUAUCACGAAUACCAUUAGCCGAAGCAAAUCUUGUAAUUCAUCUCCCGGCAAUCAUAUCACGGAUGACAUUAGCCGAAGCUAAUCUUGAGAUUCAUCUCCCUGCACUCCUAUCACGGAUGCCAUUAGCCGAAGCUAAUCUUGCAAUCACGGAUGUCAUUAGCCGAAGCUAAUCUUGUAAUUCAUUUCUCAGCACUCCAAUCACGGAUGCCAUUAGCCGAAGUUAAUCUUGUAAUUCAUUUCCCGGCACUCCUAUCACGGAUGCCAUUAGUUGAAGCUAAUCUUAUAAAUACACUAGACUUUAUUUACAUUGAACACGAUAUUUAUUAUAAUUGCAUUCACUAGAGGAAUUUUAAAUUGUAUAAGUACAAAUAGGAGGGAAAAAUCACGCACCUGCUUCGCCUGUUUCGUGACCUCCUCUAACAGAAGAUCCAAUCCUGGUUGCUCCUCCUGAAUCACAAGGAAGUUUUUGGUUAUGAUUCCUUCAAGCUGAUAUUAUAGAGGCUCCAUAUUCAUUCAUUACUCAUAUGUUACUUUCUAUGCAUGUUCAUUUCCUUAUAAUAACAAACAUACAUAAAUCAAGUAUAUUUUCAAAGUUAGUAUCUCAAUGUGCAAGUGUUCGUAUGACUCAAUUCUUUUAUAUUCUUACAUAUAAUAUUCACGUGAAAGUCUACUAUUACUAUCUAACUUUGAACUGUUACUGUCCAACGGUUGCUGUCCAACAGUUGCUGUUUGAACAGUUGCUGUUUGAACUCUUAUCAGAUUUUUAACUAUAUCUAGAGUUCUAGAACUCCAUUUUAAGUGAGAUUGAUCUUGUUGGAAAGCUAAGACACGAGGCUACAAGUUCUCUAAAGGAAGGAGAACCCAGUUCUGCCUCCAGGAUAGUCAAAAUUGCUCAUCAACCCAUCAAUCCUACUGCUCUACAAAAUCAGUCACGACUCAGUCUUGGUUGGUAACCCAUAACUGGAGUUAUACAUCUCCAAAUUGAGCAAGAUUAAUUUCCUUGGUUAGCUAACAUCCAAAUCUACAAUUUCUAUAAAGGAAUCUGAUCCUAAUUCCCUCAUCCUCCUACCCGAAAUCUCACCAAAAGUUAGGAGACAAGUUUGUCCAGAUUCGUUUGCCCCUCCCCUUCACACAAUACUUUCAUAAACUACACACCACACACAUGAAUUAACUUAAUCUUAAUAAUAAGUACUUUUUCUCCAAUUCAUGUCUAAGAACCCUAACCUAUGAUUCAAUAUCAAGGCAUCAAUUCAUUAUCGAUUUGAAAUGAAUUUUUUUAAUAUCAUGUUUAGAACACCUUACCCAGUACAAAUUAAGAUUUUGAUCUCCAACCAGUUGAAGAUUUUCAACUCCCUCCUUUCUUUUCUUCUUGUUUAAUUUCUUGGUAAUCCCUUGCUCUCAAGUGUUUAUCCCAUCUAUAAACCCUUAAUCUUGGAUGGGUUCUCGAAAUUUUAGUGUUUCUCUCUUGAUUUCGCAAGAAUGGGUAUAAAACUCCUUAUUUUCUCUCAUUAUCGUUCCUGCAGAUUUUUGGUGAGGAGAGAGUAUUUAUACUCUAUAGUUUCCCUUAUUUGUAUUUAGGCCCCAUUUCCUUUAAAUUUCUGAAUUCUUGUCUUUUAUUUAACCAUACGCAUGAAUUUCUUGACUUUUAUUUCUCAUAUAGUUAGUUUUCAAUUUAAGCAACCUUUAUUUUUUUAUUUUUUUUCUGAGGUUUACAGUUAGUGUUUCAUUAUUUAAUUGAAAUGGUAUGUUUUGGUUUCGGAGCAUUUCGGCGUGCUAUUUCAGGAUUAUACUGUUCAUACUAUUCAUAUAUAUAUAUAUAUAUAUACAUACUCAAUAAACAUAAUUUUGAUUCAAAUUUAAAGAUAAACUAACUUGAAAUUAUGCAAUUAAAAUUUCAAACACAAGUAAAAAAAGUGAGAGUUGAACCAAUAUGACCCGAUCGACUAGAUAGGCCCAAAGACUACCUGAAUGACUGGUAAGAAUAGAGUUUGACUCAAAAAAAUUUAAGAUGACAUAGUUUUUUAAAAAAUAUUGAGAUGACAACAUAUUAGAUCGACCGGGUUCAACUCAGGUUAACCUUUUAAAUCCGUAAUCCAGGUCAUGAGACUAUAAUAACUCUAAAUAAAACAAAUCAAAACAAAUUAUAAAGCUCAAUUCUUAAUAAACCUAUUAUUUAAUAGUUAAAUUGAAAAAAAAUAAUCUAAAAAAAGGACACAAAAAAAAUGACAUUUCAAAACAAAAUUAUGAAAAUGUCACUAGCAGUCUCGCAAGGCCUUUCUAAACUCCAAUUGCUCUAUAAUUUUAACCUGAGAUAUAACAAUAUGUUAGGAAAAUCUUCAUAAGAUUUCAGUCUGAUCCACCAAUCGAAUUGAAAGAUAUGAUUGAUAUCGUAAAACUAGCUAAUAUUGUUUUAGAAAAAAAAAACAUUAUUUGGCCGGAAUGGAACCGGAACAUUCGAGCCAGAAUUUUGGCGGAAUUUAUGGAACGGGCUAAGACUCUGAGCAAGAUGAAAUUUGUUUCAGUUUGUUUUAUUUUUUAAAUUGGAAAGAGAUAUACCAGUCAUUUUGAAUGGAACAUAACAAAAUUGACAACCUUGUAUCAUGGUUGAUUAGAGUUUUUUUUUUUUUGUCUUUUUUUUCAAAAAUUUUUCCAACAUUGAGUUGAUUGGUAAUCGAGCUUCAUAAUUUAUAUGUUAACAUGCCAAAUUCAUGACCUGAGUCAUGAGACUAUAAUAACCUCAUAAAAGUAUAUUGAACAAAUUACAAAGCAUAAUUCUCAACCACCAGUGUUUAAAAAUGAAAUUGAAAAAAUAACAUAAAAAAUGACUCAAGUCAACUCAAGAACCUGCCAAAUCCGUGAUCCAGGUCACAAGACCUAGAUAACCUCAUAGAAAGCAAACUGAAAAAAUAAUUCGGGUCAACCUAGGUUACCCUGCCAAACACGCAACUCAGGUCAUAAAACUAGGAUAAUGCUAUAUAAAGCAAAUAGCAACAAAUUUUAAAGCAUAAAUCUCAAUCAACUUAUUUUAAAGCAUAAAUCCCAAUCAACUUAUUACAAUUCACUCGCAUUGUUCACUUUAGUGAACAGUGCUACAGUGGAGCCAUGCUCCACUGUUGAGGUUUCUCCCAGACGAGAAGCAAUAAAACGUUUAAGGAAAUAAAUGUUGCUUCUCCAAAACCUGCGGUGCCAUAUGGGUCCUACGUGCUGAAAGCACUUUUAUUUUCUUAACCAAACGUUUAUUAGCGUGGCUGCGGGUGAACCUCACCCGCAACCACGUUACCAAACGAGCACUUAGUCUCAAAGAAGAAACAAUUACUUGGUUCUAUAUCCUUAGCACGUCAAACAUGAGGGUAUGAACAGUAACCAUUGUGUCCACUAUAAAAUAUAAGGGGGUGAACAGUGCGGCUACAAAGUAUUCACCCCACACACUUUAUAUUAUAAGUAACUAGUUUUUGUAUUGGCACUCCGCGGCGGGGUGGUUAUUUUUUUAAGUAAAAAAAUAAUAAUAAGCAGGCUCUUACAAUGCACUUUUUAAUAUAAUUUUUUUUCAAUCACAAAUCAAAAUGCCUAUACAUAUAUUUAGUAAUUAGAUCGAUAUUUGAUAAAUAGGUAACUAAGAUUAAGAUAUUUGAUAUCACGACAUGAAUCAUGUGCUUAGUUGUGUUUAACAAUUAUGUUUCCUAGAGUUUUUUUUUAUGAACCAACCAUAUAUUCCGAUAAAAGGUAACAAAAAAUUCAUACCAAUAUUGAAUGAAGAAACUAAAAAAAAAAACCAAUAAAAAAAAGACUGUAUAAAUACACUAAUUUAUUGACCAUAUUGACAAAACAAGUCAAAACUGUAUAAAUACACUAAUUUAUUGACCAUAAGUAAAUGAUUGAGAUAAUAAUACGAAAAGAAAAACUUUUUACCGGACAAUGAUCAAUCCUGGUGAUGUCCAAAGUGUAAAUCAAACAUUUUAUAUCUUGCCAUGAGAAACAAAUAUAUCACAACUUGUUUUUAUUGUAUUCUAUUAUGACUUGUUUUGUGCCUUACAUUAUUUAAUAUAUUAAAAUAAAUUUAAUAAAUUAUACUGAAGCAAGAUCUAAUAUUAGAAAGUUAACGGAAAUAAUAAAUAUAUUUUUAAAUAUAUUUACAGUUCGGUCCCUUAAUUAACUUUUUGUUUGUAAAAUGUGGAGCUGUCAGCAAUAUUUCCUUAGUUUGUGUCGCUAACUGUGAUUAAAGGAUCAAUUAAUUAUUUAUUUAAAUCAACCAGAGGGAUUAAUCUGUUUGUUUAACAAAAAUACAGACACUAAUUAAAUAGAAUUUAACUCAAAUUUUAAUAAUCAAUAUUUUUAGAUGGAAUCUUGGUAGAAAAUUUAAUCAUCAUAUCCUGGGUAUUUUGGAAACAAAAUUGGAAACUUUGAAUGAUUUCACUAUUACUGCUAUAUGGGGUCGUCAUCCUAGGGCUUGGUAUGCAGUUCCCUCAUUAGGCCUUUCGGGGGGAUAUUAUGUAUAUGGAAUCCGAAUCUUUUUUGUGUCUCUAGCUGUUCUGUUGCUAUGAAUGGCUGUAUUUUGCAUAUUGAAGGCACCUUCACUCGGUCCAAUCUAGAUUGCCUAGUCUCUUUUGUAUAUGCUCCGAAUGUUGGGAACCUGAAGAAUGAGCUGUGGACUUAUCUUGUUACAUUCAGGGAUAGUGUUAGCAUGUCGUGGUGUCUUGCAGGUGAUUUUAAUGAAACCUUAUUCCCAUCAGAUAGGAAAGGCGGCUCACAAAUAACAUCUUCCAUGACAAGAUUUCAAAAUUGCAUUGAUGGUUGUAAUCUUAUGGAGCUCCCCUUAAAUGGGAGAAAAUUUACAUGGUCUCGAGGUAAUGCGGCGAGCCGUAUUGAUAGAAUAUUUUUAUUGGGGGAUUGGUUGCAGGCUUUCCCGUCCUCUACUUUAUUCGGUCUCUCAAAAUAUUCAUCUGAUCAUAGGCCUCUGCAUCUGUUGCUAGACUCUACAAAUUGGGGCCCGAAACCUUUUCGCUUCAUGAAUUGCUGGUGGCUUGCGUCUGAUUUCAGGAUUAUGAUUCAGAGCUUUUGGAGAUCACUCACGGUUUCAAAAUCUGGCAUAAGGAAAAUGGUCCCAGCUCUAAAGAUGUUGAAAGAGAGAUGUCGGCAGUGGAGUAAAGCUACUGUGGGAAACAUGAAUAACAGAAUUGAAGAACUGGAACUUGAAGCUGACUCAAUGGAUCAUCAAAAUGAGUGCAGGGUUUUGACUGCUGAUGAACUGAUUAGAAGUAAUUCCAUUGCCUCCCGGCUCAAAAUCCUGUAUAGAGCUCAAGAGUCUGCCUAGCAUUAGAAGUCAAGAAUUCAGUGGUGUAAGCUUGGAGAUAAAAAUACCCGAUUCUUUCAUUUAGCUGCAACAACAAGACAGAAAAAGAAUCAGCUUGCAUGCCUAGAGGUUGAUGGACAGAUCCUAUCUAAACCAAGCGAUGUGAAUCUAGCUGUCUUUCACUUUUUCCGCAACCUAUACUCCCAUCAGAACAGACCUAGAGCUUCAUGUUCAAACCUGGAAUUCUCAAGGCUGAAGCAUUCAUCCUCGGCUGCUCUUGAAUUGCCAUUUUCUGCAGAAGAGAUUACAGCAGCUGUGUGGGAUUGUGAUGGAAAUAAAGCUCCAGGUCCUGAUGGUAUUAACUUCCUUUUCAUCAAGAAAGCAUGGAACAUUAUAGGUGAGGACAUUAUCCAGAUGGUUGAUGAAUUCUAUCGGACUAAUCUCCUUCCUGCAGGUAUCAAUAGCACCUUUGUUACUCUUAUUCCGAAGAUUAAAGGUGCUAACAAGCUAUCAGAUUUCAGACCUAUUAGUUUGGUGGGCAGCCUAUACAAGAUCUUCUCAAAGAUUCUAGCAACUAGGUUGAAACAUGUUAUGCCAGAGGUCAUCUCUCAUCAUCAAAAUGCUUUCAUCAAAGGGAGGCAAAUUUUAGACAGCGUCUUGAUUGCAAAUGAGGUUCUUUCUUUCAUCAAGAAGAAAAAGGGUAAAGCUUAUCUUUUCAAAUUAGAUUUUCAUAAAGCCUUUGAUUCGGUGUUAUGGGAAUAUAUUAAUGAAAUCAUGGCUAGUAUGGGCUUUGACCUGGUUUAUGCAAUGCAUAUCAACGGCAAAAAUGUCUGUGCUUGUUAAUGGGUCUCCCACGGAGGAAUUCUGCUUAGCAAAAGGCCUACGCCAAGGAGACCCUCUCUCUCCGUUUCUCUUCAACAUUGCAGUCCAGGGCUUGAGUUGUAUGUUGCAGCGUGGCUGUGAUUUGGGUUUGACUUCGGGUAUAAACAUCGGCAAUACAGGGCUUGUCAUAUCUCACUUACAGUUUGCGGACGACACCCUUAUGUUCAGUUCAGACUCUUUACAUAGCAUGCAGAACAUUAAACGUAUCCUAUUAUGCUUUGAACUUGUCUCGGGGCUGAAGGUCAAUUUUUAUAAAAGCAGCAUUGUGGGUGUGGGUGUAGCAGCUCAUACAUGUAACUUCACGGCUCAGCUUCUCAGAUGCAAGCAGGAUCAGCUGCCUCUCAUGUAUCUUGGGCUCCCCAUUGGUGGAAACUUGGGCAGAGCUACAAUGUGGAAUCCUAUUUUGCGCAAUAUCAGUUGCCGAUUGGCUUCGUGGAAAGGCAGGUUCUUAUAUAUUGGGGGCUGUUUGUGCUUGAUUAAAUCUGUGCUCAGUAAUCUCCCCAUCUACUACCUAUCUAUGUUCCCCAUGCCUGUUACGGUAGCCUCCAAAAUUGAUCAGAAACUUCGAUCCUUCCUCUGGUCAGGAAAUGAGGAAAGGCACAAAAUAUGCAAUGUCAGCUGGGCCACUGUUACUCUUCCAAAACAUGCGGGGGGUCUUGGGAUUGGUUCCUUAAGGGACAAAAACACAGCUCUGCUAUUUAAAUGGUUAUGGAGGUUUGGGUUAGAGGAAUCAAGUAUGUGGAAGGAUGUGAUCAAAAGCAUCCACAACACCAAUUGCUCUAAACUGCUGCUGCAAGCUCCUAUUCCAGGAGCUGCAACUACAUGGUCCCGGAUUGUUAAUCAUUGUGUGAGAAAUAAUAAGCUGCAGGAUAUUGUGAAUGAGCAAUCUCUGGUUCUUAUCGGAAAUGGCAAGAAGACUAUGUUUUGGCUUGAUUGCUGGCUUAAUAACCACUGUUUAGCAGAGCACUUCCCUACUCUUUUCCAAUUAUCCAAUGACAAAGCUGCCAGCAUUGCUAAGAUGGGAAUAUGGGAAGGGUAUAAGUGGAUUUGGGUUUUUUCCUGGAUACGUCCACUACGGGGGCGAAACAUUGGCUUGCUCGAUCAACUAUAUGCAAUCCUAUCGACAGUAUUGGUAAGCCAUGGCCAUCUUCUUGGUAUGUUCUCUGUUCCAGUUGGUAUUUUAGACUCUAAUAUUGCUGAGUUAAGGGCUAUUGUCAAAGCCAUUGAACUAUCAGCAUCUAAUUGUCUCCUCCACCAUCAACACCUCAUCAUAGAAUCUGACUCUGUCAAUGUUAUUAGCUAGAUGAAUAAGCCUCACAGCCGUCCCUGGAAGCAUCAUAAUUUGUUCUCCUUUGUUAAUAGACUGAAACCAUAUUUUGGUUCAAUCACCUUCUCCCAUAUCUUUCAUGAAAGUAAUUGCAUGACAGAUUGCAUGGCUAAACAAGGAGUGCGGAGAUCAAGUGAAUUUGUUGCCUGGCUUUGACUCCACCAUUUUUCUGUGGCCUUGCUCUUGUGUCUUCUGCCAUUAUGUCUUUGAGUUAUUUCUGUUAUGUUUUGUAGAGGAAUGUUUAGCUUUGAGCUCAUUCGGAUGGAUAUUCUAUGGUUUUCUUUGCUUUUGUUUAUCUUAGUCUGCGCUUUAUCCUAUAUAUGGCUUUUUGCCAUAGUAAGAUAAUGUGUAGCUUCUGUACUACUCCCGCCAGACUUUGGCGUUUAAUAAUAUACGCAUCUUUCAAAAAAAAUCCAUGUGAAUCGCACGACUUGUCCAUAUCUUUCUUAUUGAUUACAAAUAGCAUUGAGAAUUAAAGAAUAUUAUCUUAAUAAGUUCCAAUUUAUUCUACAAAAACUAUAUAUAAAGAUGUAUACAAAUUAGUUAUUUAUUGUUUGUAAGUAUUAUUGUAUUGCAAAGACAAAAAUAAGAUGCAACUUAUGGCGUGGUCGUCCAACCUGGUUCAGGUUUUGAUCCUGUUAAAAAUCUAUUUUGUUGAAUUGUUAUCUACUUGUGAGUUAUUGGGUUAACUAGAUCAAUUUUUUAAACAAAACAAUAUCAUUUAAAAAAAAAAAAUUGGUUCUGACUUAGAAAUAUAAUAUUAGAAACUUAAAUCUUAUUAUUAUAAAAGACUCAAUGGUAAAUUUAGUUUUGAAAUAGAUUUUUGUAAAAUCAAAUAUCAACUAAGCACCUGGAAAUUUAUUUGAAAUUACAAUAACCUUGUAGAAAACAAACAUAAAUAGAAUUAUUAAAUUCAAUGGAGUCCAUGACCUGAAUUACGGGUUCAACGGGUUAAGCCACGAAGCUCUGAUCGAUUUAAAAUAUUGUCGUCUUAAUAUAAAAAAAAAAUACAUCUUAAAAAAAAUAAAUUAAGCUAGACUACGUUUUUACCUAUUAUCUGGGUUGUUUUUAGGUUCAUCAUUUCGACUGAGUUAUAUUAGGACAACUACUACAUAAUUUAAUUUAAAAUUAAAGCUAAACAAGAAAUUAGGUAAAGAGAUUUUAAGAUUGAUUUGUUGGAUUGGAUUUAAUAACAAUACAAAAAAUCUAAAUAUUUCUUUUUUAUUAAAAAAAAAUUCAAUCCAACUCUCAUCGUAACGCAGUAUAGUAAGAUAAAUAGAUAUAAAUAUUUUGAUGGAUACUCGGGAUAAAAGAUUGUUUGAGGACAUUUUGCUAAUUUCUUUUGUUAUCUAAUCAAUCAAGCUCAUAGUGAAUAAGUAUAUUAAUAUAUACAAUUAAAUUAAAUAACAUAUAAGAGAAAAAUGGUCGCAAGCUAAAGCUAAAGUGAUGCGACGUUGAGCCACUAGUCGAUAGUUGUAACGUCAGUUUGUUGGUUCGUCGUUCGUUUCUCGGGCGAGUUUGGUUGUGCUAAACACAAUGAACCAAUAGAGUGCUUUGCUUUCUUACUUGGAGAUUCUGGAGCCUUGGAUUUUUUGAUAUUUAGGUUAUCUGUUUCUAGAAAAGAAAGAAAGAAAUAUUUAUAUUAUCAAUGCAAUGCAAUGAAACGACUAAAUAACAUUUAAUUAUUAUCAUAGCUUUGUCCUCGUACCUAAGGAAGUAUACUACGUCUUUUUCUCCAUUGUUUGAGUUUGAAAUUAUAUCUGUGAACCCAUUAAUUUAUCUAGAAAAAACAUUUAUUGGGUAAUUGGAUCAAUCAUUGAGGUCGUCAUAUCAUAUAUAAACCAAUUAUUUUAAUUAAAACAAUAUCAUUUUAUUUAAAAUUAAAUUUAUAAUACUAACUGAAUCCCUAAAAACACAAUUAGACCAAUCAAGUUUUAGCAAGUUAAUUUUUUUUUUUAAUUUUUUCAUAUUUAACUUGAAAUUCAAUCCAAAUUAAAUUAUAAAUUAUGGGUUUCUUAAAUUAACACAUGUUGGGUCAGGUCUACCAAUUAUGAUUGGAAUCCAGGGUUAAUAUCUAGAAGAAUUUAUUAAAUUUCUGUAUAAUUAGUCAAUCGAUGAGGGAAUUUAGUUUUGAUUGAUGGAGAAAUUAAUUUAAAGAUACCAUGCAAGAUAUAUAUAUAUAUAUAAACAUUUAAAGGGAAACGGACCCACCAUCAAUUAUUGUUAUUCGUUUAAUUAUAAAUAGAAUGAAGAGAAUGAUGCUCGCUGCACUUUUAUCAGCGACUGAUAAACCCCAGAAGGAGAACACUCUACAGAAUUAUUCCAUACUUUUUCGUAAAUUAUAAAUUAAAAAGAAAUUGGUUAUAACAUGGUUAACGAACACAGCACAAAAAUAAACAGGUGUAUUUCUUACAUAAAUUCUUAUUGUUUUGUUUUUCCAUUGGUUUCAUGAAAUUCUCUCAACAAUUGAACAAAAAACACUACAUCAUAGCUCACAAACAUACAUUUUAUAAGUCAAUUAAACCUCUUGUUUUUCUUAUGUGUCUUUUUAUUGUAAUCUCUGCAAGGUGACACCUGACAGAGCAAUCUGUUGAUAGGUCCAAUUCUGCUUUAUGUUGUGUUUCUUGCUGAGCAAAUAAAGGUCAUGGGUUUUCUUUCUUUCUUUUUCCCUUAUAAAAAUGGUCAUGCGGCCACAGACAGUUGCGAAAAAAAAGAAGCACUUAAUUAUCACUUAUUUGGUAAGUAGCGUACUUAUCAGAUGACCCUCAACCAUCAGUACCCAUUAUAAAUUAAUGUCGACAAGAGUAAAAUUAGGAGUUACCGUGACUUUCCAACAUCUAUCAUUAUAAAUUAAGUAUCAACAACGAUUAAGACUAAUUGUUUUACCAAGAUUCUCAACCAUUGUAAAAAUAGAUUUGAAAAAAAAAUCAUAGCAAAAAUUCAAAAAAAUAAAAAUUGCAUUGCUUUCCAUAUAUAUUUUAGUUUUUCUUAUAAUAAUAAUAAUAAUUAUAGUCUCUCGUGUCUCACAACUGUAUGUGUUUUUUCUUGAAUAAGCGCUAAUGUUCUUUGAGGGGUCCAAGCACCAUAUACUGAAAGAAAGAACUAGUUCAAAUUGAAGCACCAUGAGUUUCUCUACGGCUUGGUUCACCACCUGCUGGUGCGGCAAGUUAUGAACUAGCUGGCUAGUUUUUUGCUUCCUUGGUUUUAGAAGCACCAUGUGUUCAAAGAAUAGUCAACAAAGAAAAAGAAAAAGAAAAAGAGAAGGGCAAAAGGUUAAUUAAAAUCAGCAGGACUGCCAUGAGGCAACCUCAAGUAGUGAACUUGAAGGAAUAAAAAGUGCUGGGAAGUAAUUUUUGCUGAAACUUCUUGUGUAACAUCUUCUUUUGAUGAUGACCUCUUGGAUGGCUGCAUGAAGCUUGUUCCGUUUUAAAUUUCAAGGUUAAUCUAUUUCUAUGAGCAUUGGUGUUUCAAUUUCAACCUUAAGUUGCAACUGAACUUAAAUGAAUAGUGUUGGAUUUGGGCCUUCUAUUUGCUUUAACUUCUACAGGAUUGAAAUGAUAGUGAUCUUAAAGUACAAAAGCAGCAGACAAAAAUCAAUUAGCCACAAUAUAUAGUGUAUGGUUUCCUAGUUUCUCAGUAUAAAGUUGAAUGUUUUGGUGAUAUCUCUACAUCCAAAAUCAUAUAGACAGCUACUGCUGGCACUUGCAGUGGUCAAUGAAUACUAUAGAGUACAUAUUGCAGUUUGAGAUAAGGUUAACUCGUUGCAUUUUCAUAUAUUGAAAGGAUUUCUCUUCUUUUCUUUGUCAGUUACAGAACAUGCAUAGAAGUGUUCUUAUUCAGAGUAAAUGCUAUUGUAAUGUUUUCACGGACUCCCUUGCUUUGCAACUAAGUCACUAAUUAUCUUGGAACAUAGCCAUAAAUAAAAGGUUCUUCCAGUUCAAGAAAAUUAACCAUGAAGCUAGUAGCUAGAAUUUUUAGACAGAAUGGUGGCCAAGUAAACUCCUAUACUCUGUACCUCUGGAAUAAUGCAGGGAAAGGAUGUCUAUGUAUUUUGAUGUCUUAUAUUACUUGACCAACUCUUGCUUAUCUCAUUAUUUGUUUUUACUUUUUGCUAAUGAUUCCACACAUUUUUGAUAUUGGUGUGGUUUAUGACUUCAGGGUUCUUACUCGCUACUGCAACUUCUCUAUACUUGCUUGGUCAUUAAAUAUGAAACGUGAUGAUUUGCAUAUGCAGAAUGGAGACAUUAAAGAGGCAUCUUCUGUUUUCUAGUUAGGAGGGAUUACCAGAACUCAAGAAAUUUGUCGUACAUUUUGAGGAAAAGAUUUAUACCACCGCUACCAAUCAGGUAUUUGCCUAAUGCGAGGUUCAAUAAUUACGAUAUUAUCUAGACAUGAAUAUACACACGCAUUUAUGCUUGUACAAAUGUGUGUGUAGUGUGCCUACAUUUCCACACCUUUCAUUCUGUAUGCAAGGCUGAUUAAGAGUUCGCAUCUUUUUGUUAAUUCUCUUGACAAGUGUUUUAUUUAGAGUGACCAAGUUCAAGUACAUGGGAAGUGUGCAAAAAGCAAAUAGCGAAUCAAUACAUAAAUAAGUAAAUAAAAAGAGAGGAAACAGAAGUCUAUCCUCACAAAAGAUGAAAUGAUAGAGCAUAUAUCCAUUUUCCUCCUCUUGUAACAUGGAUUGCUCUGAGAUCUAAUGUUUUGUUAUUAAUAUCUUAUUUUAGUCUGAUUAUCUGCAUAAAAUAUCUCUGGUGAUGCUUUUGAUGAAGAUCAGGUCUCAAAAUGCCAUGCCCACUGCCCCCAUGGAUCCAGCAGGUAAUAAUGCAUUCGAGCAUCGAAUUUCUAAACAUCUUACCUUUUGUUUUUCUUCUCGCAUUGUUAUCAAACUUUUUUACAUUUUAUUGUUCCAUAUUGCUAUGUAUAUCGCCUUGCUGGCAAAAUGUCAUGAUCACCUCCACAAUACUAAUUCUGUAAUGCGUGUGAAGUGUUUCAUCCUUAACUUGUUAAUGAACGAGGACUAUGAUGCAUGGCUAUUUUAUAUUUUAUGAUUGAGAUGGUAGAUUUUAAAGAUUUUCCUUUUUAGGAGAUAAGACGUCACUUUCUUGCUUUUCUUCCGAGAGUAUUCGAUCCUUUUUUCGUACAAAAUAAUGAUGCCAUGCAUUGAAUUCCCAAACAUAUUACCUUAUGUUUUGUUUGGUCGCAUUGUUAUCAAACUCUUUUACAUUUUAUUGCGGCAUAUUGCUAUGUGUAUGGCAUGCUUUAAUCAAAAAUUUGAUUAAUUGAUGAAUGUUAGGCAAGAAAAUUACAGAAUAUUUUUGUUUUUUGCCUCCUCCUUUUCUUUCCCCCACUCCGAAAAUUGUCAUAUUAUUUUUGUUUUCAACCGCCUCUUCUUCCCCCAACCCUGAAAAUUGUUUAUAUUUGCUUUGGAAGCAUGGCAAACUUCACUGCCUCUCAGCUUAAGGAGAUUGCAGCAGGUCUCGAAGCUUCUGGGCAUCAAUUUAUCCGGGUAGUUAGAAGAAACAAAAAGAGUCAAGAAGACAAGGAAGAUUGUUUACCCGAAGGAUUUGAGGAAAGAAUGGAAGGCAAAAGGAUGGAUACUCCAAGUUUUGAUUCUUGAUUAUAAAGCAAUAGGUGCAUUUGUGACUCAUUGAGGAUGGAACUCAACUCUUGAAGGCAUAAGGCCAAUAUUUGCUGAGCAAUUCUAUAAUGAAAAGUUGGUGACUGAUGUUUUAAAAGUUGGUGCUGUCGUUGAAUAUAUUAUAGCUGUCAAGGUUCUUGAGUUUUCCCAAAUGUGAUGAUAUGAUCUCAAAACCUGCAAGAGAGUUGUUUGUAAGAGUAAGUCAUGAUGAGCUCACGAUAUGCAAAACAGAUAGAAACAAAAGAUAAUUAGAAUUGAUGAGAUGCUGUUGUUCAAUUGAUGUAUGAUUCUCAAAUUAUACAUACAUAUAUAUAUAUAUAUAUAUAUAUAUAUAUAUAUAUAUAUAUAUAUAUAUAUAUAUAUAUAAUUGAUAUUUAUAAAAGCAUUAACUGUAGCUGAUAUAGUUUUAGAGGAAUAUUUGGUACUUUGUUUCCCAAAAAAAAAAAUAGAUUUUUCUGCGAAGUAGGAAAAAAAAAAAAAAAAACUGUUCAAAACUUAUUCAAGAAAUUAUACAGUUAGCGAGUCACAGAUGAUGAAUCUUAAAAAAAAUUGGCAAUAAUAACAGUACUCUAUUACUAUUAAUUAACUUAAAUAUUCAAAACUUAAAAAUAUUUUUUAAAUUUAUCCAUGCCAAUUUAUCUUAAGAGAGUCGCAAUCUGUGACUAGUUAAAUUAUAUUAUUUCUUUAAAUAAAUUUUGCAUUGUGUUAUUUUUUGUUCUAGGUGCUAUUUUGCAAAAAAAGAAAAGAAAAGAAAGAUUAACGUUUCAGUUAUUCAUUGUUCUUGGAUUUGUAGGUAUAACAACUGAAGAUAGCAAUCAAAAGCGAUGGUGACAUGGUAGAGCUUUGAGUUAUUGCUGUGUUCUAAUGAUGAAGAUGUAGGAAAACGAUCUCCCUUCUGCUGUCUGGAGCUGGGCUUCCUCUCCCUGUAAGAACAAGCAACAUCUUAUCUGCGUUGUUGUUAGUGGCCACUUCAUCGACCCAUUAGUGGGUGGAUUUUAAGCUUAAAAAGGAUUUUUUUUAAAAAAAAAAUAAAGGAAGAAAGAAAGGAGAGGGGGGGCAUCAUCACGUGAAAAGCAAGGAGGUUGCCACCCAUUAUAGAGUGUGGGGCACUCUUGCAUCUAAGAAUAUAUGAUCCUGAGGUUGUUCUGGUGAUGGGUAUUGGCCAUUACAUAAAGCUUCGACAAGCCCUUUUAGCUGCCUGUUAUUAGAAUUUGUAUAAUGAGCAUUCAAACUUAAACUUCUUUAAAUGGGAUGAAAACGAGUGAAAAUCAAGAAGUUGGAGGUGUUCAUCUCUAAUGCAUAGCUGAAGAUCCUUUGUAAGAAAAUACAGCUAAAGACAAAGUGUGUGUGUGUAACAGAGAAAUUGUCGAUAAUAGCAAUCAUGUUCUUUGUCUCUUGUGUCAUAUCUUCCAAAAAUCUUAAAGUAAUUGAUGAAAAAGUGGAUAUACCACUUUGUCUUCUUUAUAGCACUACUGGCCAAUAUGAGUUAAAAGCAUUAAAAGGUCGUGAACGCGGAUGCUUGACGAGCGAGUGUUUACUUGUUAAUUUUUUUAGAAGGAAUCUGGAAAAGAAUAAAGUCAUCUAUUUCACUUUGGGACAACAUUCCUCACCUCUCCCCGCCCGAGCUCUCUCCCUCCCUCCCUCCCUCCCUCGCUCGCUCCCUCUUCCGCCUCUCGGAAACCGCCGCAUCCAUUAAGGCUUCAGAUUUCUGCCAGGUGCUUCCUUUUCUAUCAUGCUUUUGUUUUUAAAAUUUAUGGGUGUUUUCAUUUAUUUUAUUGUAAUUAUUAUUCAGAGACAGAAAUCCAUUUUAAUAAGUAAAUUAAAAAAAAACAAAUAAUCGAUCCGAUGAAAUCUCUGCUAGUGAACGCAAUUCGAUUUUAAUAAGUAAAUUAAAAAAGUAUAUAAUCGGAUCCGAUGAAAUCGCUGCUCGUGAACGCAAUUCAAAGAAACGCACAAUCAGCCGAUUCUAAUAUUUUCUUUUGCAACCCCACCCUAAUUUACAUGAUAUUAUUCGAUUUUUCUCACAGUUAUUGUUGUAAUAAUCAAGCCCUGAAUUCUUGAACCCAAAUUUAUCUUAUUUUAUUUUAUUUUUUAGUUUUAUUUUUAAGUGGAGAAUAGAAAUCAAUUCAAAUCUUUUAGGCUCGAUCGAUAAUUUGUUAAUUAGUUUAUGCAGCAGCUGGAGUGGAAGGGAUAUUACUGCCGGAAUGGCCGAAAAAUGAGCUGUUUGGUUGAUUCUUCUUUUUUGGAAUUUACUGAAUUCUUCAAAAUUAUUGUGUUUUUAACAACAAUACGAUAUCCUUGGGUUUCAUGCUCGCUCACAAAUGGAAAAAAGAAAGAAAGAAAAGAACUUUAAAUUUUAUAAUUUGGUCAUGUUAAUGCUCGUCGUUUUCUUCUUCAUUUUCCUAGCUUAAAACAUCCUAGACAAUCUCUUUGGGAUGGGUUAUUGUUUUUGGCCUCUUCAUCUUCUAUUUGUGCUGUGGUAUUUAGUCUGCUGAUAUUCUUUGGGGAUUAAAAUGCCUCGUUUUAUGACUUUGUUUUGUUUUCUUCUUCUUUCUUUAUUCUUUUGGGGAUGUGGUAUUCUCCUCUUUCUAUUUACACUCUUUGCUCCCUACAACAUUUAUUCUUUCAGAAAAGUAAAUACAUACAUAAAUAACAACAGGAGAGGAGGGGGAGGGGGAGGGGGUUUGACGGUAUGUAUUUGGAUGCAUGAUAUCUAAAUUGGUAAGCACCUGAAAAAGGUCCUGAAUCUAAAUUGGUAAGAUGUGAUAUACUGAUAUCUAGAGAGAUAACUUAAUCUAUCUAUUGAAGUAAAGCAUUUAAAUGCGUAUACAAUGUUUUUGGAUCAUUAAAUAUCUAUUUGAUCAGAAUCUGUGAACCUAAAGCCACAAUGAAUACAAAUGCAAGUUUGUCAUUGUAAACAUUGCAUCGAUGAUGCAUCACAGGUGUUGCUAGAAAACAUCAAGUUAAAAUUGAAGCACCAUGAGUUUCUCUAUGGCUUGGUUUACCAACACUCACCAUCAGUUGGUGCGGCAAGUUAUGAACUAGCUGGCUAGUUUUUCGCUUCCUUGGUUUUAGAAGCACCAUGAAGAUUCAGGCCCAAAUCUUGCUUACAAUACUCAAAUACCCAAGAUCCUAGCACCUUGCCCUGAAUGGUCGUGUAUAUUUGUUAUGGCUGUUCAGAUUUUAUGCAUCCAUGUUUGGUAGAAUUCUUUAAUAAAGUACAUGCUAUUAGAUGGAAGUUCUCUUUAAAUCUAUUCAAGUCUGAAUAAACUGAUAUUCCAAUUUUCAUGACUUUGAUUAGGCGGAGAACUUGUGAUGGACACAGGUGAUUGGAGAACUCAAUUGCAGCCUGGCUCACGGCAAAGAAUAGUCAACAGAAUGUAAGUAUCUGUUUGCUAAUAUGUACAAGUGCUGCAAAAUAGUAAAUCUUGUAUUUAAAUGAAAGAAAAAGAGAAGGGCAAAAGGUUAAUUAAAAUCAGCAGGACUGCCAUGAGGCAACCUCAAGUAUCAUACACUGCUGUUUUUGUCUUUUUCAUUUUUCACGUGUUUCUCACAAGAAGUGAACUUGAGGGAAUAAAAAGUGCUGGGAAGGAAUUUUGGUGGAACUUCUUGUGUAACAUCUUCUUUCAAUGAUGACCUCUUGGAUGGCUGCAUGAAGCUUGUUCCGCUUUAAAUUUCAAGGUUAAUCUAUUGCUAUGAACAUUGGUGUUUCAAUUUCAACCUUGAGUUGCAACUGAACUUAAAUGAAUAGUGUUGGAUUUGGGCCUUCCAUUUGUUUUAACUUCUACAUGGUUGAAAUGAUAGUGAUCUUAAAAUAGAAAAGCAGUUGAAUGUUGAAUGGUGUAUGGUUUCCUAGUUUCUCAGCAUAAAGUUGAAUGUUUUGGUGAUAUCUCUACAUCCAAAAUCAUAUAGACAGCUACUGUUGGCACUUGCAGUAGCCAAUGAGCACUGUAGAGUAUAUAUUCCAGUGUGAGAUAAGGUUAACUCAUUGCAUUUUCAUAAAUUAAAGGGAUUUCUCUUCUUUUCUUUGUCAAUUACGGUGCAUGUAUAAAAGUUUUCUUACUUAGAGUAAAUGCUAUUGUAAUGUUUUCACAGAAUUCCCCUGGUUUGCAACUAAUUCACUUAUAUAUCUUGGAGCAUAGCCAUAGCCAUAGCCGUAAAUGGAAGGUUCUUCUGGUUCAAGAAAAUUAACCAUGAAGCUCGUAAUUAAAAUUUUAGACAGAAGGGUGGCCAAAUGAACUCCUAUACCCUGUACCUCUGGAAUAAUACGGGGAAAGGAAGUAAAAAUAGAUGUCUGUAUUCUGAUGCCAUAUAUUACUUGACCGACACUCGGCUAUAUCAUUAGUUGUUUUUAUUUUUUGCUAAUGAUUCCAUUGAAUACAUUUCUGAUAUUGGUGUGGUGUGUGAGUUCAUGGUUAUUUCUCACUGCUGCUAACUUCUCUAUACCUACCUUGUCAUUAAAAAUUAAACGUAAUGUUUUACAUGUGCAGAAUGGAGAUAUUAAAGAGGCAUCUUCCGUUUUCUGGUCAAGAGGGAUUACAAGAACUCAAGAAAAUUGCUGUACGGUUUGAGGAAAAGGUUUAUACUGCCGCCACCAGUCAGGUAUUCGGCUAAUGCUAGGUUCAAUAAUUUCGAUAUUCUCUAGACAUGAAUAUAAACAUGCAUAAGUUUGUGGAUUUAUGCAUGUACACGUGUGUGUAGUGUGUCCACACUCUCACUGGUCAUUCCGUAGAAGUUCUCAUCUGUUCAUUAAUUCUCUUGACAAGUGUUUUAUUUAGAGUGACCAAGGUUCUUUUCAAGUACAAGGGAAGUGUGCAAAAUGCAAAUAACGAAUCAAUACAUAAAUAAUUAAAUAAAAAGAUAGGAUACAGAAGUAUAUCCUAUAUCCUCACAGAAGACGCAAAUAUAGAAAGCCUAGCAUAUUAGAAAGAGCAUUUAUCCCUUUCCCCCCUUCUCUUGUAACAUGGACUGCUCAGAGAUCUAAUGUUUCCUUAUUGAUAUCUGAUUUCAGUCUGAUUAUCUGCGUAAAAUAUCUCUGAAGAUGCCUCAGAAUACCAUACCCACUGGCAAUGGUAACAAACCCCUGUAUCCAGGGGGGAAGUGUGCAAAAUCCAAGCUUUGAAUUUCUAAACAUCCUUACCUUUUGUUUUAUAUUUCGCAUUGUUAUCAGACCCUUUUACAUUUUAUUGCUGCAUUUUGCUAUGUAUAUACUAAUCCCUGUACUUUUACAUUAUGUUAAUAAACUGGUCCCUUCAUUAGUUUUUUGUUAGUCAAAUGUAGAGUUGUUAGCAAUAUUUCCUCAAUUUGUUCCACUAACUUGACGUUAAAAUGUGACCAAAGAAUCAAUUAAUUAUUUAAAAAACUUGAGGGAUUAAUUUGUUUGUUUCACAAAAAAAUACAGUGGUUAAAUAAAAUUUUACUCAAAUUUUUAUCAUCAUAUUCGUGAGUGUUUACUUGUAAAUAUUUUGGAAUGAACACAGUGGUUAAGUUUAUGUUUUGCGCAGCAUAAAAAAAAUCAUCUAGGCUUAAAUAAUUAUUUGGCAUCAUAAUUAAAACUCUAAUCCAAAUUUCUCUCAUCUGGCUUCUUAUCUAUAUCAAGUUUAAAAUUAACCAAUGUGAAAGUUGCUCUAACAUGAUAUAAUUAAUGUGAUGGGUUCCAAGUCAAUUCAUAUGACCAGUAAAAAAACAUAAUUUAGCUUUAAAAAAAAAAUUCAAGAUGAUACUUGUUUUGAACAUUGAUACGACAUCUUGGAUCGACUCUAGUUUUGUGACGUAACUCUUUAAACCCAUGACUUGAAUAAUGGAUUCUAUCUGGUUUAAUUUUUUAUAAAAAAAAUUAUUUUUUACUUAAUAAUAUGAUAAUAAAAAUAAAAACUCGUAAAAUUGAGCACUAAUCAAAUAUUAAGAUAUUUAUUUGAGACUGCAAUAACAUCAUUGAAAGCAAAUUGAAACAAAAUCAAUUCAAAAUCAAAUAAAUGUUAAACAAAUAUUAAAAGAUGAAACCAGACAAAAGCCAAAAAGGAUUUAAUUGAAAGAAAGAAAAUAUUGGAAUGUAGAGUUUAAAAACUAAGGAAUAAUAUUUAUUAAACUUGAUCCUAAUCUAUCGACUUGACUUCUUACCUAACAUAUAUUUAAAAUUAAUUUGUAAGGGAGUUGUCUGUACAUUACCUAGUUGACUUGACAUGUGCAAAUUAAAGCAACCUGAAUGACCAAUAAAAACAUGGUUUGGAUUUUAAGAAAAAAAAUCAAGAUAUCUUUUUUUUUUAAUAUUGAGACGAAAAUAUAUUAGAUCAACUCAAGCUCCGUGGCUAAACUCGUCAAAUACGCAACCCAGAUCAUGAACUCCACUAGAUUUAAAAACUAUUUUUUUAUAUAAUGAUACAAUAACUAAUAUAAACACUUAUAAAAUUGAGAACUAAACAAAUUUAGUGACGUUUAUUUGAUAUUGUGAUAACUACAUAUAAAGAAAAAAACAAAUUAUGACCAAUUCAAAAUUAACAAAAUAUUAAAGUGAAAUUGAAAGGAAAAAAAGGGCAAAAAUCAUUCAAUCAAAAGAAGAAAAAAUUAGAAGAUAGAAUUUUUUUUUUAAGGGAGGAUAUGAAUAGCAAAAUAGGAGGGAAAACCCUAACUUUUUUUAGUAUAAUAAAUGAUGUUUAAUUUAAUUAAAAUCUUUAUCUCAUACAAUUAGACCUAAAAAGAGAAGAAAAUUUCUAAAGAUUGAUUUGUAAAAAAACAGAAAAAAAAAUCAAAUCAAGAAGCGAAAAAAUACAAGGACCAAUAUACACACACAUAGUGAAAGAGUUAGAAAAGCAUAACUUUUUUAGUAUAGUAGUUUAUUUCUAAUUAAAUUGAAAACUUUAUCUCAUAUAAUUAGGCCAAAAAAGAAUUAAAUAAAAAAAAAAGGAUUAAUUUAUAAAAAGAAAAAGAAAAAUAAAGAAUACAGAACCAAAUCAACAAAGAAAAAAACUAAUUUUUAAAAAAUAAAGUGCUCCACUAUUCAUAUAAAAUAGAACAUCAUUAUAGUAUCCAAUUAGACAGUGACCCAUAUUACUGGCUAUUUUAAUUUUUUUAAAGAAAAAAAAGUUUCAGUAUUUUCAAAUGUGAUAAGUUUUUUUUUUAUAAAAAAAAACAUAUAUGUGUGCAAGGGAAUAGAGAUUUGGUUUGAGAAUACAUGCUAAAAAUCUAAACAUGAACUAAAACAAAGUGGAAUUAAAAAGAGUAAAAAAAAAAAACCUAAAAGAGAUCCAUGAUUCAUUAUAUAUAUAGACUAUGAGGUUACGAGGUAAAAUAUUAUGGAUUAGCAUAAUAUAAUUACUUUUUACCCUUCUCUACACAACAAUUACCUUGCUAAUAGGGGUAAAGUUGUCUUUUUCAAUGAUUUUAAAGGUUAUUUAUAAAUUCACUGGAGAUAAUUUAGUAGGUUUACUCCUUUUUUGCAUAUUAAAACUACAUCAUUGCCUUUGCAAGCCAAAAAAAGAAAAAACAAUUAACCUUUUGUUUAAGAUCUAUUUUGUAUUUUGUAUUUGAUUUAUACAGUAAAAUGACAUUAAUGCCUUAGAGAGUUAAAAAAUCAUCGACUUUAAGUUACUGGGCCUUAAACUUUGUUAUUUAUUUUGGUUUUUUUUUAUAGGGUUAUUUCUAUCUCAUAUCUCAAGUUGCAGAUAAGUUAGGUUGGAUGCAUACUUAAUUAAUUAAUAAAAGUCAUGUAUAUAUUUUUGCAAAUUGGAUGCACACUUAAUUAACAUACUUAUUGAAUAUUAAGUCAGGCAAAAAAUCUAUAAAAAGAAUAUACAAGUGAGCCAAACAACAAUAUUAAGAACGAAUAAGAGGUAGUAAAAGAAGAUGAUACCAAAGGACGCAAAAUCACAAAAAUUCAUGAAACUACAUUAGGCUCUCUACAAGUGAAUUGUUUAAAAAGUUAAAAGAAAAUAAAUGCACUUUUGUCCACAGCAACAACUAAAUGCACUUUUGUUCAAUACCAAGAAAUUAAACAUUUUUUAAAAAAAAAACUAAAUGAAUUGUUUAAAAAGUUAAAAGAAAAUAAAUGCACUUUUGUACACAGCAACAACAACUAUAGCAAAAUGCUGGGCUGUAGAAUCUAGAUGAUUGUCCACAGCAACAUGAAAAAAUCAUAUAUGCUUAAGUAACUAUUUGGCAUCUCAAUCUAGUAAAUUAAUCUUAAAUUUCUUAUAUCCGACUCUUUACCUAUAUUAAAUUUAAAAUUAACCAACAUAAAAAUUGUUUUAAUAUGACUUAAUCGAUAUAGUUGGUUCAAAGUCAAUCCAUAUGACCGAUAAAAAAUGUAAUUUGGCUUAAAAAAUUUCAAAAUAACAUCUUUUUUAUAACAUUGAUACGACAAUAUAUUAGAUUGACCCUGAUUUCAUGACUUAACUCUCUAAACCCACUACCUUAAUAACGGACUCCUUCUAGUUUAAAAACUUUUUUUUAAUUAUUUUUUACUUCAUGAUAUUAUAACAAAAAUAGAUGCUCAUAAAAUUAAGCACCAACCAAAUAUCAAGAUAUUUGUUUGAGAUUACAAUAAUAAAUAUCAUAAAAAGCGAAACCGAAACAAGACCAAAUCAAAAUAAAUCAAAUGUUAAAGGAUUAAACCAGGAAAAAGCCAAAGAGGAUUCAAUUAAAAGAAAGAAAAAAAAAAUAGAAGGUUGAGUUUAAAAACAAAGUAACAAUAUGACAUUGUUAUUAAACUUAAAGGAAAAAAAAACUAAUUUAAAAAAUUAAAGUGUUUCACUAUUCAUGUAAAAAUGAAAUACCAUUAUAGUAUCCAACUAUAUAGGUGACCUGCACUAUGGGUUAUUCUAUUUUUUUAAAAGCAAAAAAAUAAAGUUUCGACAUUGUUAGAUUGUGAGAAAAAAAAAGUUUUAAAAAAUAUCCGUGUACAAAAGAGGAGAGAGAUUUGGUUUGAGAAUGCAUGGUAAAAAUCUAAACAUGAACUAAAAAACAAAGUGGAAUUAUAAAAAUUAAAAAAAAAACUAAAAGAGGUAAAUGAUUCAAGUGAUUCAUUAUAGACUAUAAGGUAAAACACUAUGGAUUACACACAAUAUAUUUACUUUUUUCUCUUCUAUACACAAAAUAAUUGUCUUGCUAAUGGGGAUAAAGUUGUUUUUUUAAAGGGAUCUAAAGGUUAUUUGUAUAUUGAUCGGGGAUAAUUUAGUAGAUUUACUGCUUUUUUUGAACAUUAAAACUACAUCUUUGCCUUUGCAAGCAAAAAAAAAAAAUUGUCCUUUCGUUUAGGUUUAGGGUUUAUUUUAUCUUUCCUAUUUUUUUUCAUAGUAAAAUAACAUCAAUAUCCUUGAUAACAAUACAACAACAAAGGAAAAUACCAAUAUUUAAAAUACAACAACUCUUUUUUUCCCAUCUUCUGUUUUCUUUUUUUCAUAUCAAUACAACAACAAAGAAAAAUACAAAUAUUUAAAAUACAACAUAAAAUUUAUUUUCCUGUAGAAUCAAUGUAACAUUAAAGAGGCAUCUUCCGUUUUCUAGUCAGGAGGGAUUAUAAGAACUCAAGAAAAUUGCCAUAUGACUUGAGGAAAAGAUUUAUACUACCGCCACCAAUCAUGUGUUUGCCUAAUGCGAGGUUCGAUAAUUACGGUAUUCUUUAGACAUGAAUAUACACACGCAUUUAUGCAUGUACAAAUGUGUGUGUAGUGUGCCUACACUUCCUCACCGUUCAUUCUGUAUGCAAGGCUAAUUGGGAGUUCACAUCUUUUUGUUAAUUCUCUUGACAAGUGUUUUAUUGAGAGUGACCAGGUUCAAGUAUUGGGGAAGUGUGCAAAAAGAAAAUAGCAAAUCAAUACAUAAAUAAUUAAAUUAAAAGAGAGGAAACAGAACUAUAUCCUCACAGAAGAUGAAAUGAUAGAGCAUAUAUCCAUUUCCCCCCUUCUCUUGUAACAUGGAUUGCUCUGAGAGCUAAUGUUUUGUUAUUGAUAUCUGAUUUCGGUCUGAUUAUCUGCGUAAAAUAUCUCUGGAGAUUCUUUCGAUGGAAAUCAGGUCUCAAAACGCCAUGCCCACUGCCCCCAUGGACCCAUAAGGUAAUAAUGCAGCCAAGCAUUGAAUUUCUAAACAUCUUACCUUUUGUUUUUCUUUUCGCAUUGUUAUCGAACUCUUUUACAUUUUAUUGCUGCAUAUUGUUAUGUAUUUCGCCUUGCUGGAAAAAUCUCAUGAUCACCUCCACGAUGCUAAUUCUGUAAUGCAUGUGAAGUGUUUCUGAUAAGGUCCCAAUCAAGAGUGAUACACAAUUGCAGAAAUGCUAGGAUUCUCUUAGGGUGAGAAUUUACCACAAUAUUGUUUGGAUAAACAUAAUGCUAUUCUUUUUAUUCUUCUUCAUACAUAUAAAGAACUAAACCAUAACAACUUUCAGCAAAUCCAGCCGAAAUGGAAAUAACAGAUUACAAAACAGAAAUGCAAAUAAUGUGAAAGUGGCUGCUUUAUUUUCUCCCAUUGAAUCGGAAGCAUGAUUCCAAUUGACUUGCUUGUAACUCCCUUUAAUCACGAUAUCUUUUAAUCACGAUAUUUUAAAUUCUUCUUUAUGACACGUGGGGUCCUUCGUGGCAGCAGCUCUCCAAGCUGCGUAUCAUUACCCCCCACAUCAAGUGGAUGCUUGUCCCCAAGGUCCAAGCUUGGGUGGUUCGUUAGCAGUUCAGCCGUUGGUUCCCAGAUGGCAUCAUUUGUAGACAAAUGUUUCCACUUCACCAAACUCUCCUCAAUAAAUCUUGCCCCAUGUGGAAUCCAACGUGUGUCCAGAAUAGCUUCUGGUGUGACCACAAUGGUGCCUUCUUCAUCAAUAGGUGGAAGUUCCAUACUAGUGUCUGCUUUGUCACCCAACUUCCUUUUAAGCAACGACACAUGAAAAACUGAAUGUAAACGUGCCCCCUCCGGAAGCUUGAGUUUGUAGGCCACAUCACCGACUCGCUUUUCAAUUGGGAACGGACCAUAAAACUUGCAAGCAAGUUUUUGAUGAGCUCGUCGAAAAGCAGUCUGUUGGCGAUAAGGUUGUAAUUUGAGAUACACAAGGUCACCUUCUAUGAAUUCGACAUCCCUUCGCCCACGAUCAACCAACUGUUUCAUGCGAUUCCUAGCAUUCGCUAAAUUCUGCUUGAGAUUCCUAAGAAGUGUGUCCCGUACCUGAAGACUGUGAUCAACUUCAUUAACUGGUGAAGAGCCUGUAGCAUAAAGUGGAAAUGUAGGUGGUAAGCGUCCAUAAAGAGCUUGAAAAGGUGUCGUUCCUGUUGAUGAAUGGUAAGCUGUAUUAUACCACAGCUCUGCCCAAGGAAGAAAUUGGCUCAACUGUCGUGGUCUUUGGUGAACAAAACAGCGCAAAUAUUGUUCCACACAAUGAUUAACCACCUCUGAUUGACCAUCCGUUUGAGGAUGAUAUGCUGAGCUCAUCUUAAGCUGAGUACCAGACAUCUUAAAAAAUUCCUGCCAAAACUUACUAAUAAAGACUUUAUCUCUGUCGCUCAUAAUAGAACUAGGCAUGCCAUGUAGCUUCACCACACCAUCUACAAACUUUUCUGCCACCAUCUUUGUUGUGAAAGGAUGUGUUAAGGCCAAGAAGUGAGCAGAUUUGCUUAGAUGGUCCACUACCACUAAAAUGGUAUCGCGACCAUGUGAAGUAGGGAGACCUUCAAUAAAAUCUAUAGUAACGUCAUCCCAUACCUGACACGGAAUAGGAAGAGGUUGCAAGAGCCCAGCUGGUUUGAGAUUAUCAGCUUUAGUUUUCUAGCAUGUCACACAUGUGUGGACAUAUUCUUUGACAGAAUGAUACAUAGAUGGCCAAUAAAACUGCUGAGAUAGACGUUUGAAUGUACCCAAUAUACCAGAAUGGCCGCCCAUCUUUGUAUCAUGAAAUUCCUGUAGUAAUUGUUCUAUCACAGCUGUGUUAGGAGGCACCACAACACGUGUUUUGAAGAAAACUAACCCAUCUCGCCAGGUAUAAGGUUUUCCAGGACUAUUUUGAGCUUGCUGAAUAAUUUGUUCCAUAUAUGGGUGUCCAGUGGAGGCCUUUUUUAUGUCUUCCCAUAAAGUUACUUGUGGCACAGACAACGCAUUAAGAAUAGGGCUUCCAGACACUCUUGAUAAUGCAUCAGCAGCUGAGUUGUCGCGUCUUGGGCGAUAUAUGAUUUCAUAGUCAUAGCCAAGUAAUUUAGCCACCCAACGUUGUUGUUCUGGUGUCCCAAUUCUUUGCUCCAAUAGAUACUUUAGACUGUGCUGGUCCGUUUGAAUGAAGAACUUUUUGCCCAGUAGAUAUGGUCUCCAAGUGCGUAUUGCCUGAAGGAUGGCAAUCAUUUCUUUGGCAUAUGUUGACCAUGAAAGUUUGGCCACUCCGAGUUCUCGGCUGAGGAAAGCAAUGGGUUUACCUUGCUGUGUCAACACUGCACCAAUACCCUCUCCAGAAGCAUCAGUUUCAAUUGUAAAUGAUUCAUUGAAAUUUGGCAUAGCUAAAAUAGGUGUGGUUGUCAUAGCUUGUUUGAGCUGUAGGAAAGUUGCCUCCGCCUCUUGACUCCAUCUGAAUUGCCCUUUCUUCAAGAGAUUGGUUAAUGGCUUUGCCAGCAGACCAUAGUUGCGCACAAAUUUUCGAUAAUAACCUGUAAAGCCUAGAAAACCAGGUAAGUCUGAAAUAGUGCUUGGCCUUGGCCAAUUUACCAUAGCUGUAAUUUUGCUUGAAUUAACCUUGACCCCUUUAUUAGUCACAAUGUGACCGAGGUACUCGAGCUCUGACUGCCCAAAUGUAUAUUUGCCUUUACAAAAUAUGUAUGUUGCCGUAGAAUUUCAAAAACCUUUGUAACAUGUUCAAGAUGCAUGGUCCGGGCUAUAAAUCAAAAUAUCAUUAAAAAAAAAACUAAUAUGAAUUGACGGAGAUGAGGAUGAAAAAUAGAAUUCAUAAUAGCUUGGAAAGUGGAAGGAGCGUUGCAAAGACCAAAGGGCAUGACCAUAUAUUCGUAGUGGCCAUUAUGGGUACGGAACACAGUUUUGUGAGUGUCUUUUGGAUUUACUCGUACUUGAUGGUACCCUGCUCUUAAGUCUAAUUUUGUAAAGAAGGCAGCUCCAUGGAGCUCAUCAAGCAUGUCAUCAAUGGUAGGAAUAGGAAAUCGAUCCUUAAUGGUUACGCUAUUGAGAGCUCUAUAAUCAGUACAAAAACGCCAAGUGCCAUCUUUUUUUUUAACUAACAAAACAGGUGAAGAAAAGGGACUAGUACUUGGUUUUAUAAGUCCCAAUUUAAGCAUGUCUUGAACUUGUUUUUCAAUUUCAGUUUUUUGAAAAUAGGCAUACCUGUAGGGCCUCACAUUAAUAGGCUCAGUAUCUUCUUUAAGAGGAAUGCAAUGAUCAACUUCACGAGCUGGAGGUAACUGUGUGGGCUCAUAAAAAAUGUCCUCAAAGUUGUUGAUGAUUUCCUUCAUAUCUGUUUGCAUAUUGGGUCGUUCCAUCUUUUCUAUGGAUUGACAAUACACUGUAAAAGUGGAACAGCCAUGACGGACAUCUUUAGUAAUUGCUGAUAGUGAAGCAGGUUGUAUAGCUUGGCUAUUAGAACCAUUUAAUGUUUGAGCUUGAUUCUUCCACCAAAAGUCCAUUGUAAAUUUUUUCCAAUUACACACCACUGGUCCGAGUUGUUCAACCCAUUGUACACCAAGAACAAGAUCAAGGCCUGUGAUAGGUAUUGAAUAAAGGGUUAAUGAAAAUGGAAUGUUUUGGAGAAUAACCUGGACUUGUUCAAACCUUCCUUGGCACUUCAUUUGAUUGCCAUCUGCCACCCUUACAGUGAAGGGUCUCAUAGGAAUAACAGGUAAUUGAAGCUCCUCUGCUAUUUUAGAAUUGAUGAAAUUAUGGGUAGACCCACUGUCGAUGAGCACUGUUAGAGUGUGAUUCCCAACUCGUCCUUCAAUCCUCAUGGUUCGUGGUGUGGACCAACCCGUGAGUGCAUGGAGUGAAAUUUCUGGCUCAGUGUUCUCCUCAGCUAUGUCCUCUACUGGAAUGUCAUCAGUAACUUCUUCGCACAUGACUCUGACAGGUUCACUAAGGCUUUCUAGUAAUAACAGUUGCGGUCUUUGGCACUUAUGUCCAGCAGUGAAUUUGUCAUUGCAAUUGAAACAAAGCCCUUGUGCACGCCGUCUCUGCAUUUUAUCCCAUGUUAGUCUUUUUAUCGGAACUGGAAAACUGGAUUUUGGUGGGGGAAAAGUCAAUGGUGUGCGAGUUAAUUGUGUUGGCCGUGUAAAUUUCCCUUGCCGCAUUAUUUGUUCAUCCUUCAUUUUAUCUAAACUGAUAGCCUCUUUCAAAGUCCGUGGUUUGAACAUCCGAAUAGCAUCAGAAAUUUCUACUUUAAGUCCACCCAUGAAUGUUGUAACAACCCCGAUUUUUCUACAUUCUUUUUCGCGAUAUAUUGGAAAUUUUCAGGUAAAUUUUUUUUUUUGUGAUAUACAGGUUCCACCAAAAUUUCUACCAAAAUUUCGGCAGAGUCUCCCCUAUACUGGUAGGUCCCAGGUUAUCGACAUAUACCAUGUUUACACUUCUAAUAUCUCACAUCUCAUAACUCAAAAUCACGACCCAAUCAUCCUGGGUCUCAACCCAACUCAUUAUCAUCAACACAACACAUCUUAUUCAAUAACAUCAUAUAAUAUAGUUCAAAUGAAAGAUUCAAUUUCAACUAUAAAUAUGCAUGGUCAAAUAGGUACUAAGAGUUUAAACCAUUAGAGUAAAGACAUACAUUCAAAUUUACGGAUUAAUAUUACAUCUCAAGUUUUAUAAUUUACAUAGUCAAAAGCAAAAGAUAUCUAAACUAGCAUUACCCUUGACGCGACCCUGAUGGACCUGAAAAUAGAAAUUAACAUGUACACAUAAAUAUAAAAGAUAGUAACAAGCAAUAACAAUGGCAAACAAUAAUCUCUACGGAAUUUCUUUUGAUAUAUAAAAUUAGGCAUAAACCUCUUUUACAACAUAUAUUUUACAUUUAUUACCAAUAUCCAUCUAAUAUCCUAUCUCAUUUACCAAGAAUAAUUCCAUCUUGGAAAUCUCAACACAACUCAACGGUUUGCGAACACCAUCUCUUUAUAAAUCAAUUCUCACUUGAUACCAAGAUAUUCCUCUCUUGGUAUUAUUAGCUUAUCUCAUUCUUUUGGAAUAACUAAUUAAUAUUUUCCCUUUUCUGAAUCUGUUGCUAGAAGGUAAUCACUGAAACUAAUAAAUCUCAUUAGUAUCAUUAGUCUUCAAAUAUUGGGCUAGACUAAUCAAUUUAAGAAAUACUGGCACCGAUGAAACUUCAUCGAUACCAUUAGCAAUCCAAACUUGGAUGGCUAAUCAAUUCCAUUUGAUUCUUCCAUUCGUACCGAACCCCUUUUAUCUUUCUUAUUAACAUCAUAUGCAUUGUAACCACGGUUGCCAAGUAUCAUUUGCACACAAUCUUAGUUAUCGACACUACGGUCACUAAGCAUCCUUCACAAAACCUUGGUCACCUUCAUCACAGUGCCAAGUAUCAAUUUAUGCCCUUAGCCACCAUCAUUAUGGUGUUAAGUAUCAUUGUAAUGUAUCCUUAGCCACCGACACUAUGGUAACCAAUUAUCUAUCAAUUCACCUCCAAUCUCCAAGUCAUUGUGUCUACCCAAUAACCACAUUAAUUAAUUUACUCAAUAUGUUAGUCAUAUAUUAAUUAUUUUACUCAUAACAUUUAGAAUUUACUAUUUCUAACUUCAAUCAAUUAAUUCACAUAAUCUUUUCAAAACUUAACUAUCCGGCUAACUCAUCUCGAUUGCCAAUAAUUCUGGUAAUUUCAUAUAAUUACCCACACUUUUGGUUAACCUCCAUCGGUUACCAAUACAUCUGGUAAUUCCAUACGAAUUACUCAGCCUCCAGCUAACUUCUUUUGUUUGUCAAUUAAUCCUGUAAUUCCAUACGAAUUACCCCAUAUCCAGUUAACCUUCUUGUUAACCAAUAAACCCGGUAAUUCUCUUAAUUGUCCAAGAAAUCUGGCUAACCCAUCUUGGUUGCCAAGGUCAAUCCGGUAAUUCCAUACGAAUUACCCAUCAUCCAGCUAACCUCUCUUGUUAGCCAAUGAAUUCGGUAAUUCCAUACGAAUUACCCAUCAUCCAGCUAACCUCUUUUGUUAGCCAAUCAAUCCGGUAAUUCUAUACGAAUUACCCCAUAUCCAGUUAACCUUCUUGUUAACCAAUAAAGCCGGUAAUUCUCUUAAUUGUCCAAGAAAUCUGGCUAACCCAUCUUGGUUGCCAAGGUCAAUCCGGUAAUUCCAUACGUAUUACCCAGCAUCCGGCUAACCUCUUUUGUUAGCCAAUGAAUCCGGUAAUUCCAUACGAAUUACCCAUCAUCCAGCUAACCUCUUUUGUUAGCCAAUCAAUCCGGUAAUUCCAUACGAAUUACCCAAUAUCCCGGCUAACCUCUUUUGUUAGCCAAAUAAUUUCGGUAAUUUCUCUUAAAUUACCAAUAAUUCUCAUUUGUAAUAAUCACUCAACUUAUUCAUUUGUUUCAUUCUUUUAACAUCAAUUAAACACACAACACAAAUAUUUAAGAAAAACUAAUAAUUACAAAAUAAGGUGAUGAAUCACCUACCUAGAAUAGGUGCACGUGCUGCCACUCCAUGCAAUUGUCCAGUCCCCACAGCUUUCCCCUGUACCACCAGGGAUUCAAUUUUUAUCAACAAUACAACCAACAUCACAUCUUCAUUUAAUUCUCAUUCAACUAGUAUUCUCAAACUAAUCACAAGGAAUUUUCUUUAAGAUCUCAUACUCUUACUCAUUUUAAUGUUUAUAUUUAUUCUUAUAAUUUUGUUAUCAAAACCAUCACUCAACAGCAAUUCCAAGCAACGAUUAAAAAUUGUCUAAUUCCGAUCAAUUAAGCUUAACCAACCCAUAACACUAUCUAGUGUCUUAAUCAUAACUAAAGUUGUAAAACUCAGUUUUGGGCGUGAUUUAUAUCUCUAUGAAAGGCUAAACAUAGAGAUACAAAUUUUAUGAAGAAACCAACUCCAAAUUAUUUUGUUUUAAGGCUUAAAAUCAACAAUCACAAUAGCCCUUCUUUAUGGCUAAAAUUUUGGACAACGAGGAUUUUCAUUCCUUGGAAAUCCUUUUCAACUUCCAACUUAUUUUCAUGCAAAAUCAACAUCAUCCAAGGUCAUUUGGCAUCAUUAAAUCACAAGUUCAAACCAAUUCUAAAGCAAAACAUUCAAACAAUUUCCCUACCUCUACAAUAUAGCAAGAUUAGACCAAAAUAAGGAAACUCAUUCCUUUUGAGAUUUCUCCUAUUAUUAUUAUUAAUACAACAAAAUGAUGAACUAUUCAUUUUCUUUCGCUUUCUCCUCGUGCGAUUAAACAUAUACGGCAAACCUUAACAAUUAAUAUUCUCAGAUCAUUAUCACAACAAUAAUUUCACUCUACUAAUUGGGAUCCAUGACAACCUUCAUUAACUAACCAUUUGCUAAAAACACUUAUGGCUAGCUUUAAAUAUGUUUUAUUUUUUUCAAAUUUUUUUCAUUUCAAUUUCUUCAUGGUUCCACCCCAUUUAUAUCCACACAACCAACAAGUUAGCUUUCUAUUCAAUCAACAUGUUCUAUUCAAUCAACACGUUCAUAUAGCAAUAUUCUUUACUAUUCUUACACAACAAUCAUUCUUCCCCUCAUAUAAAGAAUACACAAUUAAUCUAUAAUAUUACUAAUAACAGGAACAUAUUUUAUCAUUACAUCUUCCAUAAAACCUACACCCACACAAUUCUAAUUUCAUCAAAACAUGUAUUUAAUCAAGCUUACUACAUUUUGCAAAAACUAGCAAUAGAUUCAAAAAGCAAUAAGUCAUCAACCUCUGAUUAUUGUUUCCCACCCAACGGUCAGACUACAUAUCAUAGCGUUGUGCAUAAUAUAUCUCAAAUUCAUAAUGAUCCAACGGUUAAAUCUCCCUAGAUCUGAAGAAAACCGAGCUUACCUGAAAAUGAACGAGCUACUGUUCAACAUGCACGCAACCUUGCCGGAGAAAUAUGUUCCGAUCUCCACUGUCCAGAAUGAAUUUAACAUCUACGCGCACCACAUAUCCAACAAUUAGCAUGAUCCAACGGUGGAAGAGAGAGAAAUCGGCCGGCGACCAAACUGCCCUGCAGGUGCAUUUCCUUUUUGUUUUCCAUGAAAUUCCAGAUGAUGAUUUCUGUCAAAUGGAUUGUGUUCCUUCCAAUCACUCCGGUCAGUUAGUAGAGGAGUGUAAUGAGAACAACACGUCCAAAACGCAGCUUGAUCCAACGGUUGAUUCCCGAGAUAUGACCACCGGAGCAUUAUUGGUUUUCUCCAAAAUUUGCAGCUCUCUCCCCUUAUCCGCUUUUCUCUAUUUUUUUUCUUUUUUUUCUUUCUUUUUUUCUUAACUGGUGGCCUCUUUGCAGAUUUAUAGGCACCUUUUUUUUUCAUAAUUACAAUUUUGUCCCUCUUUCAUGCUUUUAUGUAUUUUAUUUUAUUUUUCAUGUAAACUAUCUCGUUUAUUUCUGUUUAAAUCGCUAGUCUUUACCAAACUCUGAUUGGGAUGAGAUAUUUAACCAAGGUAGGAAAACAUAUUAAUAGGCUUCAUACAAAAUUUCAUCCCGAUCCGACGAUUGGAUUGAGAGCUCUGCUUCCUAAUGUAAAAUUGAUCAGUUCAUAACUUUUCGUAAACAAUCUAGAUUUUUUUUUUGUUCAAUCUUCACAAAAAAAAAAAACAUAUCAAUUAUCAUUCUAAACCUUUAAGGUCAUUUAAUUAUUUUGGAAUGUAUUCAUUUUAGGAUUUCCACCUUUAUUUAUUUAUCGGGCUUAUUAUCGUUUCAAAAUAACAUCACUGAUUUUUAAGCGGUGCUUGCACCUUCAGUCCUACCCUUUUCAUUGUACUAUCAUUUAUUAUAAUGUAUUCUUUAUUACCUCACUUAUUUCCUAAAAAUAUUUUGUCAUUUUUCUCAUUAUUUCAUCCAUCAAAACACGUUACCAGUUUCUCUAUCCUUAUGAAUUCUAAACCAAAAUUCAUUUUAUGAAGGUCAUCUCUUCUAUUAUAUAUCAUUAUUUAUCUAUUAUUUCUAAUCUUGGUUUCCAUCACUCAUUGAAAUAUUACCACUUUCAGUCUUAUGUUUACAUGAGGGUUUAUACAUCUACAUAUUUAAAUUAUAAAUUUCCAGGGUUUCACAAAUGUGCCCACCAGCGCCUUUUGAGUCCAACCAUGAACUCGAUUGCCCAACCUCUCAAAUUCCUUCUGAUAGUCCCUUAAGGAACCCACUUGUCUGACCUUUGAUAAUGCUUCAUCAAAAUCCUCAUAUUCUGUGGGCCCAAACCGUGCCCAAAGCUCUUCUUCAAAUAUCUCCCACGUGACAGUGCGCCCUUCUUCCUUGUGAGCUCGAUGCAACCAUUGCCACCAUUGGUUGGCUUCUCCUUCCAAAUGGAAUGAGGCCAAUGAUACUUUUUGAUUGUCCGCAGUCUCUUGAUAUUCAAAAAAUUGGUCCACCCAAUUGAACCAUUCGGUUGGAUCAUCCCCAGAAUAUCGUGGAAAGUCUAACUUGGCCAUUUUUUAUGAGAAGACGUGGCGUCCACACUCAUUAUCAGUUUUCUUCUUUCCCCCAUCAGUGUCAUCCCGAUAUGUGCGUGAGAAGCCAUCCCGGUCGUUGUUGUGGUAACUUGAAGACGCCUUGGAAGCGAUCAUGACCUCUGAAAGUUUGUUGAUGGUUUCCUCCAGGCUGUGCAAUCUAUUGAUCAUGUAAUCUUCCAGUCGCUGCAUGCCAUCUUGGACUCCACCAAGUCCUGUCUCCAAAAGCUCAAUUCGUUCUUUGUUUGUUGCCAUUGCGUAGGCUCUGAUACCAAUUGAUAAGGUCCCAGUCAAGAGUGAUACACAAUUGCAAAAAUGCUAGGAUUCUCUUAGGGUGAGAAUUUACCACAAUAUUGUUUGGAUAAAAAUAAUGCUAUUCUUUUUAUUCUUCUUCAUACAUAUAAAUAACUAAACCAUAACAACUUUCAGCAAAUCCCGCCGAAAUGGAAAUAACAGAUUACAAAACAGAAAUCCAAAUAAUGUGAAAGUGAUUUCUUUAUUUUCUCCCAUUGAAUCGGAAGCAUGAUUCCAAUUGACUUGCUUGUAACUCCCUUUAAUCACGAUAUCUUUUAAUCACGAUAUUUCAAAUUCUUUUUUAUGACACGUUGGGUCCUUCGUGGCAGCAGCUCUCCAAGCUGCGUAUCAGUUUCAUUCUUAACUUGUUAAGGAACAAGGACUGUGAUGCAUGGCUAUUUUAUAUUUUAUGAUUGAGAUGGUAGAUUUUAAAGAUUUUCCUGUUUAGGAGGUAAGACGUCACUUUCUUGCUUUUCUUCCGAGAGAAAGUAUUUGAUCCUUUCUUCAUAUAUAAUAAUGCUGCCAAGCAUUGAAUUUCUAAACAUCUUACCUUUUUGUUUUGUUUGUCGCAUUGUUAUCAAACUCUUUUGCAUUUAAUUGCAGUAUAUUGCUAUGUGUACGGCAUGCUUUAAUCAAAAAGUUGAGUACUCGAUGAAUGUUAGGCAAGAAAAUUACUGAUUAUUUUUGUUUUCUGCCUCCUCCUUUUCUUUCUCCCAACCUGAAAAUUGUCAUAUUAUUUUUGUUUUCAGCCGCCUCUUCUUCCCCCAACCCUGAAAAUUGUCUGAGGACACUUUUAUGCUUUGAAUCAAAUCCAUCCUAAUUCUUUCGCUCAUAACUUUAUGUGUGAACUGCCGAUGUUUGAUCAUUUGUCUUCCUUGUUCAGUGCCUUCUUUUUUUCUUUGACAUGGUUUCCUUUUUUCCUUUUAUCUUGAACAGCAUCCCAUAGUAUGCCCCCUCAAGUUCAGAAUCAUGGGCUAUUUCUCCCUAUCCUAUUGUCCACUGAUCAAUCUCAAGUACGCUAGCAGUUGUUAUCACAGAACAUGCAGAAUUGCAUGGCAUCUAAUGCAAUUCAAAGUUCUGCUGGUUUACUAGCGGCACUGCCUCUUGUCUCCGGUGUAACCCAGACUAUCCCCAACACUGUUGUCCAGAAUCCUAACAUGCAGAGUAUCCCCGGUGUUUCACAGAACUCAGUGGGGAAUUCAAUGAGACAAGGGAUUCCCUCCACUAUGUUUGCCAAUUCUCAUAAAGAAAUGCCAGGUAAUGCUCUUUUUGGUAGCUUUAUGUCUUCCACUUAUGGCAUUAGAAAUGCCACUGCUAUUGGAACUAUUGCAAUCACACAUGCAUUUGGCAUCACACGAUGCCCUUCAGUGCUCUGCACCAACUUUUCACCUCCCAUAAUGGUUCUAGUCAGUAAUGCUUUUUUAGGUAGCUUUAUGUGCUACUGCUGCCACUUAUGGCAUUAGUAAUGCCACUGCUAUUGAAACCAUUGCAAUCACACACACAUUUGUUACCCACAUCAUACCCUCCAGUGCAUUGCACCAGCUGUUCACCUCUCAUUCUGGAUUUAUAGGGUUUGUCCGUCUGUUUGAAUGAUUACAUAACGUUUAGAUGGAGUUCCUAGUACUCCUAGUUCAAAAAGACUUGUAUUCCUCUGUAGGAAAAUACUAAUAGUCCUAUCUAGAAUAGGAAAACCUAAUGAAGCUCGCUAUACUUUGGGAUAAUAAAAUACUAAAUGGAAAAUAAAAUGAGACUUGCAAUAUUCCAUAAUUUUCAGCAAGCGUGAAAAUUACAGAAAUACCCUUGUAUAUGGAAAACACACAAAAAUACAUGAAUUCUAAUCUUUGUUGCCCGCAUUGAAAUAUUUGUAGCAUCCCUAGAUUCUACAGCACAGACUGGACAUGCAAAAGGCGCUGAUUGACAAGAGUAGAUCUAUCAAAAGGUAAUUUCUGUGAUUUACUGUUCAUUAGAUGGAGUUCAUGUAUGCCAUAGUCUUAAAAAUAAAAGUGCACUAUUUCUGAAUGACUUACAGUUUAUCUUUUGUUAAGUGAAGAGUUAUUUGCACGAUUGCAAUCAACUUGUUGUGAAAAAUUUCCAGUAUUGAAUUUUAUAGAAAAUGAGGUUGAAAUUCUGAAUGUCUCAAGUCAUAACUGCAUAUUUGAUAAGGACAUUUUUCUUGUGCUUAAGUGAGUAUUAAAACGGGAAUAAGAAUGGUUGUUGUUAAGGAUCCAUGGGGUCAUGCAUAGGAUCUAAGGCUAAGAAGCGUCGCUAAAGUUGUGAAAUCCAUUGACUUGAGCUAGAACAGCAGAAAACAAUGAUGUGUAGUUUGCAGGGAGACAGUAACUGAACUUAACCAACCCCUGAAUCUUGUCUAAUGGUGUACUUACACAGUCCUUUGCAUCUUUCCAUUCCAUCAAUAUCGACAUCCUGUUGAGUUUCUAGCAUUAAUUCCACUCUAUUAUUUUUAUCUCAACUAAUUUAUGUUGUCCUCUGCCCUUUUUUUGUUAUUUUAUUUUUAUCAAUUCCCUUAAGUUUGUUUGUUUUACUUUCUUUCUGACUGGCACCUGAAGAGAUCAAGCAUAUGAGCGAUAAUGUUUUGCUGGUUAUUUGUACUUCCUAGAUCAAAGUUAUGAAGGAGACUUAUUUCCCUGAAAUAAAUGAAAUGUAUCAGAGAAUUGCUGCCAAGUUACAGCAGGUAAAUUGUCUCUGAAAUUUCUUCCGGAUUAUCUGUGCAUGCAUGAUUAUCUGCAAUUUCCCCAUGUUGAGUUUUGUAUUAGUUUGUUUUCCUCAUCAGCAUUGCCUGUCACUGUAUCAUCUGCACUAUUCACCUACCCCACCCCCAACCGCCCCCACAACCAUGCAUCGACACAGAAGAAGUGGAAUAGAAACAUUUUGUUUCACUAAUGUUUUGCUACAAAGGAUCAAUGCAAUUUUUAAUUCUCGUGUAUGUUAACUUUGCUUUCUAGCAUGACUCUCAUCCGCAACAACCGAAGUCGGAACAGCUUGAAAAGCUGGAGGUAUUCAAGGCCAUGUUGGAGCGCUUGAUAACAUUCUUACAGGUCUCUAAAAACAAAAUCACACCUAGUUUCAAGGAGAAAUUGGGUUCCAAUGAGAAGCAUAUUGUAAGUUUUCUAAACCCAGGCAGAUCAGGAAGCCAAUUCCUAAUCUACAGCGAGGACAACUUCCCCAGCCUCAUGUGCAACCUAUGCAGCAAUCCCAGUCUCCAGUUCCUCAAUUGCAGUCCCAUGAAAAUCAACUGAAUACCCAGUUGCAAUCAAUAAAUGUGCAAAAUUCUAUACCAACAAUGCAGCAGAACAAUAUGUCAAGCUUGCAGCAUGGUUCUCUUUCAUCUUUAUCUGGGUUUUCUAUGUCACAACCAAUCAUGAUGAUGUGGGACGAGAGAUUUUACGAGAAGAAAAGGGGGUAGAGAGAAUGAUAUUGUAGCAAAAAUAACUAAUCAAAUAGAAAGGCUGAGCUUAGAGACAGCACACUACAAAGGAAGCACCCAAUAGCUAGACAUACAAUCAUAACAAAUUCAUCUUCUAAAGUUGGAGAACUUGCGAAAACUAGCAACCAUAAAAUAGUAACAAGUAUCUAUGCAAUCUUCGAUGAAGUACAACCACCUACGUCGCCAAUAUGGAUUGAUGUAGAGAACUGCUGCAAUCGUCAUCACCACAACUGUGUAACAUACACUGAAACUGAUGUAGAAAAACUCCAUGUCUAUGAAACCAUCAUCUUCUUGUUCAUCAUGAGGCACUGGCUGGGACAACACUACUUCUUCACUACAAUUGUUUCGCAAUGGAGGUCCACACAAGAAAGGAUUUCCUUCGUAACAGCUUUCAUCGAAGGUCCCAAACUGAUAUUUUCUCUCGGGUGUCUUACCUGACAAGUUAUUGUGCUCCACACUAAAAACUUCUAGUGUGGUCAUUUCAGUAAGUUGUGGAGGGAUGUCACCAUUCAAGUUGUUGUAAGAAAGAUCCAAACUCUCAAUCCGCUUCAGGUUUGAGAAUGUUGCAGGGAUAGAUCCAGUGAGAUUGUUGUGUGAUAAGUUUAAUGACAGUAUCUCGCUUAAGUUUCCAAAUUCUGGUGGGAUUGCUCCUACAAAGUUGUUAUUGGAGAGAUCAAUACCAGACAUGUAGAUGAGAAUUUUCCCUUUGUAACCAUAAUACAUAUUUUUAGUUGUAAAUUCUAUCACUUCUUCUGUAAAGUUAGUCCAAUAACCCUUUAAUAAGGUGUAUAUGCUAUCCACUUGUGGUGGACCCAUUAUUUCAUAAUAAGCCUUUUCUAAGAACCCUGGUAGUAAAAGAACAUCGAGAUUCACUAAUGCUUUCUGGGAACUUUCUUUGAAAGUAAGAUUUUCCAAACAGGAGGGUAAUGGACCAGAAAGCUGGUUUUGUGAAACAUCCAAAAUGCUUAAUUGUUUUAAUAAGCAUAACUGAACAGGGAACUCACCAUCAAAGUGAUUAGCUCUCAGAAGAAGAACACUCAAUGAUGAAAGAUUGCCAGCCCAAUUUGGAAUUGAGCCGGUGAAGCUGUUAUCUCUAAGAUCCAUCGUAACCAGGGAAGAGCUAUUAUAAAAUCCAUAUUUUAAUGGACCGCUCAAUCUAUUUUUGGAUAGAUGCACAUGGGUUAUUUGUGGUGAAUUGAAACAAGAUGGAAUAUAUCCAAACAAAUUGUUCUCAGAAAGGUCCAAAUAUUCAAGCUGGUCAAACUUACAAAAAAAGUCUUUUGGGAUAGGACCCUUAAAAUGGUUUUUUGAAAAAUCAAUUGCUCUAAGGUUCGUCGAAUUGACGAACCACCUUGGAAGCAUGCCUGAAAAUUGAUUGUUACUCAAAUCCAAUACAAUCCACGUUUUCCACCCGUUUAAUGGAAAAUCUGAUAUUUGACCCCAAAAGUUGUUAUCACCUAGAUAGAGAUAUUCUGAGGUAGAAGAAUUGAACACGGAGGUUGGUAUUUGCCCACCCAAAUUGUUGUUUGACAGCUUGAGAAACAUUAAUGUUGUUAGUAGUUCUAGUUUUACCGUGGACAAUUGAUUGUUGGAUAAAUCUAAAACUCUCAAAGAGCUAAUAUUUCCUAAACAAGAAGGAAUACAACCCGUGAAUCCAUUCUUAGCCAUCCUUAAUCCCUUCAGAUUUGGAAAGAUCAAACAAAUAUCCUUUGGAAUUUGACCGCUCAUGUUGUUGUUGGAUAUAUCCAAUUCGGUCAUUUUCGGAUAUGGGUGAUCUUGCAACUGCAAAGUACCAACAAAGGAGUUCCCGCUCAGAUAUAGUUGCUCCAAUCGUGUAUUGUUCUUAAGCAACCACGAUGGAAACAUUCCGGUGAUGUUGUUGUGGGAGAGAUCAAGGAAUCUUAAGUGGUAUUGGUAAUAGAGGAAGUUGGGAAUUUCUAUAUUGAGUGCUUCCGUUGUUUUUGUCGAGCUAAAAAAGACUAGUUGGAACUUUGGAAUCAACUGAUCAAAUGCAGCAGGUUCUAUUACUAAUCUGUUGUUCUCAUUGCAGAAGAACUUGAGGCUUGAGUGGUUCAUAAAAGGUUUCAUUGAAGUGGGAACUUCAAAGAGGUUAUUUGAUAGUGAGAGGAAUUCAAGGGAUAUGAGGUUGGUAAGGGGACCGAAGGCAAUAUUUCCAGUAAAUUGGUUUUCAGAAACAUCUAAUAGUUGUAGAGAAGACAAGUUCCCCAAACAAUAUGGGAGUGAACCUCCUAAAUCAUUUUCAGAGAGAUCUAAUUGCUUCAGAUUCUUCAUUUCACACCAACCUGUACAAUUUAUGGAUAUAAAGUCGUUAAAGAUGAAGGCUAAGUCAAACAUGAUAAAAUACUAUCAUUAAAUUGAUCAUUGCAUAGAUAUAAAGUCCUUUUUUAUAUAUAUAUAUAUAUAAUGUAAUGAAUAUUAUUGAUUAUUCAACAUAGUUUUAAAUAAUAUAAUAUUUUUUAAAUUUAUAAUAUUAUAAAUUAUAAAAUUAUUGAUACUUGCAAUGAAGACCAAGUCUCAAAAUACCAUAUCCACUGGCAGUGGUAAUGCAGCGAAGCAUUGAAUUUCUAAACAUCCUUACCUUUUGUUUUAUAUUGCUAUGUAUAUACAAUGCUUUAAUCAAAACCUAUAAUGCAGGAAUAUCUGCAGAUGGCCAUUCCCAAAGGGAAAACUAAUCUUCCCUAGAAUAUUACAAAGUGCCAUUUCUACAGUGAGACACUGAAUAGUGAAAUUAGUGUUUCGUUUUUGUUGUUUUGUUGCUGAUAACUAGAUCUGUUAAAUCUUUUCCCUGUACUUUUACAUUAUGCAGUAAACUGGUCCCUUCAUUAGUUUUUCGUUAGUCAAAUAUUGUAGAGCUGUCAGCAAUAUUUCCUCUGUUUGUUCCACUAACUUGACGGUAAAAUGUGAUUAAAGAAUCAAUUAAUUAUUUAAAAAACGUCGAGGGAUUAAUUUGUUUGUUUCACAAAAAACAGACACUGGUUAUAUAAAAUUAUACUCAAAUUUUUUUCAUCAUAUGCGUGUGUUUACUUGUAAAUAUUUUGGAAGGAACUAGUUUAUGUUUUGCGCAACAUAAAAAAAAUCAUCUAGGCUUAAGAAACUAGCUCGAUCUAGUGGAUUAAUUUUUAAUUUUUUUUAUUUGACUUUUUAUCUAUAUCAAGUUUAACAUGAAAGUUAAUGUCUUUGUUUAAUUCGCAUGAUAACAAUUCUAUGUCUAAGAUCAUUUGGUUGGCAUACAUAUGUAAACCUAGGUGUUGUUAGUUCGAGGGAAGGAAGACACAAUAAAAAAUAAACAAACAUGGAUGAUAUGUCAUUUAUGUUUUACUUUUUUUAAUUAAAAAAACAGGCUUAAUAAAAAAUAUCAAGCGAGGUCAGAUGCGCGAGCCUUGUUUUAUAAUUUUUUAUUCAAAUUUUAAUAAUUGUUUUCAAUUAUUAUGCAUAUGACAUAAAAAUCUGUUCAUGAAAAUUAAAUUCAAAUCACUUUUUUAAUCUUAGAAUUUUUAGAUAUAUUUUUAGCAUAAUUUUAUCAUAUUUAUGAUUUUUUUUAACUUUCAAUCACAUGAAUAUAUUAUUUUGAUACAUUUUUAAUUUGUUGUGACAAUUAUAGAAUAUUCUUUUAAUAGAAACAAUGAUUCUAGUUAAGAAAAAAAUCUUGCAUUCAUCGAGAUAAACAAGAAAUAUGUUAAUAAGAAAAUUUAUCUUGAUGGAGAAAAAUUCAAAACGACUAAAUUUUCAAGUUUAAUAACAAUGCCAAGGAGUUUCCUUAGACUUGGAUAUUUUGUUCUACGUUUAAAGUUUUUUUUAUCUCCAUAACAUAGCAUUAGCAUACAAACUUGUAUAUUUUUAAGACAGCGUUUGGUUACUAUCCGGGACAAUAAAGACAAAGACAGAGGAGACAAGACAUAAAAGAAGAUGGAGAUAGAAUUGUGUUCAGUAGUGAUGUACAAGAUAAAAUAAUUGUCUUUGUAUCAUAUUUAGUUAUGUUGAAUAAGAAAGAAUAAAAUACAUAAAAAACUAUUUUACCUUUAAUAUGUAUUGUUGUCAAACUUCCAUAUUUAAAAAAUAAUUAUUUUUAUUUUUUUACUUUAGUUUAUAUUGAAUGUUGAAAUUAUUAAUAUUAUAAUAACCCUAAUUAUAAAACCAGGACUGAUUUGACAGGUUGGUUUAAGGCGUAGACUUGCCCGAGUUUUAGAAAAAUAGAUUAAUGAUUAACUAGACCUGACCUGGUAAAAAAUAUGAGUCAGGUUAAGAUAAAACACAAGUAAAAAACCCAUUGACUUUUUUGAAAAAGAAAAUUGGUCAAAACAAGGUUUCUUUGACUAUUUUUUUUAAAAAAAAAUUGGGUCAAUCAGGUUGACCUUCCCAACCCAUGACCUACACCUUUCCUUUGGUCAACUCCUAAGUUGAGUUUUAAAACUAUGAUAUUAAUAAUUUUUAUCCAUACUCAGGUCAACCUGUGUUGACCCUCUCGAUCCAUGACCUAGGCCUUACUUCUGUCGACUCCCGAGUCGGGUUUUAAAAUAUGAUAAUAACUAUUUUUAUCCUUACAUUAAUCCGGGUCGACUCUCUUGAUUCGUGACCCGAGUCUUACCCCAAAUUGACUAUCGAAUCAAAUUUUAAAACUAUGAUUAUAACCACCUUUAUUUUAUGUUGACCCGGGUCAAUCCGGGUUGACCCAUAUAACACGUGACUCAAGCCUUAUCCCGAGUCGAUCCCCGAUUUGGGUUUUAAAACUAUAAUAAUAACUAUUUUUAUCAUUACAUUUACCUAGGUCAAUAAUCAACCUCACUUGUGACCCCAAAAUUGCCCGGGUCGACCCUUAAAUCGAGUUUCAAAAUAUGAUAAUAACUAUUUUUAUUUUUAUACUAAUACAGGUCAACUCAACUCGUGACUCGGGCCUCAACCAGUGACCCAGAAUUUACCCCGGAUCGACCUCAAAGUUGGAUUUUAAAACUAUGAAAAUAAUUAUUUUUACCUUUAUAUGUCUUAAUUAGACAAUUUAGAAUUGAGAGUUUUUUAUAAGGAUAUUUUAGAAAUAAAAAAUAAUAAAUAUUGUCUCUAUAAACAUGUCCCUUCUAUACCUCAUAUUUUGAAAAUAUAAAAAUUCACUCUAAAAUUAUUCUAGAGACAAAUUUAUUUUUAUGUAUUUGUCUUUAUCUCUUUAACCAUAUAUAUUUAUAUCUUUAUUGUCUUCAUCCUUUUUAUCACACGACAAUGACCAAACAUUACCUAAAGGAUCUACAACUACUGAUGACAAACUUGGCUUUAUUUCAUCUUUGAUUUCUUCUCAAUGAUAUCUCACCUAUAUGUGUGGAGGCACUAGAUCGUUGAUUGAAAGGUUGACUUUGAAAAAAUAUAUUCAUAAAGUAAUGUUUGAAUCUUGGUGUUUUUUAUUGGCUCAAAAAAAUUACCAACCCACCAAAACCAACAUGUAUGAAACAUUUAGAUUUAAUAUUAUAUGUAUAAUUUAUUAUCAUAAUUGAUAUGCUAUUCAACUCACUAACUUAGUAGGAUGACCUAUAAUACCUGUUGAUCUAGGAUUUUAGCCGAAUCAAGCUUUAAGCCAGAUAUAAUAACUAUGAUUUUAUAAAAUUACUAUGAACUUCCCUUUUAUGUCUUCUUAUUUACUCAUUUGAUUUUAUGAAGUUAAGAUGUUUGCAUUUAUAUCAUGAUUAAACUCUAGGAUAACAUUUAGUUAUUACUUCAGGAUAACAAAAAUAAAGAUAGUAAAGACAAAAUUAUGUUUGGUUGAAAAGACAUAGAUAUAAAAAUAAUUUUUUUCAUGGGAUAAUUUUAGAGUGAAUUUAUGUACUUUCAAAAUAGAAAGUACAAAUAAGAUAUAUCUUCAUAAACAAUAUUUUUUAUUUUUAUUCCUAAAAUAUCAUUGAAAAAACUUUCAAUUCCAAAAUUGUCUAAUUAAAACAUGUAAGAACAAAAAUAGUUAUUAUCACAGUUGUAAAAUCUAACUCGAGGGUCGACCUGGGACAAGGCUUGGGUCAUUGUUUGGGUUGACCAUUGACCCGAGUCAACAAAAAAAUAAAAAUAGUUAUUAUUAUAAUUUUAAAACCUAACUUGGAGGUCGACUCAGGGCAAGACCCGGGUCAUAGGUCAGGAGGGUCAACUCUGGUUGAACUGAGUUAAUGUAAGGAUAAAAGUGGUUAUUGCAAUAGUUUUAAAACUUGACUCAGAGAUCGACCUGAUGUAAGCUCAGGUCUUGGGCUAGGAGGGUUAAUGCAUGGAUAAAAAUAAUUAUUAUCAUGAGUCGAUUUGAGACAAAGCCUAGGUUAUGGGUUGGGAGGGUCAACCCGAGUUGACCCAAUUUUUUUUUUUAAAAGAAUCAACACAACUUUGUUUUGACCAUUUUUUUUUAAAAAAAAAUAGCUGGUUUUGCCCUAUGUUUUAUCCCGAGUCGACCUGUGUUUUAUCCCGAAUCAACUCGGUUUUUUAAUUCACCUAUCUAUUCUUAAACUUAGAUUAAUACAGGCUUAGAGACGACUAGGUCCCGAAUAGAUUCACUAGGUCAGUCUAGGUUUUAUAACUAGGAUUAUUAUAAUAUUAUUAAAAUUAAACUAAAGUAAAAAAAAAUCUAAUUAUUUGUAUAAAUAUGUAAGUUUAACAAUAAUGCAUAUUAAAGGUAAAAUAAUUUUUUUAUUUUUUAUUUUUUUUAUUUAUCAUUAUCAAAUAAGAUAUAGAGACAGUUACUACCAAACACAAUUUUAUUUUCAUCUCCUUUUAUAUCUUGUUUUCAUGGUCUUCUUCCUUUUUAUUCAGGACAGUAACCAAAUAUUACCUAGUUAUAACAUAUAGAAACAUAUAAGUUGUCAAGUUCAAGCCUUUCUCUUAUCGAUUUAAAUAAAUUGAAACACAAUUGCAAGAAGAUUCGAGUGUGUUUGGUAUUGUGAUAGCUUUUGUGGUUGUGAUUUGAAAAAAAAUUGUUUUAUAAAAAAUACUUUUGGUUGAGGUUGGUUUGGUAUUUAUAUAUAUUUGGUUCAAACUGUGGUUGAAAUUGAGGUUGAACAAAAAGUAGUUUAAUGUGUUUGGUUAAGAAUGCUUUUCAAAUUGAGGUUAUAAAAUAAUUAAAAAAAGAUAUUAAUAUUAAUGGUUUUUAAUUUAAAUAUUGUAGAUUUAACUACUGUUAUUACAUCAUGAAAUAAAUAAUACUUUAUAUAAAAUAUUUUUAUUGUUCCAUUAAACUAUCUACAAUUCCAUCACGUACGAAAUCCAUCCGACAAGGACUACAGUUUCCUUGGUUUUUUAAGUGCGCAACAACAUCAUGUAAAAUAUCAUCAAGAACAAAAUUAGGAUUGCGAUCAAAUUCUGUAAAUGUUACGUCAUUAAGCGAUCUCCUUCUAAUUUAUGUAGUGUCAUUGAAUAAUGUUAAACAUUAGUUUUUUUGAAUAAAAUACAAUUAAAAAUAAAAAAAUUGAAUUUUAUUUUAUUUUACUGGGUCGGACCCGGUUCAAUGCAUUUAGCUUUGAACCGGACCCAAUUCGGCCGGAAUAAUAAAACAUUCUCCACUGUUCACGUGAACAGUGGAGAGUGAAGUAAUUCACUCUCACUAGGUGGAGACAACAGAAGAAAAGAAAAGGCAGCUUUGAGCUGCUUUCAAUGACACUGCAUUUUAAACAUAAAUUAUAAUGGAUCCUGUAAACAGUAAAUAAUAUUUUAUUAAUUAUCACAUGAUUGAUUUCUGUGGUUUGUUACAAAAACAGAAGCAACCACAGAAAUAAUCAGGUUCAAAGAAGAAAAGACAUAUGAUUAAAGUGCCACGCAACCUUUUGACAUUAUCAGUAUUUUGAUGUAUUUCCAUUAAUUUAUAAUAUACAAGUAUAUUUCCACGUUUCUUUUAUUUGGAUAGAACAUCUUUCCAAUAGAAUUUGUUUUUAUUAGAAUUCCAUAUUCAUGAUAUUUUUUUAAUAAUAAAAAUAGCAUUGGAUGAGUUUGUAUGUCAAUUGAAACUAAAAAUGUGUUAGAUACGAUCGAUGGAUUGAACAUGAUAAUAUAAAUAUCAAAUAAUGUUUAAUUAGAUUAAAUUGAACUAGAGAAUAUAUGUUUUUAUUCUAUGUUUGGUGCACACAAAAUAAGAUCAAAUAAUUUUAUUUUUAUCAUUGAGAUUUUUUCAAUCAUUUAUUUUAGUCUUUGCAUUUUAUUUUUAUGAUAUUUUAGUCCUUACUAGAAUUUCUUUAUCAUCUAGAACAAUCUAGUUCUUAAAUCAAAAAGGUUUUUGCAAUUAAACUCUUACAUGUAAAUAUUUAUUUUAAUAAAAUUGGUCAAAUUUUGGUUUUCCAAAUUAAAAAAUAAAUAAGUGAUAAAUAAAUAAUAGAUAAUAUAAAAAUUAAGAAAAAAUAAUUUUGUACAAAUUUUUUGUCCUGAGGAAAACUUUGGACAAGACAAUGACAAUGAUCAAUCCUUGUCAUGUCCAAAGUGUAUAUCAAACAUUUCAUAGCUUGCCAUGUGCAACAAAUAUAUCACAACUUGUUUUUAUUGUAUUCUAUUAUGAUCUCUUUUGUGUUUUAUAUUAUUUAAUAUAUUAAAAUAAAUUUAAUAAAUUAUACUGAAGCAAGAUCUAAUAUUAGAAAGUUAACGGAAAUAAUAAAUGUACCUUUGCCCGUCCCUUCAACAAAAUGCUGAGCUGUAUACUAAUUCUCAGAGGCAGUGAUAACUAGUUGUUCUAACUAAUCCCUAUACUUUUAAAUAUGUUUACAAUUCAGUCCCUUCAUUAAUUUUUCGUUAGUAAAAUGUUGAGCUGUCAGCAAUAUUUCCUUAGUUUGUGCCGCUAACUUGACGGUAAAAUGUGAUUAAAGGAUCAAUUAAUUAUUUAAAUCAACUUGAGGGAUUAAUCUGCAUUUGCUUAACAAAACGACAAACACUAGUUAACUCAAAUUUAAGGUAUGUUUGUUUUUAUAUUUCAAAAACGUUUUGAAAAAAUUUGAAAAUUUUUUAUUUUUUUCUUUGCUUCAAAUUAAUAUUUUUUGGUAUUUUUAGAUCAUUUUGAUAUGCUAAUAUUAAAAAUGAUUUUUUUCAAAAAACAUAUUUUAAUAUAUUUCUGAGUGAAAAACAUUUUAAAAAAUAUCUGUAACCACACUCUCAAACAAUCACAUUCCCAUACAGGUUAAUCAUCAUAUGCGUGCAUGCGUGCGUGCAAGUGGGGUUCAAUCCGGGUGCCCUAGCAUUAUAUUAUAAUACUUAUAUAUAUAAGAAACCCUGUAUGGAUUCGUACAACACUGGAAUGCAAUGAUUGAAUGAAAUAUUACAUGGACAUUGGACCUGCUGUGUAAACAUGUUUAGGAUGGAUGCGACGACAUUUCAGAGUUUUUGCUUUCAACUUGGAAACCAAUGUCAUAACCCAAUUCUGGGUUAUUCCCCAAAAAUCAUUUUUUUUUCAAAAUAAAAAUCAAAAUAAUAAUAAUAAAAGCUGGAAACGUGGAGAAGGCAAACCGGGGAAUCAAGUUGUAAUUUUGGAGGAAAUUCAAGGCCUAAUUGUACCCCAUUAUGCCAAAAAAUGGAGGAAAAAAAUGCAAAUUCAAGGUCAAAUUAAAUGACUAUUGGAUGAAUUUGCAUAAAAAUUAAGUCCAAGAACAUAAUUAAAUUUUUAAUAGGCCAAUUUGAUUUAAUCAUGGGCCAAAUUGAAUUUUAAUUAUGUUUAAGAAUUAAUUUGGGUCCAAUUGAAGGAUUUAGUUAAGUGCAAGGACUUAAUUAUACUUUAAAUGGGUAAAAUUAAUUUUAUUUGGGGCUUAAUUGGUGAAAAAUUAAGUUUGGGAGCCUAAUUUGGGCUUAAUUGAGAAGAUUGGAAUUUUAAGAGAUCAAAUUUAAUUUUUUCCAAGUUAAUUGCUUGAAAUCAGGGGCCAAAUUGCAAGAAAAUUGAAGUUUUGGGGUCAAUUAGGGGUUAAAUUGACAAAAUUUGCAGCCAAGGACCAAUAUGCAAAAAGUGCCAAACUAUAGGGCCUAUUGGCAAAAUCCAGGGUGAAAUUGAAGAAAUUGAAAGUUUAAUGGUUGAUUAGGGGUUAAAUUGCAUAAAUCCAAGACUAAAGACUUAUAUGCAAAAGGCGCGUAAAUUUGGGGUUCCAAUUGAAGUUCAGCAAGGGCGUAAUUGCAUUAAAUCAAAAGUUUAUGGUCAAUUAGGAGUUCAAUUAAAACAAAUUGAAAUCUGGAGGACUAAAUUAAAACUUAGUUAAAAUCCCUAAUUCAAACCUAAAACAACAUUGUUUUGAAUAAUAAUAAUAAAAAAAGAAUCAGACAACACGUCGUCUGGUCAUUAUUUAUUGUCUUCUUCUUUUACCCGGUUAAUCAUCAUAUGCGUGCGUGCAAGUCAGGGUUAUUGUGUUGUCUAUUCCGUGUGUAAUGUGGGGUUCAAUCCAUGUGAAUCGCACGACUUGUCCAUAUCUUUCUUAUUGAUUACAAAUAGCAUUGAGAAUUAAAGAAUAUUAUCUUAAUAAGUUCCAAUUUAUUCUACAAAAACUAUAUAUAAAGAUGUGACAAAAUCUUAAGUUCCAUUUUAUUCUACAAAAACUAUAAAGAUGUGACAAAAAGAUGCAGCUUACGGAUCAAGCCUGGUUCAGGUUUUGAUCCUGUUAAAAAUCUAUUUUGUUGAAUUGUUCAUCAACUCGUGAAUUAUUGGGUUAAAUAGAUUAAUUUUUUAAACAAAACAAUGCCAUUUUUUUUAUAUAUAAAAAAUUUGGUUCUGGCGUAUAAAUAUAAUAUUAGAAACUUAAACCUUAUUGAUUAGCAAAAACUCAAAGGGAAAUUUUGAAAUAGAUUUUUGUAAAAUCAAAUAUGAACCAAGUACUAGAAAGUUUGUUUGAAAUAACAAUUACUUUAUAGAAAGCAAAUAUAAAUAUAUUUAUUAAAUUUAAUAAAGUUUAAAAUCAGCAAGUUAAGCUACGAAACCCUGAUCAAUUUAAUAUAAUGCCGUUCAAUACAAAAAAAAAAUACAUCUUAAAAAAAAUUUAAGUUAAAUCAUGUUUCUACCUAUUAUUUAGGUUGUCUUCAGACUUAUAAAGUCGACUAGGUUAUAUUAGAAAAACUUUUAUAUAAUUAAAUUUAAAACUCGAGUUAGGAAAUUUUAAUAUUGAUUUGUUGAAUCGGAUUUAAUAACAAUACCAAAAAUCUAAAAUUUACUUUUUUAAUCAAUUUUUUUUAAUUCAACUCGUAUCAUAACACAGUAUAGUAAAAUAAAUAGAUAUAAAAUAUUUUGAUGGAUCCUCGGGAUAAGAGAUUGUUUUAGGACAUUUUGCUAAUUUCUUUUGUUAUCUAAUCAACAAGCUCAUAGUGAAUAAGUAUAUAAAUAUAUACAAUUAAAUUAAAUAACAUAUAAGAGAAAAAUGGUCGAAAGGUAAAGCUAAAGUGAUGCGACGUUGAGCCACUAGUCGAUAGUUGUAACGUCAGUUUGUUGGUUCGUCGUUCGUUUCUCGGAUUUAUUGAUCUUUAGAUUGUCUGUUUCUAGAAAAGAAAGAAAGAAAUAUUUAUAUUAUCAAUGCAAUGCAAUGCAAUGACUAAUAAGAGCUUGAAAUUAAGAGGUUUGCUUUCUCUAUAGUUUCAGGUUCGAACCCUGUGGUUGCUCAUAUGAUGGCCACUGAAGAUUUACAUGGUCGUUAACUUUAGGGCCCGUGGAAUUAGUCGAGGUGCGCAAAUUAUUAUCAUUUUAUCAAUGUAUACUACAUCUUUUUCUCAAUUGUUUGAGUUUGAAAUUAUAUCUGUGAACCCAUUAAUUUAUCUAGAAAAAAAAAAUUUAGGUAAUUGGAUCAAUCCUUGAUAUCAUAUAGAGAUAAAUUAAUUGUUUUGAUUAAAACAAUAUCAUUUUAUUUAAAAAUAAAUUUAUAAUAUUAAUUGAAUCACUAAAAACACAACUAGACCAAUCAUGUUUUAAAUAUUUUUAAAUAUUUUUAUAUUUAAUUUGAAAUUGAUUUAAAUUAAACUUUAAAUUAUGGGUUUUUCAAACUAACAUGUGUUGGGUUACGUCGAUUGAGUUAGGUAUAACAUAUCUAGAAGAAUUUAUUAAAUUUCUCUAUAAUUAGUCAAUCGAUGAGGGAAUUUAGUUUUAAUUGAUGGAGAAAUUAAUUUAAAGAUACCAUGCAAGAUAUAAAAAAAAACAUUUAAAGAUAUCAAUUAUUGUUUUCCGUUUAAUUAUAAAUAGAAUGAAGAGAGCGAUGCUCGCUGCACUUUUAUAAGCGACUAAAGUAGUUUCCAUCUUAGAUACAGUUAGAAUCUCCCAUAUCUGUCAAAAUGCCAAAAAAGCUAUUCGCAAAGAAACUCUCAAAAACUGACAUUAAUUAAAUAUAGAAUGGCAGUUCCAAUGGAAAGCCUCUACGCUUUCCAAAUCCCAGAAGGAGAACACUCUAAAGAAUUUGGUGUCACUGGCAUCCAUGGCAAGAGGUGGAGGUUCCGAUGUUGUACAAGAAAAACUGAGUUGAUCACCUUAAACCAGUCAUGUUUUCAGUUUGGAUUGAGUUCGCCAAAAAAAAGGGUUCUCAAAAAAGGUGAUGAAGUCACCUUCUCUGUGCUGGACAUGAAGGGAGCUGAGGAUCUGGAAUUGGGAAUUCAAGCUCGGAAAAGAAUCAAGCUAUUCGGCCAAGAUUUUUGGAGUAAUCCUUUGUGAAGAAGAAGAAGAAGAAGAAGAAGAAGCUACUCCUCGCAUAAGUAUAGAUUUUGUGCACCGAAGAUUGUGUCUGUGAGUAAUAGAGCUGGUUGCCUAUGUACAAUUAGUAUGCUUUGGCAGGAACUUCGUGACUGGUCCUUGGAUAGCUGAGAAAGCCAAGUCUAUGGCAACUUCAGGGGAAUCCAGGAGCAGGAAAAAAAUCAAGGUGAAAGGAUAUGAAUUUGCUAGUGCAACUGCUGCAAAGGAUCUAGGAGACAUAAAUUUGCGAACUAGAGAAGAGUUAAUUUUGAGCUCUGCAUUCUUCUUGCAUGUUCAUCUGUUUCCCGUUGUGGUUGAUCUUAGCAGUUCUCAGUAUAGUAAUUUGCAUUUCCUUCUAGAUCAGAUGAUUAAUGGAUUAUCAGGCAUGGACUGCGAUGUAGUCGGUGCUAGGGAAUCAACAAAGUUAACUCAUUGUAUUUUCAUAAAUUAAAGGGAUUUCUCUUCUUUUCUUUGUCAAUUACAGUGCAUGAUGUAUAAAAGUUUUCUUACUCAGAGUAAAUGCUAUUGUAAUGUUUUCACAGAGACUCCUCUAUUUUGCAACUAAUUCACUUAUAUAUCUUGGAAACAGAAAGGCAAUCAACGAAGAGUAAGGCAUCUUCUGAAGAAACAAAGAAAUUUAAUGCCCUAAACUAAGCAGCAGGUAGAAGGCAAAAACUGAGCUCAAAUUUUCAGUAAGGGACAAACGAAAAAAACCAAAAAGAAAGCAGAGAAAAAUACAGACUCAAAUUCACAACACCCAUUUUCUUUCCAUUGGAACACUUUAAAUAGUUUAUUAAAUUUAUAAUGAUCUGAUUUCUACGCAUAUUACAAAAUCAACUUCAUGAUCAAUUCUCUAUAAUUUCGGCAUUACUAAAAACAUCCAAACUAAUAAACUAUUAGUUAUUUUAGCCAUUUUAAUAAACAUUUUAGUUAUGAAUUCACCAAACAUUUUGAACAAUUCAUAUGGAUGAAUUAACAUGUUAAUUUUAGAUUUUUUAACUUAUUAAUUCCUUCAUGAAUUACUUCUAAAGCAUGUUAUAUAUAUCUAAGCACUUUUAUAUAAUAUAAUUCUAUCAAAUUCACUUUUACCCAAUGUAUAAUAUAAACAUCCAUAAAAAAUAACUUAUAUUGUCAAUGCAAUGAAAUGACUAAAUAACAUUUAAUUAUUAUAAUAGCUUUGUCCUCAUACCUAAGGAAGUAUACUACGUCUUUUUCUCGAUUCUUUGAGUUUGAAAUUAUAUCUUUGAACCCAUUAAUUUAUCUAAAAAAAAAUUUAGGUAAUUGGAUCAAUCCUUGAGGUCAUCAUAUCAUAGGGAUAUAAAUCAAUUAUUUUUAUUAAAAAUAAUUUUUUUUUUAAUAUUUUCAUAUUUAACUUGAAAUCGAUUCAAAUUAAAUUUUAAAUUACAGGUUUUUCAAAUUAACAUGUGUUGGGUUAGGUCUAAUAUAUCUAGAAGAAUUUAUUAAAUUUCUCUAUAAUUAGUCAAUCGAUGAGGGAAUUUAGUUUUAACUAGUUACAUGACCCGCGCGAUGCCACGGGUCAAUUUUGUUUUGCAUAAAAAAUAUCAAAAAAAGCUAAGAUCUAAAAGUGUUAGGUCUUUCUAUAAAGUUAUACCCAAAAGUCUUGGGUUUGGCUACAACGCCUGAUCCAAAAAUAAUAUUUAUAAUAUUAAUAAUAACAUUAAACUUGCAUAUAUCCACGAAUAUGUACAAUAUUUGAAACCUAUAAUGCAAGAAUAGCUGCAGAUGUACAAUAUUUUUAAUUUAAAGAAUCAAUUAAUUAUUUAAAAAACUUGAGGGAUUAAUUUGUUUGUUUUACUCAAAUUUUUAUUGUUUACUUGUAAAUAUUUUGAAAGGCACAACAUGAAAAAAUCAUAUAUGCUUAAGCAACUAUUUGGCAUCUUAAACUUAAUCUCGUAAAUUAAUCUUAAAUCCUUUUUAUUUAACUCUUUCCCAGUAUCAAGUUUAAAAUUAAUCAACAUAAAAGUUGUUUUAAUAUAACUUAGUUAAUUUAAUGGGUUCAAAAUUAAUACAUAUGACAUGAGAUCUACCAGCCAUCAUCUGGCCGGAAACGGGCCGCGAUCGUCGACUGCCACCGAAGCUUCAAGUCGUCGAUUCUCGCUCAUCAGCCAUCAACGGCCGUCAAGACCACCACCAUAAGAAUCCUCGACAUCAGAUCUACCAGGAUCGACCAUCGGUUGGCCAGAAAUCGCGCCGGAAAAUCUCCCCGCCGCCAACAGUAGCCGCGCGUGUGCCACACGCGCCGCCAGUGGCAUUUUUGUAAAUUUUGGAGAAACCCGAGGGUAUUUCAGUCUUUUACCUAUACAGUGGCACUCAGGUAAUUUUUCGGGGUUUCUACUGGUAUUUUUGAUAUUUUUUAUAUAUAAAUGCUUGUAAAUUUUCUUGCAUGUUGUAAAAAAUACAAAAACCAAAGUCGACACGUCUCUUUUUUUAAAAGGACCGAUGUCAAAAAUGUAAAUACCAAAUAUGGCAUAUGUCCAUUAUUUUUUUUUGGUGACCCAGACGUAAUUCUCCUUUUUAGGGUUGAAACGUCAUAUUUUAGACAAGUCUCCUAAUUUUUAGGGACUGAUGUCAUUUUUAACGUGUCUCCUAUUUUUAGGGACCGACGUUAACCAUUUAAAAAAACAAAUUACCAAUAAACCCAAAAUAUAAUGGAUUAUAUCCAUUAUUUCUUUUGGUAACUCAGACGAGUCUCCAAUUUUUAGGGACUGAUGUCAUUUUUAACGUGUCUCCUAUUUUUAGGGACCGACGUUAAUCAUUUACAAAAAUUUACAAAUAAGCCCAAAAUAUAAUAGCAUUUGAAUCAAAUAAAAACACACAAGUAAGGGUAACCUUUCUUUUGAAAGGAUGUUUUAAGGGUGGUGUCUACCUUCCCUUAAUCAUAACUAACCCCGUACCCGAAUCUCUGGGACCAGUGUCUAAUUUGGGAUUUCUAGUUCCCUCAAAUUACUAGAUGGCGACUCCAAUAAAAUCUUUGUUUCCCCCAAUCGAGAAAAAAACCCUUUUUGUUAAACAAACAAAAAAAGCGGGAGCCGUCGCCCGACGUCGUGUAUCGACAAAUGUCUGCAAAUCUUGUGGUCAUAUACAGGGUGCCGGUUUUCUUUCCACGAGCCAAAACCAUUGCUCCCUUUGAUACCUUCCACAUACCUCCAGAAAAAAGGAUUGAAUGACCACUAUCAUCAAGUUGUCCGACCGAGAUCAGCUUCUUCUUUAGAUCAGGAACAUGCCUUACAUUUUGCAAGGUCUAUAUAGAUCCAUUCAUUGUCUUGAUUUGUACAUCUCCUAAACCCACAAUAUCCAAUGGUUGUCCAUCGGCCAGAUAGACUACACCGUGAUCUCCAGCAAUAUAGUUUUGCAUCAUUUCAUGGUGUGGUGUACAGUGAAAUGAAGCACCAGAAUCAAGAACCCAAUCAUCAACAGGACUAUGCACAGCAAGAAUCAAAGCAUCUUGCACCUCAUUUGUGGUAGCGUUUGCAGAGUCAGCUUCAGGUUUUUUCGGUUUUGUGCAAUUCCUCAUGAAAUGACCGGGUUUGCCACAAUUCCAACAUUCAACCUGUUUUCUGGGUCCAAACUUGCUUUUACUUCUAUAUCUUGAUUUUGAUCUGCCUCUGGAUAAGCCUCUAUCAUGUCUCCUCCCUCGAGUGUUGAUGUUGAGAGCUGAUCCUGAGCUUGAACUUUCACCCGAGUCUUUCCUUCGCACUUCUUCAGCCAAAAUCAAGUCUCGAAUGUCAUCAUACUUCAGUUUGGAUUUUCCAGCUGAAUUGCUCACGGCUGUCCUCAUGCCUUCCCAACUGCUUGGAAGUGAAGCUAGCAAGAUGAGUGCACGAAUCUCAUCAUCAAACUCAAUCUCAACAGAUGAUAAUUGAUUUGUGAUGGUAUUAAAGUUAUUGAGGUGUUGUGUCACAGAAGUGUUUUCGACCAUCUUCAAGUUGAACAACUUUUUCAUCAGGUGCACUUUAUUAUUUGCUGAUGGCUUCUCAUACAUCCCAGACAAGGCUUCCAUCAAUCUUGCAGUGGAUCUUUCUUUCGUAACAUUGUGAGCAACUCUUCUUGAUAAGGAUAACCGGACAAUGCCCAGAACUUGUCUAUCAAGAAGUAGCCAAUCUUCUUCUUGCAUAUUUUCUGGUUUGCUCCCCAACAAGGGAAGAUGAAGUUUCUUCCCAUAUAGAUAAUCCUCAAUUUGCAUUUUCCAGUAUCCAAAAUCUGUCCCGUCAAAUUUUUCAAUUCCAGCUGCUUUUAUUUCAUCUGCCAUUUUUACUGCUUCUCCGAUUCGAAUUUCCCAAAUCUGACCUUACAGAUGUGUCCGGAACAGCCGAAAACCUUGGAAAUGACACUGAGAUAACCCCAAUCGGACUUCGGAUGGCUCAGAUUUUAGCAAUCAAAGUUUUGGAUUAACGGACGGUGCAGAUGCAGCCGCGUGUCAACCAGAGUACCGCCUGCGUCGCACCGGAUCAAAACCUCAGUAGCGGUUCUGAUGAAGCCACGUGUCAGCAGAUUAGGUCCUGCGUCACACCGUAUCAAAACUCAGUAACGGUUAUGAUGAAGCCACGUGUCAGCAGAUGAUGGCCUGAGUCACACUGGAUCAAUACUCAAUAGUGGUCCUGAUUUAACCACGUGUCAACUGAUUGGAUCUUGCGUCGUACUGGAUCAAAACCCCUCAACGGUUGUGAUGUAGCCACGUGUCAGAAUAUCAGCUUCUGCGACACAUCGGAACAAAACUCAGAGAUGACGUGGCAGGUGACGUGGCAGGUGACGCGGACGGUGACCGUACGGCUGUGCUGACGUGGCGGGUCAGCCCGACCCGUUUUGCAGAAGUCGGGCGAAGAUGGAGCGUGGCGCGCGUACGGCGCGUUGGUGCGCGUGGGCAGUCUGGGCGUCGGCGCGUGUUGGCGCGUGCGGGCAUGCAGGACGUCGGUUCUUCGCCGGGUUUUCAACAGUGGAUUCGUCCGGUUGUCCUCUACACGAUGGUAUGUUCAAAAACACGUUUUGAGAACUUUGAUUUUUGAGUUUGGAUCAAACACCCUCUUUGUCAAGAACAAGCUCUGAUACCAGUUGUUGGGUAAUUCCAGAACUCAAACACACAUCAAUUUACGUGGUUCGGCAACUUGCCUACUCCACGGAGCUACUGGUUUGUAUUAAUCAAGCUUAGAAACAAUACAAACAACAAAACAAGGAGGAGGAGAAAAUCUUCUCUACUCAACUCAAGCUCUCUCUCUCUCACGUUUUUCUCUCUGUGUUUUCACUCUUCUCUGUGUUCUUCACGCUUCAACCCUCCAGCUCUUCACUGAGCAUACAUAUAUAUUAAGCUAGGAGUGAAGGGCAUAAAUCAUGCCAUGAUUUAUGCCCACCGUUUGCCUCCACUUGUGCUAAGUGGAGAUUAGGUAUUCCCACUAAGCACAUAGUGGAGGUGGGACAUUGCUUGUCUCCAAAUAGCUAACAUAACUGAGGUGGGGUCGCCCUUGAAACAUUGGUAGAUGUAAGUGUUGCUCACAUGCAUAGAAUAUUUUUUUUCUACUUAGUAGUGGUUUUGGCAAUUUUUUUCAGACAAGUCUUGAGAGUUGAAAGAGUAAUCACACCCGAGUCAACCAACAAUCCAAAUCAGCUCCCUUCCUAAUGGUUCAGGAAUGAGAAGUCCAGCUUAUAUAUUUGAUAUAGAGACGGUACACUACAAAUUAAGCACCCAAUAACUAGACAAACAAUCAUGAUAAACUAGGAACAAUUGUCUUCCCAGUAACAAAUUCACCUUCUCACGUUGGAGAACUUGCGAAAACUAGCCACCACAAAAUAGUAGCAAGUAUUUAUGCAGUCUUCGAUGAAGUACGACCACCUGCGUCGCCAAUAUGGAUUGAUGUAAAGAACUGCUGCAAUCGUCAUUACCACAACUGUGUAACAUACACCGAAGCUGAUGUAGAAAAACUCCAUGUCUAUGAAACCAUCAUCUCCUUGUUCAUCAUUAGGCACUGGCUGUAACGGCACUGCUUCCUCACUACAAUUGUUUCGCAAUGGAGGUCCACACAAGAAAGGAUUUCCUUCGUAACAGUUUUCAUCAUCAAAGGUCCCAAAUUGAUAUUUUCUCUCGGGUGUCCUACCUGACAAGUUAUUGUACGCCACACUAAAAACUUCCAGUGUGGUAAUUUCAGUAAGUUGUGGAGGGAUGGCACCAUUCAAGUUGUUGUAAGAAAGAUCCAAACUCUCAAUCUGCUUUAGGUUUGAGAAUGUUGCAGGGAUAGAUCCAGUGAGAUUGUUGUGUGAUAAGUUUAAUGACAGUAUCUUACUCAAGUUUCCAAAUUCUGGUGGGAUUGCUCCUACAAAGUUGUUAUUGGAGAGAUCAAUACCAUACAUGUAGCUCAGAACUUUCCCCUUGUAACCAUAAUACAUAUUUUUAGUUGUAAAUUCUAUCACUUCUUCUGUAAAGUUAACCCAAAAAUCCUUUCCCAAGUUGUACAUACUAUCCCCUAGUGGUGGACCCAUUGUUUCAUAAUAAGCUUUUUCUAUGGACCAUGACGGAAAACCAUAUCCGAGAUCCGCGAGCGUUUUCUGGGAACUUUCCUUGAGAGUUAGAUUGCCCAAACAUGAGGGUAGUGGACCAGAGAGCUGGUUUUGUGAAACAUCCAAAAUACUUAAUUGUUCUAACAAGCAUAACUGAACAGCGAGCUCACCAUCAAAGUUAUUAGCCCUCAGAAGAAGAACACUCAAUGAUGAAAGAUUGCCAAUCCAAUUUGGAAUAGAGCCAAUGAAGCUGUUGUCUCGAAGAUCCAUCGUAACUAGGGAAGAGCUGUUAUAAAAACCAUAUGUUAAUGGACCGCUCAAUCUAUUUUUGGAUAGAUGAAUAUGGGUUAUUUGUGGUGGAUUGAAACAAGAUGGCAUAUAUCCAGACAAGUAGUUAUCAGAAAGGUCCAAAAAUUCAAGCCGGUCAAGCUUACAAAAGUCUCUUGGGAUUGGACCCUUAAAAAGGUUUUUGGACAAAUCAAGUACUUCAUCGUACGUAAAAUUAAAAAAGCUUCUUGGAAGCAUGCCUGAAAAUUGAUUGUUACUCAAAUCCAAUACACUCCAUACUUUCCACCCAUAUAAUGGAAAAUCUGAUAUCUGACCCCAAAAGUAGUUACCACCUAGGUAGAGAUAUUGUGAGAUAGAAGAAUUGAACACCGAGGUCGGUAUUUGCCCACCCAAACUAUUGUUUGACAGCUUGAGAACCUGUAUUGUUGUUAAUUGUUCUAGUUUUACUGUAGACAAUUGAUUGUUGGAUAAAUCUAAAAAUGAAAGAGAGCUAAAAUUUCCUAAACAAGAAGGAAUAUAACCUGUGAAUCCAUUGUCAGCCAUCCUUAAGAUCCACAGAUUUGGAAAGAUCAAACAAAUAUCUUUUGGAAUUUGACCAUUUAUGUUGUUGUUGGAUAUAUCUAAUUCGGUCAUAUUCGGAUAUGGGUGAUCUAGCAAUUGCAAAGUACCAACAAAGGAGUUCUCGCUCAGAUAUAGUUGCUCCAUUCGUGUAUUGUUCUUAAGCAACCAUGAUGGAAACAUUCCGAAGAUGUUGUUGUGGGAGAGAUCAAGGGUUCUUAAGUCGUAUUGGUAAUAGAGGAAGUCGAGAAUUUCUACAUUGAGUGCUUCCGAUGUUGGACUACUUGACAAGCGGAAAAAGACUAGUUGGAACUUUGGAAUCAAAUUAUCAAAGGCAGCAGAUUCCGUUACUAGUCUGUUGUUCUCACUGGAGAAGAACUUGAGGCUUGAGUGGUUCAUAAAAGGCUUCAUUGAAAUGGGAACUUCAAAGAGGUUAUUUGAUAGUGAGAGGAAUUCAAGGGAUAUGAGCUUGGUAAGAGGACCAAAUGCAAUAUUUCCAGUAAACUGGUUAUCAGAAACAUCUAAUAGUUGUAGAGAUGACAAGUUCCCCAAACAAUCUGGGAGUGCACCUCCAAAAUUAUUUCUAGCGAGAUCUAACUGCUUCAGAUUCUUCAAUUCACACCAACCUAUACAAUUUAUCUUGAAACAAUCAAAACAAUGUUGAAAGAAUCUUUUAUUGAUGAUGUAAUUAUAGGCGGAUGGAGAGUUGUUAAUUUACCUUGAGCGGGUAGGGUGCCAUGGAGGUCACAUUCAGCAACAGACAAAACUUUAAGAGCAGGCAAUGCUCCAGUGUUCUGGAGAAAGUUUAUUGGGAGAGAAGUAUUAUCUAGAUGCAAUUCUUCAAGGGUGCUAGAAUUGAAGAAAGUCCCUGUGAAAAAGAAAGAAGAAGAGAUAUGAUGAAAAUAGUGGUGGUACAGAAUAGCCAUUCCAUUCAAUAUUAUUAAUUAAGAUUUUAAGAAACUAAACUAUGAUUAACCUUGACUUAAAUUAGUAUCCUUGAGAGAAAGGGUCUUCAGCGAUGGCCAUGAACGCAAUGACUGCAGGAUGUCCAGAUUCCUUAAACCUAUGAUAUUUGGAUAGAAACAACAAAUUGCUUGAAGAAUCUAGAGAUUUCAAAAGGUAUUGUUAAGAAAUGAAGUAAAUAAUAGAAGAUGCCAAGAGAUAUUCAUAACUUUACCAUUGAUAGUCGUCGAUCCUAGCAACAUAUUGCCUGAUAAAUUUAAAGACUUGAGAUGAGAAAGUCCACGCAGAUGUGAUAAAAUGCUGUCAUUGAAUAUAUUAUUAUGGCUCAGGUCCAGGUUCUCGAGUUUCCCCAAAUGUGAUGAUAUGAUCUCAAAACCUGCAAGAGUAAGUCGUUAAAGUCGUUAUAUAAAAUAUAAUUCUAAUUUUGAUCUUAUUGGAAAUAUUACGAAACAAUUUUUAAAUAUCAUUCUAGUUUCGAUCUUAUUGGAGAAAAAAAAACAAUUUAUGGAUAUAAAGUCGAUAAAGAUGGAAGCUAAGUUAUGGAUAGACUUACAAAACAAGAUAAAGAAACUUAUAAUUAAGAUCUCAUCGGUAAUUAAAACAAGAAUAAUAAUCGAUCCUAGAUAGCAACAUAUUGUCCAAAUAUUUCACCAUAAAAUCACCCAUCACCAUUCACCACGACCAUAAGGCAAAAUCCUCCACCACAUAAUAAUAUUUUGAUUAAAAAAAGGUCCAAAAUAAUAUAAAACCAUGAUUAAAAAGGAGAGGAAAUAAUAAAUGGCUACAAACAAGAAUUAAAUAUCAUAUAUGUGGGUUUUAUGUUGUUCUCUUUAUUGAUAAAACAGUCGAGAGUUUUUCUAAUAGAGAAAUUGGCUGUCGAGAGUGAUUUGUAUUGGAUAGUUUUUUUGAUAGUUUUUAUUAAAUAGAUAUAAAGUCCUCAUUUUUGUUGAUAAAGAAACAAUAUAAUUAAGAGAAUGUCAUGUGAAGCAUUUAGGUAGGUAGAAACUGUGUAUUAUACCUGAUCCUGUCAGCUGAUUGCCUGACAGAUACAAAGAUUUUAGGGAUGAAAACCCAGUUAGAGAUGGAAAAAUGCUAUCGUUGCAUUGAAUCUCACUUAGAUGAAGGUUCUCCAGCUUUUUCAACCUUGAUGACAAGUCUUUGAGACCUGCAUGAUGUUCCUCAAUAGCAUAUUGGAAGGAAAUAAACGCAUAGAAAAAAAAUGAUAUGAGAAGGAGAAAAGAAAAGGUUUCAAAGCUAAAUAAUUAAAAGGUUACCAUAGAAGCUACCUCCUAAUCCAGCUGUCAACCCAUCGGUAAUUAAAACAAGAAUAAUAAUCGUUAAAUAUCAUUCUAAUAAUAAUCCAUGGCAAGUUCAAAUCCGUUGGUAACUGAAUUCCUCUAUCUAUUUAGUUAGUAAGAUGCUUAGUUGUCACUAAUUUAGUAAUUAUAAUUUGUUCCUCUGUUUUCUAGCAACUACUUUCCCAAUUUUAUCCAUUCACCACGACCGUAAGGCAAUAUCCUCCACCACAGAAUAAUAUUUUGAUUAAAAAAAGGUACAAAACCCAUUAUUAAAAAGAGAGGAAAUAAUAAAUGGCUACAAACCGAAAACCGGUCCAAUAUGUGGGUUUUAUUUAAAAAGAUAAAUAUAAAAUAUAUAUUUAUAGGAGAGUUUUGAAGUGAACUUCUGAUUACUAAUUUAAUCUAAAUAUUACAACACUUUUGGCAUAAAAGGGCUAAAAUAAGAAUAAAAUAUAUGCCUCUUGGACCUAAUUCCAAGUGCCUCUUUUCUUGAUAUAAAGUCCUCAUUUUUGUUGAUAAAGAAACAAUAUAAUUAAGAGAAUGUCAUGUUAAGCAUUUAGGUAGAAACUGUGUAUUAUACCUGAUCCUGUCAGCUGAUUGCCUGACAGAUACAAAGACUUGAGGGAUGAAAAUCCAGUUAGAGAUGGAAAAAUGCUAUCGUUGUAUUGAUUCUCUCUUAGAAGAAGGUUCUCCAGCUUUUUCAACCUUGAUGACAAGACUUUGAGACCUGCAUGAUGUUCCUCAAUAGCAUAGAAAUGAUAUGAGAAGGAGAAAAGAAAAGGUUUCGAAGCUAAAUAAUUAAAAGGUUACCACAGAAGCUACCUCCUGAUCCAGCUGUCAACCCAUUGAAUGAUAGAUCCAAAGACUUGAGAGUGGAAAGGUUACCAUUGAAACAUGACAAAAUGCUUUUAUCAUUAGUAAAUUUGUUAACACGUAGGUCAAGAUUGCUCAGUUUUGAUGAUAGGACUUCGAAGCCUGGGAAGAGAAUCAUCAAAGCAAGAUAAUUGACAUUAAACACCAACCAACCAACCUUCAUUUAUUUUAUGAUUAUAAUUAAGUGCAGAAACAUUGAACUAACCUUCAUUCUCCAUGCAACCAACCAAUCCAGUACCUCCCAAAUCAAGACCUCGCAAUUCUUUGAAAGGCUGAAACAAAGAUGCGUUGAGAACCCAAUCGCCCAAGUGGAAAUCCCUUGCCCCCCAAAGAGAGAGUUGGAUCACUCGCCUUGUAGUGUUAUCACACUCGAUCCCACGCCACUCACAACAAUUACUAUUGGUGUCCACCCAAUGAUCUCUCCAGGAAACGCCAUGUGGGUUGAUCAAAGAUUGGAUCUCCAAGAGACCAAUCCUCUCCUCCUCCAAACACCCAUAACAACGACCAUGCCAUUCGCCAACCAAAGUGAAUAAUGCUAGCAACAUCCAAGCCCCAAUUCUUUUCAUCAUCAUCUUAGAUAAUUCUAUGAACUGCUACGUAGAAUAUUGUUGUUUGUUAUGUGCCUUUGGGCAACCAUAGAGGUCCUAUUUAUACUACACUCUGGCCAUUUCCAUGACUUUGAGAUGUUUUCUUUAUUUCAUUUCUUUUUGGAAUAUUUUUGGAUUUGAAUAUUAUUCUAUUUUAUUGUCUAGCACUUAGUCUAUUUGCCAGGUUGGGAAAAAUAUUCAAAUUAGUUUUGUUGGCAUGUAAACCUCACCAAAUAAUUUGCGUAGACCGUAUUGACUGGGAGUCAAUUAUUGUCGUAGUGCUUUUAUGCACGAUCUGUGUGCGUGAACGGAAAGAAAAGCAGGGUGUGAAAAGCAUUAAAGGUUGUGAACGCGGAUGCUUGACUUGCUGUGUACCAUUUUGAUUUUUAAACACGGCCAUGCAGUCAUUUCCUGGCGAUUUCCUUAUGCAUACUGGUGGUCUUUCAUAAUCUUUUUCCAAACAAUCCUCGUUAGGCCGGCUCGGGGGUUAACUUAGAGUAAGGCAUCGUUUGACAUUGCGUUUGUAACUGCGUUUUAUUAAAUUUUGAAUUUUUUAUUUUUGCUAAAAUUAAGUGUAGCUUGUACUUUUUGGAUCUUUUUGAUGUGCUGAUGUUAAAAAUAAUUUUUAAAAAAUAAAAAAAUAUCAUUAGCAUGUAUUUCGGCACGAAAAGCUAUUUGAAAAGUACCCGCAACCACACUGCCAAACACGCUCUAAGAUUUGUAUCAUCGUUUUUUAUCAGAUUCAAGAUCAACUUGGAUCAAUCUUAAUUUUAUGCUAUUGUUUUUUAUAUAUAAACAUAAAUAAAAAUCCAGAUCUCUUUUAUAAUCUUAAAGGUAGUAUAUUAAUAGUAGAACCAUUAUCUAUCCAGAUACAAUUCAUCAUCUUUUCAUCGACAUAUCUUUUAAUUAAGAAAAGCUGUUUAUAGAGUUUUAAUCUAAGCAAUAGGUUUUCAUCGUUAAAGGAUACCUAUGUGGUGCUAAGUUCUUCUAAAGUUGGAGAACUUAUGAAAAUUAAUGCAAGGCUUCAACACUCCGAAGCCUGCAAGAGAAAUAUCAAAGCAAAAUAAGUAGCGUUAAACAGCAGCCAUUUCUUCAUUUUUAAUUUUAGUAUAACACAAUAAUAUGAACCAACCUUGAUUCUCAAAGGCACCCAACUAAUUCAUUAGCCUUCAAAUCAAGACUUUGCAAUUCCUUAAAAGGCAGAAACAAAGAUGCGUUGAGAACCCAAUCGCCCAAGCGGAAAUCCCCAGUACCCCUAAGAGAGAGCCGGAUCACUCGUCUUUCGGUGGUAUCACACACGAUCCUAGACCACACACAACAAUUACUGCCCAGGUAUUUCGACAGUUAUGGCUUGUGUGGGUUUUGGUUCACGAUGGAGAUGAUGGAUACAAUGAUGUAUUUCGACAACAAAAUUUUCAGUUCUUGUGAAUGGCUCUCCAACUAAAGAGUUCUUUAUGGAAAAGCGAUUGCGACAAGGGGACUCUUUAUCAACAUCUCUAUUCAACAUAGCAACUGAGGGUCUUGGUAGAAUGCUAAAAUUAAAAGGAGAUGUGAUUUGGGACUUAUAAAAGGUAUUUGUUUUGAUCACUUUCAAGUUUGUAGAUGAUACACUCAUCUUCAGUUCAUAUGAUUAUCCAUCUCUUCAAAAGAUCAAAAGAACUAUGUGAUGUUUUGAGUUGAUUCCUAGGCUGAAGGUUAAUUUCCACAAGAGCUCAAUCACUAGAACUAGAACUAGAAUUGAUGAUGUUGUUAUUUCUUCAACUGCUAGCAAUCUAAUAUGUAGGAUGGAGGGGAUGCCAUUUAAGUAUUUGGGUCUGCCUAUUUAUGCAUCUUCAUCUCAUACAUCCGUUUGGAAAACUAUUGCUUGAUUAACUCAAUUAUAAAUAACCUUUCUUUAUUUCCUAUCCCAUCCACUGUUGCUACCAAAAUUGAGAAACAUAUCAUAUCUUUCUUUGGUUCUCAGGAGGAAGGAGGGAAAAAACUAUGCAAUGUUAAAUGGGCAUCAGUGGUUCCUCCAAAAAAACAAAAAAGGUGGGUAUAGACUGCAUUAUUGAUAAAAAUAAAGCCUUGUUUUUCAAAUGGCUAUGGAGGUUUGGGAGGUCUAAUACAAGACUAUGAAAAGAUGUUAUCUACAACAUCCACAACCAAAAAGCGUAUUUGAACAUGCCUUUAGUUUGUGUUAAUUUAAAGGGUAGUACAUGGUCCAGGAAUGUCGUUACUUUUUAUAAGAACGAGGGACUUCAAAAUAUUGCCAAGAAAGAAGUUUGUGGUUUGGUUGGCAAUGGUAGAGAUAUUAACUUAUGGAAUGAUGUCUGGCUGAUAGAUUCUUGUCUUGCAGUUCAAUUUCCUAGACUUUAUAGUCCACCUGAAGAUCAUGUCUCCCCUGUAGCUACUGCAGCAGUAAAAGCUUCUAUCCAACCAGCCAGUGUGAGGCCUUCCCCUGUUGCUAGCAAUGUAGCUUCUUCAAGUAGCUAAAGUUCUGCUUCAAUAAAUGCCACGACAUCAGCAAUAACUGGUGCUACAACAAUGAGCUUCAACUACCCAAACUUCCCUGGCAAAAUUGCAGAAUGGUGCGUACGAGAUUCUAAUCCCUGAACAUGUUGGGGGCCACGAUAGCCUACAGAGGAACCCAUCCUCAGGCUAUGCCUUUCUUCAAUGGAUCAAUUCUAUUCUUCUUGAAUGUUUCAUCCUUCAUAGCUUCAGCGACAGCAACAACCAUUCAUACAGACACAACAAAGCCAACAGGGUCAUCAAAAUCCAAGUAUUUCUAGUGGCUCCUCGUCAUCCCAGAAGCAUUUGCUGAAUUAGGUGGAAUCAGCAGCGGUCAUCAAGAUCCAACCAUUUACAGAAUCAUCAGCAGAAUCAUUCCCUGCCGAACUAGCAGCGGCAGCUGAUGCAAAAUCAGAAUGUUACUCACAAACACCUCCUCCUUUUGCAAUGUCAUUUGCUCCAUCAACGGAACCACAACUUCCCCAGGUCUUGAUGUUUCAUUGCUGGUACAGAAUCAUGCUCUUCUCCAAAGCCCUCCAGAGGCAGCAAGUCAUGGCUAUCACUUCAUCACUGCGGCCCAAGCAACACAGCAGACGAAUUACCGUGUGCCUGAAGAAGGGAAAAAUGGAGGAAAUGACACUUCAAAUAUGGAAGGAGAGAGAAAGGCCGAUAUGGUUGGAGGACAGACCCCAUUAACUGGUGGGCAGUCAAUUGUGUUCUCUCGGCUAGAUUUUGUGUUCUCUCGGCUAGAUUUAACAGACUCCUCUGUUUCAACAAUGCCUGUGAACAAUGUUGUUGAUAGCUCAGCCCGAACUCUUAACCUUGGGUCCACUCUUGCUCGGACCUCAAGCCCUGUUAUGUCAGCUACUAUUGGCAGUGUAAAUGCACCAAGUAUACAACAACAGAUGCAGUGGAAUCAGCAGCAGCAGCAACGAAGUCAGCAAAUCCUUCAACUUCAGAAGCGUCAACAAUUUGCAGCUGCAGCUUCCACUCGAAGUGAAACACCAACAACUAGUAAUGGAAGUGUUUAUUCGGACCACAUCUCAUCAUCAUCAUCUAUGGGCACCAAGUUACCUAAUGCACUUUUGCAUUUCCUCAAAAUCUUGUUCAAAGCGGCAGUAGCAGCAGCAGUUAACAAAGCAUGCACUGCAACAGGCUCAACUAAUCUACGCUAAUGCUUUUAUGCAAGCUCAAGCUCAAGCUCAAGCUCAACAUGUGGCAAAUUCAACAAGCUUUGCAUCAACAGCUAGUGGGUUUCAUCUGCAAAGACAUCGCAAUGAGCAGCAACCGCAAUGCAUCGGCAACCUCUUCUACAAGGAUGUUGUUGUUAUGUCAUCCGAUCAUGUAAAUUUUUGUGACUCCCAACCUCCUAGCAACCACGAGAGGAUGUUUCCAGUUUUUUUUUUCAACAGCUAAUGCUUAGAUAACAAAAAUAGAGGAAUAACUGAUAGAGCUCCAGCAUUCGAGCAGAGUUUAAUAAAAAAAUAUAAAGUAAGGUUAGAUGCGUGAGCCUUGUUUUGUAAAUUUUUAUUUGAAUUUUAAUAAUUGUUUUUAAUUGUUAUGUAUAUGAAUAAAAAUUUGUUCAUGAAAUUUCAAUUUAAAUCACUUUUUUAAUCUUAGAAUUUUAAAAUAUAUUUUGAGCAUGAUUUUAUUAUAUUUAUGAUUUAUUUUAACUUUCAAUCACACAUAAAAAUAUAAACAUACUAUUUUGAUUUUUUUUUAAUUUGUUCUGACAAUUAUAGAAUAUUCUUUUAAUAUAAAAAAUGAUUCUAGUUAAGAAAAAAACUUGUAUAUUCACCAAGAUAAAACAAGAAAUAUGCUAAUAAAAUUUUUUAUCUUGAUAGAGAAAAAUUCAAAACGACUGUAUUUUCAAGUUUAAUAACAAUGUCAAGGAGUCCCUUAGACUGGGAUAUUUUGUUUUACAUUUAAAGUUUUUUUGAUCUCCAUAGCAUAGCACUAGCAUACAAACUUGUAUAUUUUUAAGGCAGCGUUUAGUUACUAUCCGAGACAGUAGAGACAGAGACAAUGGAGACAGAGGAGACAAUACAUAAAAGAAGAUGGAGAUAGAAUUGUGUUCACUAAUAAUAUAUAAGACAAAGUGAUUGUUUUUGUAUCAUAUUUGAUUAUGAUAGACAAGAAAGAAUAAAAUAUAAAAAAAAUAUUUUACCUUUAAUAUGUAUUGUUGUCAAACUUACAUGUUUUAAAAAAUAAUUAGUUUUAUUUUUUUACUUUAGUUUUAUAUUGAGUAUUGAAAUUAUUAAUAUUAUAAUAACCCUAGUAUUAAAACCAGGAUUAACUUGACAGGUUGACCCGAGGCCUAUACUGGUCUAAGUUUCAGAAAAAUAGAAGAAUGAUUAACUCGACCUAACCUAGUAAAAAACAUGAGUCAACUUAAGAUAAAACACGGGUCAAAACCCAUUAAAUAUUUUGAAAAAGAAAAUUGUUCAAAACAAGGUUUCUUUGACUAUUUGUUUUUAAAAAAAAUUAGGUCGAUCGGGUUAACCUUCUCUUGGAUUAACUCCUGAGUUGAGUUUUAAAACUAUGAUAAUAAUCAUUUUUAUCCAUACAUUAACUCAGGUCAAUCUGUGUUGACCCUCUCGACCCAUGACCUAGGCCUUGCUUCUGUCGACUCCCGAGUCGGAUUUUAAAAUUAUAAUAAUAAUAAUUUUUAUCCUUACAUUAAUUUGGGUCAACUCUCUUAAUUCGUAACCCAAGCAUUGCCCCAAGUUGACUAUCGAAUUAAAUUUUAAAACUAUGAUAAUAACCAUCUUUAUUUUAUGUUGACUCGGGUCAAUCUAGAUUAACUCAUCUAACACAUGACCCAAGUUUUAUCCCGAGUCGAUCCCUGAUUUGGGUUUUAAAACUAUGAUACUAAUUAUUUUUAUCAUUACAUUAACCUAAGUCAAUGAUCAACCCCACUCGUUACCCAAGAAUUGCCCAGGUCGACCCCCAAAUCGAGUUUUAAAAUAUGAUAAUAACUAUUUUUAUUCUUCUACUGACACAGGUCAACUCGACUCAUGACUCAAGCCUCAACCAGUGACCCAGAAUUUGCCCCGGAUCGACCCCCAAGUUGAAUUUUAAAACCAUGAAAAUAAUCAUUUUUACAUUUAUAUGUCUUAGUUGGACAAUUUGAAAUUGAGAGUUUUUUUAUAAAAAUAUUUUAGGAAUAAAAAAUAAUAAAUAUUAUCUCUAGAGACAUGUCUCCUCUAUACCUUACGUUUUGGAAGCACAAAAAUUCACUCCAAAAUUAUUCUAGAAACAAAUUUAUUUUUAUGUAUUUGUCUUUGUCUCUUCAACCAAAUAUAUUUAUAUCUUUAUUGUUUUUAUCCUUUCUAUUAUAGGACAAUGACCAAACAUUACCUAAAGGAUAUACAACUGACAAGGAUGAACUUGGCUUUAUUUCAUCUUUGAUAAUUUCUUCUCGAUGAUAUCUCACCGAUUUGUGGAGGCAAUUGAUCAAAACCUAGUUGAUUCAAAGGUUGACUUUGAAAAAAUAUAUUCAUAGAGUAAUGUUUGAAUCUUGGUGUUUUUUAUUGGCUCAAAAAAAUUACCAACUCACCAAAACCUGUAUGAAACAUUUAGAUUUAAUAUUAUAUGUAUAAUUUAUUAUAAUAAUUGAUAUACUAUUCAACUCAGUAACUUAGUAGGAUGACCUAUAACCUGCUGAUCUAAGAUUUUAGCCGAAUCAAGCUUUAAGCUAGAUAUAAUGACUAUGAUUUUAUAAAAUUACUAUGAACUUCCCUUUUAUGUCUUCUUAUUUACUCAUUUGAUAUUUUUUUUUAUGAAGUUAAGAUGUUCACAUUUAUAUCAUGAUUAAACUCUAGGGUAACAUUUAGUUAUUAUCUUGGGAUAAAAAGAAUAAAGAUAGUAAAGACAAAAAUAUGUUUGGUUGAAAAGAUAUAGAUAUAAAAAUAAUUUUUUUCAUGGGAUAAUUUUAGAGUGAAUUUAUAUAUUUUCAUAACAGAAAAUACAAAUAAGACAUAUCUUCAUAAACAAUAUUAUUUUUUAUUCCUAAAAUAUCAUUGUAAAAAACUUUCAAUUCCAAAAUUGUCCAAUUAAGAUAUGUAAAAAUAAAAAUAGUUAUUAUCGUAGUCUUAAAACCCAACUUGGGGGUUGACUUGUAGAAAGAUAUGUGAUCUUUGUUGACCCAAGUCAAGGUAAAAAUAAAAAUAGCUAUUAUCAUAGUUGUAAAAUCUAACUUGAGGGUCGACCUGGGACAAGGCACGGGUCAUUGUUUGGGUUGACCAUUGACCCAAGUCAACAAAAAAAUAAAAGUGGUUAUUAUUGUAAUUUUAAAACUUAACUUGGAGGUCGACUCAAGGCAAGGCCCGGGUCAUGGGUCAGGAGGGUUAACUCUGGUGGAACCGGGUUAAUGUAAGGAUAAAAGUGGUUAUUACAAUAGUUUUAAAACUCGACUUAGAGAUCGACCUGAGGUAAGCUCAGGUCUUGGGCUAGGAGGGUUAAUGCAUGGAUAAAAAUAAUUAUUAUCAUAAUUUGAAAACUUGAUUCAAGAGUCGACCCGAGACAAAGCCUAGGUUAUGGGUUGGGAGGGUCAACCCGAGUUGACCCAAUUUUUUUUUAAAAAAAAAGAAUCAACACAACCUUGUUUUGACCAAUUUUUUUUAAAAAUAACAGGUUUUGCCCCGUGUUUUAUCCCGAGUCGACCCGUGUUUUAUCCCGAAUCAACUCGGUUUUUUAACUCACCUAUCUUUUCUUAAACUUAAAAUUAAUCCGGGCUUAGAGACAACUAGAUCCCGAAUAGAUUCACUAGGUCAGUCUAGGUUAUAUAACUAGGAUUAUUAUAAUAUUAUUAAUUUCAACACUUAAUAUAAACUAAAGUAAAAAAAAGUUCUAAUUAUUUGUAUAAAUAUGUAAGUUUACCAAUAAUACAUAUUAAAGGUAAAAUAAUUUUUUUAUAUAUUUUUUUUAUCAUUAUCAAAUAAGAUAUAGAGACAGUUACCGCCAAACAUAAUUUUAUUUUCAUCUCCUUUUCUAUCUUUUUUUUCUUUAUUUUCAUGGUCUUCUUUUUUAUUCAUAACAGUAACCAAAUAUUGGCUAGUUAUAACAUAUAGAAACAUACAAGUUGUCAUGUUCAAGCCGUUCUCUUAUCAUUUUAAAUAAAUUGAAACACAAUUGCGAGGAGAAGAGUGUGUUUUGUAUUGUGUUAGCUUUUGUGGUUGUGGUUUGAAAAUUGUUGUUUUAUAAAAAAUACUUUUAGUUGAGGUUGGUUUGAUAUUUAUAUAUGUUUAGUUAAAAUUGUGGUUGAAAUUGAGGUUGAACAAAAAGUAAUUUAAUGUGUUUGGUUAAGAAUGCUUUUCAAAUCGAGGUUAUAAAAUAAUUAAAAAAGAUAUAUAUUAAUAUUGAUAGUUUUUAAUUUAAAUAUUGUAGAUUUAACUACUGCUAUUACAUCAUGAAAUAAAUAAUACUUUAUAUAAAAUAUUUUUUUAUUGUUCCAUUAAACUAUCUACAAUUCCAUCACAUACGAAAUUCAUUCGACAAGGACUACAGUUUUCUUGGUUUCUUAAGCGCACAACAAUAUCAAGUAAAAUAUAAUCAGGAACAAAAUUAGGAUUGCGAUCAAAUUCUGCAAAUGCUAUGUCAUCAAGCAAUCUCCUUAUAAUUUAUGUAGUGUUAUUGAAUAAUGCUAAACACUAGUUUUUCAAAUAAAACAUAAUUAAAAAUAAAAAAAAAUUGAUUUUUUUUUAUUUUACUGGGUCAGACCCGGUUCAAUGCAUUUAGCUUUGAAUCGGACCCAGUCCGGCCAGAAUAGUAGAGACAUUCUAAGCAACUUCAAGUGAGUCUCGUAAACAGUAAAUAACGUACCAAACAAUUAUUUUUAGUAAAGCAGAAGCAACCGAAGAAGAAGAAGAAGACAUGUGAUUACGGUGCCAUGCAGCAUUUUGACAUUAUGAGUAUUUUGAUGUAUAUCCAUUAAUUUAUAAUAUACAAGUAUAUUUCCAUGUUUCUUUUAUUUUGAUAGAACAUUUUUCCAAUAGAAUUUGUUUUUAUUGGAAUUCCAUAUUGAAUGGAUGUCAAUUGAAACUAAAAAUGUGUUAGAUAAGAGCAUACUAAUAUAAAUACCAAAUAAUGUUUAAUUAGAUUGAAUUGAACUAGACACCAUAUGUUUUUAUUCUAUGUUUGGUGCACUAAAGAUAAGAUCAAAUAAUUUUGUUUUUAUCAUUGAGAUAUUUUCAAUCAUUUAUUUUAGUCUUUGCAUUUUAUUUUUAUGAUAUUUUAGUCCUUACUAGAAUUUCUUUGUCAUCUAGAACAAUCUAGUUCUUAAAUCAAAAAGUUUUUGCAAUUAAACUCUUACAUGUACAUAUUUAUUUUAAUAAAAUUGGUCAAAUUUUGGUUUUCCAAAUUAAAAAAUAAAUAAGUGAUAAAUAAAUAAUAGAUAAUAUAAAAAUUAAGAAAAAAUAAUUUUUGUACAAAUUUUUUGUCCAAUCCUUGUCAUGUCCAAAGUGUAUAUCAAACAUUUUAUAGCUUGCCAUGUGCAACAAAUAUAUCACAACUUGUUUUUAUUGUAUUCUAUUAUGAUCUGUUUUGUGCCUUAUAUUAUUUAAUAUAUUAAAAUAAAUUUAAUAAAUUAUACUGAAGCAAGAUCUAAUAUUAGAAAGUUAACGGAAAUAAAUGUACCUUUGCCCGUCCCUUCAACAAAAUGCUGAGCUGUAUACUAAUUCUCAGAGGCAGUGAUAACUAGUUGUUCUAACUAAUCCCUAUACUUUUAAAUAUGUUUACAAUUCAGUCCCUUCAUUAAUUUUUCGUUAGUAAAAUGUUGAGCUGUCAGCAAUAUUUCCUUAGUUUGUGCCGCUAACUUAACGGUAAAAUGUGAUUCAAGGAUCAAUUAAUUAUUUAAAUGAACUUGAGGGAUUAAUCUGUUUGUUUAACAAAAAUACAGACACUAGUUAAAUAGAAUUUAACUCCAAUUUUAAUCAUCAUAUGCGUGCGUGCGAGCGAGCGAGCGAGUGUUUACUCGUUAAUGUUUUUUUAGAAGGAAUCUGGAAAAGAAUAAAGUCAUCCAUUUCACUUUGGUCCAGCAUUCCUCACCUCUCCCCGCCAGAGCUCUCCCUCCCUCCCUCCCUCCCUCCCUCCUCCGCCUCUCGGAAACCGCCGCCGCCAAGAAGGCUUCAGAUUUCUGCCAGGUGCUUCUAUUUCUAUCAUGUUUUUGUUUUUAAAAUUUAUGGGUGUUUUCAUUUAUUCUAUUGGAAUUAUUAUUCAGAGACAGAAAUUCUAUUUUAAUGAGAAAAUUAAAAAAAAUAAUCGAUCCGAUGAAAUCUCUGCUAGUGAACGCAAUUCGAUUUUAAUAAGUAAAUUAAAAAAAUAUAUAAUCGGAUCCGUUGAAAUCGCUGCUCGUGAACGCAAUUCAAAGAAACGCACAAUCAGCCGAUUCUAAUAUUUUCUUUUUCAAUUUUUCCCCUUAAUUUACAUGAUAUUAUCCGAUUUUUCUCACAGUUAUUGUUGUAAUAAUCAAGCCCUGAAUUCUUGAACCCAAAUUUAUUUUAUUUUAUUUUAUUUUAUUUUUUAGUGGAGAAUAGAAAUCAAUUCAAAUCUUUUAGGCUCGAUCGAUAAUUUGUUAAUUAGUUUAUGCAGCAGCUGGAGUGGAAGAGAUUUUUCUGCCGGAAUGGCCGAAAAAUGAGCUGUUUGGUUGAUUCUUCUUUUUUGGAAUUUACUGAAUUCUUCAAAAUUAUUGUGUUCUUAACAACAAUACGAUAUCCUUGGGUUUUAUGCUCGCUCACACAUGGAAAAAAGAAAGAAAGAAAAGGACUUUACAUUUUAUAAUUUGGUCAUGUUAACGCAAAAAAAAUAAAAAUAAUAGUUUAUGAUGACUCAUUGUUUGGUUGAUAACCCUACAUGAUAUAUCUUUCUUUUUAGGACUUCCUAGCUGGUCUUGAGUAUGAGGUGAAAGCUUGAGGAGGGCAGUUGGUCCUAACCAAGGACUGUAUUGUGAUUGAUUGAGUUGAAAGUUAAGAGCAUGUGGAAGUGUAAAACAAAUGACUUUGUUCACUUCACCCCAAAGGCGCACCUGUGCAUCUAGUUAGGAAGAACAUUUUAUAACUUACCUCAAGGUCGAGCAUGGUCAGGGUUAUUGUGUUGUCUAUUCCGAGAAAGAUGUGCCUGCAAAUUUAAUCUUAUUUCAACAAGAGUUGUUAAGUUAAUUCUUAUCAGUCCUCUUUAGAGUUGAUGAUGACAUGAAAUAUUCAUGGUUAAUGCUUGUCGUUUUCUUCUUCAUUUUCCUAGCUUAAAACAUCCUAGAAAUCUAUCUAUUGAAGUAAAGCAUUUAAAUGCGUAUACAAUGUUUUUGGAACUUUAAAUAUCUAUUUGAUCAGAAUCUGUGAACCUAAAACCACAAUGAAUACAAAUGCAAGUUUGUCAUUGUAAACAUUGCAUCAAUGAUGUAUCACGAGUGUUGCUAGAAAACAUCAAGUUAAAAUUGAAGCACCAUGAGUUUCUCCAUGGCUUGGUUUACCAACACUCACCAUCUGAUGGUGUGGCAAGUUAUGAACUAGCUGGCUAGUUUUUUGCUUCCUUGGUUUUAGAAGGACCAUGAAGAUUCAGGCCCAAAUCUUGCUUAUAAUACCUAAAUACCCAAGAUCCUAGCACCUUGCCCUGAAUGGUCGUGUAUAUUUGUUAUGGCUGUUCAGAUUUUAUGCAUCCAUAUUUGGUAGAAUUCUUUAAUAAAGUACAUGCUAUUGGAUGGAAGUUCUUUUUAAAUCUAUUCAAGUCUGAAUAAACUGACAUUCCAAUUUUCAUGACUUUGAUAUGCUCUUACUCUUCUGUUGUUCCUGACUUUCUUUUUAGGGUCUAUUCUAACAUGCAAUAUAAUUAUUAUUUUUUUUUUUGGUGAUUGAAGUGAUUUUUUUGGUUGGCCAAAACCCCAUGGAUGCCAAUAAUUGGAGGCCCACUGCCCCAGGCGGAGAACCUGUUAUGGACACAGGUGAUUGGAGAACUCAAUUGCAGCCUGACUCACGGCAAAGAAUAGUCAACAAAAUGUAAGUCUCUGUUUCCUAAUAUGUGCAAGUGCUGCAAAAUAGUAAAUCUUGUAUUUAAAUGAAAGAAAAAGAGAAGGGAAAAAGGUUAAUUAAAAUCAGCAGGACUGCCAUGAGGCAACCUCAAGUAUCAUACACCUCUGUUUUUGUCUUUUUCAUUUUUCACGUGUUUCUCACAAGAAGUGAACUUGAGGGAAUAAAAAGUGCUGGGAAGUAAUUUUUGUUGGAACUUCUUGUGUAACAUCUUUCGAUGAUGACCUCUAGGAUGGCUGCAUGAAGCUUCUUCCGCUUUAAAUUUCAAGGUUAAUCUAUUGCUAUGAGCAUUGGUGUUUCAAUUUCAACCUUGAGUUGCAACUGAACUUAAAUGAACAGUGUUGGAUUUGAGCCUUCCAUUUGCUUUAACUUCUACAGGGUUGAAAUGAUAGUUAUCUUAAAGUACAAAAGCAGCAGACAAAAAUCAAUUAGUCACAAUAGUGCAUGGUUUCCUAGUUUCUCAGUAUAAAGUGGAAUGUUUUGGUGAUAUCUCUACAUCCAAAUUCAUAUAGACAGCUACUGUUGGCAUUUGCAGUAGCCAAUGAGCACUGUAGAGUAUAUAUUGCAGCGUGAGAUAAGGUUAACUCAUUGCAUUUUCAUAAAUUAAAAGGAUUUCUCUUCUUUUCUUUGUUAAUUGCAGUGCAUGUAUAAAGGUUUUCUUAUUUAGAGUAAAUGCUGUUGUAAUGUUUUCACAGAGUUCCCUUGGUUUGCAGCUAAUUCAUUUAUAUAUCUUGGAGCAUAGCCAUAGCCAUAAAUGGAAGGUUCUUCCAGUUCAAGAAAAUUAACCAUGAAGCUCAUAGCUAGAAUUUUAAACAUAAGGGUGGCCAAGUGAACUCCUAUACCCUGUACCUGUGGAAUAAUACGGGGAAAGGAAGUAAAAAUAGAUGUGUAUUUUGAUGCCAUAUAUUACUUGACCGACACUUGGCUAUAUCAUUAUUUGUUUUUACUUUUUCCUAAUGAUUCCGUUGUAUACAUUUCUGAUAUUGGUGUGGUGUAUGAGUUCACGGUUCUUUCUCACUGCUGCUAACUUCUCUAUACCUGCCUUGUCAUUAAAAAUUAAAUGUAAUGUUUUACAUGUGCAGAAUGGAGACAUUAAAGAGGCAUCUUCCGUUUUCUGGUCAAGAGGGAUUACAAGAACUCAAGAAAAUUGCCGUACGGUUUGAGGAAAAGAUUUAUACUGCCGCCACCAAUCAGGUAUUCGGCUAAUGCUAGGUUCAAUGAUUUCGAUAUUCUCUAGACAUGAAUAUACACAUGCAUAAGUUUGUGGAUUAAUGCAUGUACACGUGUGUGUAGUGUGUCCACACUUCCUUACUGGUCAUUCUGUAGAAGUUCUCAUCUUUUCGUUAUUUCUCUUGACAAGUGUUUUAUUUAGAGUGACCAAGGUCCUUUUCAAGUACAAGGGAAGUGUGCAAAAUGCAAAUAACGAAUCAAUACAUAAAUAAUUAAAUAAAAAGAAAGGACACAGAAGUAUAUCCUCACAGAAGAUGCAAAUACAGAAAGCCUAGCAUAUUAGAAAGAGCAUAUAUCCCUUUUCCCCCUUCUCUUGUAACAUGGACUGCGCAGAGAUCUAAUGUUUUGUUAUUGAUAUCUGAUUUCAGUCUGAUUAUCUGCGUAAAAUAUCUCUGAAGAUGCUUACAAUGGAGACCAAGUCUCAAAAUACCAUACCCACUGGCAAUGGUAACAAAACCCUGGAUCCAGGAGGUAAUAAUGCAGCCAAGCAUUGGAUUUCUAAACAUCCUUACCUUUUGUUUUGUAUUUUGCGUUGUUAUCAAACUCUUUUACAUUUUAUUGCUGCAUUUUGCUAUGUAUAUACCAUGCUUUAAUAAAAGAGUCGAGUAAUUGAUGAAUGUUCAAAAAAAAAUUACAGAUUAUUUUUGUUUUCUGCUCCCCACCCCCCCACAACAAAAAAAAAAAAAAAAGUCAAAUGACACUUAUGCUUUGAGGUAAAACCAUCUUAAUUAUUUCCCUCAUAACUUUACGUGUGAACUGUCAUUGUUUCAUUUGUUUUUCUUGUUCAAUGCCUUCUUUUUUUUUCCUUUGACAUGGUUUUCCUUUUUGCCUUUUAUCUUGAACAGCAUCUCAUAGUAUGCCGCCUCAAGUUCACAACCAAGGGCAGUCGCUCCCUAACUCAUUGUCCUCUAAUCAGUCUCAAGCACGUCAGCAGUUAUCACAGAACAUGCAGAAUAGUAUGUCAUCUAAUGGAGUUCAAAGUUCUGCUGGUUUACAAUCAGCAAUGCCUUCUGUCUCCGGUUUAACCCAGACUAUCCCAAACACUGUUGGACAGAAUGCUAACAUGCAGAGUAUCUCUGGUGUUUCACAGAACCCAGUGGGGAAUUCAAUGGGACAAGGGAUUCCCCCCAAUAUGUUUGUCAAUUCUCAGAGACAAAUGCCAGGCAGGCAACAGGUUGUUCCUCCACAGCAACAGCAGCAGUCCCAAAAUCCUCAGCAGUAUCUUUAUCAGCAGCAGAUGCAACAUCAGCUUUUAAAGCAGAAGCUUCAACAGGGAAAUCAUCCACACUCACUUGUGCAAUCUCACAUCCACCAGCAGCAGCAGCAAAAUUUGUUACAGCCAAAUCAGUUGCAAUCUUCUCAGCAAUCUGGUUUGCAAACAUCAACUGUUAUGCAGCCUUCAAUGAUGCAAACUGUCUCUGGCCUUCAACAGAACCAACCAUCUUCUGUUCAACAGUCAACACAACCAAUGCACCAGCAACAUCCACAAUCAGUCCUUAGGCAGCAGCAGCAACAACCUCAACAGUCUGCUGGUAUUCAUCAGCAGCAAACACCAAUGAUGCAGCAGCCACUAUUGCCUCCACAACAGCAGCUAAUGGGGCAACAAUCAUNNNNNNNNNNNNNNNNNNNNNNNNNNNNNNNNNNNNNNNNNNNNNNNNNNNNNNNNNNNNNNNNNNNNNNNNNNNNNNNNNNNNNNNNNNNNNNNNNNNNACAGCAGCUAAUGGAGCACAUCAAGUACACUAACAUGUCGCAAAAUCAGUUAAUUGGACAACAAAACAUUGUUGGGGACUUGCAGCAGCAGCAGCAGCAGAGAUUGCUAGGGCAGCAGAAUAACCUUCAAAAUCUGCAGCAGCAGCAGCAGUUAAUGGCUCAACAAAAUAACCUCUCAAGCAUGCAUCAGCAACAGUUGGCCCCUCAAAGUAAUGUCACUGGUUUACAGCAACAGCAGUUGCAUGGAGCUCAGCCUGGUAACUCAAGCAUGCAAUCUAAUCAGCACUCUCUACACAUGCUGCAACAGCCCAAGGUUACGCUGCAGCAGCAAGCACAACAAAGUGGAAGUGGUUUGUUGCCGAAUCAAGGGCAGCAGUCACACUCACAGCUGCCACAGCAGCAAUUGAUGGCACAGAUUCAAUCACAGCCUGGACAGCUGCAACAGCAAUCAAAUCCAUUACAACGUGAUCUGCAGCAAAGGCUUCAAGCAUCAGGCUCCUUGCUUCAACAGCCGAAUGUGAUUGAUCAGCAAAAGCAGUUAUAUCAACCUCAAAGAGCCCUUCCAGAAACGUCCUCAAGUAAGUUUUUCUCAUCCUUGCAGCUUUCUAGCCUUGCUCCAACUUUAAUUUUGCAGCUUUGUGCUUUCAUGUUAGAUUAUAACAUAUUUAUUUAAAUUUUUUGAAAAUACAAUAAUGGUUCAAGUCAGUAAUGCUCUUUUAGGUAGCUUUAUGAGCUAUGGCUGCCACUUAUUGCAUCAGAAAUGCCACUGCUAUUGGAACCAUUGCAAUCACACAUACAUUUAUUUGAAUGAUUACAUAUCGUUGAGAUGGAGUUCCUAGUACUCCAAGUCCAAAAAGGACUUGUAUUCCUAUGUAAGAAAAUACUAAUGGUGCUAUCUAGGAUAGGGAAAACCUAUUAAAGCUCCUUAUUCUUUAGGAACAAUAAAAUACUAAAUAGAAAUAAAACCAAGACCUACAAUAUUCCAUAAUUUUCAGCAAGUGUGAAAAUUACAGAAAUACCCUUGUGUGCGGAAAACAUUCAAAAAAUACAUGAAUUCUAAUCUUUUGUUGGCUGCAUCAAAAUUUUUGUAGCAUCCCUAGAUUCUACAGCAGAGACUGGACAUGCAAAUGGUGCUGAUUGGCAAGAGGAGAUCUACCAAAAGGUAAUUUCUAUGGUUUACUGUUCAUUAGAUGAAAUUCAUGUAUGUCAUAGUCUUGCAAGAUUUCAAUGGAAAAGGUCUCCUGGAAUAUGGUACAAGGGAGUUUUAUUCAGCUAUGGUUGUGAUUAGUUAGGAAGCAUUGUAAGUUCCAUGAUUGCAGCAACUAAGAAACGAUAAAUUACUGAUAAGAUGAUUAAAGGUAAAAUAUUCAGAUUUCUAGGUCAAGAGGGUUAUUUUCUUGGUAUUGACACGACAAUUUUUUCUAUUGCAAAUCUCUCCCUUUCAAUUUUUUCCCUGUAUUUCCAUACAUUUAGUGUGGUGAAUUAUUAUUUUAUUAUUUCCAACAAGUCCAAUUGACAAUACUUCUUACUGUAAUAGACCGACUUGAAAACAAGAGUGAACUGUUUCUGAAUAGUCAUCGUUAUAUUUGGUUAAGUGAACAGUUAUUUUCAGGAUUACAAUCAAAUUUGUUCUGAAACAUGUGACAAUGGAAGAAAGGAAAAUAAGUGGACCUAAUCCAUUGAAUCAUGACCAUGUCCAGUAUUGUUGAAUUUUAUAGAAAACGAGGUUGAAAUUCUGAAUCAUUUAAUGGCUGUAGUUGCAAUUCAUAACUGCAUAUUUGAUGAGGUCAAUUUUUUUGUGCCUGGGAGGGUACUAAAACGGGAAUAGGAGUGGUUGUUGAUAAUUAGGAUAUAAGGGUUGUAAAUCCAAAGUUAUAAAGCUAGGAAGUGUUUACCAAAGUCGUGACAUCCAUUGACUUGAGUUAGAACAAUAGAAAACAAUGGUGAGUAGUUUGCUGUGAGACAAAGUAACUGAACUUGACCAACCCCUGAAUCUUGUCUGAAGAGGUAACUACACAAUCCUUUGCAUCUUUGCAUGCAAUCAAUAACGAUAUUCUCUUUUGAGUUUUCGGCAUUGAUUCCACUGCUAUUUUUAUCUCAAACAAUAUAUGCUGUCGUCUGCCAUUUUAUUUAUUUAUUUAUCAGUUCUCUCAAGUUUGCUUAUGUUUCUUUCUGACUCUGGCACCUGAAAGAAUCAAGCAUAUGAUUGAUAAUGUGCUUGCUGGUUAUAUGUACUUCCUAGAUCAAAGUUAUGAAGGAAACGUAUUUGCCUGAAAUAAAUGAAAUGGACCAGAGAAUUGCUACCAAGUUACAGCAGGGAAAUUGUCUGUAAUUUUUUCCGAUUUAUUUUCCCACACAUGAUUCAUAAACCCCCACAGUUGAGCUUUUGUAUUAAUUUGUUUUCCCCAUCGGCAUUGCUUGUCACUGUAUCAUCUGCACUAAUUACCUCCCCCACCCCCAACCACCCCACAACCAUGCAUUGACACAGAAGAAUUGGAAUAGAAACAUUUUUUUCACUAAUGUUUUACUAGUUUUGCUACAAAGGGUCAAUGCAAUUUUUAAUUCUCGUGUAUGUUAACUUUGCUUUCCAGCAUGACCCUCUUCCGCAACAACCGAAGUCAGAACAGCUUGAAAAGCUGAAGUUAUUCAAGGUCAUGUUGGAGCGCUUGAUAGGAUUCUUACAGGUCCCUAAAAACAACAUCACACCUAAUUUCAAGGAGAAAUUGGGUUCCUAUGAGAAGCAGAUUCUAGGUUUUCUAAACCCAAGCAGAUACAGGAAGCCUAUUCCUAAUCUUCAGCAAGGACAACUUCCCCAACCUCAUAUUCAACCUAUGCAGCAACCCCAAUCUCAAGUUCCUCAAUUGCAGUCCCAUGAAAAUCAACUGAAUUCCCAGUUGCAAUCAAUAAAUAUGCAAGGUUCUGUACCAAAGAUGCAGCAGAACAAUAUGUCAAGCUUGCUGCAUAAUUCUCUUUCAACUUUAUCUGGGGAUUCGACGUCACAAUCAAACAUGAUGAAUCCAAUACAACCAGGCUCCAAUUUAGAUUCUGGAC